GGGAGCUUGGUACCAGUUCCAUUCUGGAGGCGAUACGCGAUGAAUCAAUGUCCGAUCCACGGGAAAGAAUCGAGAUGGCACAACGCCAAUCCCUCUACCGGCCGUCUCUCCUCGGCCUGCCUAAAGGCGAUAUCAAGCCGUAGUAGUUGCAGCCUUUAUUUAUGCAGAAAUGUUGCGAGUUUGCAUGGUUUGCUGAUCUUUCUGUCGGUGUACCCCGCAAGUGCAUAUUUGUGGUAUACAUAUGCUUAUAUGUAGCACAAGUUGAGUUUUUUUUACUAGCAAGGCGAGAUAAACUUCUUAUCGUUCGAGUUGACGCCCACCUGUAUAUACAACCCUUGAUUCAAUUGCAUUUAUUGCUUAGAUGGGAAACGAGGUAGCUGUGAUUCUUGUGAACUUAAACUCGUUGCCCCUGCUUCAGUUGAUUGGCAGUGUUGACUUCAGAAACAGAGGACGCCUGUAGUUCUGUAUAUCUAAUGCUAUUAUGCCUGUGAGGUUUUUCUCUUUUGAAGAGCGUGCUAGUUUCGAGAUCCAUUUGUAAUCUAAUGCUUGUAUGAAGGGGCUGUUUGGUUCCCAGUCACACUUUGCCACGCCUAACCUUGGGCAAAUUUGAUCAAGUUUUGUAGUUGUUUGGUUCUAGCCACACCUAAGGCAAGGAUUUUUUUUUAUGAGCAGUGAAAUCCACAUGUCAGAGACACAAAAAGUGUGGCAAGAUUUCCUUAGACAAGCUAAAGUGUGGCUAGCAAUUUGAGCAACUCAAUUAAGGCAAGUAUGGCAAGUGUGGCAAAAGUCAUGUGGCAAUAUAUGGCAGAGAUAGUCAUAAUCCAAAUAGCCCCGAAGUGUCCCACUGUUCAGUCUUUGAUAGCAAUGUUAGUAUAGUUAAGCUGAAAUCCUUGAUCUUGGAAUUUUUUUCCUUCCAUGUCCCGCUCUCAAAAGAAAAAGAAAACUGAACAAGCCCCAAAGACCACUCGAACUGCCCGACAUACCUAGUUUUGAGACAUUUCCGGCCUCUAGGUGAAAAUUAGUCCGUCAUACUGUUCGAUUCUAUAAAGUGUGAUGGUACCGCCUGCUCAUCACAUAUCUGCAACGAGCCGAGCAUCAUGUGCUACGAUCAUCUUCAUGAUUUCAUCUUUACUGGCUUGCCAAGAGGGAUGACACAUUGGUUGAUCUAGUGUAUGGACUUGGUGUGAGAGAAUUGCUGGACCGUUGGCGUGGAAGUGAUCAGUGCGAUCUCGACGAAUGGGGCAAUUUUGUUGUGAUGUGUUUAGCAUAGGAAGUGAAAUACCCAAGACUCGUACGAGCAGCUUGUUGGAUCCGCUUGUGUACGUGCUCUCAUCUCGAACUCAUCUUCCUAGUGCAUCCCAUACCCAACAGUGAUCAUCAUCCUAAUAGGCCAAGCUAAGUGCUACAUCUGCAUACACCGAGUACAACAAUAGAAAAAUGGGCAAGCCUAAAGUUUCACCAUGUAGUUGCAAGUGUUUAGCUUUUAUACUCGUUGAUACCGUGUAGCUAGGUGCAAGGGAGUGUAGCUAGGUGCAAGGGAGUGAUUCGACAAGUAUUUAUGGGUGUGUGUUGUUGAUUUUACCAUACCAACAACCACUUGUCCUCUUACGCCUCUCCCGAUCCACAUGAAGGAAAUAUGCCCUAGAGGCAAUAAUAAUGUUAUUAUUUAUUUCCUUAUAUCAUGAUAAAUGUUAAUUAUUCAUGCUGGAAUUGUAUUAACCGGAAACUUAGUACAUGUGUGAAUACAUAGACAAAACAUAGUGUCCCUAGUAUACCUUUAUUUGACUAGCUCGUUAAUCAAAGAUGAUUAUGUUUCCUAACCAUAAACAUGUGUUGUCAUUUGAUAAACGGGAUCACAUCAUUAGGACAAUGAUGUGAUGUACAAGACCCAUCCGUUAGCUUAGCAUUAUGAUCGUUACAGUUUCAUUGCUACUGCUUUCUUCAUGACUUAUACAUGUUCCUCAGACUAUGAAAUUAUGCAACUCCUGAAUACCGGAGGAACACCUUGUUAGCUAUCAAACGUCACAACAUAACUGGGUGAUUAUAAAUAUGCUCUACAUGUGUCUCCGAAGGUGUUUGUUGGGUUGGCAUAGAUCGAGAUUAGGAUUUGUCACUCCGUGUCUCGGAGAGGUAUCUCUGGGCCCUCUCGUUAAUGCUCAUCACUAUAAGCCUCGCAAGCAAUGCGACUAAUGAGUUAGUUAUGGGAUGAAGCAUUACGGAACGAGUAAAGAGACUUUCCGGUAACGAAAUUGAACUACGUAUGAUAAUACCGACGAUCGAAUCUCGGGCAAGUAACAUACCGAUGACAAAGGGAACAACCUACGUUGUUUUGCAAUUUAACCGAUAAAGAUAUUCGUAGAAUAUGUAGGAGGCAAUAUGAGCAUCUAGGUUCCGCUAUUGGUUAUUGAUCAGAGAUAUGUCUCGAUCAUGUCUAUAUAGUUCUCGGACCCGUAUGGUCCAUGAAGGAAAUAUUGAAGGAAAUAUGCCCUAGAGGCAAUAAUAAAGUUAUUAUUUAUUUCCUUAUAUCAUGAUAAAUGUUUAUUAUUCAUGCUAGAAUUGUAUUAACCGGAAACAUAAUACAUGUGUGAAUACAUAGACAAAGAUAGUGUCACUAGUAUGCCUCUACUUGACUAGCUCGUUUAUCAAAGAUGGUUAUGUUUCCUAGCCAUGGACAAAAGAGUUGUCAUUUGAUUAACGGGAUCACAUCAUUAGGAGAAUGAUGUGAUUGACUUGACCCAUUCCGUUAGCCUUAGCACUUGAUCGUUUAGUAUGUUGCUACUGCUUUCUUCAUGACUUAUACAUGUUCCUGUAACUAUGAGAUUAUGCAACUCCCGUUUACCGGAGGAACACUUUGUGUGCUACCAAACAUCACAACGUAACUGGGUGAUUAUAAAGGAGCUCUACAGGUGUCUCCAAAGGUACAUGUUGAGUUGGCGUAUUUCGAGAUUAGGUUUUGUCACUCCGAUUGUCGGAGAGGCAUCUCUGGGCCCUCUCGGUAAUGCACAUCACUAUAGGCCUUGCAAGCAAUGUAGCUAAUGAGUUAGUUACGGAAUGAUGCAUUACGUAACGAGUAAAGAGACUUGCCGGUAAUGAGAUUGAACUAGGUAUUUGAUACCGACGAUCGAAUCUCGAGUAAGUAACAUACCGAUGACAAAGGGAACAAACGUAUGUUGUUAUGUGGUUUGACCGAUAAAGAUCUUCAUAAAUUAUGUAGGAGCCAAUAUGAGCAUCCAGGUUCCGCUAUUGGUUAUUGACCGGAAACUAUUCUAGGUCAUGUCUACAUAGUUCUCGAACCCAUAGGGUCCGCACGCUUAACGUUAGGAUGACAGUUAUAUUAUGAGUUUAUAGUUUUGAUGUACCGAAUGUUGUUCGGAGUCCCGGAUGUGAUCACGGACAUGACGAGGAGUCUUGAAAUGGUCGAGACAUAAAGAUUGAUAUAUUGGAAGCCUAUAUUUGGACAUUGGAAUCAUUCCGGGAGAAAUCGGGAUUUUACCGGAGUACUGGGGGGUUACCGGAACCCCCCCGGGGGUUAAUGGGCCUACAUGGGCCCUAAGGGAGAAGAGGAGGGCCGGCCAGGGCAGGCCGCGCGCCCCCUCCCCCCUAGUCCGAAUAGGACAAGGAAGGGGGGCGGCGCCCCCCUUUCCUCUUUCCCCCUUCCCCCUUCCUUCUCCAACAAGGCAAGAGGGGGGAGUCCUACUCCCGGUGGGAGUAGGACUCCUCCAGGUGCACCCCUAGGGGCCGGCCGCACCUCCCUCUCCCUCCUUUAUAUACGGGGGCAGGGGGGCACCUCAUAACACACAAGUUGAUCUUCGUGAUUGUUCCUUAGCCGUGUGUGGUGCCCCCCUCCACCAUAUUCCACCUCGGUCAUAUCGUAGCGGUGCUUAGGCGAAGCCCUGCGUAGGUAGAACAUCAUCAUCGUCACCACGCCGUCGUGCUGACGGAACUCUUCCCCAACACCCUGCUGGAUCGGAGUCCGGGGAUCGUCAUCGAGCUGAACGUGUGCUGAACUCGGAGGUGCCGUACAUUCGGUACUUGGAUCGGUCGGAUCGUGAAGACGUACGACUACAUCAACCGCGUUGUUAUAACGCUUCCGCUUUCGGUCUACGAGGGAACGUGGUCAACACUCUCCCCUCUCGCUGCUAUGCAUCACCAUGAUCUUGCGUGUGCAUAUGAAUUUUUUUGAAAUUACUACGUUCCCCAACAGUGGUAUCCGAGCCUAGGUUUUAUGCGUUGAUAUUAUAUGCACGAGUAGAACACAAGUGAGUUGUGGGCGAUACAAGUCAUACUGCUUACCAACAUGUCAUACUUUGGUUCGGCGGUAUUGUUGGAUGAAGCGGGCCGGACCGACAUUACGUGUACGCUUACACGAGACUGGUUCUACCGACGUGCUUUGCACACAUGUGGCUGGCGGGUGUCAGUUUCUCCAACUUUAGUUGAACCGAGUGUGGCUCCGCCCAGUCCUUGCGAAGGUUAAAACAACACUAACUUGACGAGCUAUCGUUGUGGUUUUGAUGCGUAGGUAAGAACGGUUCUUGCUCAGCCCGUAGCAGCCACGUAAAACUUGCAACAACAAAGUAGAGGACGUCUAACUUGUUUUUGCAGGGCAUGUUGUGAUGUGAUAUGGUCAAGACAUGAUUCUAUAUUUUAUUGUAUGAGAUGAUCAUGUUUUGUAACUGAAGUUAUCGGCAACUGGCAGGAGCCAUAUGGUUGUCGCUUUAUUGUAUGAAAUGCAAAUGCCUUGUAAUUGCUUUACUUUAUCACUAAGCGGUAGCGAUAGUCAUAGAAGCAAUAGAUGGCGAAACGACAACGAUGCUACGAUGGAGAUCAAGGUGUCGCGUCGGUGACGAUGGUAAUCACGAUGGUGCUUCGGAGAUGGAGAUCACAAGCACAAGAUGAUGAUGGCCAUAUCAUAUCACUUAUAUUGAUUGCAUGUGAUGUUUAUCCUUUAUGCAUCUUAUCUUGCUUUGAUUGAAGGUAGCAUUUUAAUCUCUCACUAAUUAUCAAGAAGUGUUCUUCCUAAGUAUGCACCGUUGCGAAAGUUCUUCGUGCUGAGACACCACGUGAUGAUCGGGUGUGAUAGGCUCUACGUUCAAAUACAACGGGUGCAAAACAGUUGCACACGCGGAAUACUCAGGUUAAACUUGACGAGCCUAGCAUAUACAGAUAUGGCCUCGGAACACGGAGACCGAAAGGUCGAACAUGAAUCAUAUAGUAGAUAUGAUCAACAUAGUGAUGUUCACCAUUUAAACUACUCCAUCUCACGUGAUGAUCGGACAUGGUUUAGUUGAUUUGGAUCACGUGAUCACUUAGAUGACUAGAGAGAUGUCUGUGUAAGUGGGAGUUCUUAAGUAAUAUGAUUAAUUGAACUUUAAUUUAUCAUGAACUUAGUCCUGGUAGUAUUUUGCAAAUUAUGUUGUAGAUCAAUAGCUUGCGUUGUUGCUUUCAUAUGUUUAUUUUGAUAUGUUCCUAGAGAAAAUUGUGUUGAAAGAUGUUAGUAGAAAUGAUGCGGAUUGGAUCCGUGAUCUGAGGUUUAUCCUCAUUGCUGCACAGAAGAAUUAUGUCCUUAAUGCACCGCUAGGUGACAGACCUAUUGCAGGAGCAGAUGCAGACGUUAUGAACGUUUGGCUAGCUCAAUAUGAUGACUACUUGAUAGUUUAGUGCACCAUGCUUAAACGGCUUAGAAUCGGGACUUCAAAGACGUUUUGAACGUCAUGGACCAUAUGAGAUGUUCCAGGAGUUGAAGUUAAUAUUUCAAGCAAAUACCCGAGUUGAGAGAUAUGAAGUCUCCAACAAGUUCUAUGGCUAAAAGAUGGAGGAGAAUCGCUCAACUAGUGAGCAUGUGCUCAGAUUGUCUGGGUACUACAAUCGCUUGAAUCAAGUGGGAGUUAAUCUUCCAGAUAAGAUAGUGAUUGACAGAGUUCUCUAGUCACCAUCACCAAGUUAGUAGAACUUUGUGAUGAACUAUAGUAUGCAAGGGAUGACGAAAAUGAUUCCCGAGCUCUUCGUGAUGUUGAAAUCGAUGAAGGUAGAAAUCAAGAAAGAGCAUCAAAUGUUGAUGGUUGACAAGAUCACUAGUUUCAAGAAAAGGGCAAAGGGAAAGAAAGGGGAACUUCAAGUAGAAUGACAAGCAAGUUGUAAAUCCCACGAAGAAGCCCAAAGCUGAACCAAAGCCUGAAACUGAGUGCUUACACUGCAAAGGAAAGGGUCACUAGAAACGGAAAUACCCUGAAUAUUUGGUGGAUAAGAAGGAUGGCAGAGUGAACAAAGGUAUAUUUGAUAUACAGGUUAUUGAUGUGUACCUUACUAGUGUUUAUAGUAGCCCCUGAGUAUUUGAUACUUGUUCGGUUGCUAAAAAUUAGUGACUCGAAAUAGGAGUUACAGAAUAAACAGAGACUAGUUGAGGGUGAAGUGACGAUGUGUAUUGGAAGUGGUUCCAAGAUUGAUGUGAUCAUCAUCGCACACUCCAUAUACUUUCGGGAUUAGUGUUAAACCUAAAUAAAUGUUAUUUGGCAUUUGCGUUGAACAUGAAUAUGAUUUGAUCAUGUUCAUUGCGAUACGGUUAUUCAUUUAAAGUCAAAGAAUAAUUGUUGUUCUGUUUACAUGAAUAAAACCUUCGAUGGUCAUACACCCAAUGAAAAUAGUUUGUUGGAUCUCGAUCGUAGUGAUACACAUAUUCAUAAUAUUGAUGCCAAAAGAUGCAAAGUUGAUAAUGAUAGUGCAACAUAUUUGUGGCACCGCCGUUUGGGUCAUAUCGGUGUAAAGCGCAUGAAGAAACUCCCUAAAGAUGGAUUUUUGGAAUCACUUGGUUAUGAAUCAUUUGAUGCUUGCGAACCGUGCCUUUUGGGCAAGAUGACUAAAACUCCGUUCUCUGGAACAAUGGAAUGAGCUACUGACUUAUUGGAAAUAAUACAUACCGAUGUAUGCGAUCCAAUGAGUGCUCGUGGCAAGUAUCAUUAUUUUCUGACCUUCACAGAUGAUUUGAGCAGAUAUGGGUAUAUCUACUUAAUGGAACACAAGUCUGAAACAUUUGAAAAAGUUCAACGAAUUUCAGAGUGAAGUGGAGAAUCAUUGUAACAAGAAAUAAAGUUUCUACGAUCUGAUCGUGGAGGAGAAUAUUUGAGUUAUGAGUUUGGCCUUCAUAUAAAACAAUGUGGAAUAGUUUCACAGCUCACGCCACAUGGAACAUCACAGCGUAAUGGUGUGUCCGAACGUCAUAACCGCACUUUAUUGGAUAUGGUGCGAUCUAUGAUGUAUCUUACCGAUUUACCACUAUCGUUUUGGGGUUACACAUUAGAGACAGUUGCAUUCACUUUAAAAAGGACACCAUCAAAAUCCGUCGAGACGACGCCUUAUGAACUGUGGUUUGGCAAGAAACCAAAGUUGUCGUUUCUUAAAUUUUGGGGCUGCGAUGCUUAUGUGAAAAAGUUUCAACCUAAUAAGCUCGAACCCAAAUCGGAGAAGUGCGUCUUCAUAGAUUACCCAAAGGUAACUAUUGGGCACACCUUCUAUCACAGAUCCGAAGGCAAGUUAUUCGUUGCUAAGAUGGAUCCUUUCUAGAGAAGAAGUUUCUCUCGAAAGAAGUGAGUGGGAGGAAAGUAGAACUUGAUGAGGUAAUUGUAACUUCUCCCUUAUUGUAAAGUAGUCCAUCACAGAAAUCCGUUCCAGUGAUUCCUACACCAAUUAGUGAGGAAGUUAAUGAUGAUGAUCAUGAAACUUCAGAUCAAUUUGCUACCAAACCUCGUAGGUCUUCCAGAGUAAGAUCCGCACCAGAGUGGUACGGUAAUCAUGUUCUGGAAGUCAUGUUACUAGACCAUGAUGAACCUACGAACUAUGAGGAAGCGAUGAUGAGCCCAGAUUCCGCGAAAUGGCUUGAGGCCAUAAAAUCUGAGAUAUGAUCCAUGUAUGAGAACAAAGUAUGGACUUUGAUUGACUUGCUCGAUGAUCAGCAAGCCACGUUAAAUAAAUGGAUCUUCAAGAGGAAGACGAACACUGAUAGUAGUGUUACUAUCUACUAAGCUCGACUUGUUGCGAACGGUUUUUGACAAGUUCAAGGUGUUGAAUAUGAUGAGAUUUUCUCACUCGUAAUGAUGCUUAAGUCUGUCUGAAUCAUGUUAGCAAUUGCCACAUUUUAUGAAAUCUGGCAAAUGGAUAUCAAAACUGCAUUCCUUAAAUGGAUAUUUCUUAAAGAAGUGUUGUAUGUGAUACAACCAGAAGGUUUUGUCAAUCCUAAAAGUGCUAACAAAAUGUGCAAGCUCCAGCGAUCCAUCAAUGGACUGGUGCAAGCAUCUCGGAGUUGGAAUAUACACUUUGAUGAGUUGAUCAAAGCAUAUGGUUUUAUACAGACUUUUGGAAAGGCCUGUAUUUACAAGAAAGUGAGUGGGAGCACUACACACUCUUUGAUAAGAAUGUGUGAAUAACAUAUUGUUCAUCGGAAAUGAUGUAGACUUUUUCUGUAAAGCAUAAAGGAGUGUUUGAAAAGAUUUUUUCAAAGAAAGACCUCAGUAAAGCUGCUUACACAUUGAGCAUCAAGAUCUAUAGAGAUAGAUCAAGACGAUUGAUAAGAUUUUCAACGAGUACAUACCUUGACAAGAUUUUGAAGUAGUUCAAAAUGGAACAAUCAAAGAAAGAGUUCUUGCCUGUGUUGCAAAGGUAUGAAAUUUAGUAAGACUCAAAUCCCGACCACGGCAGAAAACAGAAAGAGAAUGAAAGUCAUUCGCUAUGCAUCAGUCAUAGGUUCUAUAAAAGUAUGCCAUGCUAUGGACCAGACCUAUUGUAUACCUUGCUCUGAAUUUGGCAAAGGAAUACAAUUUUGAUCUAAUAGUAGAUCACUGGACAACAGUCAAGAAUAUCCUUAGUGAGGACAAAGGAGAUGUUUCUCGAUUAUGAAGGUGAUAAAAGAGUUCGUCGUAAAAGUUACAUCGGUGCAAACUUUUACACUAAUCCAGAUGACUCUAAGUCUCAAUCUGGAUACAUAUUGAAAGUGGGAGCAAUAAGCUAGAGUAGCUCCGCGCAGAGCAUUGUAGACAUAGAAUAUUUGCAAAAUACAUACGGCUGUGAAUGUGACAGACCCGUUGACUAAACUUCUCUCAUGAGCAAAACAUGAUCAUACCUUAGUACUCUUUGGGUGUUAAUCACAUAGCAAUGUGAACUAGAUUAUUGACUCUAGUAAACCCUAUGGGUGUUGGUCACAUGACGAUGUGAACUAUGGGUGUUAAUCACAUACAGAUGUGAAUAUUGGUGUUGAAUCACAUGAUGAUGUGAACUAGAUUAUUGACUCUAGUGCAAGUGGGAGACUGACGGAAAUAUGCCCUAGAGGCAAUAAUAAAGUUAUUAUUUAUUUCCUUAUAUCAUGAUAAAUGUUUAUUAUUGAUGCUAGAAUUGUAUUAACCGGAAACAUAAUACAUGUGUGAAUACAUAGACAAACAUAGUGUCACUAGUAUGCCUCUACUUGACUAGCUCGUUUAUCAAAGAUGGUUAUGUUUCCUAGCCAUGGACAAAAGAGUUGUCAUUUGAUUAACGGGAUCACAUUAUUAGGAGAAUGAUGUGAUUGACUUGACCCAUUCCGUUAGACUUAGCACUUGAUCGUUUAGUAUGUUGCUACUGCUUUCUUCAUGACUUAUACAAGUUCCUAUAACUAUGAGAUUAUGCAACUCCCGUUUACCGGAGGAACACUUUGUGUGCUACCAAACAUCACAACGUAACUGGGUGAUUAUAAAGGAGCUCUACAGGUGUCUCCAAAGGUACAUGUUGAGUUGGCGUAUUUCGAGAUUAGGUUUUGUCACUCCGAUUGUCGGAGAGGUAUCUCUGGGCCCUCUCGGUAAUGCACAUCACUAUAAGCCUUGCAAGCAAUGUAGCUAAUGAGUUAGUUAUGGAAUGAUGCAUUAUGUAAUGAGUAAAGAGACUUUCCGGUAACGAGAUUGAACUAGGUAUUGGAUACCGACGAUCGAAUCUCGAGUAAGUAACAUACCGAUGACAAAGGGAACAAACAUAUGUUGUUAUGCUGUUUGACCGAUAAAGAUCUUCGUAGAAUAUGUAGGAGCCAAUAUGAGCAUCCAGGUUCCGCUAUUGGUUAUUGACCGGAAACUGUUCUAGGUCAUGUCUACAUAGUUCUCGAACCCGUAGGGUCCGCACGCUUAACGUUAGGAUGACAGUUAUAUUAUGAGUUUAUAGUUUUGAUGUACCGAAUGUUUUUCGGAGUCCCGGAUGUGAUCACGGACAUGACGAGGAGUCUCGAAAUGGUCGAGACAUAAAGACUGAUAUAUUGGAAGCCUAUAUUUGGAUAUCGGAAUCAUUCCGGGAGAAAUCGGGAUUUUACCGGAGUACCGGGGGGUUACCGGAACCCCCCGGGGGUUAAUGGGCCUACAUGGGCCCUAAGGGAGAAGAGGAGGGCCGGCUAGGGCAGGCCGCGCCCUCCUCCCCCCUAGUCCAAAUAGGACAAGGAAGGGGGGGGGCGCCCCCCUUUCCUCUUUCCCCCUUCCCCCUUCCUUCUCCAACAAGGCAAGAGGGGGAGUCCUACUCCCGGUGGGAGUAGGACUCCUCCAGGCGCACCCCUAGGGGCCGAUGAACCUCCCCCCUCCCUCCUUUAUAUACGGGGGUAGGGGGGCACCUCAUAACACACAAGUUGAUCUUCGUGAUCGUUCCUUAGCCGUGUGCGGUGCCCCUCCACCAUAUUCCACCUCGGUCAUAUUGUAGCUGUGCUUAGGCGAAGCCCUGCGUCGGUAGAACAUCAUCAUCGUCACCAAGCCAUCGUGCUGACGGAACUCUUCCCCGACACCCUGCUGGAUCAGAGUCCGGGGAUCGUCAUCGAGCUGAACGUGUGCUGAACUCGGAGGUGCCGUACGUUCGGUACUUGGAUCGGUCGGAUCGUGAAGAUGUACGACCACAUCAACCGCGUUGUUAUAAUGCUUCCGCUUUCAGUCUACGAGGGUACGUGGACAACACUCUCCCCUCUCAUUGCUAUGCAUCACCAUGUUCUUCAUAGAGAGAGCCUCCUAUGCUUUCACUUUCAUAUACUAGUGGGAAUUUUCAUUAUAGAACUUGGCUUGUAUAUUCCGAUGAUGGGCUUCCUCAAACGCCCGAGGUCUUCAUGAGCAAGCAAGUUGGAUGCACACCCACUUAGUUUCCACUUUGAGCUUUCAUAGACUUAUAAGCUCUUAGUGCAUCCGUUGCAUGGCAAUCCCUACUCACUCACAUUGAUAUCUAUCGAUGGGCAUCUCCAUAGCCCGUUGAUACGCCUAGUUGAUGUGAGACUAUCUUAUCCCUUUUUGUCCUCACAACCACCACCCUAUACCACCAUAGUGCUAUGUCCAUGACUUGCGCUCAUGUAUUGCGUAAGAGUUGAAAAAGUUAAAACGCAUUAAAAAGUAUGAACCAAUUGCUCGGCUCGUCAUCGGGGUUGUGCAUGAUGGGAGUAUUUUGUGUGAAGAAGAUGGAGCAUACCCAGACUAUAUGAUUUUGUAGGGAUGAUCUUUCUUUGGCUAGGCUAUUUCGAUAAGACAUAAUUGCUUGGUUGGUAUGCUUGAAGUAUUAUUGUUUUUAUGUCAAAUGAUAGACUAUUGCUUUGAAUCACUCGUAUCUUAAUAUUCAUGCCAUGAUUAGACACAUGAUCAAGAUUAUGCUAGGUAGCAUUCCACAUCAAAAAUUAUCUUUUUUAUCAUUUACCUACUCGAGGACGAGCAUGAAUUAAGCUUGGGGAUGCUGAUACGUCUCCAUCGUAUCUAUAAUUUUUGAUUGUUCCAUGCCAAUAUUCUUCAACUUUCAUAUACUUUUGGCAACUUUUUAUACUAUUUUUGGGACUAACAUAUUGAUCCAGUGCCCAGUGCCAGUUCCUGUCUAUUGCAUGUUUUAUGUUUCGCAGAAAAAGCAAUAUCAAACAGAAUCCAAACGGGAUAAAAAUGGACGGAGAAUUAUUUUGGAAUAUUUGGGAUUUUCCGGAGGGAGAAUCAACGCGAAACGGUGUCCGGGGUGGCCACGAGACAGGGGAGCGCGCCCCCUACCCUUGGGCGCGCCCUGGGCUCUCAUGGGCCACCCGUAAGGCGGUUGAUGCCCUUCUUUUGCCGCAGGAAAGCUAAUUUUAUGAGAAAAAUCUGGGCGAAAGAUUCACCCCAAUCGGAGUUAUGGAUCUCCGGAUAUUUAAGAAACGGUGAAGGGGUAGAAUCAGAGAACGCAGAAACAUAGAGAUAGAUCCAAUCUCGGAGGGGCUCUCGCCCCUCCCAUGCCAUGGGAGCCAAGGACCAGAUGGGAAACCCUUCUCCCAUCUACGAAGAAGGUCAAGGAAUAAGAAGAAUAAGGGGGGCUCUCUCCCCCUUGCUUUCGGUGGCGCCGGAACGCCCCUGGGGUCCAUCAUCAUCACCUCGAUCUCCACCAACACCACCGUCAUAUUCACCAACAUCUCCAUCACCUUUCCCCCUCUAUCUACAGCAGUCCACUCUCCCGCAACCCAUUGUACCCUCUACUUGAACAUGGUGCUUUAUGCUUCAUAUUAUUUUCCAAUGAUGUGUUGUCAUCCUAUGAUGUCUGAGUAGAUCUUCGUUGUCCUAUUGGUGGUUGAUGAAUUGCUAUGAUUGAUUUAAUUUUCUUGUGGUUAUGUUGCUAUCCUAUGGUGCCCAUCAUAUGAGCGUGCGCGUGGAUCACACCAUAGGGUUAGUUGUACGUUGAUAGGACUAUGUAUUGGAGGGCAAGAGUGACAGAAGCUCCAGACUAGCAUAGAAAUUGAUACAUACGGGAUUGAAGGGGGACCAAUAUAUCUUAAUUCUAUGGUUGGGUUUUGCCUUAAUGAACAUUAGUAGUUGCGGAUGCUUGCUAAUAGUUCCAAUCAUAAGUGCAUAGAAUUCCAAGUCAGGGAUGACAUGCUAGCAGUGGCCUCUCCUACAUAAAACUUGCUAUUGGUCUAGUAAAGUAGUCAAUUGCUUAGGGACAAUUUCACAACUCCUACCACCACUUUUCUGCACUCGCUAUAUUUACUAUUAUUGCUUCUUUAUCUAAACAACCCCUACUUUUCAUUUACGCACUCUUUAUUAUCUUGCAAACCUUUCCAACAACACCUACAAAGUACUUCUAGUUUCAUACUUGUUCUAGGUAAAGCGAACGUCAGGCGUGCGUAAAGUCGUAUCAGUGGCCGAUAGGACUUGAGAGAGUAUUUGUUCUACCUUUAGCUCCUCGUUGGGUUCGACACUCUUACUUGUCGAAAGAGGCUACAACUAUCCCCUACACUUGUGGGUUAUCAAGACCUUUUUCUAGCGACGUUGCCGGGGAGUCAUAGCGUGGGGUGAAUAUUCUCAUGUGUGCUUGUUUUAUUUAUCACUAAGUAAUUUUUAUUUGCUGUGCUUAGUUGUUCUCUAUCUUUAGUUAUGGAUAUGGAACGCAAAAUACCAAAAAAAUUAGAUGUACUUGCUACUCAUGUAGAUGGGGUAAUUCCUAAAACCCCCGACUCUCAUUAUGUGAGAGAUAUUAUGUACUACUUUGAUAAUCCUGAGAAAACCCCAUUCAACUUUAUAAUGGGAGACACGUUGGAUCAACGUGAAUACUUUAUGGAUUAUCGGUCGACACAAAAAGGGAAACUAUUAUGGGAUCAAUUCAUUAUGUUGCGUUGGUAUGCCUGGAAUCUAUGCUUGAGAUAUGAUAUUACUUGUUGCUCUAGGAUGGAGGCUCCACACCUUCCCUUUUCAUGCAAAUUUAAUGAAAAUGAGACCUUAGCUUCUUAUGCUAAUGGUAUAUAUGAUUACUAUGAUGUGGAACAAAUAGAAGAAUUUGUUGCUUUUAAGGCUGCUUAUGAAAUUGAAGCUUUGUUUGAAAAGUAUAAAGCUUUUGAUGAUGAUGGUUAUAGGCCUGAAAAUCUUGCUAUGCUUAGAUAUUGCUAUGAAAAUUAUGAAUACAAUUACUAUAUUAAUGCUUUUAUGAAGAAAGUCUCCGCUGUCCAAGAAGAGACUAAUAUUUUGCAGGAAGCUAUGGAAGAAGAAAUUGAUGAAACUGUGAGCUCAUUGGAUGUAAAAGAUGAUGAUGAGAGCAAAGAACAAAAGGAGGAAGAGCAGAUUAGCUACCCGUGCCCACCUUUUAAUGAGAGUAACCCUCCAACUCAUACAUUAUUUAAUUCCCCUUCGUGCUUACCAAAGAAUGAUUGCUAUGAUGAUUGCUAUGAUCCCUUGAAUUUGUUUGAAAUAUCCCUUUUUGAUGAUGCUUGCUAUGCUUGUGGCCAAGAUGCCAAUAUGAAUUAUGCUUAUGGAGAUGAACUUGCUAUAGUUCCUUAUGUUAAACAUGAAAUUGUUGCUAUUGCACCCACGCAUGAUAGUCCUAUUAUCUUUUUGAAUUCUCCCUACUACACUUUAUCGGAGAAGUUUCUGCUUAUUAAGGAUUAUAUUGAUGGGUUGCCUUUUACCAUUGCACAUGAUGAUUUUGAUGAAUGUAAUAUGCAUGUGCUUGCUGCUCCUACUUGCAAUUAUUAUGAGAGAGGAACUAUUUCUCCACCUCUCUAUGUUUCCCAUACUAUGAAAUUGCAAGAAACUGCUUAUACUAUGUGUUGGCCUUUACUAUGUGUGCAUGAAUUGUUCUUUUAUGACAUGCCGAUGCAUAGGAAGAGAGUUAGACUUCGUUGUUGCUCGAUAUAAGUUACUUUGUGCUCACUACUAAAUUACAAAUCAUUGUUAAUUAAAAUUGGCUUUGAUAUACCUUGGGAUCCGGGUGGAUCCAUUACUUGAACACUAUAUGCCUAGCUUAAUGGCUUUAAAGAAAGCGCUGCCAGGGAGACAACCCGGAAGUUUUAGAGAGUCAUUUAUUUCUGUUGAGUGCUUUUAUAUAGUUUAAAAACAAAAAAAUAAAGAGGGGAACCUAAAAACUUUUCAAAAAAGAAAGUGAAAGUGAGAAAGACAAGCAUCAUUGAAGUGGGAGCUAACCUUGAACUUUGUUCAUGCUCACGGAAACUUUGUGAAUCUUGAUUACAGAAACUUUUCAACAAAAAUAAUUAUCCCCUUGUAUAAUUCCAUCGUUUUAUAAAAAUAAUGUCCCAAGGUUUGCCUUUAGGAUGUUUACAAUGCUUGUUGGUUUGUACGGUGCAGGACAGAAACUUUGGCUCUAGUGCGCGAUUUUACAUUUUUAUCUAGAAAGUCAAACGGUUCUGAUUCUUUUUGCACUGUUUACAAUACAAAUUGUUUAUUUUUUAUAAUUUUGGUAGAAUUUUUGUGGUACCAUAAGUAUGGUGGAUGUUCAUAUUGCUACAGACUGUUCUGUUUUUGACAGAUUCUGUUUUUGAUGCAUAGUUUGCUUGUUUUGAUGAAUCUAUCAAUUUACAUCAGUGGAUUAAGCCAUGAAAAAGUUAUAUUACAGUAGACAAAAUGCAAAAACAAAAUAUGAAUUGGUUUGCAAUAGUACUUAGAGUGGUGAUUUGCUUUAUUAAACUAACGGGUCUUACCGAGUUUUCUGUUGAAGUUUUGUGUGGAUGAAGUGUCUAAUCGAGGAUGUCUCGAUAUGAGGAAAAGGAAGAGAGGCAAGAGCUCAAGCUUGGGGAUGCCCAAGGCACCCCAAGUAAAUAUUCAAGGAGACUCAAGUGUCUAAGCUUGGGGAUGCCCCGGAAGGCAUCCCCUGUUUCUUCAACAAGUAUCGGUAUGUUUUCGAAUUCGUUUCGUUCAUGCAUUAUGUGCAAGUCUUGGAGCGUAUUUUGCAUUUAGUUGUCACUUUUAUUUUAUGCACCAUGCUGGUAUGAGAUAGUCCUUGGUUGAUUUAUAGAAUGCUCAUUGCACUUCACUUAAAUAUUUUGAGUAUGGCUUUACAGAAUGCUUCAUGUGCUUCACCUAUAUCAUUUGAAGUUUGGAUUGCCUGUUUCUCUUCACAUAGAAAACCGCCAUUUGCAGAAUGCUCUUUUGCUUAACUUAUAAUUGUUAGAGCAUGGGCAUAUCUUUUGUAGAAAGAAUUAAACUCUCUUGCUUCACUUAUAUCUAUUUAGAGAGAUGACAGGAAUUGGUCAUUCACAUGGUUAGUCAUAAAAUCCUACAUAAACUUGUAGAUCACUGAAUAUGAUAUGUUUGAUUCCUUGCAAUAGUUUUGCGAUAUAAAGGUGGUGAUAUUAGAGUCGUGCUAGUUGAGUAAUUGUGAAAUUGAGAAAUACUUGUGUUGAGGUUUGCAAGUCCUGUAGCAUGCACGUAUGGUGAACCGUUAUGUAACGAAGUUGGAGCAUGAGGUGCUCUUUAAUUGUUUUCCUUAUGAGUGGUAGUCGGGGACGAGCGAUGGUCUUUUCCUACCAAUCUAUCCCCCUAGGGGCAUGCGUAGUAGUACUUUGCUUCGAGGGCUAUGUAGACUUUUGCAAUAAGUAUAUGAGUUCUUUAUGACUAAUGUGAGUCCAUGGAUAUACGCACACUCACCCUUCCACUUUGCUAGCCUCUUUUGUGCCGCGCAACUUUCGCCGGUAUCAUGAACCCAUUAUUUACCUUCCUCAAAACAGCCACCAUACCUACCUAUUAUGGUAUUUCCAUAGCCAUUCCGAGAUAUAUUGCCAUGCAACUUCCAUCAUCAUCAUAUACAUGACUUGAGCAUUCAUUGUCAUAUUGCUUUGCAUGAUCGUAGGAUAGCUAGCAUGAUGUUUUCAUGGCUUGUCCGUUUUUUUGAUGUCAUAGCUACGCUAGAUCAUUGCACAUCCCGGUACACCGCCGGAAGCAUUCAUAUAGAGUCAUACCUUUGUUCGAGAUAUCGAGUUGUAAUAUUGAGUUGUAAGUAAAUAAAAGUGUGAUGAUCAUCAUUAUUAGAGCAUUGCCCCAGUGAGGAAAGGAUGAAGGAGACUAUGAUUCCCCCACAAGUCGGGAUGAGACUCCGGACUUUAUGAAAAAUAAAAGAGGCCAAAGAAGCCCACCAAAAAGAAAGAAAAAAAUUAAAAAUAAUAAUAAAAAAUGAAUGAAAAAUAAAAAGAAAAAAUGAGAGAAAAAGAGAGAAGGGGCAAUGUUACUAUCCUUUUACCGCACUUGUGCUUCAGAGUAGCACCAUGUUCUUCAUUGAGAGAGCCUCCUAUGCUUUCACUUUCAUAUACUAGUGGGAAUUUUCAUUAUAGAACUUGGCUUGUAUAUUCCGAUGAUGGGCUUCCUCAAACGCCCGAGGUCUUCAUGAGCAAGCAAGUUGGAUGCACAACCACUUAGUUUCCAGUAUGAGCUUUCAUAGACUUAUAAGCUCUUAGUGCAUCCGUUGCAUGGAAAUCCCUACUUACUCACAUUGAUAUCUGUCGAUGGGCAUCUCCAUAGCCCGUUGAUAUGCCUAGUUGAUGUGAGACUAUCUUCUCCCUUUUUGUCCUCACAACCACUACCCUAUACCACCAUAGUGCUAUGUCCAUGACUUGCGCUCAUGUAUUGCGUAAGAGUUGAAAAAGAUGAAGCGCGUUAAAAAGUAUGAACCAAUUGCUCGGCUCGUUAUCAGGGUUGUGCAUGAUGGGAUUAUUUUGUGUGACGAAGAUGGAGCAUAGCCAGACUAUAUGAUUUUGUAGGGAUGAUCUUUCUUUGGCUAGGCUAUUUCGAUAAGACAUAAUUACUUGGUUGGUAUGCUUGAAGUAUUAUUGUUUUUAUGUCAAAUGAUAGACUAUUGCUUUGAAUCACUCGUAUCUUAAUAUUCAUGCCAUGAUUAGACACAUGAUCAAGAUUAUGCUAGGUAGCAUUCCACAUCAAAAAAUAUCUUUUUUAUCAUUUACCUACUCGAGGACGAGCAUGAAUUAAGCUUGUGGAUGCUGAUACGUCUCCAUCGUAUCUAUAAUUUUUGAUUGUUCCAUGCCAAUAUUCUUCAACUUUCAUAUACUUUUGGCAACUUUUUAUACUAUUUUUGGGACUAACAUAUUGAUCCAGUGCCCAGUGCCAGUUCCUGUCUGUUGCUUGUUUUAUGUUUCGCAGAAAACCAAUAUCAAACGGAAUCCAAACGGGAUAAAAAUGGACGGAGAAUUAUUUUGGAAUAUUUGGGAUUUUCUAGAGGAAGAAUCAACGCGAAACGGUGUCCGGGGUGGCCACGAGACAGGGGGGCGCGCCCCCUACCCUUGGGCGCGCCCUGGGCUCUCAUGGGCCACCCAUAAGGCGGUUGAUGCCCUUCUUUUGCCGCAAGAAAGCUAAUUUUAUGAGAAAAAUCUGGCCGAAAGAUUCACCCCAAUCGGAGUUAUGGUUCUCCGGAUAUUUAAGAAACGGUGAAGGGGUAGAAUCAGAGAACGCAGAAACAUAGAGAUAGAUCCAAUCUCGGAGGGGCUCUCGCCCCUCCCAUGCCAUGGGAGCCAAGGACCAGAUGGGAAACCGUUCUCCCAUCUACGGAGAAGGUCAAGGAAUAAGAAGAAUAAGGGGGGCUCUCUCCCCCUUGCUUUCGGUGGCGCCGGAACGCCCCUGGGGUCCAUCAUCAUCACCUCGAUCUCCACCAACACCACCGUCAUAUUCACCAACAUCUCCAUCACCUUUCCCCCUCUAUCUACAGCAGUCCACUCUCCCGCAACCCGUUGUACCCUCUACUUGAACAUGGUGCUUUAUGCUUCAUAUUAUUUUCCAAUGAUGUGUUGUCAUCCUAUGAUGUCUGAGUAGAUCUUCGUUGUCCUAUUGGUGGUUGAUGAAUUGCUAUGAUUGAUUUAAUUUUCUUGUGGUUAUGUUGCUGUCCUAUGGUGCCCAUCAUAUGAGCGUGCGCGUGGAUCACACCAUAGGGUUAGUUGUAUGUUGAUAGGACUAUGUAUUGGAGGGCAAGAGUGACAGAAGCUCCAGACUAGCAUAGAAAUUGAUACAUACGGGAUUGAAGGGGGACCAAUAUAUCUUAAUGCUAUGGUUGGGUUUUGCCUUAAUGAACAUUAGUAGUUGCGGAUGCUUGCUAAUAGUUCCAAUCAUAAGUGCAUAGAAUUCCAAGUCAGGGAUGACAUGCUAGCAGCGGCCUCUCCUACAUAAAACUUGCUAUCGGUCUAGUAAAGUAGUCAAUUGCUUAGGGACAAUUUCACAACUCCUACCACCACUUUUCCGCACUCGCUAUAUUUACUAUUAUUGCUUCUUUAUCUAAACAGCCCCUACUUUUUAUUUACAUACUCUUUAUUAUCUUGCAAACCUUUCCAACAACACCUACAAAGUACUUCUAGUUUCAAACUUGUUCUAGGUAAAGCGAACGUCAAGCGUGCGUAGAGUCGUAUCAGUGGCCGAUAGGACUUGAGAGAGUAUUUGUUCUACCUUUAGCUCCUCGUUGGGUUCGACACUCUUACUUAUCGAAAGAGGCUACAACUAUCCCCUACACUUGUGGGUUAUCAACUACAUCAACCGCGUUGUGCUAACGCUUCCGCUUACGGUCUAUGAGGGUACGUGGACGACAUUCUCCCCUCUCAUUGCUAUGCGUCACCAUGAUCUUGCUUGUGUGUAGGAUUUUUUUUUGAAAUUACUACGUUCUCCAACAGUGGCAUCCGAGCCAGGUUUUAUGCGUAGAUGUUAUAUGCACGAGUAGAACACAAGUGAGUUGUGGGCGAUACAAGUCAUACUGCUUACCAGCAUGUCAUACGUUGGUUCGGCGGUAUUGUCGGAUGAAGCGGCGCGGACCGACAUUACGCGUAUGCUUACGCGAGAAUGGUUCUACCGACGUGCUUUGCACAUAGGUGGCUGGCGGGUGUCAGUUUCUCCAACUUUAGUUGAACCGAGUGUGGCUACACCCGGUUCUUGAGAAGGUUAAAAUAGCACUAACUUGACGAACUAUCGUUGUGGCUUUGAUGCGUAGGUAAGAACGGUUCUCGCUCAGCCCGUAGUAGCCACGUAAAACUUGCAACAACAAAGUAGAGGACGUCUAACUUGUUUUUGCAGGGCAUGUUGUGAUGUGAUAUCACUACUAGGGAAAACCUUAUACACAGAAUGUUACCAGUAGCGCUGUACAAAAUCAAACGCUACUGCUACUUAGUAGCAGCGCGUGUAAAUAAACCGUGCUACUGCUGACUUUAGCAGUAGCGCGUACAAGCGAAAUGCGCUGCUGCUAUGUUUGAACUGGGCGCACAUGGCUAGCCCAACCUAGCAGUAGCGCGUAUACUGGCCCAGCGCUACUGCUACUCUCCUUAGCUGUAGCGCGCUUACGUGUAAGGCGCUGCUGCUAACGGAAAUAAAAUAAAGUGAAAAACAAGUAGAAAAGUAAAUGAAAAUGAAAGAAAUAGAAAAAGGAGAAAGGAAGAAAAUAAAAUGUAAAGAAAAAUAAAAGCAAAAAGGGAAAAAAGGAGAAAGGAAUAGCAGUAGCGGGUUUCAGGAAACGCGCUGUAGCUAACUUAGCUAUAGCGCGUUUCAGAAACGCGCUACCGUUAUAUUUCACUUAAACAGCGGUUUCCCCCCGCCCCCCCGUCCACCACACUUCUUCUCCAAAUCCCUCGCCCUCGCCGCCGUCUCCCCAAUUUGCCAUCGCCCCACUUCGCCGCCGUCUCGUGCCGGCGUGGACGCCCGUAACCUCACCAUCUCCCCCCAAGGUCACCGUCAUCCUCACCGCCGCCGCCCGAGGCCUCCCUCGACGUCACCGUCAGCGCCCUCCACCUCACCGCCGCCCGAGCUCGCCCAGGACCGCCGUUGCCAAUGCCCGAGCCCGCCNNNNNNNNNNNNNNNNNNNNNNNNNNNNNNNNNNNNNNNNNNNNNNNNNNNNNNNNNNNNNNNNNNNNNNNNNNNNNNNNNNNNNNNNNNNNNNNNNNNNNNNNNNNNNNNNNNNNNNNNNNNNNNNNNNNNNNNNNNNNNNNNNNNNNNNNNNNNNNNNNNNNNNNNNNNNNNNNNNNNNNNNNNNNNNNNNNNNNNNNNNNNNNNNNNNNNNNNNNNNNNNNNNNNNNNNNNNNNNNNNNNNNNNNNNNNNNNNNNNNNNNNNNNNNNNNNNNNNNNNNNNNNNNNNNNNNNNNNNNNNNNNNNNNNNNNNNNNNNNNNNNNNNNNNNNNNNNNNNNNNNNNNNNNNNNNNNNNNNNNNNNNNNNNNNNNNNNNNNNNNNNNNNNNNNNNNNNNNNNNNNNNNNNNNNNNNNNNNNNNNNNNNNNNNNNNNNNNNNNNNNNNNNNNNNNNNNNNNNNNNNNNNNNNNNNNNNNNAGCAAAAGUUUGUUUAUAGAAAAAAAUUUAGUUUAGAGCAAAGGAUGUUAAGUAGUAGAUGUUAGAGCAAAAAUUAGUUUAGAGCAAAAAAUUUGGUUUACAACAAAAGUUAGUUAGGGCAGUAGGGUUUAAUUAGGGUAGAUGCUGCUUGUAUAGUAUAUAGUGAUACUAGUAGAUGUUAAUUAGGUUAGGGCAAUAGUGGUACUAGUUGAUGUUAAUUAGAUGUUUUUCAGUUAGGGCACUAGAGUUUUGCUAGGUUAAUUAGGUUAGUAGUGCUGCUAGUAGUAGUGGUACAGUAGGUUAAUUAGGUGAUGUUAAAUGAAUAACCUAAAUGAAUGAAAUUAGUAGUUAACUGAUUUUUUUCCUUUCAUCAUUAUAGAGCACUAAAGUUAACUGAAUUUUGUUCUAUUUCUAGUUAAAUGAAUUUUCUUCUACACUUUGCUUUUGAAUUAGCUUGUGAAAUUUGGACAUGUGGUUGCUCGUGCAUAUUUGGACAUGUGUUGCAGUGUCGAAGAGGGAUAUUUGAACACUGCUUCCAGGGAAUGAUGCUGAGUGGCCUAUGUUUUGCCGGAAUGUUGAUUCAUUUCUGUUCCGGCAAAUUUCAGGUUCUCGAUUUGUCCACAUUUUAGCAAAGGUCAUGCGGAAAUUUUCCGUGAAUUUCGGCAUGACUUGUGCUACAAACUAGAACAUAUCGAGUGCCCGGGAUUUGCCGCACCAGGAAGGAGUCAACAUUCCUGCAAAACAAUAGGCCUUUUUAUGUCAUUAUUCAUUUUAUUAGGUCUAGAAUUAAUUGACUAGAUUUAAUCAUAGGAAACAUGGCUAGCAACGAUGAAGGACAGGGUUCUGGUGAUUGCGACGACGUCUACCGGGCGGCAGACGAAUUUUUUAGCCUUACCGACGAUCAACCGAUGUUGUUGUUGGGCCCACCGGUGGCAUCGGGGACUGAGACCGACACGCAUACCGGUGCUGAGAUUGAGACCGGUGCUGAGACUCAGACCGGCAUCGAGACCGGCGCUGAGACUGAGACCGGCACUACCUCGGGGAGCGGAGCCGGUGUAGAACCAAAAGCAAAGAGGCAACGACUUCCUAACAAACUCAGGACUACUAGACUGGUGGUCACGGAGGUGGACGACGACAUUUUUGAGCCAAAGGCGCCCGAAGAAGCGCGUCGAUGCUACGGCAAUCAAAUAGGCUGCAUCGUACGCACAACCGCCACCAUCAACGAUGAGAAACUACAAAAGAUAGAAAAUAUGAGGAGCUCCCUCCUAAAGAAGUUUCACCAGAUAUUCUUGUUCCCGGGCCGGAAUGAGAAGGAUUAUGAAGAUCCUGACAAGGACCCGACAAUGAAGAAGAUAAACAAACACGCCAUGACCAAGUUUAGCGACGCGUUGGCCGCCUAGAAAACUCGAGUGAAAGCAAGGAUCAUCGACAAGAAGCAACCCUACUCCGAGAUUGUAAAGGAUAAUCCGACAAUCAUGGAAGAGCAGUUUCAAAUAUUCAAGGAGGCUUGCGAGGCCGAAGCUGCCAAAAAAAGUCUAAGUACAUGAAGGGGCUUCAAGAGAGGAACAUUGGGAGCCACCACCUCGGAAGCCAUGGUUACGGCAGAAAGAGGUCCAAAUGGGCCAAGGAGCGUGACGUCCUGAGGGCCCGGCACCGUUGGGACCCAGUGAAGAAGGUUUACGAGACAACACGGGUCAUUACGGAGUUCAUGGGACUGCUGGUAAUUUUAGUUUCUGAUCAAUUCGACUGCACACAUUAGUCAUAUUUGUAAACGAUCCUUGUGCCUUUUGCAGAGAGAGCAGCACCGGAUUGCGGCCGAAAGCGACUCGCCGUCUGAGGCAUUGGCGAGGCCCAAGUGGGACACUCCAUUCAACCGGGCAUUGAACAUAUUGAAACGACAACCGGUGGAUACUCGACCGUUGUAUGGACGCGUGCACGGUGUCGAAGACGCCGCCACGUGGAAGAAGUACUACCGUGAGACCACGGAGGUGAGAAAGGAAAGACGGAGGUUAAUUGAAGAAAACAUCGACAAGAAGGUUGAGAUUGCGGUUGACAAGAAAUCAUCUCAGACAGUCGCAACAGCGGUAGCUACCGCAAAACAGGUGGUUGCAGAUUUGUCUACUUCCUUGGUGACGGGCGUUUUCACUUGGACAAGGCAAAAUCCAGAAAAAAAUGUAGAGGACUUUCCCCUUGCUGACUUCUUGGGAGCACCUCCUCCCGCACCGGCUCCCGCACCUGCUCCCGCACCGGCUCCCGCACCUGCUCCCGUACCGGCUCCCGCACCUGCUCCCGCACCAGACAUUCUCGGCGAUGCUUCGUCUUUGGCUGAGCUCGACGCCCUCACGGUAUCUGUCACACCGCCCCCGUUCAAUAUAAAUGUAUAAUCUCCCGUUUUUGUUACCUUUCGGAUGUCUCACAUCGCAGAAUUUUCUUUGCAGGCCGAUGAAACCCCGUGCACCAUGUUGUACACCAUCGGUGACCAGAAGGUGGACGUGGGGAAGGCGACGAUAAUGGAGCCGAAGGAACCAUUGUUCCACAGCCGGCCGAUCCCCCCGAACGUCUUCAAGGUUUCCAUGGCCAGUGUCGAACCGGGCCACGAGAAUUUGCCUCCUCCAAUACUACUGGUGGAUGAUGAGGAGACGCCGCAGCGGCUUGGUGAUUGUUGCAAUGGGUGGGUCCUAUUGUGGCCAAAGAGUCUGCUUUGUCUGGAGGCGGUCGGGAGCACACCCACGAGCACGCAGCCUCAGCAAGGUAUGAACAUCAACACCCCACCUACCCAAUUAGCGUCGGGUGUCGGGUUGGGUGAUAGCGGACGGGGUAAGUAGGAGGCUCCGUUUGUCGCUGAUGACGUCACCAUGGAUGAGGAUGAGGACGACGGUGGCGCUGAACAGUAUGUCUAUACUGGCGCCUCCUUAGGGUUUGAGCGUCAUGAGUCGGUGCCUGAAUUGCCGUCUCAACAUAUUAUGGACGACCUUCCGGUAGUAAAGAAGUAUAGGAAGAGAGCGAGGAAAGGCAAAAAAGCUGAUUCUAUGAUCCAGCCGCCUCAGCAGCCUCGGCUUCAGGACCGUAAAGAUAUCCCCGAUGCGGAUAAAUGGCAUAUCCCCGGUCAACCAAUCCUACCUGCAACAGCGCUACAGGCCAGAUUCGGUGAUCUAAGUAGACUUCAUGAUGAUGUGCUGCGGGUAGAGAAAGGCCUCAUCGCCUCGACAGAUCUAGGAUACCCACUCUACGUGGUUAACAUUUCGCGGCAAAUGUCGUAUGUCGACAGCUUCCCCUUGGAUAAGUUCUUCCUCCUAUUCGAUUACAUAUUCGACAUGUUUCAUGUGAAGAAGCUGGAUUUUACGUUUGUCCGCCUUUAUGCCUUGCACAUGAACUACAUCAUCGGGUUUGAGCAGAUAUCUCAUAUCUGUGUCGCUGACCCGUACUACAUGCACGAGGGAUUCUUGGGAGUCUGCGCAGAGCACCGUGUAUACGCAAGGGAAUACAUCGUCAAUUUCAUGCUCGCCAAUAAGGACAAGGGGGCGAUUCUCGUGCCUUAUCAUCCAGUGUAAGUCAUCCACGCUGCUAUCCUUCCUUCGAUUUCAAUCAUUCAUUUGCACGGUGGAGGCUAAGUAAUUUGAGGUGUACUUAUUUUGCGCAGCGGCGGGGGCGCUGUCCUCAUCAUCCUAUACCCCCGAUUCUCCCACGCUCUUUACUUGGACUCGUCGAAGAACAUUCACAAAAAGGAUUACACCCACAUCAAGGAUGUUCUCGACAGUGCUAUGUUUUACUACCAAGCAAGGGGUGGAGAGGUCAGGGACAAGAAGAGAAGGGGCGACAGGGUCGCCUUCGGCCAUAAGACCGACUUCUGCUGCAUCCAGCAACCGAACAAUUCUCUUAAUGAUGGAUUAUAUGUCCUACACCACAUGCUGGAGUACAGACGGGAUCACCAGAACCUUCGCAUGUAACCUAGAUCCGGCGAUGCCCAUAUUCUGCAAUGGGCAAACAACGUAGGAGAUAUCGAGGAUCAUCGACUUCGAGCUGAGUUCUAUCACAUCCAGCGCAAACUUGCCCAAAUCAUCAUGGAGGAGGUCGUCCAAAAAACAGGGAUGUUCUACGAAGAAGGACAAAUGUUGCGGGAAGACGUCCGAACAUGGAUAGCCUCUCAGCGUCUCGACAUGAAUCCUUUCACUAAGCUCGGGGACUAUCUCCCUGACAUGGAUGGAUGGCACGACAUGGUGGAGUGAUUGUCGAUAUAUGACUAUGUGUAUGUUUAGUCCAUACUUUCUAUAUGACAAAACUUUGAGUUAUGCAUGCUGAAACUUUAUUUGUGAUGUAAUUAAACCGUCCUCCUCCUCCACUAGCGAAGAUCACUCUAGUUAGGGCAUUUUGGGUACGAUGAACUUUGUUAUUUAUGCUUAUGAUAUGUUGUUUCUAUUUUGCCAAGCCUAUCUCUUUCUGUUGCUCAACUAUAUAUGUUGCAUAUCAUCGACUCAUGUGACGAUGCAGGUGCAUAGAUCAUCGAUGGUGAAGAAGUGCUACGCCAGGAGUAUAUAUACGACGAGUGGCCGGAGUGUCAGGCCCAGGUGUACCGGUUUAUGGUUUCCGAGCAACAGGCAAUAGUUAGUUUAGGUUCACACUAAUGCGAGAGAGGGAUACGAACUCAUGUACUCAAAGUGAUAGCUCUUCUCGCGUAUACCAUUGUUUAGAUGGAUGACGAUGUAUUUGCAAGUAAUCGAGGACUUGUAUCGCUAUUUUCGAGAUGAUGACGAGAGACCACUUUGUGUUGGAUGAUGAUUAUGAUAAUGACAUGAUUUGAUGAGACUAAUUGUAUGUAUAUGCUAUGAUUACAUUUGUAUGUGUAUGAUAUGCUAAAGGUUAUUGUAUAAAGCCUAUUCAAAUAUGAAACAAAUACAAAAACAAAUAUGCAGGAAAAAAACUAAUAAAACUAGUAGUAGUGAGGGGGGGGGGGAAAUUUAGCAAUAGCGCCGCAUUACCAGUAGCGCUUCCCGGUAAACAUCAUUGCAGAUAAUAUCAACAACGCCCUUUCCUAAACAGCGCUACAGCUAUUCAUGUAUAGCAGUAGCAUGGGACAACAGGCGCUACUGCUAUAUGUUAGCUGUAGCGCCUUAUUAGUAGCACCUGUCCCCGCGCUACUGAGAGGCCCAAAACCCGCACUGCUGCUAGGCUUUUCCCUAGUAGUGUAUGGUCAAGACGUGAUGCUAUAUUUUAUUGUAUGAGAUGAUCAUGUUUUGUAACCAAGUUAUCGGCAACUGGCAGGAGUCAUAUGGUUGUCGCUUUAUUGUAUGCAAUGCAAUCGCCAUGUAAUUGCUUUACUUUAUCACUAAGUGGUAGCGAUAGUCGUAGAAGCAAUAGGUGGCGAAACGACAAUGAUGCUACGAUGGAGAUCAAGGUGUCGCGCCGGUGACGAUGGUGAUCAUGACGGUGCUUCAGAGAUGGAGAUCACAAGCACAAGAUGAUGAUGGCCAUAUCAUAUCACUUAUAUUGAUUGAAUGUGAUGUUUAUACUUUAUGCAUCUUAUUUUGCUUUGAUUGUUGGUAGCAUUAUAAGAUGAUCUCUCACUAAAUUUUAAGGUAUAAGUGUUCUCCCUGAGUAUGUACCAUUGCGAAAGUUCUUCGUGCUGAGACACCACGUGAUGAUCGGGUGUGAUAGGCUCUACGUUCAAAUACAACGGGUGCAAAACAGUUGCACACACGGAAUACUCAGGUUAAACUUGACGAGCCUAGCAUAUACAGAUAUGGCCUCGGAACACUGAGACCGAAAGGUCGAGUGUGAAUCAUAUAGUAGAUAUGAUCAACAUAGUGAUGUUCACCAUUGAAAACGACUCCAUCUCACGUGAUGAUCGGACAUGGUUUAGUUGAUUUGGAUCACAUGAUCACUUAGAUGAUUAGAGGGAUGUCUAUCUAAGUGGGAGUUCUUAAGUAAUAUGAUUAAUUGAACUUAAAUUUAUCAUGAACUUAGUACUUGAUAGUAUUUUUCUUGUCUAUGUUUGUUGUAGAUAGAUGGCUCGUGCUGUUGUUCCGUUGAAUUUUAAUGCGUUCCUUGAGAAAGCUAAGUUGAAAGAUGAUGUUAGCAAUUACACGGACUGGGUCCGUAACUUGAGGAUUAUCCUCAUUGCUGCACAGAAGAAUUACGUCCUGGAAGCACCGCUGGGUGCCAGGCCUGCUGCAGAUGCAACUGACGACGUUAAGAACAUCUGGCAGAGCAAAGCUGAUGACUACUCGAUAGUUCAGUGUGCCAUGCUUUACGGCUUAGAACCGGGACUUCAAUGACGUUUUGAACGUCAUGGAGCAUAUGAGAUGUUCUAGGAGUUGAAGUUAAUAUUUCAAGCAAAUGCCCAGAUUGAGAGAUAUGAAGUCUCCAAUAAGUUCUAUAGCCGCACGAUGGAAGAUAAUAGUUCUGUCAGUGAACAUAUACUCAAAAUGUCUGGGUAUAAUAAUCACCUGAUUCAACUGCGAGUUAAUCUUCCUGAUGAUAGUGUCAUUGACAGAAUUCUUCAAUCACUGCCACCAAGCUACAAGAGCUUCGUGAUGAACUAUAACAUGCAAGGGAUGAACAAGACUAUUCCCGAGCUCUUCGCAAUGCUAAAAGCUGCGGAGGUAGAAAUCAAAAAGGAGCAUCAACUGUUGAUGGCCAACAAGACCACCAGUUUCAAGAAAAGGGGUAAAGGGAAGAAGAAGGGGAACUUCAAGAAGAACGGCAAACAAGUCGCUGCUCAAGAUAAGAAACCCAAGUCUGGACCUAAGCCUGAGACUGAGUGCUUCUACUGCAAGCAGACUGAUCACGGGAAGCGGAACUGCCCCAAAUAUUUGGCGGAUAAGAAGGAUGGCAAGGUGAACAAAGGUAGAUGUGAUAUACAUGUUAUUGAUGUGUACCUUACUAAUGCUCGCAGUAGCACCUGGGUAUUUGAUACUGGUUCUGUUGCUAAUAUUUGCAACUCGAAACAGGGACUACAGAUUAAGCAAAGAUUGGCUAAGAUGAGGUGACGAUGCACGUGGGAAAUGGUUCCAAAGUCGAUGUGAUCGCGGUCGGCACGCUACCUCUACAUCUACCUUCGGGAUUAGUUUUAGACCUGAAUAAUUGUUAUUUGGUGCCAGCGUUAAGCAUGAACAUUAUAUCUGGAUCUUGUUUGAUGCGAGGUGGUUAUUCAUUUAAAUCAUAAAAUAAUGGUUGUUCUAUUUAUAUGAGUGAUAUCUUUUAUGGUCAUGCACCCUUGAAGAGUGGUCUAUUUUUAUGGAAUCUCGAUAGUAGUGAUACACAUAUUCAUAAUGUUGAAGCCAAAAGAUACAGAGUUGAUAAUGAUAGUGCAACUUAUUUGUGGCACUGCCAUUUGGGUCAUAUCGGUGUAAAGCGCAUGAAGAAACUCCAUAAAGAUGGAAUUUUGGAAUCACUUGAUUAUGAAUCAUUUGAUGCUUGCGAACCGUGCCUUUUUGGCAAGAUGAUUAAAACUCCGUUCUCCGGAACAAUGGAACGAGCUAGUGACUUGUUGGAAAUAAUACAUACCGAUGUAUGCAGUCCAAUGAGUGUUGAUGCUCGUGGCGGGUAUCGUUAUUUUUCUAACCUUCACAGAUGAUUUGAGCAGAUAUGAUUAUGUCUACUUAAUAAAGCAUAAGUUUGAAAUAUUUGAAAAGUUCAAAGAAUUUCAGAGUGAAGUGGAGAGUCAUCGUAACAAGAAAAUAAAGUUUCUACAAUCUGAUCGUAGAGGAGAAUAUUUGAGUUACGAGUUUGGCCUUCAUUUAAAAACAGUGUGGAAUAGUUUCACAGCUCACGCCACAUGGAACACCACAGCGUAAUGGUGUGUCCGAACAUCGUAACCGCACUUUAUUGGAUACAGUGCGAUCUAUGAUGUAUCUUAUCGAUUUACCACUAUCGUUUUGGGGUUAUGCAUUAGAGACAGCUGCAUUCACUUUUGAUAGGGCACCAUGAAAAUCCAUUGAGACAACACCUUAUGAACUGUGGUUUGGCAGGAAACCAAAGUUGUCAUUUUUUAAAGUUUGAGGCUGCGAUGCUUAUGUGAAAAAGUUUCAACCUGAUAAUCUUGAACCCAAAUCGGAGAAGUGCGUCUUCAUAGAAUACCCAAAGGAAACUAUUGGGUACACCUUCUAUCACAGAUCCGAAGGCAAGUUAUUCGUUGCUAAGAUGGAACCUUUAUAGAGAAGGAGUUUCUCUCGAAAGAAGUGAGUGGGAGGAAAGUAGAGCUUGAUAAGGUAAUUGUACCUUCUCCUGAAUUGGAAAGUAGUUCAUCAUAGAAAUCAGUUCCAGUGAUUCCUACACCAAUUAGUGAGGAAGCUAAUGAUGAUGAUCAUGAAACUUCAGAUUAAGUUACUACAGAACCUCGUAGGUCUUCCAAAGUACAGUCUGCACCAGAGUGAUAUGGUAAUCCUGUUGUGGAAGUCAUGUUACUAAACCAUGAUGAACCUAUGAACUAUGAGGAAGCGAUGAUGAGCCCAGUUUCCGUAAAAUGGCUUGAAGGCCAUGAAAUUUGAGAUUGGAUCCAUGUAUGAGAACAAAGUGUGGACUUUGGUGGAGUUUCCCGAUGAUCGGCAAGCCAUAUUGUAUAAAUGGAUCUUCAAGAGGAAGACAGACGCUGAUAGUAGUGUUACAAUCUACAAAGCUCGACUUGUCGCAAAAAGUUUUUCGACAAGUUCAAGGUGUUGAAUACGAUGAGAUUUUCUCACUCGUAUCAAUGCUUAAGUCUGUCCGAAUCAUGUUAGCAAUUGCCACAUUUUAUGAAAUUUGGCAAAUGGAUGUCAAAAUUGCAUUCCUUAAUGGAUUUAUUAAAGAAGAGUUGUAUAUGAUGCAACCAGAAGGUUUUGUCAAUCCUAAAGGUGCUAACAAAGUGUGCAAGCUCCGGUGAUCCAUCCAUGGACCGGUGCAAGCAUCUCGGAGUUGGAAUAUACACUUUGAUGAGUUGAUCAAAGCAUAUAGUUUUAUACAGACUUGCGGUGAAGCCUGUAUAUGUGAAUGACAUAUUGUUGAUCAGAAAUAAUGUAGAAUUUUCUGGAAAGCACAAAGGAGUGUUUGAAAGGAGUUUUUCAAAGAAAGACCUCGGUAAAGUUGCUUACACAUUGAGCAUCAAGAUUUAUAGAGAUAGAUCAAGAUGCUUCAUAAGAUUUUUCAAUGAGUACAUACAUUGAUAAGAUUUUGAAGUAGUUCAAAAUGGAAUAGUCAAAGAAGGAGUUCUUGCCUGUGUUGCAAGGUGUGAAGUUGAGUAAGACUCAAAGCCCGACCACGACACAAAAUACAAAGAUAAUGAAAGUCAUUCCCUAUGACAUAGUCAUAGGUUCUAUAAAGUAUGCUAUGCUAUGUACCAGACCUAUUGCAUACCUUGCUCUGAAUUUGGCAAGGAGUACAAUUUUGAUCUAGGAGUAGAUCACUGGACAGCGGUCAAGAAUAUCCUUAGAAAGGACUAAGAAAAUGUUUCUCAAUUAUGGAGGUGAUAAAAGAGUUCAUCAUAAAGAGUUACAUCGGUGCAAGCUUUUACACCAAUCCAGAUGACUCUAAGUCUCAAUCUGGAUACAUAUUGAAAGUGAGAGCAAUUAGCUAGAGUAGAUCCGUGCAGAGCAUUGCAGACAUAGAAUAUUUGCAAAAUACAUACGGCUCUGAAUGUGACAGACCCGUUGACUAAACUUCUCUCACGAGAAAAACAUGAUCACACCUUAGUACUCUUUGGGUGUUAAUCACAUAUUGAUGUGAAAUACAUUAUUGACUCAAGUAAACCCUUUGGGCGUUGGUCACAUGACGAUAUGAACUAUGGGUGUUAAUCACAUGCAGAUGUGAAUAUUAGUGUUAAAUCACAUGGUAAUGUGAACUAGAUUAUUGACUCUAGUGCAAGUGGGAGACUGAAGGAAAUAUGCCCUAGAGGCAAUAAUAAAGUUAUUAUUUAUUUCCUUAUUUCAUGAUAAAUGUUUAUUAUUCAUGCUAGAAUUGUAUUAACUGGAAACAUAAUACAUGUGUGAAUACAUAGACAAACAAAGUGUCACUAGUAUGCCUCUACUUGACUAGCUCGUUGAAUCAAAGAUGGUUAAGUUUCCUAGCCAUAGACAUGAGUUGUCAUUUGAUUAACGGGAUCACAUCAUUAGAGAAUGAUGUGAUUGACUUGACCCAUUCUGUUAGCUUAGCACUUGAUCAUUUAGUAUGUUGCUAUUGCUUUCUUCAUGACUUAUACAUGUUCCUAUGACUACGAGAUUAUGCAACUCCCGUUUAUUGGAGGAACACUUUGUGUGCUACCAAACAUCACAAGUAACUGGGUGAUUAUAAAGGUGCUCUACAGGUGUCUCCGAAGGUACUUCUUGAGUUGGCGUAUUUCGAGAUUAGGAUUUGUCACUCCAAUUGUCCGAGAGGUAUCUCUGGGCCCUCUCGGUAAUGCACAUCACUAUAAGCCUUGCAAGCAAUGUGACUAAUGAGUUAGUUGCGGGAUGAUGCAUUACAUAACGAGUAAAGAGACUUGCCGGUAACGAGAUUGAACUAGGUAUUGAGAUAUCGACGAUCAAAUCUCGGGCAAAUGACAUAUCGAUGACAAAGGGAACAACGUAUGUUGUUAUGCGGUUUGACCGAUAAAGAUCUUCGUAGAAUAUGUGGGAGCCAAUAUGAGCAUCCAGGUUCCGCUAUUGGUUAUUGACCAGAGAUGUGUCUUGGCCAUGUCUACAUAGUUCUCGAACCCGUAGGGUCCGCACGCUUAAAGUUCGGUGAUGAUUUAUAUUAUGAGUUAUGUGUUUUGAUGUACCGAAGGUAGUUCGGAGUCCCGGAUGAGAUCGAGGACAUGACGAGGAGUCUCGAAAUGUUCGAGACGUAAAGAUCGAUAUAUUGGACGACUAUAUUCGGACAUCACAAAAGGUUCCGAGUGAUUCGGGUAUUUAUCGGAGUACCGGAGAGUUACGGGAAUUCGCCAGGGACUAUAUGGGCCUUAUUGGGCUUUAGGGGAAAGAGAGAGGGGAGGCUGCGCGCCCCCCCAAGGCCUAGUCCAAAUUGGACUAGGGGGAGGGGCUGCGCCCCCUCCUUCCUUCUCUUCCCUUUUCCCUUUCCUUGACUCCUAGUCCUACUACUUGGAAGGGGGGGAAUCCUACUCCCGGUGGGAGUAGGACUCCUCCAGUGCGCGCCAUAGGAGGGCCGGCCCUCCCCCCUCCUUCACUCCUUUAUAUACGGGGGCAGGGGGCACCUCUAGACACACAAGUUGAUCUGUUGAUCUCUCCCAGCCGUGUGCGGUGCCCCCCUCCAUCAUAUUCCACCUCGGUCAUAUUGUAGCGGUGCUUAGGAGAAGCCCUACAUCGGUAGCAACAUCAUCACCGUCAUCACGCCGUCUUGCUGAAGGAACUCUCCCGUGAAGCUCUACUGGAUCGGAGUUCACGGGACGUCAUCGAGCUGAAUGUGUGCUGAACUCGGAGGUGCCAUAUGUUCGGUACUUGGAUCGGUCGGAUCGUGAAGACAUACGACUACAUCAACCGCAUUGUGCUAACGUUUCCGCUUACGGUCUAUGAGGGCACGUGGACGACACUCUCCCCUCUCAUUGCUAUGCAUCACCAUGAUCUUUCCUGUGUGUAGGAUAUUUUUUUGAAAUAACUACAUUCCCCAACAGUCCGCAUGCUUAAUAUUCGAUGAUGAUUUGUAUUAUGAGUUAUGUGUUUUGAUGACCGAAGUUUGUUCAGAGUCCCGGAUGAGAUCAUGGACAUGACGAGGAGUCUCGAAAUGGUCGAGACAUAAGGAUUGAUAUAUUGGAAGGCUAUAUUCGGACGUCAGAAUGGUUCAAGAUAAGUUCGAGUAUUUUUGGAGUACCGGGAGGUUACCGCCCCCCCGGGAGUUGUUGGGUCUUGGUGGGAAGAGAAGGCAGCGGCCAGGAGGUGGCGCCCCUCGAGCCCAGUCCGAAUUGGAAAAGGGGUUGGGGGCGUGGCCCCCCUCUCCUUUAUGUGGAAUCCUACUAGGACUUGGAGUCCUAGUAGGACUCCCCUCUCCUGCGCGCCCUGCAAGGGCUAGCCGGCCUCUCCCUCCCUCCUUUAUAUACAGGUGCAUGGGGGCACCCUAGAACACACCAUGUUUUGCCUUAGCCGUGUGCAGUGCCCCCCUCCACAGUCACACACCUCGAUCAUAUCGUCGUAGUGCUUAGGAAAAGCCCUGCGCCGAUAACAUCAUCAUCACCGUCGCCACGCUGUCGUGCUGACGGAACUCACCAUCGUCCUCAGCUAGAUCAAGAGAACGAGGGACGUCAUCAAGCUGAACGUUUGCUGAACGCGGAUAUGCCGUACAUUUGGUACUUAGAUCGGUUGGAUCGCGAAGACGUUCGACUACAUCAACUGCAUGACUAAACGCUUCCCCUUUCGGUCUACGAGGGUACGUGGACACACUCUCCCCUCUCAUUUCUAUGCAUCUCCUAGAUAGAUCUUGCGUGAUCGUAGGAUUUUUUUAAAUUACUAUGUUCCCCAACAGUGGCAUCCGAGCGAGGUCUAUGCGUAGAUGUUUUAUGCACGAGUAGAACACAAAGAGUUGUGGGCGAUAAUAGUCAUACUGCUUACCACCAACGUCUUACUUUGAUUCGGCGGUAUUGUUGGAUGAAGCGGCCUAGACCGACAUUACAUGAUCACGAUCAUGAGACUGGUUCUACCGAAGUGCUUUUGCACAUAGGUGGCUGGCGGGUGUCUAUUUCUCCAACUUUAGUUGAAUCGAGUUUGACUACGACCGGUCCUUGUUGAAGGUUAAAACAACACACUUGACAAAAAAUCGUUGUGGUUUUGAUGCGUAGGUAAGAACGGUUCUUGCUAGAAGCCCGUAGCAGCCACGUGAAAUUUUCAACAACAAAGUAGAGGACGUCUAACUUGUUUUUGCAGGGCUUGCUGUGAUAUGAUAUGGUCAAGACAUGAUGUGAUAUAAAUUGUUGUAUGAGAUGAUCAUGUUUUGUAAACAGAGUUAUCGGCAACUGGCAAGAGCCAUAUGGUUGUCACUUUAUUGUAUGCAAUGCAAUCGCCAUGUAAUUGCUUUACUUUAUCACUAAGCGGUAGCAAUAGUCGUAGAAGCAAUAGUUGGCGAGAUGACAAUGAUGCUAUGAUGGAGAUCAAGGUGUCACGCCGGUGACAAUGGAGAUCAUGACGAUGCUUCGGUGAUGGAGAUCAUGAGCACAAGAUGAUGAUGGCCAUAUCAUGUCACAUAUUUUGGUUGCAUGUGAUGUUUAUCUUUUAUGCAUCUUAUUUUGCUUAGUACGGCGGUAGCAUUAUAAGAUGAUCCCUUACUUAAUUUCAAGGUAUAAAUGUUCUCCCUGAGUAUGCACCAUUGCUACAGUGCGUCGUGCUGAGACACCACAUUAUGAUCGGGUGUGAUAAGCUCUACGUUCACAUACUACGGGUGCAAGCCAGUUUUGCAGACGCAGAAUACUCGGGUUAAACUUGACAAGCCUAGCAUAUGCAGAUAUGGCCUCAGAACACUGAGACCGAAAGGUCGAACUUGAAUCAUAUAGUAGAUAUGAUCAACAUAGUGAUGUUUACCAUUUAAAACUACUCCAUCUCACGUGAUGAUCGGACAUGGUUUAGUUUAUUUGGAUCACGUGAUCAUUUAGAUGACUAGAGGGAUGUUUAUCGAAGUGGGAGUUCUUAAGUAAUAUGAUUAAUUGAACUUUAAUUUAUCACGAACUUAGUCCUGAUAGUUAUUUUGCAUGUCUAUGUUAUUGUAGAUCAAUGGCCCAUGCUACCAUUCCUUUGAAUUUUAAUAUGUUCCUAGAGAAAGCUAAGUUGAAAGAUGAUGGUAGCAAUUACACAGACUGGGUCCGUAACUUGAGGAUUAUCCUCAUUGCUGCACAGAAGAAUUACGUCCUGGAAGCACUGCUAGGUGUACCACCCGCGCCAACUGCAAACAUUGUGAAAAUGUCUGGCAGACGCAUGUUGAUGACUACUCGAUAGUUCAUUGUGUCAUGCUUUACGACUUAGAAUCGGGACUUGAAAGACGUUUUGAACAUCAUGGAGCAUAUGAGAUGUUCCAAGAGUUGAACUUAAUAUUUCAAGUAAAUGCCCGAGUUGAUAGAUAUGAUGUCUCCAACAAGUUCUAUAGCUGCAAAAUGGAGGAGAAUAGUUUUGUUAGUGAACACAUACUCAGAAUGUCUGGGUACCAUAACCACUUGACUCAGCUGGGAGUUAAUAUUCAUGAUGAUAGUGUCAUUGACAGAGUUCCUCAAUCACUGCCACCAAGCUAUAAAGGCUUUGUGAUGAACUAUAAUAUGCAAGGGAUGAACAAGACAAUUCCCGAGCUCUUCGCGAUGCUAAAAGCUGCAACGGUAGAAAUCAAAAAGGAGCAUCAAGUGUUGAUGGUCAACAAGACCACUAGUUCCAAGAAAAAUGGAAAACUAAAGAAGGGGAAACUCAAGAAGAACGGCUAGCAAGUUGCUGCUCAAGGCAAGAAAACCAAGUCUGGACCUAAGCCUGAAACUGAGUGCUUCUACUGCAAAGGGACUGGUCACUGGAAGCGGAACUGCCCCAAGUAUUUGGCGGAUAAGACGGAUGGCAAAGUGAAAGGUAUAUUUGAUAUACAUCUUAUUGAUGUGUACCUUACUAAUGUUAAUAGUAGUGCCUGGGUAUUUUAUACUAGUUUUGUUGCUCAUAUUUGCAACUCGAAUCAGGGGUUACCGAUUAAAUGAAGAUUGGCUACGGUCGAGGUGAUGAUGCGCGUUGGAAAUGGUUCCAAGGUCGAUGUGAUCGCCAUCGGCACGCUACCUCUACAUCUACCUUCGGGGUUAGUUUUAGACCUGAAUAAUUGUUAUUUGGUGCCGGCGUUGAGCAUGAACAUUAUAUCUGGAUCUUGUUUGAUGCGAGACGGUUAUUCAUUUAAAUCAGAGAAUAAUGGUUGUUCUAUCUAUAUGAGUAAUAUCUUUUAUGGUCAUGCACCCUUGCUGAGUGGUCUAUUUUUGUUGAAUCUCGAUCGUGAUGAUACACAUGUUCAUAAUAUUAAAGCUAAAAGAUGCAAAGUUGAUAGUGAUAGUGCAACUUAUUUGUGGCACUGCCGUUUAGGUCAUAUUGGUGUAAAGCGCAUGAAGAAACUCCAUGCUGAUGGGCUUUUGGAAUCACUUGAUUAUGAAUCACUUGGUUCUUGCGAACCAUGCCUCAUGGGCAAGAUGACUAAAACUCUGUUCUCCGGAACAAUGGAACGAGCUACUGACUUAUUGGAAAUAAUACAUACGAUGUAUGUGGUCCAAUGAGUGUUGAAGCUCGUGGCAGGUAUCGUUAUUUUCUUACCUUCACAGAUGAUUUGAGCAGAUAUGGGUAUAUCUACUUAAUGAAGCAUAAGUCUGGAACAUUUGAAAAGUUCAAAGAAUUUUAGAGUGAAGUGGAAAAUCAUCGUAACAAGAAAAUAAAGUUUCUAAGAUCUGAUCAUGGAGGAUAUUUGAGUUACGAGUUUGGUCUUCAUUUGAAACAAUGUGGAAUAGUUUCGCAACUCACGCCACCUGGAACACUACAGCGUAAUGGUGUGUCCGAAUGUUGUAACCUUACUAUAUUGGAUAUGGUGCGAUCUAUGAUGUCUGUUACUGAUUUCCUGCUAUCGUUUUGGCAUUAUGCUUUAGAGACGGCUGCAUUCACUUUAAAUAGGGUACCAUCAAAAUCCGUUGAAACGACGCCUUAUGAAAUGUGGUUUGGCAAGAAACUAAAGUUGCCAUUUCUUAAAGUAUGGGGCUGCGAUGCUUAUGUGAAAAAGCUUCAACCUGAUAAGCUCGAACCCAAACCGGAGAAGUGCGUCUUCAUAGGAUACCCAAAAGAAACUGUUGGGUACACCUUCUAUCACAGAUCCGAAGGUAAAAUAUUUGUUGCUAAGAAUGCAUCCUUUCUAGAGAAGGACUUUCUCUCGAAAGAAGUGAGUGGGAGGAAAGUAGAACUUGAUGAGGUAAUUGUACCUUCUCCUGAAUUGGAAAGUAGUUCAUCACAAAAAUCAGUUCUAGUGAUUCCUGCACCAAUUAGUGAGGAAGCUAAUGAUGAUGAUCAUGAAACUUCAGAUCAAGUUACUACAGAACCUCGUAGGUCUUCCAGAGUAUGGUACGCACUAGAGUGGUAUGGUAAUCCUAUUCUGGAAGUCAUGUUACUAGACCAUGAUGAACCUACGAACUAUGAGGAAGCGAUGAUGAGCCCAGAUUCCGUGAAAUGGCUUGAGGCCAUGAAAUUUGAGGUGGGAUCCAUGUAUGAGAACAAAGUGUGGACUUUGGUGGAUUUACCCGAUGAUCGGCAAGCUAAAUGGAUCUUCAAGAAGAAGACCGACGCUGACGGUAAUGUUACUGUCUACAAAGCUCGACUUGUUGCGAAAGGUUUUUGACAAGUUCAAGGAGUUGACUACGAUGAGACUUUCUCACUCGUAGCGAUGCUUAAGUCUGUCCGAAUCAUGUUAUCAAUUGCUGCAUUUUAUGAUUAUGAAAUUUGGCAGAUGGAUGUCAAAACUGCAUUCCUGAAUGGAUUUCUGGAAGAAGAAUUGUAUAUGAUGAAACCUGAAGGUUUUGUUGAUCCAAAGGGUGCUAACAAAGUGUGCAAGCUCCAAUGAUCCAUUUAUGGACUGGUGCAAGCCUCUCGGAGUUGGAAUAAAUGCUUUGAUAGUGUGAUCAAAGCAUAUGGUUUUAUACAGACUUUUGGAGAAGCCCGUAUUUACAAGAAAGUGAGUGGGAGCUCUGUAGCAUUUCGUAUAUUAUAUGUGGAUGACAUAUCGUUGAUUGGAAAUGAUAUAAAAUUUCUGGAUAGCAUAAAGGGAUACUUGAAUAAGAGUUUUUCAAUGAAAGACCUCGGUGAAGCUACUUACAUAUUGGGCAUCAAGAUCUAGAGAGAUAGAUCAAGACACUUAAUUGGACUUUCAUAAAGCACAUACCUUGAUAAAGUUUUGAAGAAUUUCAAAAUGGAUCAGUCAAAGAAAGAGUUCUUGCUUGUGUUACAAGGUGUGAAGUUGGGUCAGACUCAAUGCCCGACCAUUGUAGAAGAUAGAGAGAAAAUGAAAGUCAUUCCCUAUGCUUCAGCCAUAGGUUAUAUCAUGUAUGCAAUGUUGUGUAUCAGACCUGAUGUGUGCCUUGCUAUAAGUAUAGCAGGGAGGUACCAAAGUAAACCCGAAGUGGAGCACUGGACAAUGGUCAAGAAUAUCCUGAAAUACCUGAAAAGGACUAAGGAUAUGUUUCUCGUUUAUGGAGGUGACAAAGAGCUCGUCGUUAAUGGUUACAUCGAUGCAAGCUUUGACACUGAUCCGGAUGACUCUAAGUCACAAUCCAGAUACAUAUUUUUAUUGAAUGGUGGAGCUGUUAGUUGGUGCAGUUCCAAACAAAGCGUCGUGGCGAGAUCUACGUGUGAAGCGGAGUACAUAGCUGAUUUGGAAGCAGCAAAUGAAGGAGUUCAUAUCCGAUCUAGGUGUUAAACCUAGUGCAUUGGGUCCAAUGAAAAUCUUUUGUGACAAUACUGGUGCAAUUGCCUUGGCAAAGGAAUCCAGAUUUCACAAGAGAACCAAACACAUCAAGAGACGCAUCAAUUUCAUCCGGCGUCAAGUCGCGGAGGGAGACAUAGAGAUUUGCAAGAUACAUAUGGAUCUAAAUGUUGCAUACCCGUUGACUAAGCCUCUUCCACGAGCAAAACAUGAUCAGCACCAAGACUCCAUGGGUGUUAGAAUCAUUACUGUGUAAUCUAGAUUAUUGACUCUAGUGCAAGUGGGAGACUGAAGUAAAUAUGCCCUAGAGGCAAUAAUAAAGUUAUUAUUUAUUUCCUUAUAUCAUGAUAAAUGUUUAUUAUUCAUGCCAGAAUUAUAUUAACCAGAAGCUUAGUACAUGUGUGAAUACAUAGACAAAACAUAGUGUCCCUAGUAUGCCUCUACUUGACUAGCUCGUUAUUCAAAGAUGGUUAUGUUUCCUAACCAUAGACAUGUGUUUCAUUCGAUGAACGGGAUCACAUCAUUAGGAGAAUGGUAUGAUGGACAAGACCCAUCCAUUAGCUUAGCAUUAUGAUCGUUACAGUUUCAUUGCUACUGCUUUCUUCACGACUUAUACAUGUUCCUCAGACUAUGAGAUUAUGCAACUCCCGAAUACCGGAGGAACACCUUGUGUGCUGUCAAACGUCAUAACGUAACUGGGUGAUUAUAAAGAUGCUCUACAGGUGUCUCCGAAGGUGUUUGUUGGGUUGGCAUAGAUCGAGAUUAGGAUUUUUCACUUCGUGUAUCGAAGAGGUAUCUCUGGGCCCUCUCGGUAAUGCUCAUCACGAUAAGCCUUGCAAGCAAUGUGACUAAUGAGUUCGUUGUCGGAUGAAGCAUUACAGAAUGAGUAAAGAGACUUGACGGUAACGAAAUUGAACUAGGUAUGAUGAUACCGACGAUCGAAUCUCGGGCAAGUAUCAUACCGAUGACAAAGGGAACAACGUAUGUUGUUAUGCAGUUUGACCGAUAAAGAUCUUCGUGGAAUAUGUAGGAGACAAUAUGAGCAUCCAGGUUCCGAUAUUGGUUAUUGAUCGGAGAUAUGUCUCAAUCAUGUCUACAUAGUUCUCGAACCCGUAGGGUCCGCACGCUUAACGAUCGAUGGCGAUUUGUAUUAUGAGUUAUGUGUUUUGAUGACCGAAGUUUGUUCGGAGUCCCGGAUUAGAUCACGGACGUGAUGAGGAGUCUCGAAAUGGUGGAUACAUAAAGAUUGAUAUAUUGGAAGGCUAUAUUCGGACAUCAGAAUGGCUCCAGAGAAGUUCAGGUAUUUUCCAGAGUACUCGGAGGCUACCGGAACCCCCCGGGGAGUUGUUGGGCCUUAGUGGGCCUUAGUGGGAAGAGGAGGCAACGGCCAGGAGGUGGCACACCCCCACCCCCCCCAAGCCCAGUUUGAAUUGGACAAGGGGUUGGGGGCGCGGCCCCCUCUCCCUUCCUUCCCCCCUCUCCUUUAGGUGGAAUCCUACUAGGACUUGGAGUCCUAGUAGGACACCCCUCUCCUAGCGCACCCUGCAAGGGCCGACCGGCCUCCCCCUCCCUCCUUUAUAUACGGGGGCAGGGGGGCACCCUAGAACACACCAAGUUUUGCCUUAGCCGUGUGCGGUGCCCCCUCCACAGUCACACACCUCGAUCAUAUCACCGUAGUGCUUAGGCGAAACCCUGCGCAGGUAACAUCAUCAUCACCGUCGCCACAAUGUCGUGCUGACGGAACUCACUCUCGUCCUCAACUGGAUCAAGAGCACGAGGGACAUCAUCGAGCUGAACGUGUGCUGCACGCGGAGGUGCCAUACGUUUGGUACUUGGAUCGGUUGGAUCACGAAGAUGUUUGACUACAUCAACCGCGUUACUAAAUGCUUCCGCUUUCUUUCUACGAGGGUACAUGGACACACUCUCCCCUCUCAUUUCUAUGCAUCUCCUAGAUAGAUCUUGUGUGAUCAUAGGAAAAUUUUGAAUUACUAUGUUCCCCAACACCACAUGCUUAAUGAGAUGCUAAGUACAGGAAAUGACUCGGCAACUAAACUCUCUAAUGUAUACGGUGCUUAGCUUUUUGUAGCUAAGUUUCCUUCAUUUAAUUGCAUAGCAACUAAACUUCUUCACGCAAAGGUGUCUUGCGUUGUUUUUUCCCUGAUAAACUUUCAAUUUAUUUAUUCUCAAUCAUGGCAGUACAAAGAACAUUAGAAGUGAUAAAAUUUACUAUCUGGUCAGAUCACCUAGCGAUGACUACAAGCACCGGAGCGAGCCGAAUGCGUCACCCCUCCCUCACCAGAGCCAGAAAAACCUUAUUGUAGUAGACAGUCGACAAGUCGUCGUGCUAAGAUCCCAUAGGACCAAUGCACCAGAGUAGAAAACAUCACCGAUGAUGAAAGUCAUUGAUUGGACGGAUCAAACAUGUAAACACUCAAAUGAAGACCGGAUCAAAAUUGAUCCACCAAUGACCAGCACUGACCAAAUCCCACGAGAUCCAGCGGAGGCACACCUCUAUAAAUCCUCCGACGAAGCUAGCCGUGUUGGAAAUAUGCCCUAGAGGCAAUAAUAAAAUGAUUAUUAUUAUAUUUCCUUGUUCAUGAUAAUUGUCUAUUAUUCAUGCUAUAAUUGUGUUAUCCGGAAAUCGUAAUACAUGUGUGAAUAAAUAGACCACAACAUGUCCCUAGUGAGCCUCUAGUUGACUAGCUCGUUGAUCGACUGAUAGUCAUGGUUUCCUGACUAUGGACAUUGGAUGUCUUUGAUAACGGGAUCACAUCAUUAGGAGAAUGAUGUGAUGGACAAGACCCAAUCCUAAGCAUAGCAAACGAUCGUGUAGUUCGUUUGCUAGAGCUUUUCCAAUGUCAAGUAUCUUUUCCUUAGACCAUGAGAUCGUGUAACUCCCGGAUACCGUAGGAGUGCUUUGGGUGUACCAAACGUCACAACGUAACUGGGUGACUAUAAAGGUAUACUACGGGUAUCCCCGAAAGUACCUGUUGGGUUGACACGGAUCGAGACUGGUAUUUGUCACUCCGUAUGACGGAGAGGUAUCUCUGGGCCCACUCGGUAAUGCAUCAUCAUAAUGAGAUCAAAGUGACCAAGUGUUUGGUCACGGGAUCAUGCAUUAUGGUACAAGUAAAGUGACUCACCGGUAACGAGAUUGAACGAGGUAUUGGGAUACCUACGAUCGAAUCUCGCGCAAGUAACACACCGAUUGACAAAGGGAAUUGUAUACGGGGUUACUUGAAUCCUCGACAUUGUGGUUCAUCCGAUGAGAUCAUCGAGGAGCAUGUGGGAGCCAACAUGGGUAUCCAGAUCCCACUGUUGGUUAUUGACCGAAGAGUUGUCUCAGUCAUGUCUGCGUGUCUCCCGAACCCGUAGGGUCUACACACUUAAGGUUCAGUGACGCUAGGGUUGUAGAGAUAUUAGUAUGCAGUAACCCGAAAGUUGUUUGGAGUCCCGGAUGAGAUCCCGGACGUCACGAGGAGUUCCGGAAUGGUCCGGAGGUGAAGAAUUAUAUAUAGGAAGUCCAGUUUUGGCCAUCGGCAAAGUUUCGGGGGUCACCAGUAUUGUUCCGGGACCACCGGAAGGGUCCCGGGGGUCCACCGGGUGGGGCUACCUAUCCCGGAGGGCCCCAUGGGCUGAAGUGGGGAGGGAACCAGCCCCUGGUGGGCUAGUGCGCCCCCCCUUGGGCCCCCCCUGCGCCUAGGGUUGUAAACCCUAGGGGUGGGGCACCUCCACUUGACUUGGGGGGCAAGCCACCCCCUUGGCCGGCGCCCCCUAGGGGCCCUAUAUAAAGAGGGGGGGAGGGAGGGCUGUGCACCCAUGCUCCUGGCGCCUCCCUCUCCCUCUGCAACGCCUCUCCCUCUCAUAGAGCUUGGCGAAGCCCUGCCGAGAUCGCUGCUGCAUCCACCACCACGCCGUCAUGCUGCUGGAUCUCCAUCAACCUCUCCUUCCCCCUUGCUGGAUCAAGAAGGAGAAGACGUCUUCCCCAACCGUAUGUGUGUUGAACGCGGAAGUGUUGUCCGUUCAGCACUAGGAUCAUCGGUGAUUUGGAUCACGACGAGUACGACUCCCUCAACCCGUUCUCUUGAACGCUUCCGCUCGCGAUCUACAAGGGUAUGUAGAUGCACUCCUCUCUCUCGUUGCUAGAUGAACUCUAUAGAUUGAUCUUGGUGAAGCGUAGAUUCUUUUUAUUUUCUGCAACGUUCCCCAACAGUGGCAUCAUGAGCCAGGUCUAUGCGUAGUUCUCUUUUCACGAGUAGAACACAAAUUUGUUGUGGGCGUAGAUGUUGUCAAUUUUCUUACCACUACUAGUCUUAUUUUGCUUCGACGAUAUCGUGGGAUGAAGCGGCCUGGACCGACCUUACACGUACGCUUACGUGAGACAGGUUCCACCGACUGACAUGCACUAGUUGCAUAAGGUGGCUAGCAGGUGUCUGUCUCUCCCACUUUAGUCGGAGCGGAUUCGAUGAAAAGGGUCCUUAUGAAGGGUAAAUAGAAAUUGGCAUAUCACGUUGUGGAUUUUACGUAGGUCAGAAAACGUUCUUGCUAGAACCCUAUUGCAGCCACGUAAAAACAUGCAACAACAAUUAGAGGACGUCUAACUUGUUUUUGCAGCAUUUGCUAUGUGAUGUGAUAUGGCCAAAAGUUGUGAUGAAUGAUAUAUAUGUGAUGUAUGAGAUCAUGUUCUUCUAAUAGGAAUCACGACUUGCAUGUCGAUGAGUAUGACAACCGGCAGGAGCCGUAGGAGUUGUCUUAAUUAUUGUAUGACCUGCGUGUCAAUGAUUCAACGCCAUGUUAUUACUUUACUUUAUUGCUAAACCGUUAGCCAUAGUAGUAGAAGUAAUAGUUGGCGAGCAACUUCAUGGAGACACGAUGAUGGAGAUCAUGGUGUCAUUCUGGUGACAAAGAUGAUCAUGGCGUCCCGAAGAUGGAGAUCAAAGGAGCUAUAUGAUAUUGGCCAUAUCGUGUCACUAUUUGAUUGCAUGUGAUGUUUAUCAUGUUUAUGCAUCUUGUUUACUUAGAACGACGGUAGUAAAUAAGAUGAUCCCUCAUAAGAAUUUCAAGAAAGUGUUCCCCCUAACUGUGUGCCAUUGCGAAAGUUCAUUGUUUCGAAGCACCACGUGAUGAUCGGGUGUGAUAGAUUCUAACGUUCACAUACAACGGGUGUAAGACAGAUUUACACAUGCAUAAACACUUAGGUUAACUUGACGAGCCUAGCAAGUACAGACAUGGCCUCGGAACACAAGAGACCGAAAGGUCGAACAUGGGUCGUAUGGAAGAUACGAUCAACAUGGAGAUGUUCACCGAUGAUGACUAGUCCGUCUCACGUGAUGAUCAGACAUGGCCUAGUUGACUUGGAUCAUGUAUCACUUAGAUGACUAGAGGGAUGUCUAAUCUGAGUGGGAGUUCAUUAAAUAAUUUGAUUAGAUGAACUUAAUUAUCAUGAACUUAGUCUAAAAACCUUUGCAAAAAUGUCUUGUAGAUCAAAUGGCCAACGCUCAUGUCAACCUCAACUUCAACGCGUUCCUAGAGAAAACCAAGCUGAAAGAUGAUAGCAACAACUAUACGGACUGGGUCCGGAACCUGAGGAUCAUCCUCAUAGCUACCAAGAAAGCAUAUGUCCUAGAAGGACCGCUAGUUGAAGCACCCAUCCCAGAGAACCAAGAUGUAAUGAAUGCUUGGCAGUCACGUGCUGAUGAUUACUCCCUCGUUCAGUGCGGCAUGCUUUACAGCUUAGAACCGGGGCUCCAGAAGCGUUUUGAGCAACACGGAGCAUAUGAGAUGUUCGAGGAGCUGAAAAUGGUUUUCCAAGCUCAUGCCCGGGUCGAGAGAUAUGAAGUAUCUGACAAGUUCUAUAGUUGAAAGAUGGAGGAAAAUAGUUCUGUCAGUGAGCACAUACUCAAAAUGUCUGGGUUGCACAACCGCUUGUCCCACCUGGACAUUAACCUCCCGGACGAGGCGGUCAUUGACAGAAUCCUUCAGUCGCUCCCACCUAGCUACAAGAGCUUUGUGAUGAACUACAAUAUGCAGGGGAUGGUGAAAACUAUUCCUGAAGUAUUUUCAAUGCUGAAGUUAGCGGAGGUAGAAAUCAAAAAGGAACAUCAAGUGUUGAUGGUCAAUAAAACCACUAAGUUCAAGAAAGGCAAGGGUAAGAAGAACUUCAAGAAGGACGACAAGGAGGUUGCCACACCCGGUACGCUAGUUGCGGGAAAGAAGGCAAAGAAUGGACCCAAGCCUGAGACUGAGUGCUUUUAUUGCAAAGGGAAGGGUCACUGGAAGCGGAACUGCCCCAAAUACUUAGCGGACAAGAAGGCCGGCAACACUAAAGGUAUAUGUGAUAUACAUGUAAUUGAUGUGUACCUUACCAGUACUCGUAGUAGCUCCUGGGUAUUUGAUACCGAUGCGGUUGCUCAUAUUUGUAACUCAAAGCAAGAGCUGCAGAAUAAGCGGAGACUGGCGAAGGACGAGGUGACGAUGCACGUCGGGAAUGGUUCCAAGGUCGAUGUGAUCACCGUCGGCACGCUACCUCUACAUUUAUCUACGGGAUUAGUUUUAAACCUUAAUAAUUGUUAUUUAGUGCCAGCUUUGAGCAUGAACAUUGUAUCUGGAUCUCGUUUAAUAUGAGAUGGCUACUCAUUUAAAUCCGAGAAUAAUGGUUGUUCUAUUUAUAUGAGAGAUAUGUUUUAUGGUCAUGCCCCGCUGGUCAAUGGUUUAUUCUUAAUGAAUCUCGAACGUGAUGUUACACACAUUCAUAAUGUGAAUACUAAAAGAUGUAAGGUUGAUAAUGAUAGUCCCACAUAUCUGUGGCACUGCCGCCUUGGUCACAUUGGUGUCAAGCGCAUGAAGAAGCUCCAUGCUGAUGGACUUUUAGAGUCCCUCGAUUAUGAAUCAUUUGACACAUGUGAACCAUGCCUCAUGGGCAAAAUGACCAAGACUCCGUUCUCCGGAACAAUGGAGCGAGCAACCAACUUAUUGGAAAUCAUACAUACUGAUGUGUGCGGUCCAAUGAGCGUGAGGCUCGCGGAGGCUAUCGUUAUGUUCUCACUCUCACCGAUGACUUAAGUAGAUAUGGGUAUGUCUACUUGAUGAAACACAAGUCUGAGACCUUUGAAAAGUUCAAGGAAUUUCAGAAUGAGGUAGAGAAUCAACGUGACCAAAAAAUAAAGUUCUUAUGAUCAGAUCGUGGAGGAGAAUAUUUAAGUCACGAAUUUGGUACGCACUUAAGGAAAUGUGGAAUCGUUUCACAACUCACGCCGCUAGAACACCUCAGCGUAACGGUGCGUCCGAGCGUUGUAAUCGCACUUUAUUGGAUAUGGUGCGGUCUAUGAUGUCUCUUACCAAUUUACUGCUAUCAUUUUGGGGAUACGCUCUAGAGACAGCUACAUUCACUUUAAAUAGGGCACCGUCUAAAUCCGUUGAGACGACACCGUAUGAAUUAUGGUUUGGGAAGAAACCUAAGCUGUCGUUUCUAAAAGUUUGGGGAUGCGAUGCUUAUGUCAAGAAACUUCAACCUGAAAAGCUCGAACCCAAGUCGGAAAAAUGCGUCUUCAUAGGAUACCCUAAGGAAACCAUUGGGUAUACCUUCUACCUUAGAUCCGAAGGCAAGAUCUUUGUUGCCAAGAACGGGUCCUUUCUGGAGAAAGAUUUUCUCUCGAAAGAAGUAAGUGGGAGGAAAGUAGAACUCGAUGAAGUACUACCUCUUGAACCGGAAAGUAGUGUAGCUCAGGAAAAUGUUCCUGUGGUGCCUACACCGACUGGAGAGGAAAUUAAUGAUGAUCAAGGUACUUCGGAUCAAGUUGCUACUGAACUUCAUAGGUCCACAAGGACACGUUCCAGACCAGAGUGGUAUGGCAACCCUGUCCUGGAAAUCAUGUUGUUAGACAAUGGUGAACCUUCGAACUAUGAAGAAGCGAUGGCGGGCCCAGAUUCCAACAAAUGGCUUGAAGCCAUGCAAUCCGAGAUAGGAUCCAUGUAUGAAAACAAAGUAUGGACUUUGACAGACUUGCCCGAUGAUCGGCGAGCGAUAGAAAACAAAUGGAUCUUUAAGAAGAAGACGGACGCGGAUGGUCAUGUUACCAUCUAUAAAGCUCGACUUGUCGCUAAGGGUUAUCGGCAAGUUCAAGGGGUUGACUACGAUGAGACUUUCUCUCCCGUAGCGUAGCUGAAGUCCGUCCGAAUCAUGUUAGCAAUUGCCGCAUACUAUGAUUAUGAGAUAUGGCAAAUGGACGUCAAAACGGCAUUCCUUAACGGCUAUCUUAAGGAAGAACUGUAUAUGAUGCAGCCGGAAGGUUUUAUCGAUCCUGAGAAUGCUAACAAGGUAUGCAUGCUCCAGCGAUCCAUUUAUGGGCUGGUGCAAGCAUCUCGGAGUUGGAACAUUCGCUUUGAUGAGAUGAUCAAAGCGUUUGGGUUUAUGCAGACUUAUGGAGAAGCCCGCGUUUACAAGAAAGUGAGUGGGAGCUCUGUAGCAUUUCUCAUAUUAUAUGUAGAUGACAUACUUUUGAUGGGAAAUGAUAUAGAACUUUUGGACAGCAUUAAUGCCUACUUGAAUAAGUUUUUUUCAAUGAAGGACCUUGGAGAAGCUGCUUACAAAUUAGGCAUCAAGAUCUAUAGGGAUAGAUCGAGAUGCCUCAUAGGUCUUUCACAAAGCACAUACCUUGAUAAGAUAUUGAAGAAGUUCAAUAUGGAUUAGUCCAAGAAAGGGUUCUUGCCUAUAUUGCAAGGUGUGAGAUUGAGCUCGGCUCAAUGCCCGACCACGGCUGAAGAUAUAGAAGAGAUGAGUGUCAUCCCCUAUGCCUCAGCCAUAGGUCCUAUUAUGUAUGCCAUGUUGUGUACCAGACCUGAUGUAAACCUUGCCGUAAGUUUGGUAGGAAGGUACCAAAGUAAUCCCGGCAAGGAACACUGGACAACGGUCAAGAAUAUCCUGAAGUACCUGAAGAGGACUAAGGAUAUGUUUCUCGUUUAUGGAGGUGACGAAGAGCUCGUCGUAAAGGGUUACAUCGACGCUAGCUUCGACACAGAUCUGGAUGACUCUAAGUCACAAACCGGAUACGUGUAUAUUUUGAAUGGAGGGGCAGUAAGCUGGUGCAGUUGCAAGCAGAGCGUCGUGGUAGGAUCCACAUGUGAAGCGGAGUACAUGGCAGCCUCGGAGGCAGCGCAUGAAGCAAUUUGGAUGAAGGAGUUCAUCACCGACCUAGGAGUCAUACCCAAUGCACCGGGGCCAAUCACCCUCUUCUGUGACAACACUGGAGCUAUUGCCCUUGCCAAGGAGCCCAGGUUUCACAAGAAGACCAAGCACAUCAAGCGUCGCUUCAACUCCAGUCGUGAAAAUGUUCAAGAUGGAUACAUAUAUAUUUGCAAAGUGCAUACGGAUCUGAAUGUCGCAGAUCCGUUGACUAAACCUCUUCCGCGAGCAAAACAUGAUCAACACCAGAACUCUAUGGGUGUUCGAUUCAUCACAAUGUAACUAGAUUAUUGACUCUAGUGCAAGUGGGAGACUGUUGGAAAUAUGCCCUAGAGGCAAUAAUAAAAUGAUUAUUAUUAUAUCUCCUUGUUCAUGAUGUCGGAUUUAGGGUUCCGGCAGACCCUUGAGGUUCGAACACUGGGGUGCGCGCGGAGGUUUCACCUUCUACCUACCUAUUCCUCGCCAAAUCGCUAGGAUCUAAACUACGAGAAGAACAACACAAGAGACACAGGGUUUAUACUGGUUCAGGCCACCAUUGUGGUGUCAUACCCUACUCCAGUGUGUGGCGUGGUGGAUUGCCUCUUGGGCUGAUGAUGAACAAUACAAGGAAGAACAGCCUCAUGAGGGUCUGUUCUUGUGGUGGUGUUGUCCCUUUGGAAGGGUUGAUUCUAGACGCCUAUCUUAUCUCCAGAUUCCUGUCUCUCCAUCCCUCUACCCUGUGGGUGGCUAGUCCUAUUUAUAGGCGAAGGCCAUGGGCCUCUUCCCAAAUAUUGAGCAGGAAGGGCGCCAACAACUGACCAAUUUGAAGGGGAACAUCUAGUACACUUAUCCUGACUAAAGUUGGUCCUCGCCUGUCAAAGGAUCUGGUGGUGAUGCUGACUUGGGCUCCACGGUGACCUCCAUCCUGCCGUUGGACUGGUCUUGGUCUUGUUGCACCGAAAUGGAUGCCUUUGCUUGAUGCUCUCGCCUGCGCUUGCUCCCCUUGCACCAAAGAGGAAAGAAGGACACUGCGCGGGCUGGCGCCCGGCUGGCGCCCUUGGUCGUCAUGGCUUGCGUCAUGGGCACCUCGCGAGGUACCCUGCCUUGAACUCUCCGCCUCCUCAUGAGCCAGCCUGACGAGGCCGUGCCUGAGGAAGCUCCUUGUCGUCCGCCCCGCGAGGCUUAGCCCCUCGCGAGGGUCUUGAGCUUGUGUUGAUGAAGAUGGACCGUGCUGGGCCCCCUUUGAGCCAUGCCGCAGGCCGCAGGCAGGCAAGUCUGGGGACCCCCGUUCCCAGAACGCCAACAGUAGCCCCCGGGCCCAAGGCGCGCCCGGACUUGGCCGAGCAGAGAGGUGAAAGGGAAAGUGCGAAGCGUCGCGGGCCCUAACAGCCUGCAGCCUUGGGCGCCACGUGGUGGUUGAUUGGACGUGGGCGUCUCCGCAACCGCGCGAGUUGAUAAGGAGCGGCAUCUGCCCUCUGCCUCCUUUGCUCUCUCCAGUUGCUGCACAGAUCCCCUUUCUUGCGCCUCUCCUUCCUUCCUUCGAAAUCUCUAGAUCUACUCCACCCGCGUGCCCUAGCCAGACAUUGCGCCUCGCCAGGCCCCGGCCGGAGCUUGGUAUUCAUCCGCCUUGGACUCGCCAAACGUGUCAGAGGCGAGCCUUGCCCGGGUGCGCCAGAUGGCAGCGGCGCAGGGCGUCGAUGGGGCGAAGGUGUUCAAGGCCGGCUCUGCCCUCCCUGAGGGCCAAGGGAGCACCUUCUAUCCGCUCUUCGUGAGCGCCAUUGUCGCCGGUCUGGUGCCUCCCUUCUCUGAGUUCUUCUUUUCUGUCCUCUGCCAUUACAACCUUCAAGCUCUGCACCUCCACCCCAACUCUGUCCUCCUUCUGGCAAUCUUCGCCUACUAUUGCAAGGCUCACGUGGGGGUGAAGCCCUCAGUGGCCCUGCUGCGCCACUACUUCUCCCUCCGGACCUCUCAUGGUUCCGUCUCUGCGUGUGCGAGCUUCUCGCGUACGGCAGCUCCACCGCCAUUUCGAAUCCCGGGAAAAGGAUUGAGGGCUUCAGGAGCAAGUGGGUCUUGAUUGAUGCUGGGCGCGUCCACCCCCGGCUGGUCUUGCCCACGGGGCACCCCUCAAGCUCCGACGACUGGUCUCGAGUGGAGCUUGUGGAUCCCCGCGCAAGGCUGGUGUUGGAGAAGAUGGAUGCGGAUCUGAGGCCGGCCAGCAUGGCGGCGGUGAAGCUGACUGGCGCCUCGCUGCUGAGGGAGUUCCUGGAGCAUCAGCUGGCUCCGCUUCGUUAGUACUCGCUUCCGAUGUGGAGGCCCCACCCGAGCCCCGCGGUCCUGGCCGAUGAGGAUCUGGCCGCGGUCCUCCAGUCUUUGGUCGGGGCCGACGUGGCAAGGUUGGAGGGCACUUCGACACCCCUGUUCCUUCGUGAGGACUGGGAGCAGGUUGUGGGGUCCAUGCCAGUCCUCAACGGGGACGGGCCUAUGCCCGCGGAGGCUCCCGAGGACCUGGUGGACGUAUCCUCUGGUGACUCCAGCGAAGAGAGGGAGGAAGGGGAGUGGGAAAAGGGGGCUAACUCCGAGGCAGAGUCAAGGGCUCCACCUCUUCGGCGCAAGUCCCGCGCUCUCCGCCUCUCUCUGAGUGAUGACGACGAGGGUGAUGACGAGCAGCGCGGCGGGAGCCUGCCCCGGGUCCCGAAGAAGGACCGGACUGGGCUGAUCCCCCGCGGGUCCGCCCCAGCCCCGAGGCGAUCCGCAGGCGCCCCAGCGGCACCCGCGCUCCUUGAGGCUGAUCCUUGCAACCGGCUCUCGGGCUUCAAGUAUGGCCGGAGGCUGCUUGAGCCUACGGGCGACGACCUGUAAGUGCUUGAUCCCUGUCUUGUUUCUUGUUUCGUCGCUGAGGCUUGACGCCCGUAUCUCCCGGCUAGGCAGGCGCCCACGGCAAAGAAACCGAAGGGGGCUCCUGAGACUCCAUCCGCGGAAGCGCCUCUCCUCGCGAAAGAAGAUGAACGUGACACGCGGGCCUCUCCUGCCCAGGCGUCCCUGCGAGGCCCUACCGAGCCGGCUGGGGCGAGAUCGGCUCCUAUGGCCCCGGCGACUCCCGAGGCGCCCCUGCUUGAUGCCGCCACCACAGCCGCUGGGGCGCAGCAGGCUCUGCCUCAGGACACCGUGGUCACGCUGCCAUCUUCUCCUCCUACCCCGCCGACUGCUGCUUCCCCGUCUCCUCCUGCUGUCCUGGAUCGUGUUGCUGCCGAACUGGGCAGUCUGCGGCGGGAUCUUCUCGGCGCCGACCCUCGUUUGGUGGCCGGGCGCUUGGAGCUAGCCUCUGGCUGGAUUCGCUCCGAUGCUUCGAUUCGGGCGGCGCUGGUCUAGGCCUCGACGGCUUGCGACGAGGAGAAGCAGGCCGUCCUUGGGGCGAAGGUUGCCCGCGACCCCGUCUUGGGGGAGACGGCUAAUGCCCGAGGUCAUUGUGAGGUGCUGGAGGGCGAGCUAAAGGGCCUGCAGGACCGGCUCGCCGAGGAGACUCGCCUUCGCCUAGAGCAGGAGGACGGAAUGAAGGCUCGCGAGGCGGCCGUCAAGGACUGGGACGCCAAGCUCAAGAAGCGCCGUGACCUCCUAGGCGCGCUGGAGCAAGAGCUAGAGGCGAGGAAGGUUGAGUUGGACAGCAAGGCAUGGGUUCUUGCCGAGGAUCGUGUGGCCUUUGCGGAGAUGGAGGAGAAGGCACGCACUUCACUGAAGACGCUUUAUGAGAGCGGCAUGGAGAGCCCGCUGGCCGGCGAGGAGGAUGGCCCCGCCAAGCUGCUUCCUUUCCUGGUUCGUGCCCUUGAAGAUGUCGCCCUUGGCCUUGGCCCUACGGCUGAGGCCGAGGCACGCGUCUUGUCUUCUGCGGCGCUGACGCGGGUCUUCACCCACAUCUAUCUUCGCGACCCCAAUGUCGACCUUGAUGGCCUGCUGGAGCCAGCGAGUGGCGAGCAUGCCGCUGCCGCUGCUGAGGUCGUGAAGGGUCGUGCGGAGGCUCUGCUGGGGAAGUUCCGGGCCUUCAGCACCAGGCCGAAGCGGAGCGCUGCUAGCCUGGCAGCUCCACAAGGCGAACCCGCUCCGCGCAACUCCACGGCCGGCAAGUGACUCCGUUGUGGCUCCCGCCCUGCUUUUAGUUUCUGCACAUGUAUCAGGCCUCGGAGAGGCAUUAAAACUUGCAUUUGGUGCUGUGAUGACAGUAUGGACUGUAAUAUUUGCUUUUUAAUUCCUUGAAAUUUGCGCUAUUUCCUUCCUACUUGCUUGUGUCCUACGUCGGUAGAGCCCGGCCCCGCGCAUACCUCAGCCGCCGUUAGCCCCGAUCGGAAACCAGGACGGGACCAAGGAGUGAGGGGCUACGUGACAAGUUAGGCUCCUGAAUCGCGAUGCUCAGGAGUCCCCCUUGGCACUCGAACAACAAGUAGGGAGGUGAGAUGUGGGGGUGGAUCUACCAUUCUACAUCUGCAAAGCCCGGCCCCGCGCAUACCUCAACCGCCGUUAGCCCCGACCGGAAACCAGGAUGGGGCCAAGGAGUGAGGGGCUAUGUGACCAGUUAGGCUCCUAAGUCGCGAUGCUCAGGAGUCCCCCUUAACGCUCAAACGACCAUCAUACCUUGGCUCCGCUCGGGGAGGGACACGCGACAAACCAGGCCCAGGGGGCCUGGCUGGGUGGCGUGCGCCUGGGCAUGACCCAGGCGUAUCCCCCGUGCCCAGCCCCCUCGUGCAGCACUCCCGAGGGGAGGCGUUGCGAUGAGGCUAGACACUGAGCUCUGGGCUCCCUGAGGUUGAUGCGGCCCGGGGGGCCACCCUCAGUUGUUUAUCACCAGCGCGGAGCAUAGCGCUCCCGUAUGCGUACGGGCAUAGCCGCUCCUCGGCAGUGUCGUCAGCCAGCGCGGAGCAUGGUGCUUCCACUAGUGCGUGGGAGGGGGCUCCCCUCCGGGAGGAGCCCCCGGGGCGUGUACAGCCCCGCCCUGAGACGUGGCUGGAACGGUAGGGCUUGACGAGGUGUAUCUGGGCACCCAUGAGCCAGCGCGGGACUCACGGGGCCCUACCUCAAGGCGGGUUGCUCCUGGCUCUGGGCCUUAUCUUGGAGUGUGUUCCUGCAAAUUUGGCUAGAUGCCAAUGCUCUACGUCCUCGGGUCCCGGCUCUCGGGUUUGUCUCAGCCGUCGCUGGUAUGCCGGGGCGCGAUGCCGUGGGCAGACCGGAGGGUGAGGGCCGGAGAGCCGGUAGGAGCCCUGAGUCGCGAUGCUCAGGCACCCCCCUUUAACGCGCAAGCUGGGUUAGAUGUCGAAACUCUACAUCCUUGGGUCCCAGCUCUCGGGCUGGUCUCAGCCAUCGCUGGCAUGCCGGGGCGCGAUGCCGUGGGCAGACCAGAGGGUGAGGGCCGGAGAGCCGGUAGGAGCCCUGAGUCGCGAUGCUCAGGCACCCCCCCCUUUAACGCGCAAGCUGGGUUAGAUGUCGAAACUCUACGUCCUCGGGUCCCGGCUCUCGGGCUGGUCUCAGCCGUCAUUGGCAUGUCAGGGCGCGAUGCCGUGGGCAGACCGGAGGGUGAGGGCCAGAGAGCCGGUAGGAGCCCUAAGUCGCGAUGCUCAGGCACCACCCCUUUAACGCGCAAGCUUGCGACAUCCAGGAAGAAAAAAGGUACCAUGAACAGGCACCAAACAACAAGCAUGACAGGUCGAAAACAUGGCCCUAAGAUAAUUGCAAGAGGGGUACAUGCCACUGGGUCUGACCCGAGCGGCUUGGGGAUAAUGCAGCCCGAGGGGCGCCCCCAACAGAGUGAGCUAAGAACAUGAAAUAAAAAAGAUACACGCCACAGGGACGGACCCACGCGGCCUGGGAAUAAUGCAGCCCUGAGGGCGCUCCCAGCUGGAAAUGAAACUACAAAGAUGUCACCUGAUGACGCUGAAGACGAAGGGGUGUUGAUGCAGCAGACUCGGUGGGCUGCAGGGGCAGAUCCUCAUGAGCCCCCAGGACCUGGGGCCUCGGGAGGCUCCGGAGGCGCUGGUGGCUCCUCGCGGACCGUCUCCAUCUCCACCAGGGCUGCGGAACGCCUGACCUCUUGAGCCUCCAGGAUGGCCCUCAUGAUGCGCUAGUACGCAGCAGCCGCGUUCGGCGAGCCGUAAGGCAUGCGAACGUAGCUGUGGGGCGGGCCCUCGCAGCAUCCCACUCGCGAAGGCCAGAGGCACUCCUGAGAUGCGGCUUGGUUGAGCCCUGGUAUGUCGAUGCAGACGCGCAGCCCACCAUCCUCGCCUGGAUGGGGGGCCACAGCGGGUAAGCGGCGGCUGCCUCUCAUGACCCCUGACUCCUGUAGCUCCUGAAUGGCCUUGCUAACGAACUCCUAAGGGUUUGGCCCUCCUUGGAUUGCUCCUUCUUGAUGGAAACGUGCUUCGAAGCACGCCUCCACGUGGUGCCCAAGCGCCUCCCUCGUGACCUUGGCGAGGUCGACGGCCCUCCAGGGGAGAGCCCCCGAGCCCUGCCUGAGGAGGGCGUCAGGCACGCUUCCCUAUGCGAUGGAAGGAGGUUCCCCCUGAGCAGGCGCGGGCCUAGAGGGACCUGCCUCCUGAGGGGCCGGGCCGGUCGAUGUCUUCUUCUUCUUGGGGGCGGCCUCGGGAAGCCUCCUGCUUCCGCGAUCCGGGUCUUCCAGUGAUGCGGCCUAAAAGGCUCUCUCUAGGGAGCAAACUGCGUCUCUCUCUUCGCAGGGCACCGUGAUGACUCCGCCACUUCCUGGCAUCUUGAGGACGUUGUAGCCGUGGUAGGUUAUGGCCAUGAACUUGGCUAGCGCUGGGUACCCGAGGAUGGCGUUGUACGGCAGGCGAAUGUGGGCGACGUCGAAGUCGAUGAGCUUGGUGCGGUAGUUGUCACGUGCCCCGAAGGUGACAGGGAGGCGAACCUGCCCAAUCAGGACCGUGGAGCCGUCGGUGACUCCAGAAAAAGGCUUGGUGGGCUGAAGCUAACUGUAGGGUACUUGGAGAUUGUUGAAUGUUUCCACGGACAGGACGUUGAGCCCUGCCUCGCCAUCGAUGAGGGUCCUGGUGACUAGCACGUUGCUGAUGAUUGGGGAACAAAGCAUCGGGAGGACUCCGGCUGUGGCCGCGCACUUGAGCUGAUCCGCUGAACUGAACGUGAUGGCACACGCCGACCACCUGAGAGGGCGUGUGGCCUCGAGCUUGGGGAGGACUGCAUUCACUUCGCGGGCGAACUGCUUGAAGAUGCGCUGAGAGGCUGGGGCUUGGGCUCCGCCUAGGAUGUAGGCGAUUGCACGUGGUUCCUGGAAGCCCCCAGCCCCUUUGUCCUGAUGACGGUCCUCAUUUCUCCUUGGCUGCGGCGGUAGUGGAGGGAGGCCUGCGUUACCUUGCGGGCGAUCCUCGCGAGGCUGAUCCCUCCAGCCUCCCUCGCAAGGCGGGUCCUGCCAGCGAUCCUCACGAGGUUCGUCGCGCCACCCUUGACGUGGGCUGCGGUCUUCCCAGCAUCCUGCGUUCCUUCCUCCUCCUCGUCCGUAGCCCCGGUCGCUGCGGUCGGGACGCCGGCCAGUCCGUCCUUCACACACGGCCCUGAGCUCUUGGCAUUCAUUGGUUUUAUGGGUGUGGAGGUCGUGGUACACGCAGUACCGACUGCCCUUGGAGGAUUCGGGCUGAUCUCUGCCCUGCUUGGUGUCUGGUUCUGCCACGAGCACGACAGCCCCCUUGCGCUUCACGUCCUUGGCAUUGGGCUUCUUCUCUUCAGGGUCUGCGGUAGGCAAUUCGAGGAGGGAGAGACGCCCUUCCUCAGCCCUGGCGCACUUGGUCGCCAGGUUGAACAACUCCAAGGAAGUGCACAGAUCUUCAUGCAUUGCGAGCUCCUCCUUCAUUUUGACGUCGGGCACGCCGUCAGAGAAGGCUGAGAUGAUGGCCUCCUCGGUCACCUUGGGAAUUUUGAGGCGCGCGUUGUUGAAGCCCUGGAUGUACUUCUGCAGGGUUUCCCCUGGUUGUUGCUUGAUGCGGCGCAUGUCACUCACGGCGGGUGGCCGGUCGCGAGUACCCUGGAAGUUGGUGAUGAAGCGGGUGCGCAUCUCGUCCCAGGAGGAGAUCGUGCCUGGGGCCAGGUUCAGAAGCCAGGUGCGGGCCUCGUCCUUGAGAGCCAUGGGAAACCAGUUCGCCAUGACCUUCUCGUCUCCGUUGGCAGCCUCGAUGCCCAGCUCGUAGAGCUAGAGGAACUCUGCAGGGUCUGCCGUGCCAUCAUAGCGAGGAGGCAGGUUUGGCUUGAACUUGUCGGGCCACGCGACGGUGCGUAGCUUGAUGGUGAAGGCGCGGCAGCCCGCUAUGGCCACAGGAGGCCUUGGAGGACGAAAGGCUCGGUCCUGCAGGUCCCCAUGCGCCGCAGCUGGGUGCAGCGCGGGGUCUUGACGUGCUAGAGCAGGAGCGUGGUCGGGACGAGUCGGAGCAGGGAGCGCUCGGGAAGCUUCUCGAGGGCGAGGGACCUCUUGGCAGCUCUGCUCCUGCCGCACUAGUUCCUGAUGGGGCGGGUUCCGCCCAGGGGCCGCACGCCUUGGAGCCAGGGCGCCUUCUUGAGGGGGAGGCGGCUGAGGAGCCCCAGGAGCUUCAUUGCCUGCGCAUGGCGGGGCACGGUGCAGCGAGAAAGAUGGCGCGGGGGAGCCCCCAGCAGCGCGGACGAGUUCGGCGACUCGGUCGAGCCAUUCUUCGUAGACGUUGUCGACUGGGCGGUAGCGCAGGAGCUCGUUUGCCGCGAUGAGCGCAACUCGAGCCUCCAUGGCCGCGCGGGGCACGCGGGAUGAAGAACCAGCGGGGGUGAGCGAGGGCGUAGCGGUGCGGCUGUCUCGCCUCAUGGACGGGUGCUGGGAUGAUGCUUGCUGCUCGUUCCCCGCCGGGCCGGUGGCGGCGUUGAUGGCAGCCGACGGGGAACGACGAGGGUGCCCGCCGACGGGAGCCGUCUGGGCGAUGCGGGAAGCGAGGGCGGCUUGACGCUCGGCGCGAAUUCGGCGUGCGUCAGACAUGGUCGCGACGGUCGGAGAAGAACAGGGCGACGGAAGACGAAUUCCGGAGCACCCCCUGCCUGGCGCGCCAAAUGUCGGAUUUAGGGUUCCGGCAGACCCUUGAGGUUCAAACACUGGGGUGCGCGUGGAGGUUUCGCCUUCUACCUACCUGUUCCUCACCGAAUCGCUAGGAUCUAAACUACGAGAAGAACAACACAAGAGACACAUGGUUUAUACUGGUUCAGGCCACCAUUGUGGUGUAAUACCCUACUCCAGUGUAUGGCGUGGUGGAUUGCCUCUUGGGCUGAUGAUGAACAAUACAAGGAAGAACAGCCUCGCGAGGGUCUGUUCUUGUGGUGGUGUUGUCCCUUUGGAAGGGUUGAUUCUAGACGCCUAUCUUAUCUCCAGAUUCAUGUCUCUCCAUCCCUCUACCCUGUGGGUGGCUAGUCCUAUUUAUAGGCGAAGGCCCUGGGCCUCUUCCCAAAUAUUGAGCGGGAAGGGCGCCAACAACUGGCCAAUUUGAAGGGGAACAUCUAGUAUACUUAUCCUGACUAAAGUUGGUCCUCGCCUGUCAAAGGCUCUGGUGGUGACGCUGACUUGGGCUCCACGGUGACCUCCAUCCUGCCGUUGGACUGGUCUUGGUCUUGUUGCACCGAAAUGGAUGCCUUUGCAUGAUGCUCUCGCCUGCGCUUGCUCCCCUUGCACCAAAGAGGAAAGAAGGACACUGCGCGGCUUGCGUCAUGGGCACCUCGUGAGGUACCCCGCCUUGAACUCUCCGCCUCCUCGUGAGCCAGCCUGACGAGGCCGUGCCUAAGGAAGCUCCUUGUCGUCCGCCCCGCGAGGCUUAGCCCCUCGCGAGGGUCUUGAGCUUGUGUUGAUGAAGAUGGGCCAUGCUGGGCCCCCUUUGAGGCACGCCGCAGGCCGCAGGCAGGCAAGUCUGGGGACCACCGUUCCCAGAACGCCGACACAUGAUAAUUAUCUAUUAUUCAUGCUAUAAUUGUGUUAUCCAGAAAUCGUAAUACAUGUGUGAAUAAAUAGACCACAACAUGUCCCUAGUGAGCCUCUAGUUAACUAGCUCGUUGAUCGACUGAUAGUCAUGGUUUCCUGACUAUGGACAUUGGAUGUCGUUGAUAACGGGAUCACAUCAUUAGGAGAAUGAUGUGAUGGACAAGACCCAAUCCUAAGCAUAGCACAAGAUCGUGUAGUUCGUUUGCUAGAGCUUUUCCAAUGUCAAGUAUCUUUUCCUUAGACCAUGAGAUCGUGUAACUCCUGUAUACCGUAGGAGUGCUUUGGGUGUACCAAAUGUCAAAACGUAACUGGGUGACUAUAAAGGUAUACUACGGGUAUCCCGAAAGUAUCUGUUGGGUUGACACAGAUCGAGACUGGGAUUUCUCACUCCGUAUGACGGAGAGGUAUCUCUAGGCCCACUCGGUAAUGCAUCAUCAUAAUGAGCUCAAAGUGACCAAGUGUUUGGUCAUGGGAUCAUCCAUUACGGUACGAGUAAAGUGACUUGCCGGUAACGAGAUUGAACGAGGUAUUGGGAUACCGACAAUUGAAUCUCGGGCAAGUAAUGUAUCGAUUGACAAAGGGAAUUGUAUACGGGGUUACUUGAAUCCUCGACAUCGUGGUUCAUCCGAUGAGAUCAUCGAGGAGCAUGUGGGAUCCAACAUGGGAAUCCAGAUCCCGUAGUUGGUUAUUGACCGGAGAGUCGUCUCGGUCAUGUCUGCGUGUCUCCCGAACCCAUAGGGUCUACACACUUAAGGUUCGGUGACGCUAGGGUUGUAGAGAUACUAGUAUGCAGUAACCUGAAAGUUGUUCGGAGUCCCGGAUGAGAUCCCGGACGUCACGAGGAGUUCUGGAAUGGUCCGGAGGUGAAGAAUUAUAUAUAGGAAGUCCAGUUUCGGCCAUCGGGGAAGUUUCGGGGGUCACCGGUAUUAUACUGGGACCACCGGAAGGGUCCCGGGGGUCCACCGGGUGGGGCCACCUAUCCCGAAGGGCCCCAUGGGCUGAUGUGGGGAGGGAACCAGCCCCUGGUGGGCUAGUGCGCCCCCUCUUGCCCCCCCUACGCCUAGGGUUGGAAACCCUAGGGGUGGGGGCGGCUCCACUUGGCUUGGGGGGCAAGCCACCCCCUUGGCCGCCGCCACCCCUUGGAGAUUGGAUCUACUAGGGCCGGCGCCCCCCCUCGGGGCCCUAUAUGAAGAGCUGGGAGGGAGGGCUGCGCACCCAUGCUCCUGGCGCCUCCCUCUCCCUCUGCAACACCUCUCCCUCUCGUAGAGCUUGGCGAAGCCCUGCCGAGAUCGCUGCUGCAUCCACCACCACACCGUCGUGCUGCUGGAUCUCCAUCAACCUCUCCUUCCCCCUUGCUGGAUCAAGAAGGAGGGGACGUAUUCCCCAACCGUACAUGUGUUGAACGCGGAGGUGUUGUCUGUUCAGCACUAGGAUCAUCGGUGAUUUGGAAGACGACGAGUACGACUCCCUCAACCCCGUUCUCUUGAACGCUUCCGCUCGCGAUCUACAAGGGUAUGUAGAUGCACUCCUCUCUCUCGUUGCUAGAUGAACUCCGUAGAUUGAUCUUGGUGAAGCGUAGAAUUUUUUUAUUUUUUGCAACGUUCCCUAACAAGCCGCACCAUCGGGACGGGGAUACAACAUGGUAGAUAUUAUUCCUGCUGAGAGACACCACUGCCGCCACACAGCCCCAACCAAGAAGUUGAACCUAACAAGAACGAGAACGGGAUCCCUCCUGCUAGCGGGGCCCCGAGGUCAUCCGCAUUUCCAUGGCCCAAAGCCAUGAGGCAGAUCGGCAGCGGUGCCAGUGGGAGGAGGAAAUCCUGGGAUCUUUUCUUGUGGGGGAGGAAAGAGAAGGCGUUGUGCAUUGUUUCUGAUCCACCAGUUUGUUUACUCCAUGGUGUCUUGCAUUGGUCCACGUGCCUGGCAUUGUUUCUUCGUGAGGUCACAAAAGUGCUCUCUCUUCUUAUUAAUUACUUUGCCAUGUCACUUUCUCUUCUUCUUAUGUGACAUGCUUAGCUCCUGUACACCAGGAAACACUGAGGCUAGUUUGUGGGUGUCAGAGCUAGCAAUUUAAAUGGAAGGAAAUUCUUUAUAUAACUACAUGGUGUUGCAUGUAAUCUAGGUGUAGUUAUAAAUAUGAUUAAUAGUGGACAUGAUGUUCACGUCUUGAUAUACACAAUUAUUAUGUUAUGAAGGUCUAUAGGUUAUGAUGUGUUAAACACAACUAUGAAGAUCUACCUGUUAUCAUCUUACUGCAUAAAAUAAUUAUUAUCAAGUAUCUAGUUAGCUCAAAUUGUGAUGUUUUCUUGAGUUAGAUACACAAAUAUUAACUUAGUGUGGUCUCAAAUAGAAGGAGGGUUCACCACUUAUUGUCCGGAUGCUAUAUAUACUCCGAGCAUGAACUCGUUUAGCUUCGCCAUUGCUUUCCCUCGAUAUAAAUUAUCUUACCAAGGAGUUCAAUUUAAUUUGCAUCAUUACACAUACUUGUGAAGCUCCAAUCACAUAAGAAGAAUUGAUGGGAACAACUUUGGCACUUGAUUCUAUUGUGUACAGUGUAAUGUGGUGUUUUUUAUGAUAUUACCACCUCAACAACCGGCUUGUCCAACUACUUAACUCCCGAGGGUACAACUAGUAUCAGGGUAACAAUUUCAAUGAAACAGAAUUAUUUAUAAAAUUAUGAUUUACAAUGUACAUGAUGUUUGAGUGUAGAUAUAUAAAUUUGAAUGUUAUGAAGGUAUAUCAAUUAUGAUAUAUUGAACGUGACUAUAAAGAUCUAUUCAUUAUGAAAGCUAAUGCAUGCACGCCUAAUAACACUGCAACUCCCUUCCGAAAUAAUAGGAUCUCGCUCCCGUGUCGCUCGUGGGUGACAUAGGGGCAUCCCAGGGUGUAGCCGCCUACCACUCCUCCUCGUCGCCACUGCCAGUGAGAGCAGUGUCGGCGUCCCCUACUCCCCUAUCUCUAUCAUCACAUAUAAAAAACUGAGUUGGUGAUGAUGGUGUGCCUGCCAUCCUGCAAUAUAGACCGUCCGAUCUAUACCUGACGGAUAGAAAGCAAACUAUGACAAUUUUGCAAAAAGACACCUGCAACCCUCUUCACAUUUGCAGAUAAGGCCUUCCCUCGCUCAUGUUUGUCUCCCGCAAGAUAAACAACUCGUAUAAAUGCAUCUUGAUGUUUCGUGCAACGCAUGGGCCUCUUGCUAGUACUCUUAUAAAAAGCACAAUUGAUGAUGAUGGUGUGUCUGCCAUCUGUCGUUUUUGACUGUCCGAUCUGCAUCGAACGGGUGUGAGACAAACUUUGAAACUUUUGCAAAAAUACCCCCGCACUACACCACACAUUUACGCAAAGCCCCUUAGUGUCAAUCUCCAGCCCUCCCACCAUAUCCAAUCGUGGAACCAAUCUGCUGCUCUGAUGCCGGCCCGUCCAUCGCCAAUGCCUCUCCUGCCUCAUCCGCCCACUCCCAUCCACGGCGGCGCAGCAACCCGCCACAUACUACUGCUUCUCCUUCCCCGCUGAUGCGCUUCACAAGAAGUUUGUCCACUCAAGUACAAGACUUUCCCACAGGACCUCCACACCAUCUGAAAGUAGAGUGCCACCCACGAGCUCCACACCCUCCCGCCCAUCCCACCCUCACCCUCUGCACGGAGAAACCAAGAGUCGCGGCCUACCUCGCCUCGCGCCUCCCCGUCGUUCUCGUGUUGCAGCUUGACCUAGCUCUACCUCGCCAUUGUCCGCCACGCCAGAGCUCGCGUCACUCUCCUCCUCCUCGGCGCCUGGGCUUCCACGCCGGAGCCCGCGUCGCUCUCCUCCUGCUCAGCGCCUGGGCCGCCAGCCGCGCCUAGCCCCCGCCUCGGCUUUGCGCUGGCACGGAAGGUCCUGCUCGGCACGCAACACAUCUGCGGGAUCUGUUAGUUCCUCGGCCAUGCGUUCAGGACUUCAGGUCAACUCCUUGCACUCAACCAUGGUGAACGGCGCGAGGUGGGGGAUGGAAACGGGACCAUGGACGGCCCCACGAGAUGAAAAAUGAGACCAUGACCGUGUUGACACCAGAUUUUGGCACGGUCAAUAACUUAUUUAAGAUGGCGUCAAAUGGAGAAGUUAUGUUCAUGAAAGAGUUCCGUAUUGUCGAUAUGAACAUCUUUGAAGUUCGGGUCAUCGCAGUCCGAUUUCAUCUCGAAGGCCGAAACUAUGCUCAAAGUACUAAGAUCUUAUAUUCAGAGUACAGUUUGGCUGAUUAAGCCCCCAAGACGACCUUAAAUGGAAACAUUAUCUAUAUGGAUUGUCUUCGUCUCGUUGAAACGAUCGAUUUUUAUAUAAAAAUCGUCCAAAUCCGAGUUCGUAUGCAAAAGUUAGAGCAAUCGGAGUGCAGCCCUGUCACGAGGCGAAAUAUGGCGCGCCCCACCAGACGCCAUGUCUGAUGGGUAGCGCGAGGAUAGCCUGUUUUGCGCGACCGAUUUGACCCUCAAGAUGACUUUUGAUCAAAAAACGUUCAACAUAAAAGUUGUUCGUCUCGUCGAAACGGUCAAGAUUACUUUUGGGUUCGUUUCCAUCCGAGAUCGUUUACCACCACCAAAAAGACCCGCAAGAUGCAGCCAGUUUAAACCGAACAGUUUUGGAAAGUUCGGACAAAACCAAUCCGAAUUUGACUAGGGUUUUGGACGUGAAUCCAAGCCUUUUCCUUUCACGGGAAGUCCAGCCGCCUCUUAUAUACCUAAGGGGUGACGGCCGAUUGAACAACACACAAUCGAUCAAAUCAUCUACCACGUUUUAUCUUUUAUCUUUUCUCCUUAACCCUAGUUCUUCUUCUUCCUCGUUCUUCGUUCGUUCUUCUUAUUGCAGGGCGGCGAACCUCGAGGCCCUAGGGGCGAUCAGGUCGACCUAGGGCAGCCCAUAGCCGCCGCGCGUCCAGACGGGGUCCCUCCCGGGCGUGUGGGGUUUCGGGUCCUCAAAAGCGCCCGCCGAAUUGUCUUGCGUACUGCGCUUCCGGCGGGUCUCCUUCGACGUGAGAUGCGGUGCAUCACCCUCGGCGUUGGAGGUACACGGUGACGUGUUCGUGUGCGAACACACUUUUUGGCGACUCCGCUGGGGACGAAGCUGUGAACGGUCUCCAGCCCGUUCUUGCUACGAAGAGAUCGUCAUCUAGGGUUUGCAAUCUACAAAGGUAACAUGAAUACCCAAUUCACUUAUGUAGAUGCAAAUAAUACAUAUGUUGUUGCUAGAUCGUCUAAUGAGCAUAUUGUAUCGGCUAGCCCUAGUUUUAUCAAUCAUGCAUCUAAUUAUGUGCAACAGCUGAUUCAGAAUAAUCUUCAUGCUUCAACUUCAUAUAAUUUUAACAACAUGCAACAUAUGUAUCCCAACUCCCAUGCAUCGGCAACCCCACAAAUCUAUAUGCCGAUGAACAACAUGAGGAGUUCGGUUAGUCAUGUUGAGACACCCCAUGUAGGAACUUCCAAUAGUAUGCAACAAAGUAUUUCGACUUUUUAUUCAUCGGCAAAUAACUUGUAGUAUGUUAAUCCAAACGUGCCGGUGGAUAGGGGAAUUGGCCAUGCCACUACUAGUUAUUCGGCCAAUUACCCUCAAACAUCGUAUGCUACACCUCAUGCUAUGAAUUUUUCGGCACCAUACGCAAUUGUAGAUAUUCGUGAUUCGGCUUCGCACCUUCAUGCUCAUGGCCGAAUAAGUGAGAAUUCUACCAGAGCGCAUGUGUCUUUACCUAGUAACGUAGCAUAUCAUGUUGCCCCUGCACAAUUACAGAAAUUCGGCAACACACCAUUGCCGAAAGUGUCUCAAAGUAUUGGGGGGCAAUCCGAUGAAGAUUGGGCUGAAAUUGGUCGAAAAAAGCUUAAAGAUAGACUAGCUACAAUGUUUGCUGAAUUUAGACAAGAACAAGCAACCUUGCAAAUCAAAGAAAGAAAGAGUGGUGAUUCGGAUAACAAAGUUAAUUCGGUUAUUAAAAAAGCCGAAUCAAAUAGUAUGUGUACCGAAUCUAUCAAAGAAAAAGAGGAUGCCAAGGCAUUGGAGAGUCAUUCAAAAGUGGAACAAAGUAUUAUUCAAGUGAUACAACCAUCAUGAUCUCCCAACAUAAUUGAAGAGGUAUGUCUAGCAAGUGACUUGCCUAUCUUACGAUUUGGUCGCAACUUUAUUGUCGAUGCUUCUAUAAGAAAAAUUCUAAUAAGUAAUUUUGAAAGACCAUUGAAGAAGGGUAAUUUACUUGUUAGCAACAAAAUUGUUAUAGACUAUAUCGGUCAACCCAUUGCACCAUUUAUAAAGACCGAUAAUGACCUAUUGUUGUGGCCAAAGCUUUCCCCGUUGCUUUAUCUAAAGUUCAUAUCUAGUUGGGUAGCUUUGCUUAUUUCUUACUUGGCUUGCACUUUGUCUCAAUUAAGACAUGUGUGUUCUAAAUAUUUUCGUAUCGGAAGUUUAAAGCCAAGGUUAAUUUCUUUUGAGAAAUCCGAUGCUAAUAUAAUAUCUUAUCCAAAGACACCCGAGAUAGAGUGGAAAACACAAUGUAUAGCCGAAUGGGAAGAUUCUAAAUCUGAACCAUUCGUUUGCUUAUCUUCAAAGCCGUUCACACAGCAAGAUCGGCUAGAAAGCAAGAAGUUUACCUUCAAUUCAAGCAUGUGUGACCAAAUAUUUGAUUUAUUGCUGAAAAAUAAUUACAUAAGAAUUCUUGAUCACCAUGUCAAGCCAUCAGUUCAAGGACGAAUGUAUUGUAGGUUGCAUCAUUCGUUCAAACAUAAUUUUGAGGAUUGCAAUAUGUUUCGUCAAAUAGUUAAAUCGGCCAUUGAAAAAGGACGAUCGAAAUUUGUUGAGACACCAAGAGAUGACCAGUCUAUUCCGAUUGGUCUCGAUGGCAGAAAGUUUUUGCAUCGACUGCUUCAAGCCGAUCCAUUUAAAGAGGAGGUAAAAACUGCAGGUGAUGGGGUCAAGCUUUCAAGUAAAGAAGUUGUUGAAGAGCAUAAUGAACAUAAUUUUGAGGGCGAGAAUUCCAUCGAAGCUACAAUGGAGACGCCAAGGACUGGGGGGCAGCAAGCAAAUCCAAUGAUUGGUGCAAGUACAACCAAAGGAAAUAAAGGCCGAAAUAAGCGCAAGUGUAAGAGAUCAAAAAUCACCUUCGCUGACCUAUUGGAUAAAUAUCAAAAGAAGAGUGAAGAGAAGAAUGCUUACGGCCAAAUCAUGCAAAGAAACCAAGAUCACCCUGAAGGCACAAAUAUGAGGAUUGGUAUUGGCAAAGUGAUAAUUUUAAUGCAACAUAUUCAUAUCCUUAUUUUGGGCCACCAAUGCCAAUGCCGUGGAUGCCUCCCUAUGCUCAUAUAGAUACAUAUUCAUCAUGGGACAGGUAUGAUACAAGGGCACAUUCUCCAUCUUAUUCUAGACCAUCUCACCAAUACUAUGCAGCUCCAAGGAGAUCAACAUUUGAACAAUCACGCGUCAAAGACCAUUUAUAUCAUAAAGAAUCGGUCUGGUGCACAAGGAAGAAUAAGGAGGUGGUCAAGCAAAUAUACCGCGUCAAAAGAGAUGGUCGUAAGAGUGCCACUUCAGAUAUUAUCUCAAAUGAAAAAGAGCCAAUUAAAGUGUUGACAUUGGCUACAAAAGGCAACGAGGCAAGUCAAUCAAGUGCCAAAUCUGAAGGGAAGAAGUUGAGAGUGCACAAGGUAAAACAAGAAUUGUCAUUACUUCAAAUAAAAUCGCAGCUGGGAUGCCCACUCGACUUAUCGUAUUGGCAAAAGAAGGAGUUGCGGAAGCUUAGUGCACAAGAACUUGAAAAGAGAAAUUUGACGUGGGUUCCCAAAGUAAAUAUUCAAAAUAAGAAUUAUGUGCGAGCUUCCUUUACAAGGAGUGCGACAAAGGUGAAGAAGGAAAUGAGUGAAAGCUACGAAGGACCAAGCCGAAGGUUUCAACAUCUUCGGUCCACACAUUAUCCAUUUUCUUCAACAAUGUCGUUGAUGCCUAUGCCAUGGAAUUCUUCAUCAGGUAUGGUUGGUUACCCUCAAUGGGAUUAUUUUAAUCCAUGGAUAAAAUAUAAUUUCUUACAUCAUGAAAGGGUAUUACCAAAUCAUUAUAUGUUCGAUUAGCUUCACUUUUGUUAAUAAUCUAAAUGGCCGAUAUAUACUUAUCUUCUUAAGAAUAUGCAAAAUGGCCGAUGGAGUGUUGACAUCGUCCUUAGAACAAGCCAUGCGGAAGUUAUUUUUCGGCACACAAACUUUGCCGAAAAACAGGGGGGCAUGUGUUGACACCAGAUUUUGGCACGGUCAAUAACUUAUUUAAGAUGGCGUCAAAUGGAGAAGUGAUCUUCAUGAAAGAGUUUCGUAUUGUUGAUAUGAACAUCUUUGAAGUUUGGGUCAUUGCAGUCCGAUUUCAUCUCGAAGGCCGAAACUAUGCUCAAAGUACUAAGAUCUUAUAUUCAGAGUACAGUUUGGCUGAUUAAGCCCCCAAGACGACCUUAAAUGGAAACAUUAUCUACAUGGAUUGUCUUCAUCUCGUCGAAACAAUCGAUUUGAUAUACAAAUCGUCCAAAUCCGAGUUCGUAUGCAAAAGUUAGAGCAAUCGGAGUGCAGCCCUGUCACGAGGCGAAAUAUGGCGCGCCCCACCAGACGCCAUGUCUGAUGGGUAGCGCGAGGAUAGCCUGUUUUGCGCGACCGAUUUGAUCCUCAAGAUGACUUCUGAUCAAAAAACGUUCAACAUAAAAGUUGUUCGUCUCGUCGAAACGGUCAAGAUUACUUUUGGGAUCGUUUCCAUCCGAGAUCGUUUACCACCACAAAAAAGACUCGCAAGAUGCAGCCAGUUUAAACCGAACAGUUUUGGAAAGUUCGGACAAAACCAAUCCGAAUUUGACUAGGGUUUUGGACGUGAAUCCAAGCCUUUUCCUUGCACGGGAAGUCCAGCCGCGUCUUAUAUACCUAAGGGGUGACGGCCGAUUGAACAACAUACAAUCGAUCAAAUCAUCUACCACUUUUUAUCUUUUAUCUUUUCUCCUUAACCCUAGUUCUUCUUCUUCCUCGUUCUUCGUCUGUUCUUCUUAUUGCAGGGCGGCGAACCUCGAGGCCCUAGGGGCGAUCAGGUCGACUUAGGGCAGCCCAUAGCCUCCGCGCGUCCAGACGGGGUCCCUCCCGGGCGUGUGGGGUUUCGGGUCCUCAAAAGCGCCCGCCGGAUUGUCUUGCGUACCGCGCUUCCGGCGGUCCUUCGACGUGAGAUGCGGUGCAUCACCCUCGGUGUUGGAGGUACACGGUGACGUGUUCAUGUGUGAACAGACCGGCGGGGCUAGCUCGGAGUCGCGGCAGCUCGCUCAGCUUGCUGGGCGGCGCGAGCUUGGGGUCGCGGCCAUUUGGCUGAUUCCGCUCCUAGCAGGUGAUUUCGAUUUUGACUUGGGUGAAUUUUUUGAGAAAAAUAGGUGGAUUUCCAGUAAUUUGGGCAGGAUUUGGAUAAGAUUGGUAGGAAGAUGUGUACAGGAGAGAGAAGCUCAGGGGCAAUUGAUGGGACCCGUAUUCACUACCGUGUGACCCAUCGCAGUUGCCGAGUCGGCGCUGUUCUCCAACAUUGGCAUGUGCCGAGUUGUGAUAGGCGCACAAGUUACCAUACCCAUGGUGCAGGAGUGGAUGGAGGCUUCGAGAGGAUUUGAGGAGAAAGUAGUUCGUGGUGACGAUUUUGGGUCACAAAAGACCUUAAGCAUUUUAGGGGGGAAAUUAGGCUUGUGGAAAUAUUAUGCCCUAGACAAACCUAGACAAGCAUGGUUUGUUUAGGUUUGUCUACAAGCAUGAUUUUUAUAUGAAAAAUAUCAACAUUCAAAAUAAUUAUGCUUGUCUAGGGCAUGUGAUAUGUUUUGUGUUAGAAAUAUGAGCAAUUUACCAAAUGAUUUUAUUAACAGAAAUACUAGAUAAAGCAUGACUAGUAUAGCAGUGAUAAAACAAGCCAUGCUAUUUGAAAAAGAGAAGGUAAAUAAUACCUGCAUAUAUGAGCUAGAAUCGAUCAUCUCUAGAGCAGACAGUAGAUCAAGAUGCAUAUAUGAAGUAGAGCUUAACAUGUGUAGAGCAAACACUAGAAGAAGGAACUGUUGCAGGACUUCUAUAAGGAAAGAUAAGAACACGUACUGGACAGCAGCCGGAGCAGAGGCACUGGACUUGGGGUCGGUGUCCUCCAUGUCGUCGAGGAGGUUGUGGACGUCGGGGAAGUAGUCGUUGUCGGGAAGUAGUCAUCGGAGUCUGGGGCGUCCGUGACGAAGAAGUCAGUAGUCGCGCAGAGCGCUCCCCAAAAACCUUAUCACCCUUCUCCCGUACAGGACUCAAAGAGGUGCGGUUUCAGAGGCCUACUGUCCCGACCUGCGUUGCACACCGCAAGCUGGGAUGAGGAAGAACGUAGCAGCAGUGGAGUGCUCAGGAACUUGUGGCGAGAGGAGGAAGAGAUUCUGGUGCGUCUCUCUGAGAGGAGCGACCUCCCUUUUAUAGGCGCAAGAGAAGGAGGCGAGAGGCUCCACUGGGAGCUGAAGAGAACGAGGGAGACGAAACGAACAUGCAGCAGGCGAAGAGGUGCGCCAUUCGUAUUCAAUCUCCACUACAGCAAAACGUUUUAGCUUUGGCGUGACCUUUCGUAUACCCGUAGCGCGUGGCAAAAAUUUACAUUGGCUCGGCUCAUUCCCGCAACCCGCGGCGCGUCGUGGCGAGGCGGGCGGCGGAGGAGGAGCGCGCGUGGAUGUCCCUCUUGUUCUCAUGCUCAUACAAGUGGGGAAGGAUCCUCCCUUAUAAAGAGGUCCAACUCCCUGUAAACUAGCAAUGUGGGACUAAACUUUAGUUCCACCUCUUGCCUUGCACGAAUGGGCUGCGUGGGCCUCUAGGAUUUAUUAGGAAUUUCUGAAACUGCUAUUGGGCUAGGCCCAAAAUAGACAAAAAUUCCAGCAAUCCCCCACCAGAUCCUAGAGGCACACAAAAUUUGCCUUUGGUUCCAAAACACUGUUUUAUAUACCGGUACUGCGGUGGAGACUGUAAAGUUGAACUUCCACCUAGAACCCUAUGCUAGUAAGCAACUUGAACAGUGGACUGGGCCUUGAACUGUAAGUUUUCUGCGAAUCUAGCUUCACAUAAAGCCUUGACCGAUACGUGGCUACCGUGGGUCUUCCCCGCGGGUGGAGCUUAUGCGUCAUACUCCGAGACCUUUCAUGAGUUUACUAGAGAGAACCCUACUCUCAUAGAUUGCGACGUUUAACAAUCAGACUCAUAUAGGUGCGUUCUUCAAAAGAUGUUCUGCAGGACAACAUCUCUGCUUCAAAGAGCCACUUAGAACACAUUAAGAUAUACAUCAACCUGCCAUGCAGAUUAGAAGAGUAUUGCAUCUUUAUGGAGUGGUAUUUUAACAAUAAGGGUACUCUCCUCCCAGUUGACCAACAGCUUGUCUUCCACAUCUGAUUCACGGGAUCUCCGAUCACAAGAAUAGGUUACCACUGUGAACAACUCAUAUUGUGGGUCUCAUACCCAUCUCCCUCGAUGCAUUAUCUAUCACAUUACGUGAUAGACCCUUAGUAAAAGGAUCUGCCAGAUUUUUAGACGUUUGGAUAUAAUCCAAUGCAAUAACUCCAGAGUUUUUCAUUUUUCUGACAGACUUUAACCUUCUCUGAAUGUGUCUUGAUGACUUCAUGUUAUCCUUUGAGCUGCUCACUUUAGUGAUCACAGUUUGAUUGUCACAGUUCAUAAGGAUACCCGGUACAGAUUUCUCAACUACCGGAAAGUCAUUCAAGAGCCGGCGAAGCCAAUCUGCUUCGACCGUAGCUGUAUCUAGUGUUGUGAGUUCUGCUUCCAUUGUUGACCUCGUUAAGAUGGUCUGCUUGCAAGACUUCCAACAAACAGCGCCACCUCCAUGAGUGAAUACAUAUCCGCUCGUGGCCUUUAUCUCAUCAACAUCUGAGAUCCAGUUUGAGUCACUAUACCCUUCAAGCACCUUUGGGUGCCCAGUGUAGUGAAUUCCAUAAUUCACAGUGCCUUUCAAAUAACGCAAGACUCUCUCUAGAGCUUUCCAAUGCACAUCUCCUGGUUUUGAAACAAACCGACUGAGUUUGCUAACAGCAAAAGAGAUGUUAGGUCUUGUAGCACUGGCUAAGUACAUAAGCAAGCCAAUAAUCUGAGAAUACUUCAAUUAAUCUCUAGCAAUUCUUCGAUUGUUUCGAAGUAGCAUGCUAGCAUCAUAUGGUGUUGGAGAGGGCUUGCAGUCACUAUAGCCAAAGCGACUCAAGAUCUUUUCCACAUAGUGAGAUUGAAGCAAUGUAAUCCCACCAUCAUCAUCUCUCAACAACUUGAUGUUCAGAAUGACAUCAGCCACUCCUAAAUCCUUCAUCUCAAAAUAGAGAGAUAGGAAAUCCUUGACCUCCUUAAUAACAUUCAGAUUUGUUCCGAAAAUCAGUAUGUCAUCAACAUACAAGCACAACAUAACUCCCUCGCCCCCACCAUGGCGAUAGUACACACAUUUGUCAGCUUUGUUCACAACAAAGCCUGCAGCUGUUAAAGUUCUUUUGAACUUCUCAUGCCAUUGUUUGGGUGCUUGCUUGAGUCCAUACAAAGACUUCAGCAACUUGCACACUUUCCCUUCCCGACCAUCUAUUACAAACCCAUCUGGUUGUUCCAUAUAAAUUUCCUCAUCCAACUCUCCAUUUAGGAAAGCAGUCUUAACAUCCAUUUGAUGAACGAGAAGACCAUGUGAGGCAGCUAGUGAAAGUAGAACUCGAAUAGUGGUCAGUCGAGCCACAGGUGAGUAAGUAUCAAAGAGGUCUUCACCUUCCUUUUGGGUAUAACCCUUAGCCACGAGCCGAUCCUUGUACUUUUCGAUAGUACCAUCAGGCCUAAGCUUCUUCUUGAAUACCCAUUUGCAUCCUAUAGAUUUGCACCCAUAAGGACGAUCAGUUAUCUCCCAAGUUUCAUUCGCCAAGAUGGAGUCCAUCUCACUACGAACCGCUUCCUUCCAGUAGUCAGCAUCUUCCGAUGCAUAGGCCUCCGAAAUAGAACUGGGAGUGUCAUCUAUGAGAUAUACAAGAAAAUCAUCACCAAAGGACUUUGCAGUCCUCUGUCUCUUGCUCCUAGUAGGAACUUCAUUGUUUUCCUCCACAUGACUUUCAAAGUGUUCCAUCAAAAUGGCAGGUUUGGUAAUUGUAACUGGUUCCUGAUUCGAUGAACUAGGCAUCUCCUGAUUAGAUGAGGUAGCCAUAUCCUUCAUGGGAAAGAUAUCUUCAAAGAAAGUCACAUCAUUCGACUCCAUGAUUGUACCGACAUGCAUGUCAGGUACCUCAUAUUUUACAACCAAGAAUCUAUAGCUAAUGCUAUGAAAAGCAUAUCCCAGGAAAACACAAUCCAUAGUUUUUGGUCCCAUCUUCCGCUUCUUUGGAAUUGGCACAUUGACUUUCGCCAAACAACCCCAGGUUCAUAGAUAAGAGAGCUUUAACCUUUUCUUCUCCCAUUCCUCGAAUGGAGUUAUCUCUUUGUUCUUUGUGGGAACUCGGUUUAGGACAUGACAAGCAGUCAAUAUCGCCUCCCCCCACCAUGCCUUGGAGAGACCCGAUGUGUCUAACAUGGCGUUAACCAAAUCAGUUAGAGUACGGUUCUUUCUUUCAGCCACCCCAUUUGACUGAGGUGAGUAGGGAGGAAUCCUCUCAUGGAUUAUACCAUGUUCCGCACAAAAAGCAUCAAAUUCAUUGGAAAAAUACUCUCCACCACGGUCGGACCUAAGCCUCUUGAUUUUUUGAUCAAGUUGGUUUUCCACUUCAGCUUUAUAGAUCUUGAAAAAGCUCAAAGCCUCAUCCUUAGAUUUUAGGAGAUAUACAUGGCAGUAUCUAGUGGAGUCGUCAAUUAACGUCAUGAAAUAUUUCUUUCCACCUUUCGUCAAAACACCAUUCAUUUCACAUAGAUCUGAAUGUAUAAGUUCUAGUGGUGCAAGAUUUCUCGUCUCCAUAGUCACGUGAGACUUACGAGGUUGCUUAGCUUGCACACACACACUUGACACUUAGAUCCCUUGACAGUAGUGAAACUAGGGAUUAAGUUCAACUUCGCUAGUCGCGACAUGCAACCAAAGUUAACAUGACAAAGACGUGAAUGCCACACAUUUGAUUAACUAUUGUUGCAAAUAUGAUUAACAACUUUAUUGCAAACGUCUGAUAAGGAUAAACGAAAUAGGCCUCCUGACUCAUAGCCUUUACCAACAAAGGUUCCAUACUUGGAUAUUACAAAUUUAUUUGACUCAAAGACAAGCUUAUAGCCAUCUCUACACAGAAGAGAUCCGCUAACAAGAUUUUUAUUAACGGAGGGGACAUAAUACACGUUCUUUAGCCGCACGAUCUUCCCCGAAGUAAACUUCAGAUCGACCGUGCCAACACCACGAACAGAAGCACUUGAAUCGUUGCCCAUUAGCACGGUUGAAGUCCCUGCGGUCUGAUAAGACGAAAACAUGGAAAUAUCACCGCAUACAUGUACAUUAGCACCCGUGUCAAUCAACCAAUCAGGAGAAUGACAUACUGAAAGAAUAGUGGGAAAUAUACCAUACCCAGCAUCCUUCAUGUCAAUGUCUCCGAUGACAACAUUAGUGGUCUUGCCGCCUUUCCCGGGAUGAUGCUUGUCAUAGCGAUUAUGACAACUAGGAGCCCAAUGAUCAGGAUCUCCACACACAUGACAAGCACCUUUCUUCUUGUCACUCUUCUUCUUGAAGUUCGUGUGUUGUAUAGCCUUGUUCUUCCCAUCAAACUUUGGUUUACCAUCAAGCUUGCCCUUGUUAUCGAACUUGUGGGAUUGGAAGUUUUUCUUCUGUACUAGAUUGGCACUAGAUCCUCCCUCAAUGCCUCGAGCACGUGUGUCCUUUGCUCUCGCCUUUUCUUCCACAUCAAGAGUACCAAUGAGAUCCGAGACGGACAACUCCUGUCUCUUAUGCUUCAGUAAGGUAGCAAAGUUCCUCCAUGAAGGAGGAAGCUUAGUGAUGAUACCCCCGGCAACAAACUUGUCUAGUAGCAUGCAAUUGAAGUGCUCAAGUUCUCUAGCAAAUGACUGUAUCUCAUGAGCCUGCUCAACCACGGAGCGCUCUUCAGUCAUCCUGUAAUCAUAGAAUUGCUCCAUGAUGUACAACUCAGUGCCGGCAUCCGAGACCCCAAACUUGGCCUCGAGUGUGUCCCACAUAUCUUUUCCAUUGUCAAUUGACGCAUAAGCAUCAACUAUGUUCUCACCAAGAAUACUCAAGAGAGCAGCCUUAAACAAGGUAUCCAUUUUCUGAAAAGCUUGUGCCUGUUGGGCAUCUUGCUCUCCUUCAGGUUUGCCAAGAGUGGCGUCAUAGCAGCUCAUGGUCUGGAACCAUAAGACUUCUCUCACGCGCCACCUCUUAUAGUGGAUACCCUCAAACAUAGGAGGUCUCAUGGAAGCAGCAAAACCGCUCGGGGUAAAUUGCCUAUAAUAAGGUUUUUGGAUUGUUGGAAAUAUGAGCAAUUUACCGAAUGAUUUUAUUAACAGAAAUACUAGAUAAAGCAUGACUAGUAUAGCAUUGAUAAAACAAGCCAUGCUAUUUGAAAAAGAGAACGUAAAUAAUAUCUGCAUAUAUGAGCUAGAAUCGAUCAUCUCUAGAGCAGACAGUAGAUCAAGAUGCAUAUAUGAAGUAGAGCCUAACAUGUGUAGAGCAAACACUAGAAGAAGGAACUGUUGCAGGACUUCUAAUAGGAAAGAUAAGAACACGUACUGGACAGCAGCCGGAGCAGAGGCACUGGACUUGGGGUCGGUGUCCUCCAUGUCGUCGAGGAGGUUGUCGACGUCGGGGAAGUAGUCGUCGUUGGGCAAGUAGUCAUCGGAGUCCGGGGCGUCCGUGACGAAGAAGUCAGUAGUCGCGCAGAGCGCUCCCCAAAAACCUUAUCACCCUUCUCCCGUACAUGACUCAAAGAGGUGCGGUUUCCGAGGCCUACUGUCCCGACCUGCGUUGCACGCCACAAUACGGGAUGAGGAAGAACGUAGCAGCAGCGCAGUGCUCAGGAACUUGUGGCGAGAGGAGGAAGAGAUUCUGGUGCGUCUCUCUGAGAGGAGCGACCUCCCUUUUAUAGGCGCAAGAGAAGGAGGCAAGAGGCUCCACUGGGAGCUGAAGAGACCUUUCGUAUUCAAUCUCCACUACAGCAAAACGUUUUAGCUUUCGCGUGACCUUUCGUAUACCCAUAGUGUGUGGCAAAAAUUUACAUCGGCGCGGCGUGGCGCGGAGCGGCGAGGCGGGCAGCGCAGGAGGAGCGCGUGUGGAUGUCCCUCUUGUUCUCAUGCUCAUACAAGUGGGGAAGGAGCCUCCCUUAUAAAGAGGUCCAACUCCCUCUAAACUAGCAAUGUGGGACUAAAAUUUAGUUCCACCUCUUGCCUUGCACGAAUGGGCUGCGUGGGCCUCUAGGAUUUAUUAGGAAUUUCUGAAACUGCUAUUGGGCUAGGCCCAAAAUAGACAAAAAUUCCAGCAUUUUGUCUCCCGUUGCAAUGCACGGGCAUGUUGGCUAGUAUCAUAUAGAAACACAUGCCACUCGGGUGCACAUCGACAUCAGGAGUUGCGACAAUGGCUUACCCACACCAAGCAACCUUUUUGACGGCCAAUGCGCGACAUAGGAAUGAGGGUUGUGUGCAGUGGUCGGGCCGGGUUGGACUAGUGAUUCCUUGCCUCGUCUUGAUUCUUGCUGCCAUAGCCAGCACCGAUCAGGAGUCUUUGAUCUGGCCCGGCGGCAGCACCUUGUGCUUCCUCACGUGGUUGGAUGCCGUCCCUACUCUCCCCAAUGGUGGUGUGGAGGCGCACCUUCCCGGAGGGGUGGUUUUGCCUGGAGGCACUGUUGGUCCAGUGCAUGGCCGUGCAACACUUAAGGAGUGUCUUCUUCCCUGAUUUAGGCGCCCUCAUAGUCAAGAUCUAUCCUUGACGAAGCUCCAUCAGGUGGUCACCAAAAGGUCUUCGUGAGGGUUUCUCCUCCUAGAUUUGGUGGUUGAUUUCGGCAUGGAGAUACAAACUAUGGACGAUAACUUGACGUAGAGGAAUGUUUGCACAGCGGCAGCAAUUAACACCACAUGUAGCUGCUGGGAUCGCGAAAAAUUGGUGGAGGAAAAACAUAAGUGAAAUUUUUGGUGGUGCUACUCGAGGACCCAGUCUCAAGCUCUAGGAUGAAAGUCUAGGUCCAAACUACGUCGGCUAUACCUGACAAUGUCGAUGUUCUUGCGUCGUUACCUUGUUGAAGGCAUUGCUCGGAUAUACUUGGACUGGUUCUUCAGGAUGAAAGCCUAGAUUCUGGCCUUGGAUGGUUGGAUCCAAUGACGGUGGUUAUUGAGCGCUACUCACUUCCUGAAGGUGUUGCUGUUGAAAAACCUCGCCGUCUGUGUGUUGUCAUGAGAUGAUUCGUGCAGAAAUGGUUAUUAUUGUAGUUUUCGAUCGCGGAUCUAGAGGUUUUUUAUUUCUUUUUUUUAUCACCUACACACUACUAGGGAAAAGCCUAUACACAGAAUCUUACCAGCAGUGCGCUCCAAAAUAACUCGCUGCUGCUAACUAGCAGUAGCGCGGACAGACGAAACCCGCUGCUGAGACAAAUAUAGCAGUAGCGCGUCACCCCAAAGACGCGCUGCUGCUAUAAUUCCUACGAGGCCGCCGCGAGGGUAGUUAUAGCAGCAACGCGUUAAGGUGGUGCGCGCUACUGCUACGUGGCAUAGUAGCAGCGCAUUUCUCUGAUAAGCGCUACUGCUAAGUUUCUUACAAAAAUUUAGUCCCACCUCGCUCCGUGAAGAGAGUUUCUACCACCUUAAAUAUGUUACUUCUCACACUUUGACAAGCACUUGAUCUUCAUUGAACUCUAUGUGUAGAAUUUGUGGCUGCAAUAUGAGUCUUCACCUGUUCCUAAACCGGUGAGGACUCAUAUUGUCAAAUCAGAUUGUACACAAAAAGAUCGUUGAUGAUCAAUGUGUUUUUGAUAUAUUGAACAAAGUCUAUUUUUACAUGCUGACACACAGCAGUAGCGCUUUACUGUGAAAGGCGCUGCUGCUAGGUAGCUUAGCAGUAGCGUCUUUUCCUGAAGAGCGCUACUGCUAAGCCAUUCAUCUCCCUCAUCUCCUCCAUUCAGAUCCACUCACACACACAGCCACUCAAUCCUCUCCGAUCCGUCUGCGCCGCGCGCCCCCGUAGCCCCUCCUCCGUCUGCGCCGCGCGCCGUCACCUCCGCCUCCCUGCUGGACUCGGUACCGACCUCCUCCUCCGUCCUCCCUCUCCACUUGCCGCUGGCCGGCCCCUCCUCGCUCCGCCUUCCUCCUCCGUCCUCCCUCAACUGGCCGCGCCGGCCGGCCCCUCCUCGCUCCGCCUUCCUCCUCCAUCCUAGUAGGCUAGUUGAUUUAGUUGACUUAGAACAUUUUGAUUUAGUUGAUUUAGUAGGCUAGUUGAUUUAGUUGACUUAGAACAUUUUGAUUUAGUUGAUUUAGUAGGCUAGUUGAUUUAAUUGACUUAGAACAUUUUGAUUUAGUUGGUUUAGUAGGCUGGUUGAUUUAGUUGACUUAGAACAUUUUGAUUUAGUUGAUUUAGUAGGCUAGUUGAUUUAGUUGACUUAGAACAUUUUGAUUUGGUUGAUUUAGUAGGCUAGUUGAUUUAGUUGACUUAGAACAUUUUGAUUUAGUUGAUUUAGUAGGCUAGUUGAUUUAGUUCACUUAGAACAUUUUGAUUUAGUUGAUCGUUAAUCCUUUGCACAUAUUGCUUUAGGAAGAAUGGCGCCACCACCACCACCACUAUGUCAACUAUGCAAGUCAAGAUGCGCCAGUAGCCUUGCAACUGGCAAGCUGUUCGGCAUCUACCUCCAGCCGAGUUUUUGUCAUGCGGCGGUAAGAAAUUAGAUGAAAUGUAAUAACUAUUUUAUUUUUAGUGUUGGCAUUACUGCAUUGUGUCAUUUUGCUUAUUUUACACAGAUCGUCCCAUACAAUGUGAGGUUGAAAUUCAACAAGCUGACAGGAGACACUGUGACAUUUGAGGCUCCUGGGGGGCCGUACACUAUGGAGGUCGAGAAAGGACGCAAUAUGUCGCAGAUUGGAGGAGAUGGAUGAGCCCGUUUCGUCGCUCGCAUGCAUCUUACUGGUGGUGAGUUGAUCAGCUUCAACUUCCGAGCAGAAAGACCCAAGCUAGCUGUCAUUUAUCUCAACCUGGUGGAAGAUGAUGAAGAUGACAAAGAUGAUGAAGAUGAUGAAGAUAAUGAGGACCCACUCGAUGAAGAUGAUGAGGACCCACUUCAUGAAGCCAUCGUAGCUCAAAGAACAAGGCUGAGUGAGGAGGAGGUGUGCAACCUGUGGGACAUAAUUCCGCCACGUGCUGACUUUGUCGGGGUGCCAUUCGUGACCCGCUUGACAAAUACCAUGGUUGAUCGACAUGAUAUGGUAUGUUAUACUUACAAAUGCAAAUUAAUAGUGUGAAUUACUUAGUGUACAGUCCAAUGAUAUGGUAUGUUGUGUGGAAUCUAGUCGAUGAUAUAUAUGUUUUAGUGUAGAGUUCGAUCACAUGCUUAUUAAUUGAUAUGUUUUUCUUAUUCAGAAAUUGGCAAAGAGCAUAUUUGUGAGUUAUGGUAUCGAGCCUGAUGAAGACGGCUCAGCUAGACUACGCCUUACUGCAAGGGGCUCCGUCACAACCUGUACUUACCGCGUGGACAUGGACGGUCGCACACACUUAAACUCGGUUGGGUGGAAGAAAUUCCUCGAUGGCAAGAAUCUUCGUGUUGGACAGGCCAUCCUAAUUACUAUCAGGAACACCAACCGCCCAGGCUUGAGGAGGAUGAUUGUCUUCGAUAUCAUCUAGAACUACAUAUGUGUGUGUGGCUAUAUCAUCUAGAACUACAUAUGAUGAUCGUCGUCGAUAUCAUCUAGAACUACAUAUGAUGAUGGCCGUUGAUAUGACCUUGUACUGCUUGAGGAUGCAUGUUGGCUAUGCAUGAAAUUGUUAUCUAGUACUCCCUUCGUUCCAAAUUACUCGUCGUGGUUUGAACUAAAACCACGACGAGUAAUUUGGAACGAAGGGAGUACUACCGUACCUAGUAAUGGUUUAUGAAUUUGAUAUCUACUAGCAGUACCUAGUAUCUAGUAUCUGAAAAGAGAACUGAAAUGGGAAAAUGAUGAAAGAUAUAGCAGUAGCGAGGGAUGGCGAAAUCGCUACAGCUAGUUAAUAGUAGCGCGUUCCCAAAAAGCGCUGCUAAUAUCGUCAACAGUAGUAGCGCAGGUUAGGACCGCGCUACUACUAUGAGUUAGCUGUAGCGCCUUAUUAGUAGCGCGGCCACCCGCGCUGCUGCUAGCCUAAAAACCCGCGCUGCUGUUAGCCUUUUCCCUAGUAGUGACACAUAGCUUUGGUAUUACAUGCUUUUGCUAUUUGCCGGUGUACUCAUUGUGUUUGUAUCCUUCUGAAUCUCCAUUUUGAGUCAAUAAUACCCAUCAUUUGUCGAAAAACAUACAAUUAUUAUUGUCUACGCUUUAUUAGUUGAAAUUCCGAUGAUUAUCUAACUUGGAUACACAAGGAUUCACCGAGUGUGAUCUAAUAUAAAAAGAGAGCCCAUCAAUUAUUGUUUUAUAAUCCAAUCAUGAACUCGUUUUGCGGUACAUGCCAAUAAAUAAAACUUGAAAGAUAUGUGGUAGCUUUAUGUAUUCCUUUAUACUUCCUCUGUGAACAAAUAUAAAAUGUUUUAAAUCUCUGGAAAUGGGGGACAACAUCAAAGGCAAAGGGAUUAUAAAUGUUUGUCACUAUCUUAACAAUACAAAGUUUGUGUUACUGACUUACUAUUUGGACCAGUUUUUUGUUUGGCAUAUCUGUAUGCUAAGUUCUAUGUGUGUUUUCACUUGUAGGGUUAUCUCAGUAGUCAAUGCGUUUUAUGAACUCCUGAGCCAAGGCAACAUAAGUGUUAUGCACCCAGAAACCAAGAAGCACGUUGCUCCUGUCGAGCUGUGUCCAAUACUCAAAACACUUUACAAGAUUUUAAUCAAGAGGUUGAAAUGCUCUUGGAUCACCAUUGUUCCCUCUUAGUUACAGUUUUUUUCCUUUUCCUUCGUUAUUACAGUCCUGUUGCCUCUACAACCGUCUGAAUUUUCUGUACUACUUACGCACUUGCAGGGAGGUUGGUACCAAUUCCAUUCUUGAGGCGAUUGACGAUGAAUCAAUGUCCAAUCCACGGGAAAGAAUUUAGAUGGCACAACGCCAAUCCCUAUACCGGCCGUCUCUCCUCGGCCAGCCUUAAGGCGAUAUCAAUCUAUAGUAGUUGCAACCUUUAUUUAUGCAGAAAUAUUGCGAGUUUCCACAGUUUGCUGAUCCUUCUGUUGGUGUACCCUGCAAGUGCAUAUUUGUAGUAUACAUAUGCUUAUAUGUUGUACGAGAUGAGUUUUUUUAAUAGCAAGGCGAUAUAAAGUUCUUAUAGUCCGAGUUGACGCCCACAUGUAUAUACAAACCUUGAUUUAAUUGUAUUUGUUGCUUAGAUGGCAAGAGAGAUACUACCUGUAAUUCUUUUUAACUUUGCAAGUAGCUCGUUGUCACUGCUUUAGUUGAGUGCCAGUGUUUCUGUCUUUUACUACUACUUAAGAAACAGAGGACACAUGUAGUUCUGUAUAUGUAAUGCUUUUAUGCCUGCGACGGCUUGUCAGCAAGUUUUGCUAUUUUGAAGAGCGUGCCAGUUUGUAUAAAAAAAUCUUCCAAGCCCCGCUCUCAAAAAAAAACUGAACAAGUCAUAAAAGAUCACACGAACUGCUCGACAGGCCCACGGUAGAUGGUUCUGAGACUUUUCUGACCUCGGGUGAAAAUUAGUUCUAAACGCUGCCAAUUUACAAUGUCAUCAUCACAUAUCUCCAACGAGAGGAACAUCAUGUGCUACAGUCACCUUGUUCUUCUGUGGUGGUUUGCUAAGAGUGAUGGCACGAGGGCUUAUUGCUAAGAGUGAUACACUUGAAAUGAGCGGACCGUUAGGCUCUCUUCCUGGCGACGGACCGGGCUCCCCGCCGCGGUCGCCUUUGGCUCCGGCCUCCGAGGGCUGGGAGGUGGUCCGGCGCGGCGCUAGUUCCUCCCCGCCGAGGCCGGGGCCAGCCAUGGGGGUUGGCGCGGCGAGGGCGCCAGUGGGUGGACGCUUCUGGGCGCUGGCUGAGUUCGGUUCGGAGGACGAGGAGGGCGAGGAUUCGGAGGUGGAGGCCGGGAUGUUGGUGCCGGCGAGGCCGUCGUUAGGUGAUUUCGUGGCUCGUGCGCACGCGGAGGGGAGCGGUGCCGCGCGGGCGCGCCGCCGGUUCGCUCUGGGCGGCAGGGGAUCGCGCGCGGUCGCCGUUUGCGCUUGGAGACCUUCUCUGACUCCGGGCAGGGGCUCGGUGUCUCCUGGGGGUGCCGCGCAGGGCAUUCGGGAGAGGGCGGCGGCUGCUCUUCUGGCUCCGGUGGAUUCGGAGGCGGAGUGGCCGGGCCUGCCGGAGGCGGCGGCGGUCGGCAGGGUGCUGACGGCGGCGGCGGCUGAGCCGCGGGUGGCGGCGGGUGGAUCUGCUCCCCGUCUGGCUAGGGUUGCCGACUCUGGGCCCAGGGCCGUCGUGGGCCAGGCGGUAUGUGGGCCGUCCCACUCGCCAAGGCCGGUGGGGGUCAGCGUUUGCCCAAGGCCCCGGGGGGAGAGUGCACCUCCUGGGCGAGGGGGCUGGCUCAUACAGGGCCUGCGGGUUUUGUUCGGCCUGCUUCAGGCCUGCCAAGGCCCCGACCCAGCUCUGGCGCCUAUUUAUGGCUGCGCCUAGGAUGCCGCGACCCCUCGCUAGGGUUUCCCGCAUCCAGAUCUGAGGUGCGGCGCCGGGCUCACCUUGCUCGUUUCAUUCAUCCCGUCUCCCCUCCUCCUCCUCUAUCCAUUUCGUUUGCAGCGGCGGUGAUGAGCGGGAGGCGAGCGGGGAAGAGGCCAAUGGAGCCGCCGGUCUCGGAUGGGGAGCGUCGGCGUGAGCGUGACCUGCGGGGUAAGGGGAAGAAGGAGAUGCGUGUAAGGCCGAGCGGAAGAGCCGAGCGGAGUCUCGAGCAAGUGGGCCGCGAGGGGGAUUGGGGUCCCCCUCCCCCGUGGUGGAUCCAGCAGCAGGAGCGCAGGAAGAAGAAGAAGUAGUUGGCUCGGCGCAGGGAGCUCGAGCGCAAGUCAGCGGAUCUCCCCAACUAUGGUGGUGGCCAUGGGGAUCCUCUGGCCAAGAAGCCCAGGGCGGCGACCGAACCUCUGGCGUUGGCGCCUCCCCCGGGAGCGAAGGGCAUAGCGGGCGAGCCCAUUCCGGUGGAGGACGCGUCGGAGGCGCCGGAUGUGGAGUGCUUCAAGUGCAGAAGACUAGGUCACUAUCAGUCCAAGUGCAAGUUCCAGCCCCUAUGUGUGCUAUGCAAGGAAGAAGGACAUGCAUCUGCGCACUGUCCGACGAGGGGUCGGCAGCCUAGCUUGCAGAUCAUGGGAAGCGCUAUUUCUGGGGAAGGCUUCUUCUGCCUGCAGUUCGAAGAGGAGGCGGAGUUCGAGGGCCCUCGGCUACUCUCAGUCGGCAAUGAUGCGAUUCUAUCUGCAGAGCUGGGCUGCCUGAACCUGCGGGUCCUCAAGCAGGAGCUCAAGCACAUGGUCACGGGAGACUGGGACUGGCAAGUCACCCAAGUGGGAGAAGAUGAUUUCAUGGUGGUUUUCCCCUCUGCAGAUCUCCUUCAUAUGGCCCGGACUAGUGGCAAGUUUUUCCUUUCCAUUAACGACAUCACUGUUAGGGUGCGUGAUGUGGUUCAUGAGGUGAUUCCCCCUUUGGUUAUGCCAGAAGCUUGGGUGCGGCUCCACGGGAUCCCGGAGAAACAUCGCAAGAUCGAGCGUAUCAAGGAGGCGUUCAAGAUGUUGGGGCGGCCUAUCGUGGUUGAUGAGCUCUCCAUCAUUAAACUAGGCCCGGUAAGGAUGAAGUUGGCCUGCAAGACCCCGGCCAAGCUGAACGGCACAGUGGAGGUCUGGUUUAACCACGAAGGGUACCAGAUCAGGGUUGAGCUGGAGCAGCCACCGCGUAGGCUGGGGGAUGGUGGAGGGGCUCCGGGGGCGGGCCCCUCCGCUCUCCCGCCUGACAGUCACCACGGCAAGGGCGGGGCUCACAAGUCUGGACCUCAAUUGGGCAACUCCUCCAAGGUGGCUGCCAAUGGUCUGAGUGUGCCCAGAGCUUCGGCGGUGGUGCCACAGAAGGGAGCGGCUGUCUCUGGUGCGUUGGUGGUUGGGCAGGAUUCGGUGAUGGGCGAGCUGGCAGACGAGCAGGAAGACAGCAUUCAAGACACGUCUAUUGAUACUGAGACUUGGGAGAAGCUGGGGGUGAUCGCGACUCAAGACACGGCCGUAAGCCUCCCCCCCCCCCUUGCUCGUUCCCUGGACCCGUCCUUCGAAGGGCUUGGGAGCGAGCCAGUGUCUCUACCGCUGGUGGCCGUGGAGACUGCGGCCAUGCCUGCCUCCCCAAAGCGCGGCGGGGGUGCGGGGUUGGACUGCGUCCUCAUGGACUCGGUCCCCACACCAGCCUCGGACCGGCGUUUGUCGAGCAGUUCCGGUCGCCAGGCCAAGAAGACUGCCGGGCGGAAGGCUGGGAGCAAGUCGGCGGACACGGCUGCAGUGGGGUCGGUGGCGGCGCUGGGAGGUGAACUGGGGGCGGCGUUGGUGGCUGCGGGGCCGGCUGCCAAGGCCAAGCAUUCAAGGGCAACCCCGGUGGCGGCGCGGGCUCCAAGCGCACGCGCCAAGGCCAAGCUCGGGGACAUGACUUCUCUGGAAAGUGCCAAGCUACAUGCUGCUGACAAAAACAUGGAUGUUGCAGGUAACCUUCCCCCCUCCUUUAAGAUUCUGAAUGCUUUCUCCGAUGAGCAUCUUGCCGAGAUUCUUCACGAUAGUGGCGUUGCGCUAGAUUCCUCGAAUUUGGACAUCAUUUCGUUAGUGCGAGCGCGUGAAGAAGCCUAGGCCGCCCUCGCGGCUGCUGCUGCCAGGGAAGUGGCGGUUCAGUCCGUGGUCGGCGUGUCUUCAGCACCAGUAGGGGCUGGUGUUGCCGAUCUGCCCAUCGAGGGAGACGAGGCCAGGGUGGCCUCGGACUUGCCCUCUUCCAGCCGGGCGCCGGCUAGGAAACGUGUGGCCAAGGCGGUGAGCUCCCGUGGAGUUCGCGUGCAUAACCGGAUCAUUUGAUGCGAUAUAUUUUCUAGAACAUAUGCGGUUGCGGACAUGUGGGGCGUCGCACGCAGUUACGUGAGUACAUGUCUAAAGAACGCAUCGACUUUGUCGCGCUCCAAGAGACGAUUAAGGCCGAUUUUUCUUUUAGAGAUCUUUUGGCGUACGAUCCUCUUCAACGCUUUGAUUGGUUUUGGUCUCCUUCCGUGGGCCUUUCUGGUGGCCAACUGAUGGGUUGUAAUAAAGACGCUUGCGAUGUUAUUCUGUGGGAAUCUGGUGAGUUUCAUAUCGCUGCCACUGUGCGUCAUCGGGUUUCCCUUGCCUCUUGGGUGAUCGUAAGUGUUUAUGGGCCGGCUAAUCAUGCGAGAUCCGCUGAUUUCCUGGGUGAACUCACAGCGCUGGUUGGGGCCAAACAAGCGUCCAACUUACCAGUUUUGGUGGGUGGAGAUUUUAACUUGAUUCGCUCGGGGGUGGACAAGAACAACGACAACAUUGAUUGGCCAAGGGUGUCCUUGUUCAAUAAUGCCAUCGCGGCAGCGGCACUUAGAGAGAUUGCGCGCACUGGGGCUAGAUACACGUGGACGAACAAACAGCAGGAGCCAGUGUGAUGUGUACUUGACCGUGUUUUUUGUUCAAGUGACUGGGAGGUUUUGUUUCCCCUCUGCACCUUAGUGGCUGAGAUGCGCAUCGGAUCAGACCACGUCCCGCUGAUCCUUUCCUCAGGGGAGGAAAGUGUGCGUCGCAGUCGUAGAUUCUUUUUCGAGACAGCAUGGUUCGAACACGAAGGUUUCGGCUAUCUGGUCACGCAUCGCUGGUCCUUGAUUGGUAAUCAGGUUGGUCCCCAUCGUGGACCAGUUGAGUUUUGGUCCUCUGGGGCUGCUGCCUUGCGGGCUUUCCUCAGGGGAUGGGGAGCCAAUCAUGGCAGUGAUUCUAAACGGGCCAGUGAGCGCAUAGUGGGUGAAAUCGCUCUCCUGGACGCGCAAGCGGAUGUGAGACCCUUCUCUGGGGACGAAUGGGAAUAUAGAUACUCCUUAGAGAACCAAGUCUUGGCAAUUCUCAGGGAGGAGGAGGAGUAUUGGCGCCGUAGGGGCGGCAUCAAGUGGGUCAUCAAAGGCGACGCCAACACGGGAUAUUUCCACGCAUACGCUAAUGGGCGUAAGCGCAAAAGCACGAUUCUUAGGCUGCAGUCCGAGGGCGGGACUUUGGUCACCCAAAACAAAAUAGUUACACACAUUUUCGACUACUUCGUAGAGCUGUUGGGUACAGCCGAAACUAAGAGCUUAAGUCUCAGGGAAGACUUAUGGGGUUGGCAAGACCAUGUCUCGCAGCAGGAAAACGACGCCUUAAUGGUGUCCUUUUCGCCCAAGAGCUCGACCGUGCGCUAGCUGGUAUGAAGAACGACACGGCUCCGGGCCCGGACGGAUGGCCGGUGGAGUUCUUCAAACGGUUCUGGCCGACGCUUAGGGACUUGUUUCUAGAGAUUCUCAAUGGUUUUGCCCUGGGUACGGUAGACCUGGCGCGCCUCAACUACGGGGCUAUCUGCUUGAUUCCCAAGGUUAAAGGGGCAGAAUCUAUUAAGCAGUUUCGGCCGAUCACGCUCAUAAAUGUUCCUUUCAAAAUAUGUGCCAAAGCUUAUGCCUCUAGAUUAGCGCCGGUCGCUCAACGUGUCAUUAGAAAAAGCCAAACUGCUUUCCUUAAAGGCAGGAACAUCCUGGAAGGGCCAAUUGCACUCACGGAGAUAAUCCAUGAGUUGAAACGUACGCGGGGACAGGGUGUCAUUCUCAAACUUGAUUUUGAGAAAGCGUACGAUCGAGUAAACUGGGAGUUUAUUCGGGAGGUCCUCCUCAAAAAGGGUUUUGAGGCAGGGUUUGUCCACCGGAUCAUGCAUCUGAUCUCGAGUGGCAACACCUUGGUUAUUGUUAAUGGCGACAUGGGGAAGUUCUUUCGCAAUCGGAAAGGACUUAGACAAGGCGACCCCAUAUCCCCCCUAGUAUUUAAUUUCGUGGCGGACGCUUUGGCUGCCCUGCUGUCCAAGGCCAGGGAGGCUGGACACAUCAAGGGGCUCGUCCCACACCUCAUUCCAGGUGGGGUGACACACCUCCAAUACGCAGACGACACUUUGCUGCUGUUUAAUCCGGACGAUCAUAGUAUCGCCUCGAUAAAGCUCUUGCUUCUAGCUUUUGAGCUCCUCUCCGGACUCAAGAUUAACUUUCAUAAGAGUGAGGUCAUCACCAUGGGGAUUGAUGGCCAACAAAGCGCACGUGUCGCAAACCUUCUUAAUUGUAAGCUGGGGAGCUUUCUAAUUAAGUAUCUUGGGCUCCCUAUUUCGCACCGCAAAUUAUUGAUUUUUGAGUGGGAGCCCCUAUAUGGGAAAGUGGCCAACAGGGUGAGCCCGUGGCGCGGGAGAUUCAUGUCUUCUGCCGCAAGGCUAAUUCUGACGAAUUCGAGUCUCUCUUCCCUUCCCCUUUUCACAAUGGGGAUGUUCUUACUAGCUAACGGCGUUCACGCCAAGCUAGACACUCCUAGAGCCGGUUCUUUUGGGAAGGAACUGGAAUCAAGAGGAAGUACCACCUAGUCAAAUGGGCGGCAGUUUGUAGGCCAAAAAAAUUCGGUGGAUUGGGAAUUCUCAACUCCAAACUGAUGAAUGUGGCCUCCUGGCCAAAUGGUGGUGGCGGCUGGCCCAAGGUGAGUCGGGGCUCUGGGCGAGCCUGCUAAGAGCCAAGUAUUUCCCGAACGGGAACCCAUUCAAUGCCUCGGCCAACGGCUCCGUGUUUUGGAGAGGGAUCCAAGCGGUGCGUCCGGCUUUUGACAUUGGGGCUAAAUUUUUUAUCAACAAUGGCCAAUCAACCCGGUUUUGGCUUGAUCACUGGCUUGGUGCAUCCCCCCUUUGGCAAAGUCACCCCAACUUAUACCGGUUAGCCACUGACACUAACAUCUUAGUUGGGGAGGCAAUCAGGACUGCCCCUCCGGCGAUUCACUUUAUGCGGCCCCUUUCGACCGAAGAGCGUGCGUCUUGGAACGGGCUGAUUCAGCAGAUCGGUGUCAACCGCCUAGGCACGACGGGUGACAUGGUUGAAUGGAGCCUCACCGCUUCGAGAAAAUUUUCUGUCAAGUCCCUGUAUAACAAGUUCACUGAAGGGCCAGCGCUUGAUAUAGCUAAAGGGUUAUGGAAGGCAGGCUUGCCUCUGAAGAUUAAAAUCUUCAUGUGGCAAAUGCUUCGGAACCGGCUACCUACGCCGGAUAACGUGGCCAAACGCAAUGGCCCGGCUGAUGGCACAUGCUCGCUGUGCGGUCUUGCCGAAGAUGCGAACCAUGUUUUUUUUAGGUGCCAUUUGGCCAGGUUCGCUUGGAGUGCGGUGCGGGAGGCCUUCCACUCGGAUUGGAACCCUGCAUCGGGGCACCAGCUUGUCUCCAUCCUUAAGUCCACAAAAGGGACAACAAGUAGGAUAGCUUGGCGUUGCGUAGGGGCGCUGCUUUGGGCUAUUUGGACGACUCGUAACAAGUUUACGAUUGAGAAAAAAAAUUUCCUCGUCACCCCGCAGACGUUAUCUUCAAAUGUCACUUAUUUCUGCAGAUGUGGACACCUCUAGGGAAGGAGCGCGAUGCUGAGCGCAUGUCUGAUGCCAUGGCGCGCAUCAAGGCGAUUCAGGUGCAGGCAAGACAGGCGCCGGCAAGCUGACGAGGCUUUUGGAGGGACUUUGCGGCAUGUUUGUUAUCCCGGUCGUUGCGCUGAUCUAGGUGGAUGUAUGUGUUAUUUGUCGUGACGAACCUUUUGUCCUUCGCCAUAAUGUUCUUGGAUCGUUGAAACUUUAUCUAUCUCUUAGCUUGUAACCAGUUGAACUUGUAGCUUUUGGGCUUUAUUAAUUUAAAGCCGGACGCUUCUAGCGUCCACGUUCCAAAAAAAAGAGUGAUGGCACGACUGUGUUGACCGGCAGCAGUAUUUGGUGCUAGGGCAACACGUGUAGGAUGUACUGCUUGGCCGUCAGCGUUGAAAUGAUCAGUGUGAUCUCGGCAUAUAGGAAGACUUGAAUAAAUAGUUGUGAUGUGUGUAACCGAGAAAGCCAACGCUGGCACCAAAAUCUUGUUGGAUCCGCUCGCGUACGUGCUCUCAGCUUGGACUCAUGUUCCCGGUGCAUCCCAUGCCUAGCAAUAGAUGACCAUCAUCCUCAGGCCAGGUGUGUGUUGUAAGUUGCAAGUGUUUAGCUUCUAUACUUGUUGGGACUGUGUAGGUAUGUGCAAAUGAGUGAUUCGGUGCGUAUUUAUUGGCCGGGUAUGUUGUUGAUUUUACACCUCAACAACCGCUUGUCCAAUUAUUUAACUUCAAGGGUACAACUAUUCUAAUAAGAUUAUAGUUAAUAAUACAGUCAGCUAUAUGACGUUGUCAUGUCAUCUAUAACCAAGAUUAUAGCCGGCACGUACAAUAAUUAUAUGUAAAUAUGUGCUACUCUAUUCAUGGAUUGCUCAUAUUCCAUUCACAUAUAGUGCCUAGGAGCUUGUGUGCUCUUAUUCCGUAGGCGUCUCCUCUUCUCUUCCCUCCAUGUCAGCAGAAAUAUAAUAUUUUGCAAAAUUUGUAACUUCCAAACGUUCGGACUUUGUCAUCAGAUCCGAACGCACUCAAUUUCCAAACAACGCACGGCCGCCAGCACUUAACACCUCCUGGAGCGAGAAAAAGAAACCCACAUCGAGGGUAAUCGAACCACCUACCUCCUGCACAUACGGCACCACACUGACCAUUCCAGCUAUGCCUCCUCACAAGCGAAAGCUGGCUAGGCUUUGUAUUUAAUGCGCAGUUGCUCUUUGUUUAAGACUAAAAAUCUGAACGAGUUAGACUUGAAGGCGCAUUUCGUGCAAAGAUUUCCGUAGACGUUGGCGUUGACCGCCGUGAUUUUUUUGUCUAGAUUGGAUCCGUCAUGAUUUUUUUUCCUAUGCACUAGAUCAAUUGGUAGGCCCUUUUUAUACCAUUUUUUGUCAAAAAUUUGAUGCUGACUAUAGGGGUUAUGGCGAACUUUUUGACCCCAAGAAAAAGUUAUUGAAAACAUCCUCGAUAAUUUCUAUGUAAAUAACAUGGUAAUUUGCGUAUAACGGAGCUGAUAGCUAUUUGUACAAACAUCACGGUAAGUUUUGAUUUAGAAGGAAAAAUUUGUUGAAAACAUCUCCCGGUAAUUUUUGUCUAAUAGUAUGCAAAUACACACAGUAUAGACCUGAUAAGUUACAUACAAACACCGCGGUAACCUUGAACCCGGGAGAGAGUAGUUGAAUAUAUACACCCGGUAACUUUCAGGUAAUAGCAUGGUAAUAUACACGCAACAGAGCUGAUAACUCAUGCACAAACACCGUGCUAACAUUUUGACACGGGAAGAAAGUUGUUGAUAAACAUAUCCCCGGUAUUUUCUAUGCAAAUAGUGAUAAUAUUCGCACCGUGUACGUGAUAACUUAUGUACAAACAUCCCCGAUAAAUUUUGUGUAAAUAGCAUGAUAAUUUACACACCGCAGAACUGAUAACUCAUGUACAAAUACCAUGAUAACUUUUUCACCUUGGGAAAAACUUGUCGAAAAACGUACACUCGAUAACUUCUGUGUAAUUGCCAUGGUAAGAUACAUACAGCAGAUCUGACAACUCGCAUACAAACACCGUGGUAACUUUUUUACCCGGGAUUUUUUUAUUGAAAAACAUACCACAAUAAUUUCUCUAUAAAUAGUAUGAUAAUAUACGCAUAUAGAGCUGAUAACUCACGCGUACAAACACCACAGUAAUUUUUUCAGCUGAGAAAAACACCCCCCCCCCCACCCAUAACUCAUAUAUAAAUAGCAUUGGUAGUAUACGCCAUAACAGAGCUGAUAACUUGCUUAGCCUAGAAGUGAUAACUGUUGACCCGAUAAAGAAUCAUUAAAAUAUACCAACAUAAGAUCUAGUUUCGAAGGUCUCGUUGUGCCGAUUUUUUCAUGUGAAAACGCUUUUUCAAUUGGAUCGACGGUUUGAGCUACAAAAUAUUUUUGAAGUUUCAAAAUAGGAGAAAUCUAGGAUCACAUCAGUUUUUUGUCCUCCAGUGCAUUUGCAUGUGGGGAGAUGGUUAAAGGGACCACUUUUAGGCUCCGGUAAUUUCUGUGUAAACGGGAUGGUAAUUUAUGUAUCGGCGGGUGACAACUUACUUAGCUUAGGUUUGGUAACUUUUGACCCGAAAAAAGUCAUCGAAACAUAUCAACAUGUGAUCUAGUUUUGAAGGUCUCGCCGCGACGAUUUUUUUUAUGUGAAAACGGUUUUUCAAUCGGACCAACGGUUUGAGCUACAAAACAUUUUGAAGUUUGAAAAAAGGAGGAAUCUAGGAUAACAUCAGCUUUUCGUCCUUUAGUGCAUAUAUGCAUGUAAUUGUAGAGAGGAGUGCACAUAAAAGAAAAAUUAGUCGUUCUAAUACAUGCACGUAUAUAAUUAGAGUGAAGUAAGGAUCGUUCACACGUCCAAUAUUUUAACUCUUAUAUCCCGCUUACAUAACCUUAUUGUACUUGCUCUAAACGAUAAUUCUUUAAUAACUACAUGGUCUAGCGUGCAAUAUUAUUUCAAUAAAGGGUGCUUUUAUUACCUCAAAAUGCAGCAUCGAGCAGAUAUAAAGCAUAAGGAGCAACACUAGGCUUAUGCAUAGCUAAGAUGCACACAACCAUCACACGAACGGUCUAACAAAGAAUAUAAAAACGACAAGUGGCAACAGUAAAGCCAUAUGAGACCGAAACUAUGCCUAUGUCAACGGAGAAGGUGGUCCGAUUCGGAGAUUAUAUUGCCACUCAUGUUGGGUAAAAACCUUCCUGGCCACCUUCUCCAACCGUAUACACACCGUCUUGAACAGCGAUUGGACUCCGUUCGGUGCAUAAUAGACCACAUACGAGGCCAGUGCGUAUAGCGGUAAAUAACCUGCAUAGGACAAUAUAUUUUGCAAAUUAAAAACACAAUCAUUUCUACAUAGCCAAAGCGACCAUACAAAGCUGACACUCCCACCCGUAUUAGCAUGCUAAACGUAUUUGGUAUUGCAUAAAACCAGUGGCCAUUUAUAUUGGCAAUACUUGUUCGUGGGUACAAAUUUGACGCUAUUUCGAUGACUGGCCAUGCAGACGCGUAAACUUGCAUUGAAAAGAGGUGUUUGAUUGUCUCGUCGUGAGUACAAAGACUACACUUCUUGCUUCCUGUCCAGUUACGUCAAGUGAGGUUCCCUACUGCAAUUUAGGUUCUAACAAUGGUUUGUUUAUCAUGGGUUUUAUGUAGCUAGAGUUCCGUCUAGGAGGCCCUAACAUUGUAUCUAAAAUUUACAAUAAAGAGUACGCAAACGCUCGCAUCUGUGGGUCUGACAAGUGGAGGAAGCCUCUUUCUAAAUUUUUGCGGCAGCCUCAUUUCAUUGUAUGUGAUAAUAGUGAUCUCAUUAGUCAUGAAGUCAUGGGUGGCUUAAAGAACAUAUAUGCCAUUGGUGCCGGUAAGUUUCCAUUUGCUCUGAACUACUGUCUUGUUUUGUUGAGCAUGCCUCAUAUUAUCUUGAUCAGGAAAAUGAAAUCGUUAUUGCCAUUUCUACAGCAAACCAGAAAUAUGUUGAAACCUUAUGUUUAACAUCCAACACUAUACCAUGGAAUAUAUAGUUUGAAUCUACUGUUUCUGGCAUUGGUGUUAUCUCAUUCACACACUACUCACUGCUAUGUUGCAUAGAUGCCAUUGAUGCAAUAUACGGUAGAUUCAAACUAGUUAUAAAUUCAGUAUUAAACUUGGUGGAUAUGUGUAGAUUUCUGUCUUCUUUUCUAUAUUACUAUUCAUGGCCUAACCUUUCAACGGUUUUGCUGAACAUCGUAUUUGCUUGUAGGUAUGGUGGCAACACUGACCAACGAGAGCGCAACAAGCAAAGCAGUGUAUUUUUCACUUUGCACGUCUGCAAUGAUAUACAUCACCCACCUCCUAGCGGAAGAGCCUGAUAGACUUUCUGGACCACUAUUAGCAGAUACUUAUGUUACACUAUUGAAAGGUUGUAAUGCCUGGUAUGAACAUAAAUUAGCUAAGGCAGAACUGACUCUGGAAAUGGGGGGCAACAUCAAAGGCAAAGGGACUAUACAGGUUUGUGCCGCGAUCUAAAUAAUACAAAAUUUGCAUAACUGUUAGACUGAGUUUUUGGGUUGGCAUAGUUGUAUGCUAAGUUCUAUGUGUUUUUUUCACUUGUAGGUUGUCUCUGCAGUCAAUGCAUUUUAUGAACUCCUGAGCCAAGGUAGCAUAAGUGUGACGCACCCAGAAACCAAGAAGCAUGUUGCUCCUGUCGAGUUGUGUCCGAUACUCAAAACACUUUACAAGAUUUUAAUCAAGAGGUUGGAAUGCUCUUGGAUCACCAUUGUUGCAUCUUCUAGUUACAGCCUUUUCUUUUGUUACAGUCCUGUUGCCUCUACAGCUGUUUGAAUUUUCUGUACUAUUUACGCACUUGCAGGGAGUUUGGUACCAGUUCCAUUCUUGAGGUGAUACGCGAUGAAUCAAUGUCUGAUCCACGGGAGAGAAUCGAGAUGGCACAACGCUAAUCCCUCUACUGGCCGUCUCUCCUCGGCCUGCCUAAAGGCGAUAUCAAGCCGUAGUAGUUGCAGCCUUUAUUUAUGCAGAAAUGUUGCGAGUUUGCAUGGUUUGCUGAUCUUUCUGUCGGUGUUCCCCGCAAGUGCAUAUUUGUGGCAUACAUAUGCUUAUAUGUAGCACGAGAUGAGUUUUUUUACUAGCAAGGCGAGAUAAACAUCUUAUCGUUCCAGUUGACGCCCACCUGUAUAUACAACCCUUGAUUCAAUUGCAUUUAUUGCUUAUAUGGGAAACGAGGUACUAGCUGGGAUUCUUUUGAACUUAAACUCGUUGCCCCUGCUUUAGUUGAUUGGCAGUGUUGACUUCAAAAACAGAAGACGCCUGUGGUUCUGUAUAUGUACUUUUUUUUUAGGUUUUGCUCUUUUGAAGAGCGCGCUAGUUUGAGAUCCAUUUGUAAUCUAAUGCUUGUAUGAAAUGUCCCACUAUUCAGUCUCUGAUACUAAUGCUAGUAUAGUUAAGCUGAAAUCCUUGCCCUCGGAUUUUUUUUCCUUCCAAGCCCCGCUCUCAAAAGAACAAGAAAAUUGAACAAGCCCCACAGACCACCCAAACUGCCCGACAGACCUAGGAUACAUAGUUUUGAGACAUUUACGGCCUCAGAUGAAAAUUAUUCCGUCAUGCUGCCCAUUUAUAUAUGUAGAAAAUAUAAAACCUACAAUAUUCGUUGUAUUGAUCUGACCCUUGUGUAGAGUAUAUACAGAAGUACAUGGUGGGGUAGAGACUUGGAGUACAAGACAAGCUACAUGUGAUUUAAACUAAUUCUAUCUCUAUCCCCUUAUCUCUAACUUAAACCCAAUUAUAUCCCAUAGUUAGAUUCCCAUCUGAACCUGAGCCUCCUCAGAGCUCAGACCUUCUCAGCCGUUUGAUCCUCUCCUUGAUGCGUUCUGGGCCAUCGGAUCUGCUCCUGGGAUGACCUCGACCGUCCGAUAAAAUUUGCAAUCGGAGCAAUGAAAAGUACGUCUGUUUUUCACCUCUACGUUUUAAUCGCUCCCCACUGACUGCUGGGCCUGGCAAAGUUGUGGGCCACCCCUGUCUGCGGCUUGGGUGCGCAGAUGCCCGGUGCGGGUGGCUCACGGUCAAAAAUGCGUGCCACCGCCUGUAAUUCUCGAAUCCCGCUUAGGGCAUUAGAGGGAUUUCAGUUCCUCUCCCUUGCGUGGCGUUCUGUGGGUGGGGAGGAGAGGAGGGCACCCGAUUGGGUGAGAACCCUAGCCGCCACCCCAUCUCUCCCCUCUCCUUCGCACCCGCCGCCCACUCCCAUCUGGCUCUUCCCUCCCGUCGCCUGGUCGCCGUGCUCCUCUCCGUCGCCCGGUCGCCGUGCCCGCGCUGCUCAGCCUCUGCCACCCCAUCGGAGUGGCCUGCGCCGCCUCCUACGCCGAGCUGAGGGGAGUCACCUGCGCCACCUCCUACAUCGAGCCGAGGAGAGUCGCCUCUGAUUCAGCAGGGUGCCCGACGGCUGCCUCCUCCUCCGCGGGCACACACGAGCGGCGAGCCUUGGACUAGGUCAUCCCCCAAGAAGCAGACGAAUGACGCCAUUGCAGGUCCGCCCCUCUCCCUCCCUCUCCAUCCCCUCUCUCUCGAAUGUGAUCCAACGACCAAUGCAUUUCCUUUCGCCCCGCAGUUAGUCCGAGAGCUGAGCGCAGUCGUCGAGGCCGACGUUCGUCGUCCACUUGGCCGCAGCCAGCCCCAAGAAGAGGGGAUGUCAUGGCAGGGGGUCUUCACCUGUCUCCACUCCCUCACCUCCCCGUUCUGCUAGCAAGGGUGCUGAGCAGCAGCAGUUCCAUCUCCCUCCCCACCGCAUCCUUGUCUCAUCUAGAUCUGCAAUGAACCAGAGGUACCAACUCUCCUUACUUUCAUGGUGAAUCCAUUUUAUUGACCUAUCUUUGAUGGUUUUUCUCCUCUCAGCCCAGGGAAAGAGAUUUCAUGUGAUGAUUGAAUUUGAAGGCUAGCUGGACCUAUGGAUCAAAGGUGUGAUGAUGUACUUCAUUGUUCUUUCUUAUAUCUUUACUAUGAGCACUUUGUUUAGGCGCUGGCAUGACUCUUUCAACCAAGCACCGUGUGUCAAGGCAUGCAAAUUAAUGUGUUGGCUAUACAUAUUUAGCUUGCCUCGCUAUUAAAGUAUGCCUGGCACACACGCUUAGCUAAAUUGUUGGGACCGGGCACCGCGCGCCAAGGCGCGCUGCAGGUCUAGUUUCUAACAUUUCCCGUCAGUCGUAGCGGGAGUGAAGCGGACGAUUGUGACUGAAUUUGAAGUUUUGAGCUUCUGUUGUCUUCUUCGCUGCACCAUCAUCAACUGUGUCUCUGAUGGCUGAUGGUUCAGCAUCUAGGGCGGUGACUGCGUCCCCUCCGGUGCCUUCCUCGUCUCUCCUCUAUUCCCUCCCGCAGUCACAGCGGGAGUGGCAUGGUCGCUAGUGACUGGAGUUAUUGCCGAUGUUGCCCUUGAUGUAGAUGUCGAGGUAGCCGAUCAUGAUGCUGUAGCCGCGGUCAAGGUAGUCGUGGUCGAUGGUGUAGUCGUCGUGGAUGAUGAAGCCGCACAAAGCCGGAGGUGCAAAAAAAUGCGCUAUGUUGUAGAUGACGGAGCUGCAGUGAUGGACGAUGCACCUUGCGGAUGUCAGAGGGUGCCGUCGGCGAUGAGUCCACCGGUUUUGCCAGGACCGGACGAAACCCAUCGAGCACACAUCAGUUUCACCAGGACCGUGUGGCCAUAUAGAGGUCGUCACUAUGGUGACGCCAUGUCGAUGCAGUCAUGCCGCCGUAGGUGACGUGGUCAGUGCCGUCGUCGAGGUCGCGUCUUGCAGAAAAAUCUGUCAGAGGACGCUAGGUGUCCAUCUUGUGGACGUGGCAGCGGCAGUGUUUUGACGAUGAUGACGAUGAAGACCACAUUGAUGAAGACCUUGGCGAUGAUAUGUUGAUGAUGAAGCAACAGGCGUGUAGCAGAACGUUGCUAGGAGGCGUCCCUCGAGGCAACGAUGAUGUAGAUACCUUGUUGUUUGAGAAGUUCGACACAGCAUGCGUGUGGUCGAUGUCGGGUCGUGUGGAUGGGCUUGACGAAGUAGUUUGGUUCGUAGCCUGACCGUAGUCGUACUCGUACAGUUCCAUGUCGCUCGGUGUAGAGGCGUCGAUGUUGGUGUGGGGUGUAGAAGCGUCGAUGUUGGCUCGCUGAAGACGAUGCCGAUGCCGUUCGUUUGGUGAAGUAGGCCAGUCAGAAGCAUGCAAUGCUCGGUGUGAGUUCGCCCUCGCAUGCUGGAGCGGAUGUCGAUCGAUGGCCCCUGGAUGGGCACAUGAUGCAUGGAUGGACGUCGGUGUUGAUGCAGAUCGGUGCCGUGGUCGUUCGGCUUUGAUGUAGAUGUCAUGUCGGCGCAGUGUAGACGUACUGCUCCGUGUAGAGGCUCGUGGACGGCUCGAACAUUGCGUGGGUCGCUGUGUCGUUGGAGCGUAUCGACAAGUACAUAGAUCUGCUGAACAUACAUGCAUGCAUACCUUCAGGUGGAACCUCUUGUGGUCUUGUACACAUACUCGUCCGUGAGCCCAGAUGGAGCCUGGAUUCCAUGCAUACCGCCGGUGGUGCACGCAUGUGUGCUGCUGCACCCGCGAGACGCGCUGGAGUCGGCUUCCUGUUCCACGAGAGGCGCCGGAGUCGUGGCCGGGAGCUAUGCAUGUCCGAUCAGAUCGAUCUGCCUGGAGAGGAAGAUUUGUGUGCCCCUCCCUGCCGCUCGGAGUAGCGUUGCAUGCGCCGGGUGGAGACGCGCUGAGAGAUCGCAUACGCGAUGGAAGCCACGGGAGUUUCGCCCUCCCAUGAUCGGGCGGUACGCGUCGUUGUCGGAGAUGCAAGCUCAUGGGAGGUCGAUGCAGCUCCUGCGUGCGGCGUCUUGAGGAUGUCAAUGGAGCUUCGCGCCGAGAGAUCGAGACGAUGCGUCGCGCGUAACGCCCUUGUUGGCUGCUCGUCUUGAUCUCCGCUGCCACACGAACGUCGUGCUUGAUUUUUCUCCUCACGGUGGAUUCGAGGGUCGUCAGAUUUAUUUAUGGCUACAAGAAAUUUAAACUAAUGGAAUUCUGGAAACUGGGAAAUUUGUUAAUCUAAUCGACCUUUGAUCGAUCGGGUGCCGCGCCUCCGGGGAGAGGAGAUUAAUCUCCCCAGGGACGGCGCAGUGCGGAAAUGGUGGAAGGUCCUAUGAUCGGCGUGGUGAGACUAACCGCUCUGAUACCAUGUAGAAAAUAUAAAACCUACAAUAUUCAUUGUAUUGAUCUGACCCUUGUGUAGGGUAUAUAUAAAAGUACAUGGUGCGGUAGAGACUUAGAGUACAAGACAAGCUACAUGUGGUUUAAACUAAUUCUAUCUCUAUCCCUUUAUCUCUAACUUAAACCCAAUUAUAUUUCUAAAAAUAUAAAGUGUCAUGGUACCAUCUGCUCAUCGCAUAUCUGCAACGUGCCGAGCAUCAUGUGCUUCGAUCAUCUUCAUGAGUUCAUCUUUACUGGGUUGCCAUGAGAGAUGACACAUUGGUUGAUCUGGUGUAUGGACUUGGUAUGAGAGCAUUGCUAGACCGUUGGCGUGAAGUGAUUAGUGUGAUCUCGCUAAAUGGGACAACAUGGUUGUGAUGUGUUUAGCACAGGAAGUCAGAUAACCAAAACGAAUAACAGAAGCUUGUUGGAUCUGCUCGUGUACAUGCUCUCAUCUUAAACUCAUGUUCCCAGAGCAUCCCAUGCCCAACGGUGAUCGUCAUCCUAAUAGGCCAAGCUAAAUGCUACCUCUGCAUAGACCCAGUGCAACAAUAGAAAAAUGGGCAAGCCUAAAGUUUCAAGAUGUAGUUGCAAGUCUUUAUCUUUUAUACUCGUUGGGACCGUGGAGCUAGGUGCAAAGAAGUGAUUCCACAAGUAUUUAUGGGCCGGGUGUGCUGUUGAUUUUGCCAUACCAACAACCACUUGUCCUCUGACGCCUCUCCCGAUGCAUGUGCUUAAAUGAGAUGCUAAGUACAUGAAAUGACUUAGCAACUAAGCUCUCCAAUGUAUACGUGCUUAGCUUUUUUGUAGCUAAGUUUUCUUCAUUUAGUUGUGUAGCAACUAAACUUCUUUAGGCAAAGGUGUCUUGCAUUGUUUUUUUCCCUAUAAACUUCCAAUUCAUUCAUUCUCAAUCAUGGUAGUACAAAGAACACCAAAAGUAAUAAAAUUUACUAUCUGGUUAGACCACCUAGCGAUGACUACAAGCACCGUAGCGAGCCGAAGGCGUCACCCCUCCCUCACUAGAGCUGGGCAAACCUAAUUGUAGUAGACAGUCGAGAAGUCGUCGUGGUAAGGCCCUAUAAGACCAACACACCAGAGCAGCAAACAUCACCGACGAAUAAAGUCGUAGAUUGGAUGGAUCAAACAUGUAAACACCCAAACGAAGACCGGAUCAAAGCAGAUCCACCGAAGAUCAGCACCGAUUGAAUCCUACGAGAUCCGACGAAGGCACACCUCUAUACACCCUCCGACGAAGCUAGACGCACCAUCGGGGCGGAGAUAGAACGUGGAAGACAUUAUUCCUACUGAGAGACACCACUGCCGCCACACAACCCCAACCAAGACGUUGAACCUAACAAGAACGAGAACGGGAUCCCUCUCGCUGGCGGGGGCCCAAGGUCCUCCACAUCUCCAUGUCCCAAACGCAUGAGGCAGAUCGGCGAUGGCGCCGACGGGAGGAGGAGAAAAGACCGAGAUCUUUUCUUGUGUGUGUGUGUGGGGGGGGGGGAGGGUUGUGCGUCGGUUCUGAUCCCCCGGUAAUGUUUACUCCAAGGUGUCUUGCAUUGGUCCACGUGCCUGGUAUUGUUUCUUCGUGACGUCAUAAAAAUGCUCUUUCUUCUUAUUAAUUAUUUUUCCAUGUCAGUUUCUCUUCUUCUUAUGUGACAUGCUUAGUUCCUGUAAACCAUGAAACAUUGAGAAUGGUUUGAGGGUGUCAGAGCUAGAAAUUUUAAUGAACGGAAAUUCUUUAUAUAACUAUAUGGUGUCGCAUGUAAUCUAUGUGUAGUUAUAAAUAUCAUUAACAGUGGACAUGAUGUUCACGUGUAGAUAUACACAAUUAUUAGGUUAUGAAGGUCUAUAGGUUAUGAUUUGUUAAACACAAGUAUGAAGAUCUACCUAUUAUCAUCUUACUGCAUAAAAUUAUUAUUAUUAAGUAUCUAAUUAGCUGAAAUUCUAAUGUUUUGUUGAGUUAGAUACACAAAGAUUAACUUAGUGUGGUCUAAAAUAAAAGGAGGGUCCACCAAUUAUUGUCCGGAUGCUAUAAUCCUAUCAUGAACUCGUUUAGCUUCGCCAUUGCUUUCCCUUGAUAUAAAUUAUCUUAGCAAGGAGGUCAAUUUAAUUUGCAUCAUUACACAUACUUGUGAAGCUCCAAUCAAAUAACAAAUUGAUGGGAACAGCUUUGGCACUUGAUUCUAUUGUGUAUAGUGUAGUGUGGUGUUUUUCAUGAUAUUACCACCUCAACAACCGCUUGUCUAAUUACUUAAUUCCUGAGGGUACAACUAGUAUCAGGGUAACCAUUUCAAUGAAAUAGAAUUCUUCAUAAAAUUAUGAUUUACAAUGUACAUGACAUUUGUGUGUAGAUAUAUAAAUUUGAAUGUUAUGAAGGUAUAUCAAUUAUGAUAUAUAGAACGUGACUAUAAAGAUCUAUUGAUUAUGAAAGCUAAUACAUGCACGCCUAAUAACACUGCAACUCCCUUCCGACAUAAUAGGAUCUCACUCCCAUGUCGCUCGUGGGCGACACAGGGGCGUCUUAAGGCGUAGCCGCCGGUCACCCAUAGUCCGCCACUCCUCCUUGUCGCCGCUGCCAGUGAGUGCAAUGAUGGCGUCCCCUACUCCCCUAGAUCAUGUAGAAAGACAUGCCACUCUGGUGCACAUCUACAUCAGGAGUUGUGAGAUCGACUUACUCACACCAAGCAGCCUUAGCAUCGGCCACUUCACGACAUAGAAGUGAGGGUUGUAUGCGGCAGUCGGGCCGGGUUGGACUAGCGAUUCCUUGCCUCGUCUUGAGUCUUGCUGCCAUGGCCAGCACCGAUCUAGAGUCUUUGAUCUGGCCCGGCGGCAGCACCUCAUGCUUCCUCACAUGGUUGGCUGACGUCCCUGCUCUCCCCAAUGGUAGUGUGGAGGCACACCUUCCGGAGGGGUGGUUUGGCCUGGAGGCGUUGUUGGUUCGGCCCAUGGCCGUGGGACACUUAAGGAGUGUCUUCUUCCCGGCUUUAGGCGCCUUCAUAGCCAGGAUCUAUCCUUGAAGAAGCUCCAUCAGGUGGUCACCAAAAGGUCUUCGUGAGGGUUUCUCCUCCCAGAUCUGGUGGUUGAUUUUGGCGUGGAGAUACAAACUAUGGACGAUAACUUGACACAGAGGAAUGUUUGCACAAUGGCGGCGGUUCACACUACAUGUAGCUGCUAGGAUCGCGGAAAAGUGAUGGAGGCAAAACAUAAGUGAAGUUGUUGGUGGUGCUACUAGAGGACCCAAUCUCAAGCUCCAGGGUGAAAGUCUAGGUCUAAACUACGUUGGUUAUACCUCACAAUGUCAAUGUUCUUGCGUCGCUACCUUGUUGAAGGCAUUGCUCGGAUAUGCUUGGACUGGAUCUUCAGGAUGAAAACCUAUAUUCUAGCCUCGGAUGGUUGGAUCCGAUGACGGUGGUGAUUGAACGCCACUCACAUUGAGGUUUUUUUUGUUGCCUAUGCAUAGCUUUGGUAUUACGUGCCUUUGCUAUUUGCAAGUGUACUCACUGUGUUUGUAUCCUCCCGGUGCUCCAUUUUAAGUCAAUAGAACCCAUUCUUUGUCAAAAAACGUACAAUUAAUAUUGUCUACUUCCUAUUAGUUGAAAUUCUGAUGAUUAUCUGACUUGGAUACACAAAGAUUCACCGAGUAUGAUCUAAUAUAAAAAGGGAGCCCAUCAAUUAUUCUUGGGCCAUUUGCAUUUCUGUCCCUAACUCGAACCACCUAAUCAGAUAUACCCCUAAUUCCAAAGCCAGCUAAAAAAUGCCCCUCCACCGUCAUGUGCCCUUAUAGAAAUGCCCCUCCGAGCCGUUUCCGUCCAGUCAAGGCUGUUUGACCGCUAACGUUCCAUUUCUUAGACAUUUCUGCCCCUCCUUCCUUCCAACUAACCGGUUCACUCUCUCUCCCCUCUUUCUUCUUCCUCGCGACGACAGGGGCAUUUUUGAGCAAGAACGGGAUUGGGUGUUUCCGCCGUUGUCGAAGAGAGACGGGCAGGUCGGGCAUGGCGUGGUGAGCGAUGGGUACGUCGGGCACGGCGGGCAUGUCUUCUACGACCUCGUCGGUGGCCGCCAAUGUAAGUUUCUGGGUCGAUUUGGGCGAUAUUGUGGAAUUAGGGUUCAUCAAUUUGGGUUGCCCUUUGCUGAUAGGUUGAUGGCGUCGGGAUAGUUCAGUUUCAAUCGGAGUUCUACAUGCCCGAUCUGACAUUCUGUGGCCUUGAGGUUCGGUCGUCGCGGCGGUGCCCUGGCCACGGGCUUAUUCCUGCUCGUCGCGUCGCGUGGGGAGGAGCAAGCUCCGGCAGAAGGUUUCUUGGCUGCCCUCUUGGUGUAAGUGUUUUUUCUUUUGAAUGCUUGACUUGAUUCUGCUCUUUCUCCUCUUUCUAAUUCGAUCAUUGAUUUUGCAGCUUCCUGAUGAAUGUGACUGGGUUGUCUGGAUUGACCCACCAUCGACCGAACGUGUUGGUCGUGCAUUUGAGGAGCUUCAUGCAGGAUUGGAGAAGAGCUCGCUAAAAGCUCAUUAUUUAGAGAGGAGGGUGAUGUAUCUAACCGAGAAGAACAAGAAACUGAAGCUGAAGAUGAAGAAGAGGAACGAGGUUAUGCAAGCCUGGGGAUUUAUCAUAGUUCUUGGUAUUAGCAUGUUGGCCACAUUUGUUUCUGGGUGGUCUAAUAAUCCAUACUAAAUGGAUUUCUGUUUGUAGUGUAUGCUUUGAUGGAGCUUAGUUUGGGAAUGUAUUAUCCCGGAACAAUGUUGUGAUUUGGGAAUGAUGUGAUAUUUCUAUUUGGAAAUGACUGAAGAAUCUUGCUUGGUAUUUUGAAAGUAGCAGCUCAAAUGAAACUAGUAGCUGACCAAAUGAUCUGUUGUGUUAAAAGUAGCAGCUCACAAUUUUUUUAAAAGUAGGAGCUCACAAGAUAGCAUCUCACAAAUAGCAUAAGUUCAUAAUAGCAUUGCACAUUCAAGAUAGCAUCUGACAAGUUUAGCAUUACAUAAGUUCAUAAUUUCAGCAUCACACUUAAGAUAACAGCUAACAAGUUCACAAAUAGUUCUUAAACAACAAAAACAACACACUUAACAUAGCAGCUAACAAGUUCACAGAUCUUUCAUCUUCUUGCUCCUGGUGUUGCAAGCAGGGUUAGUUAAGAGCCUUGAACUCCUCCUUGUGGUGACAGUUUUGCUCAUUUCUUUGCUUAGCUGGUUGCUUCCAGUUACAGAUCCUACUGUAGGAUCUAGUGCAUACUUGAGCCUCUUCUUGGCUGGUGACAUUCCUCUGUCAGCUGCCUUUUUGCAGUUCUUUCUUGGGCUACAAUUGAAAUGAGAACAUUAAAUGGAGGAAAAAAAGAGAACAUUAAAUGAUGCAAACAUUGAAAUGAGAACAUCUGUAGCAAUUGCACCUUACAGCUGAUGACACUGUUGGUGCAUCUGUAGCAAUGGCAGCAUCAAGUUCAACCUCUUUAGCAUUUUCAGCAUCAGUUUCCACCUCUGUAGCAUUUUCAGCAUCAGUUUCCACCUAUGUAGCAUUUUCAGUAUCAGUUUCCACCUCUGUAGCAUUUUCAGCAUCAGUUUUAGCAUCUAAAGGUUCAUCUGCUGCAUUUUCAGCCCCCCAGUGCUCUUCUUCCCCAAAAGCUGGGUCAAUGGAUUCCUUGUAGUGAGUGGCACGAUGCCCAAGCCUCCCACACCUGCCACAUUUCUUUCUCCUUCCUCCAAGUCCUUUUCCCUCAGAUUUUGCCCUAAUUCUUGUCUUCCUAGGUCUACCAGGGGCCCUGUUUUGCAAUGGAGCAGACAAUUUAAACCCAGGGUCCACCACAUCCCACUGUUGUUUGCCCUCCAUUGUAGGCAAAUUUUCAGCAUAAGUAGCAUUGAACCUAGCAACAGAAAAGUACUCAUGUACAUACUGAUCAAUCUCACUUACUGGGCCUCUUAUUGAAGUAAUAAAAUACAAAGCAUGUAUGCAAGGUUGUCCAGUUAACUACCACUUUCUACAACUGCAAUUCCUAGUUUCCAAAUUUACUGGAUAUCUCCACUCUCUCUUUUCCUUGUCAACUGUUGUGAUCUCUGCCUCAUAUGUGCUUCUUUUCACUAUCUCCAUAUCAAGGUCCUUAGAUUUUGCAUGAAGCAUUUUCAUGACUUUGGGGAUUAUGAUGUGGCCAAUGAAUGUAGCAGCUGCAAUCUGUUGUCUGAGAUCAAACUUUUCCAUUAUAAAUUGUCUUAUUUUGUCUAGCAAGUCCACAAUGUGUACACCCUUCCAUUUUCUAAUCUUUGAAUUGAAGGACUCAUCUAGAUUGUUAUUAACAAAAUCUAUUUUGCACACUUCAUUGAACAGUGACCUUGCCCAUAGCUUGGUGUGAUGCUCCUCUAAGUACUCUUUCACACCAGCCUUACUGUGCAACUGCCUAAGAUGGUAGUUGUGUUUCUUUAUGCUGUAUGUCAAUGAGCAGGGCCAUAAAUUUUCAUCAAAGAAUUUUCCUCUAAACUUUUUUGUGAAAUUUGUAGCCAAAUGCCUCAUGCAUUCUCUGUGCUGCACACCUGAGAACACAGCUUCCACUCCAGUCUCCAGGCCUUUGCAUGCAUCAGUGUGGAUAACAAGACCUGGUGGGUGUCCUAUAAGCUCUCUUAAAUUCUGGAAAAACCAAGUCCAACUCUCUAUAUUUUCACCCUCUACAACUCCAUAUGCAACUGGGAAGAUCCAGUUGCAAGCAUCCAUUGCACAUGCACUAACUAGUUGCCCUCUAAAUCUGCCAUUCAAUGCAGUGGCAUCUACUGCAGAUAAGGCCUACACCCAUUCAAAAACCCUUGCCAACAUGCUUUGAAAGAAACAAAUACUCUUCUAAAGCACUCUUUCUGUCUACUCUUCCCAUUCAGUUUGUACUGUACAAUGUGUUUAUCAAUGCUAACUACACUGCCAGGAGAUGCUUUCUCCACUUCUGCCUUGAAGGUAUACAAUAACUGAAAAGAGUCAACCCACUUACCAUAGAUAUUGUCAAGUGCCAUUUGCUUCCCAUAGAAUACUCUCAUAUAUGGAACUGCCAAGCCAUAUGAGGGAGUCCCGGAUUAGGGGGUGUCCGGAUGGCCGGACUAUAUACUUUGGCCGGACUCCUGGACUAUGAAGAUACAAGAUUGAAGACUUCAUCCCGUGUCCGGAUGGGACUUUCCUUGGCAUGGAAGGCAAGCUUGGCGAUACGGAUAUGUAGAUCUCAUCCCAUUGUAACCGACUCUGUGUAACCCUAGCCCUCUCCGGUGUCUAUAUAAACCGGAGGGUUUUAGUCCGUAGGACGAACAACAAUCAUACCAUAGGCUAGCUUCUAGGGUUUAGCCACUCUGAUCUCGUGGUAGAUCUACUCUUGUACUACCCAUAUCAUCAAUAUUAAUCAAGCAGGAGUAGGGUUUUACCUCCAUCGAGAGGGCCCGAACCUGGGUAAAAACAUCGUGUCCCUUGUCUCCUGUUACCAUCUGCCUAGACGCACAGUUCGGGACCCCCUACCCGAGAUCUGCCGGUUUUGACACCGACAUUGGUGCUUUCAUUGAGAGUUGCACUAUGCCGUCGCCAUCAGGAAGGAUGCCGCAUCCCGCCUUUAAAGACGGCGCUGUUGCUAAAGGAGCUUUGGCUAUCGGCCAAACUCUCCAGCUAGGCGGUUUUCUUAUGACAGCCUGUUCGGCCGCCGCGUCGACGAUGACUUCUCGGGUCAUCGAAAGCAAUCUCCACGUCAACUCGGAACUUGCCGAGCAGUUAGAUCCGAUGGAGCUCUCUUCCUUAAACGAGCUCUUGGAUCACAUCGCCGCCCUGGGAGUCGCUACAAACUACGAUCAGAUUGGGCUUAAACCCGAUCCGAGAGAGAUCAACUGUCCCCAGGUCACCCACCACAUCGCAGUGGUGGAGGAACAACGCGGCAAAUCUUCACCCGUCUUAAGGACUAGUCAUGUCCGGAUUCCCGAUUCCUCCAAACCGGAUACCCGAGGAGGGGAGGACGUCACUCAAACCCUGAACCUAAAGUCAGACAGCGGGCUAGAUUCAUUGGACAACAUCCAAGAACCCAAGCUUCCGAGUUCAGAAACUCCUUGGCCCCCGAGUCUCAGACCGGGCGAGGUUCCGGAUUUAAAUCCACCCGCCCGCCCACAUAUAAGGGAUCUAUCCCAAAUUCGGCAAGAGCCCACAGAAACAGUACACCAUUACUGGGCCAGAUUCCUCCUGGUUAUGAAUAGGAUAGAGGACUGCCGCGAGGAGGAUGCAAUUUCAUUCUUCUGCAAUAAUUGCACAGACAUCGGAAUCCUCAACGCCAUAAGUCGUCGUGAAAUUACACGCUUCACUGACCUAGCAUCCAUAGUAUGAAAGUAUUGUGCGAUGGAAAGCGUUCGGAAAGCCGAAAUAAAAUUCUGGGACAAUCCGGCCCUGAAUACAACCCAGUUCGAAAUAAAAGGGCGCAUUAUCGUUAGGCACCUGGGCCAAACAACAAAAAGCAAAAACCCUCUGCAGGGUACGGAACCGUACUGGAGGGAUGGCUCAAUGGACCCUGUAAAAUUCAUAGUACAGAGGGCGCCACGGCAACUCAUAGCCUUAGGGCAUGUUGGAUACUCCGGCAGGUGGCCAGAAGUGGCGAGGAGCUUCUAACCCCAGAAUCCGCAGAGCACCAGCCCAGGAAUACCAGUACGGUAUCAACAGUCUUCGAGACUUUCGCAUCAAACAAUAUGCGGAAACAAACACUCCGCAGCCUUACCGAAGUCUACCAGGUAGCAACAAUAAACCCAUGGAGUGACACGACUAUUACCUUUAAUGCCAGUGAUGAACCUAAGUUCCGAACAGCCCGAGCACCAGCGGCAUUGGUCCUCAGUCCAAUAGUGGACGGCUUUCAACUUACCAAGGUACUCAUGGACGGUGGCAGCGGAUUGAACCUCAUUUACGAGGAAACCCUUCGAAAAAUGGAAAUAGACUGGAGCCACAUUGAGCGAAAAAACACAACCUUUAGAGGAAUAAUUCCCAGUCGGGAAGUGUGUUGUACAAGAAAAAUCACACUGGAUGUGGUGUUUGGCACGCCGGAUAAUUACACGUCCGAGGAGGUCACAUUUCAAGUGGCCCCGUUCAGCAGCGGAUACCACGCUCUGCUAGGGUGAGAGGCAUUCACAAUUUUUCAAGCUAUACCCCAUUACAGGUACAUGAAGCUCAAAAUGCCCGGACCCAACGGAAUCAUCACUCUUGCUAGUGACCCGGACAUAGCACUCCGCGCCAAAAACAAGACAGCCGCACUGGCCCUUGAGGCACUAUCCGAAGCCCUAGCGGCCGAAGAACUGACUGCGUUGCGCUCCAUGGUGAACAGGGACAAUGUGAUACUCGAUAAAAGAUCCAAGUCCACCUCCUUUAAACCGGCGGACGAAAUAGUCAAAUUCCAAGUCCAUCCAACGGACCCUACAAAAACGGCCUCCAUUGGGGUGCACUUAAACCCUGAUGUAGACGCCGCACUACGAGAAUUCCUACGCGAGAAUUGGGACAUUUUUGCCUGGCACCCUUCAGACAUGCCAGGAAUCCCACGCAGGCUGGCCGAGUACAGCCUAAACAUCCUAAAAGGAUUCAAGCCUGUUAAGCAGGCUCUUCGGCAUUUCUCUGAACCUAAGAGACAAGCCAUGGGAGAGGAGCUAGCCAAACUGCUGGAGGCCGGAUUCAUCAGAGAUAUAAAACAUCCGGACUGGCUAGCAAACCUGGUGAUGGUACCAAAGAAGGACAAAUCCUGGCGCCUGUGCGUCGAUUUCAAGGACCUCAACAAGGCUUGCCCAAAAGAUCCCUUCCCCCUCCCCCGCAUCAAUCAAAUCAUCGACGCUACCGCAGGACACGAUUCAUUGUGUUUCCACGACGCAUACUCCGGCUACCAUCAAAUUAAGAUGGCAGAGCCAGACCAAGCCGCAACGGCAUUCAUCACCCCAUACGGCCCAUUCUGCUUCAACACAAUGCCCUUCGGGCUCAAAAACACCGGCGCAACAUAUCAGCGCAUGAUUCAGACAUGUCUGGCAAACCAGAUUGGCAAAACAGUUGAAGCAUACGUAGAUGACGUGGUCGUCAAAACCAAACAUGUCGAAACUCUAGUAGACGACUUGAGGCUCACAUUCGAUAACCUCCGAACAUAUGACAUCAAGCUUAACCCGGAAAAAUGCGUUUUCGGCGUGCCAGCCGGAAAGCUCCUGAGCUUCAUUGUAUCCGGUAGAGGAAUCGAAGCAAACCGAGCCAAGAUCCGAGCUCUAUCACAAUUGGAUAUUCCAAAUGACCUCAAGCAAAUACAAAAAUUGACUGGAUGCGUGGCAGCUCUAAGCCGCUUCAUCUCCCGCUUAGGAGAAAAGGCAUUACCCCUUUAUCGCCUCCUCCGGCGCACCGAACACUUCGAGUGGACGGAUGCCGCCAUGGCCGGACUCGAAGAAAUAAAAGCCAUAUUGGCAACAAACCCGGUCCUGGCCGCGCCCAACAUUGGCGAACCAAUGCUAUUAUACAUUGCGGCAACUCAUCAAGUUGUAAGAGCAGUGCUCGUCGUUGAACGAGAAACGGACGGACACAAAUUCCCCCUUCAAAAACCAGUUUACUACGUGUCCGCUGUCCUCACUCCAUGCAUGUCACGGUACCCGCAUUAUCAAAACAUAGCGUACGCGGUGUUCAUGGUAUCCCGGAAGCUAUGCCACUACUUUCAAGAGCGUUCAAUAACAAUAGCCUCCGAAGUACCUCUUAACGACAUUAUAAACAACCGCGACGCGACGGGCCGGAUUGCCAAAUGGGCCAUUGAGCUCCUCCUGUUCGACAUCACCUAUAAGCCAUGGCGAGCUAUAAAGUCGCAAGUUUUGGCCGACUUUGUCGCCGAAUGGACUGAAGCCGAACUCCCUAAAGAGUAUGGCACAUAUUCCAACUGGAUCAUGCACUUCGACGGCUCCAAAAUGUUAGCAGGUCCGGGGGCUGGCAUCGUUCUGACGUCCCCAACAGGAGAUAUAGUUCAAUAUGUACUCCAGAUAAUGUAUACGGAAUCUAACAAUGCAGCCGAAUACGAGGCCCUUCUACAUGGUCUCCGGAUGGCAGUCUCCAUGGGCAUCCAACGCCUAGAGGUGCGCGGGGAUUCGAACCUCGCGAUAUCCCAAAUAAAUGGAGAUUUUGAUGCCAAGGAUCCGAAAAUGGCAGCUUAUCGCAACGCCAUCCUAAAAAUGUCAGCUCGGUUCGAGGGCCUCGAAUUUCACCAUAUAGCCCGGGAAAACAAUCAGGCAGCAGAUGUCUUGGCACGCAUCGGCGCAAAGCGCGAUGCAGUCCCCCCCAACAUUUUCUUGGAGAGGCUAUUCAAGCCAUCCGUACAAUGGGAAGGGGAAUCCGAAAAUAACAACCCGGACCCUGCCGCACCACCUGACAACGAACAUUCUGACACAACGGGAGGCUCUGCCAACGAAGUAACAUCCUCAGCCCACGUAAUAAUGGCAGUCAUUGCCCCAUGGACAGAACCAUUCUUAGCCUACUUAACUAGGCAGGAACUCCCCAGGACCAAAACGAGGCACGCUGGAUAGUGCGGCGAUCUAAAGCCUAUAAAGUCCACGAAGGAGAGCUUUAUUAGAAAAGCACCACUGGAGUCCUUCAAAGGUGUAUCUCCAAAGAGGAAGGGCAGAACCUUCUGGCUGAAAUUCAUGCCGGACUCAGCGGGCACCACGCCGCAGCCCGGACCCUUGUAAGCAAGGCCUUCCGUACUGGAUUUUACUGGCCGACGGCCCGGGAAGAUGCUCAGGACUUAGUCCAAUGAUGCGUCGGUUGCCAAUUAUUUGCUAACCAAACCCACAUUCCACCAUCGCCCUCCAAACUAUACCCAUCACCUGGCCCUUUGUGGUCUGGGGGCUUGACAUGGUUGGACCCCUUAAAGGAGCAACCCACAAGCAAAAAUACCUACUGGUCAUGGUGGACAAAUUCACCAAAUGGAUAGAGGCCAAGCCUGUUAAGACGGCCGAACCCGGACCGGUGAUAGACUUCAUAUCAGGGGUCGUACACCGUUACGGCGUCCCCCAUAGCAUCAUCACUGAUAAUAGCACGAACUUUACGGCCGACGAGGUUAAACUCUGGUACAAAAACAUGGGCAUCAAGCUCGACUGCGCUUCAGUCUAUCACCCACAAACUAACAGUCAAGUCGAGCGAGCAAAUGGUAUGAUCAUGAGCGGCAUCAAACCCAGAUUAGUGCGAUCCCUCAAGGAAUCUAACACGCACUGGGUAGAGGAGCUCGACUCCGUACUCUGGGGGCUGUGAACCACGCCGAAUCGCACUAUCGGAUUCACACCAUUCUUUAUGGUAUACGGCGCAGAGGCAGUCCUGCCCUGCGACAUAAUUCAUGACCCACCUCGCAUGCGCAUGUAUGAAGAAAGAGAAGCCGAACUCGAUCGACAGGACAGUUUGGACGCAUUGGAGGAGGAGCGCGACGUGGCAAAAGCCCAUUCCGCAUUCUAUCAACAGCAGGCUUGUAGAUAUCAAAGCAGAGAAGUACGGGCCAAAACUUACAAUGUUGGCGAAUUAGUUCUAUGCCUGCCGGACAAGAAAAAGGACAAACUCAAGCCCAAAUGGGAAGGUCCAUUCAUAAUCAACCAAGUCCUGACUGGUGGAGCGUACCGUUUGCGAAAUGCAUCGGAUAACCGACUCGAGUCGAACCCAUGGAACGCAGCACGCCUACGAAGAUUCUACGCCUAGCGCCGGACACUGUGUUCGUCUCCUUCCUCUGUCUAUUUUUUACACAUUAGCUGUCUUACAUUUCUCUCCUUCUCCCUCUUUUUCUCUUACAAGCCUUUAAGGGCUCGCUUGCACAUAGUUCGCACACAAUUGACGCGCUACCCGCGCUCAUUAUACCUGGGGGCUUUUUUAUCAGAAGAUUGUAUAUAUGGGCCUCAUGCCCAACACAUGUGUCACACUUCCGCAUGAACCUUUUGUUCACCAGUAUAUGCAUCGAUAUGACUUAAGUUUUGGCCAAGCUGGGUUGCCUGGCUCCUGUGCUUACCCCUACGUUCCCGAUUGUUCGGCUAGGUGGUAAAGGGAGCACCUCUGCGAUUGUUACUGCCGGGUCAGCCGGAUGUGUACCUCAGACUGGGUGAAGCCGAAAGCUAGCGUUCUUAAGGGAAUAUUCGGUCGAUGAACUAAAAGAUGAUUUUUCACUUGUUUAUUUAUCCGCCCCCAGAUGCUUUUCUGCUUUUUUCGUAGUCUGGACAUGCACUUUAGGGCAUGCCUCCCAGGGAAAGGAACCCCUAACAAAACUAUUCUCCCUGGAAGAUGUUUCUUACUAACCAUGUAAUAUAACAUAACUAGUUGGGCACUUGUCUGCUAAAGCACUAAUGACCCCUACGCCUGGUCUCCACGCAUACCCCGGUUCUUACAUAACCAAGAGGGUAUUCGGACACACUCCGGACUAUUGGGUCCAGAGGUUGAAGCGAAAAGGUCCGCAAUGACAAAUGAUCUACAAUCCGGCUAGAAGGCAUUUUACAUGUCAUCUUAAAUUACGUAGUCAAUUUCACUGGGUAUAUUCUUCUUCAAUACCAUCCAACAGGCUGUCCAAUUUAUAGUCCUGUUGGGAAUACUUGGCGGCCAACUCUACCUGGCUGUACACUAAACUGACAGGGAUCUCUUUCCCAUCGGGCCCCACAGGUCCGACCUCGGCCAUGUGGUUUGGGUCAGCCUUCGUGUACCGUGUCUUCACCAUGGCCCAGGCCUCCCUGGCGCCUUGAUGGCAGGCCAAUAUCUUCCACAAUCGGAAGCGCCACCGUGCUCCCUUCAGCUUCUCUGCAAGCUCUCCAAGGCUUUCGGGCAUGGAGACAGAUGGCCACAAGGCCUGGGCGACGUCUUGCAUCACCUGCCAAACUCGUUUGUGCAGUUGUGAUAGCUCGGGAAGAAGGUCACUCGUAGAACCGGGCAUUUCCUCCGCAGGCCGACCUGUCAGCAUACCUACAGACAUAACUCUGUCAAUCGACUUCCUCGCCGAACUCUUUUUCGAAAGUUCGUUCAAGCACUUACUAAAAAUGCCUCGUCGAAGCCGCUGAUUCUCCUUUACGGAGUCCGACAGCUGAGCACGAACAUCCUUUAGUUCCUCGCCUAGCUGGGUGUUGGCAUCUUGAAGCUUGUUCUUCUCUUGCCUCACCCUCGUAAGCACGCUCUCGCCAGCCUUUACCUGGCGCAAGAGUUGCUGCUUGUCCGGAUCCACUCCGGCGCCAUCUGCACUAUUAUUGUCAGAAUUGCACACAUGCCGCACUUCACAACAUACUCAUCUUUUGAAGCAUAUAUUACCAGAGGGGGUCUCCUUGGCCUUCCCUGUUGCGGCUAGUGCGGCCUCAAGUUGGGCUUUGCACUCUUCCAGCUCCUGGGACAGUUGGGUAUUCUUUUCUGUAAGAUCCUGCAUAACAAAUGAUCCUUAAAUUAGUUAUUCUAACUGUUUCAAGUCUCGGGGGCUACUGACAUAUAUAACCAUCAAAUUUUCUCACCCGUAUGUCUUUUACAUACUGCUCUGUGGCUCUGGCUAGACCAUUUUUAGCGGCACAAAGGUACGCAUCUCCCGUAUUAAAGGCGUCCAAUGCCUCUUGGCAAAAACAAGCGUCACGAAGAACAGUCUGGCGACGCCUGUGGUUCAUGGCACUCUCCACCUCGGAAUUGGUGGCAGACAGCCCGUCCGCAUCCUCUGUCGGAGGAGCAUUUAGUGCGCGCCCCUGUUCGCCUCCGCUUCCGGACCCGGCCUUGAAGCCUGGCCGGUGGAUAUAGUCCGGCGGGCGCUCUUCUUCCUGAAGAGAGCAUGAGCGUUAGUAUGCCUUGAGGGCAUAAACCAUGGGCAUUAAAAUUGCACGCCGUACCGUUGCACCGGUGUCUCGAUCCGGUCCGCACUUCUUUUUAGCUCGCUGGGCCUCGAUGGCCCUUGUUAGCUAGCCACCGCGGGCUCGUCCCUCCGCCUCAAGGACUUCCCCUGCAAAAAUCGCAAUUGGUAUACGGUGAUAAAAAAUAAGCACGGAUGGAUCCUCUUGAAAAUACUGGGACUUUGGUCUCGGUUACCUUUGAGGCUGGAAGUAGUCCGGGAUAAUCGGCCGUAAUGGCCACUAAGGUGUUGUCCUUACUCAAUUGAUGAAACACCCCAUCAAUCAUCUCCACAAACAAGUCCGGGUCCUCUUGGGAGUCCGGAUCGAGGGACCGUUCCGGGUCCUCGGGUUGCGGAGGAGGGCUGUUUAUCUCCUUUACAGCCUGGCGUAGCUCCUGUGUUGGAACUGUCAGACUAAGUACUUAACUAUGGGAAUAUGAGACGGAUAGACAAGUUAAAAGUAUCUGCUUACCCAGCUUAGAGGAUUGUACAUAGAAAAUCCGCCCCGUGGGUUGACGCGGAGGAAUUCCUCCUCUUCUCCCUUGUACAAAGCGGACAAGAUCUCUAUUAGAGCGGCAGCUGAUUCUGGCCCCUUACGGCCGCACCGGGUGGCGUCGUCCUCCCCGUUGAAAUCCCACAUGGGGUGUCCUCUAUACUGAAGCGGUUGCACCCCCCGCAUAAUGCAUGUGGCCAUGACCUCGAUCAUGGUCAGUCCGGAAUGAGCUAACAACCUUAUCCGGUUCAUCAGGUAAAGGACGUCCCUGUCAUUUUCCUUCUGAUGGCUCCGUGGGCGCCAGCUUAGGCACUUCUUCAAAGGAGCAUUAUUGAACUCAGGGAGGCCGAUCCGAACAGGGUCCGGCAGGGGGACGUCUUCUAUAUAAAACCAUUCUGAAGGACAGUCUUCGAACGUCUUCUUUGGGGUUCCGGAUAGAUAUCUGGUCACGGCGAUGCGCCAUAGUUCGGCUCCGCCCACUUGAUAUAUCGACCCCUCAUAAGAACGGGGCAUAAGGCAGAACAUCUUCUUCCACAGUGCGAAAUGAGCCUCGAUGCCCAGAAACAGCUCGCAAAGGGCUACGAAGCCCGCAAUAUGCAAUAUGGAGGCAGGCGUAAGGUUGUGCAACUGGAGGCUGUUGAACUCCAGGAGCCCCCAGAGAAACGGAUGAAUUGGAAAUCCGAGCCCUCUUAUCAAAUAAGGGACAAGGCAUACCCGCUCUCCUUUGGAGGGAUUAGGGACGCUCUCCGCUUGCUCUCCACCAUUAUAGGUGGCAAGCCCGGCUCGAACCGGGACCAUGAAGGCUGGGGGGAGAAACCUCUUGGCUUGGAGCGCCACUAGCUCGCUGUGCGGGACGGAGCAUCUCUCCCAAUCUCCAGGCUGAGGGCUGGGGGCGCGAGAGGAGGAGUUGCGUCGACUAGCCAUGAUGGAAUGGAUCUCUGUUGAAAGCGCUCCGAUGAAUGCUCGUGGAGGGAAGAUGGUGUGGUUUGGAUCUAAAUCCCUGUCUCUUUUACAGAUGGCUCUUUUUAUGCAGCUAGGGGGCAAAUGAAAAAAAUACCCUGGCUUUUCGCAUUCGUUUGACACGUGGAAGAUGGCCAUAAUUGGGCGCAGAAGCCAAGAAGCGCAACAUUCACCAGAAGCCGGACGUUAUUCAACGGGUAUAUGGAAUUUGGAGAGGAACCCGCCUUGCAAUGCCGAAGACAAAUCAGCGCGCCGGACUCAUCGUCAUUGAAGCCUGGUUCGGGGGCUACUGAGGGAGUCCUGGAUUAGGGGGUGUCCGGAUGGCUGGACUAUAUACUUUGGCCGGACUCCUGAACUAUGAAGAUACAAGAUUGAAGACUUUGUCCCGUGUCCGGAUGGGACUUUCCUUGGCGUGGAAGGCAAGCUUGGCGAUACGGAUAUGUAGAUCUCCUCCCAUUGUAACCGACUCUGUGUAACCCUAGCCCUCUCCGGUGUCUAUAUAAACCGGAGGGUUUUAGUCCGUAGGAUGAACAACAAUCAUACCAUAGGCUAGCUUCUAGGGUUUAGCCUCUCUGAUCUCGUGGUAGAUCUACUCUUGUACUACCCAUAUCAUCAAUAUUAAUCAAGCAGGAGUAGGGUUUUACCUCCAUCGAGAGGGCCCGAACCUGGGUAAAAACAUCGUGUCCCUUGUCUCCUGUUACCAUCCGCCUAGACGCACAGUUCGGGACCCCCUACCCGAGAUCCGCCGGUUUUGACACCGACACCAUACUUCUUCUUCAAAUUUUUCUGCAAUUCUGUUGGUCCCACUUCUGAAUCCUCUAAAAUCCAGGUCUUCACAACAUCAACAACCCAUCUACUCUUAGCUGACCUCAAUCUUUUCCUCAUGUUCACACUGGGACAUGUAUGAGCAGUCUUGUUCACUUUAACCUGCAUUCAUGAUAGUUCAGAAACAUGUCAGAACCUAUGUGCUGCAACAAAAAAACAAAAUACAGUAUCAAUGCUGCUAACUACAAAUGCACUGUUAGUUGCUAUAUUUAAUACCUGAAACAGUGUGCUGUGUCUCAUUAAGGAGGCAUGCAUCCUCCAUUGACACCUCUUAUAAGCACAAUGCACUGUCAACCUAGUACUGUCACUCUUGUCUAUCACAAAUUCACUUUGAGUCUUUAUUGAGAAGGUUGCAAGGGCAUUUCUACAGUCUAAAGCACUGGAAAAUAUUGUUCCCUCUUUCAAAGAAGGAUCAUCUCUAUUGUAUUGCACAUCUGGUCUUUCCUCAUCAGAUGUUUCAGAGUACCCCAUGUCAUUGUCCUCCUCUUUCUCAUCUUCACCUGCCUCACCAAACAUGCCUUCAGGGGGUGGAACAUAAUCUUCCCCCUCAUCAUCUUUCUCCUUGCCCUUCUUCCUUGUACCAAACUGUGGAAACAACCUUUCAUCUGCAUCAUCACUUGGCCAAUCAUCUGGUAGUCCCUCUUCAGUGUAUGGGUCACCUGAAUCUUUAUUAUUAGAGGGACAUGCAUGCCUAGGAACUUCUAUAGUAGGUGUUCCUGGUGCCUGCAUGGAACUGCUGCCUCCACUAUGAGUUGUUGUUUUUCUGCCCCUUGAUUGGCUAGUUCUACCUUUAACUGUAGACCUAGACUGAGAUCUUGUUCCUCUGCUCUCCGGCUCUCCUCUCUCCCUCUGUAUGACACUGAUUUCUAGUUUAGCAGGGAAAGAAUCAUGUAUUGCAAACAUGAUACCAAGCUCAUCAUCACACUGGACAGGGACCCAUGCUGAUUUGUCAAUGUCCCAGUACCUGAAUUCCACUGCAUCGUAUAGACCCCAUGGAUAUUUAGCAGAUAUGGCAGAUCUAAACUGAUUGAAAGUCCAUUGAUUGUCAGCAACAAAAGGAAAAGAGAAUCAUGUGUUGGAUGCUUUUGUGCCAGCACUAGCUAGAAGUGUGGUUUCCAUUCUACAAUCCAUCCCAACUGCUCUAUCGGGGUCCAUCCUACGAUGACCAUGGAAAACAGAGACAGAUCCCAACACCAUGAGCACUAUGAACUAGGUCAACAAAUUAAACUACAAGAACAAAUCGAACUACAAACGACAUGAGACUGCAGCAGAUUACAAGAGAUACUUACCCCGCCGAAGCAUUCUUCUGUAGCUGCAGUGUGCUCCCUCGUUCGUCGCCACCGCAACUGCUGUCCCCAUCCAUCCCGUCGCCUGUGUCUCCUUCACGCAGUAGCAGAGUGCGACACGGAGUCAAAUCCGAAGCUCCACCAUGGCCGCCAUCAGUAGGUCGAGCCUUAGGAGUUGGGAUCGACCGGAUCGAGCGAGCUAGGGUUAGGGUUACAGCGGGAGGCGAUUUGGGGGAGAAAGAGAGAGUGUGCGGCUCGGGCGAGAGAAUGAGAGGGGGAGAGAGUGAACCGGUGACCUGGGCCCAGGUGUAAGGACGAAGGGGCAAAAAUGUCAAAGAAACGGCCGCUUACCAGUCAAACAGUCUUGACUGGACGGAAACGGCACGGAAGGGCAAUUCUAUAAGGGAACAUGACGGCGGAGGGGCAUUUUUGAGCAGGCUUUCGAAUUAGGGGCAAAUGUGAGUAGUGGGUUCGAGUUAGGGACACAGAUGUAAAAGACCCAUUAUUCUUUUAUAAUCCAAUCAUAAACACGUUUUGCGGUACAUGCCAAUAAAUAAAAUUUGAAUGAUAUGUGGUAGCUUCCUGUAUUCCUUUAUACUCCUUUGUAUACAAAUAUAUGAUGUUUUAGAUCUCUAGAAAUGGGGGACAACAUCAAAGGCAAAGGGACUAUACAUGUUUGUCACCAUCUUAACAAUACAAAGUUUGUGUUACUGACUUAUUAUAUGGAUCAGUUUUUUGUUUGGCAUAUCUGUAUGCUAAGUUCUACUCCCUCGUUCCUAAAUAUUUGUCUUUUUAAAGAUUUCAAAUGGACUACCACUUGUUGGGUGCCUCUUGUAGGGAGUAUGUGUGUUUUCACUUGUAGGGUGUCUCUGCAGUCAAUGUGUUUUAUGAACUCCUGAGCCAAGGCAGCAUAAGUGUUAUGCACCUAGAAACCAAGAAGCACGUUGCUCCUGUCGAGCUGUGUCCGAUACCGAAAACACUUUACAAGAUUUUAAUCAAGAGGUUGAAAUGCUCUUGGAUCACCAUUGUUGCCUCUUGUAGUUACAUGUCUUUCUUUUGUUACAGUCCCGUUGCCUCUACAACUGUCUGAAUUUUCUGUAGUACUUACGCACUUGCAGGGAGCUUGGUACCAGCUCCAUUCUUGAGGCGAUACGAGAUGAAUCAAUGUCUGAUCCACGGGAAAGAAUCGAGAUGGCACAAUGCCAGUCCCUCUACCGACCUUCUCUCCUCGGCCUGCCUAAAGGCGAUAUCAAGCCGUAGUAGUUGCAGCCUUUAUUUUUGCAGAAAUGCUGCGAGUUUGCACGGUUUGCUGAUCCUUCUUCCGGUGUACCCCGCAAGUGCAUAUUUGUAGCAUAUAUAUAUGCUUAUGCGUAGCACGAGAUGAGUUUUCUUAAUAGCAAGGCGAGAUAAACUUCUUAUUGUCCGUUGAACUUAAACUCGUUGCCACUGCUUUAGUUGACUGGCAGUGUUGACUUCAGAAAUAGAGGACGCCUGUAGCUCUGUAUAUGUAAUGCUUGUAUGCCCGUGGUACCGCCUGCUCAUCGCAUAUCUGCAACGAGCCGAGCAUCUUCAUGGCUUCAUCUUUCACUGGCUUGCCAAGAGGGAUGAUACAUUGGUUGUGUUAGAAUAUAAGUUGAGUUUAAAUAUAGAGAUAAGGUGUAGAGAUCCCUCCGGUGAGAAAACCAAUCCCUCCGGUGAGAAAAUUUGCAGUAAAUAGUUCCGGUUGCGCGACGGUACGUGCGCCGCAGACUACCACGGCAACAGCGUCCAGCACCAGGCGGGUGUUGGAAAGCAAAUUGCAUGCACGGAGCGAAGGCUCCAUGCAUGAUGCAUCUGAGGAGAAAUUCAUAACGUACGCGUACAUCCGGAGUUCAAGCCACGACCGGCCACCCAGCCUGAUCGACACACGCGACGGAGCGCGGUGCUACAAUCCGCGCGCAUGCGUUACCCGGCUGCUCCGGCGCAGGCCUCCACGCAUCGCCGGAUCCAAGAUCCAGCGGCUCCAGUACGACGACACCAGGCGGCCAUCGAGGCCACGGCGGGCCAAGAGGACUCCACCAGAAGACGCCAACACGGGCAGGCCCCCUUCACCUCGAGCCACGCGCGACUUCAGGGCACACCAGGCCGACACCUCCCCGGUGCGAUCUACAUCAACACCACAUGCCGUGGCCGGAGAUCUAAUCUGACCCGCGCCGCCGAGACUCCAGCCUCCACCGACCGGCUUCGUCGACCCAGCACGAACUUCUUCUUGCGCAUGACGCACACACUGCGCCCGAAUGUGCUUCAUCGUCGCCCGCGUACUUGUUAGAUCCCAACUAUGAUAUGAGUUACAGAACAGGGGAAUAAUGCAAUUGGAACUGAAUUUAACUCCCAAUCACGGAGACCCAGCUAUGAAUUUGGGAUUUCUACAGCAGUAGCUAGAUAAACUAGGGUUUGAUAGUUUGGGGAUACAAUGAUUGAAUGGUUCUCAGUGAUGCGCACGCAGGCGCCUUAUAGUCCAGCACCGAGCUGGAAAGCGAGGUGAAAAGAAAGGUAAAAGGGCAGCGGCAAUAACUGAAGAAAGACAGUGCUUGGUGCUGCAUCGACCGUCCAUCUCGCUCCGCCAUCUCAGCCGUCGGAUCUUCAUAACUGUGGCUGAACCGACACACUGCAUAUAACUGAACUUACAAUGGUGUUGACUCAGAGAAUGCAGGUUGCUAACAGUACUGCUGCAUCGGCCUCCAGGGUUUGCGCGCAUGGGCGCAGGGCAGGAUCGAGGCGUGGCACACACCAUCUCCAUCCAUGCAUCUGGGUUCCACUUCCACCACGUGUCAGGCGCGUUCCGAUCAGCACCGACCCAGCCGCAGAUGACGGGAGGGCGAAAUUCCGUGUGCACGACAUCGAGUCCACCGCGCGAUAGCACGGCUGCCGGCUGCACAUCUAUUGCGGGUCUCCUGCACUGGAGCUUCUUUGACAUUGUCUACACCGAGCCAAUCUUCACCAACAUCGCCACCUCUUCAUCGACCCACUGCCACGUCAUCAAGUUGUAGGACUACAUCAGGACCAACAAAACAUUAUCUUCAUCAAGGACAUCUCCGACGCAACACGACAUCGACACAUUGUCGCCGCGAGGGACGCCUUCAAGCGUCAUCAUCAUCGACAUGCCGCUGCGACGUCAUUGUUGACAUUUCAUCGUCAAGGUCUUCAUCAACGUGGUCUUAAUCAACAUCUUCGUAACACACCGCCGCUGCCUCGUCCACAAGAUGGACACAAAGUGUUGGGGAUAUUACUACUAGGUGUGAACCGGCCUACCUGGGCCGGGUUAACUUCAUUAGUAGUAUAAAGGUGAUUAAGCAGAUGAAGGCCCAAGGCCUGUAGUCGGUUUAGAACCUGUAGCCGUAAACCGGUUUGAUAUGUAAACUUGCAUUGUAAGUUAGGAAUAGAGAGAGACCAACCGGGAUACGAGUAUGAACCGGUGUGGGACUCUGUGGACCGACGGGCGUCACCCGUGUAUAUAAGGGGGCGACCCGGCGGCGGUUCAAAGAGAGACAACAACAACUCGAGCCUAGGCGAAGCUUGUUUGCUCCCUAGCCAUCGAAACCACAUCAAUUCCAUCACAACUAGACAUAGGCUUUUACCUUCAUCGAAGGGGCCGAACUAGUAUAAACCCUUGUGUCUUUGUGUCCGCUUUAACCCCUUCAAGUUAACCCGUAGCGAUGGCUCCACGACUAAGUCCUUUCACAAGGACAUCUGCCGUGACAAAUCCACGACAAUUGGCGCCCACCGUGGGGCUAUCACACGACGGUUUGAUGAUCUUGGAGGGCAAGCUCAAAGGACUCGAAGGCUAUGCUGUGGGCCGGAUGACCAAGAGUCGUCACGGCAAGCUCUACAUCGACGAUGCAGGAUGGGGUCCCGAAGCCAGCUCGAUCGAGUACGGGUACCGGGUCCCCUUUGGUGGCAUACACGUUUUUAUCGGCAAGAUUGGUGAGCCUGGGCCUGAGCCGGACAUCCGCACCGACCUCGUCGAGACGGCUCAGCGUGCGAGAUCUUCCCAGGAUAAACAGGCCGUGAAGCGUGCCUUCGUGGGAGUCAUCCACGGAGGAGAGCAUGGGCACGAGUUAGAAUACGGUAGCGAGACUGUCGUCUAUUCCGGCGAUGAGUCCUCAACCGGAGAGACCAAAUCACUGUACCAGUUGCAAGACGACCAGAUUAGGAGUUGUUCCGAUGGCGACAGUAUUCCGGACCCCCCUAAGCAGAUCAACCGGGUUGGAAUAUUCAUGGCCGGUACGCAGGCGGCGAAUCACUCCUCGACCACAGCAGCAAUGUUCUCCGGAUCAGCAGCGGCAGCGGCAGCAGGGGCAGGAGGCCUUGUGUGCCUGCCGGUUCAAGUUCUGUCUGACCUGUUUGAUGCACUAGCUGUACUUAUGGCAGAGGCUAAUCCGGCGGAUCAGGAGGCCCAUAAUGCAGAGGUUGCAAAGGUGAGAGAGCAGAUCGCACAAGCCAAAGCUGACCUGGCAGCAGAGAAGGACAGGAUGGCCAUAGAGCGGGCCGCUUUGGACGCCCAGGCCUAUAAGCUCAUGCUCGACCAGAACGCAUCACAGAAAGUCUUGAAGCGGAAGCACAGAUCACGCCUGCUGUUAGGGUUCGACCCUCGAAAUCUCUUUCACACUCCGGGAGAUGGAACCAGUAAUCCGUCGGGGCACAUGGAGGUAAACCGGGUCGAGGCACCAGGGCCAGGAGCGACGGUCCAACCCCGCCUGAUGGAACCUCCUCGGCAGAACAUUGUGAUUCCUCCGCUGGUCCAGACACCUUCGGGUCAUUAUUCUAAUCCUAUGGACAAUCUUGUCGCAGCUGCUGCGCGAUUAGAAGCUAUCCCGGUCGAAGGAGACUCUCCGCAAGCAAUAGAGACGCGCCGGGUUAAGGAACUUCUCGGGACCGCUUUGAUUCAAUAGGAGGCAUAUUCAUACAGCCGCGAUCGAAUUCAUUCCACACCUCGUCCAAGCCGGAGCUAUAGUAGGUGCCUGGAUGAAUCGGCCAUAUCAAGCAAUGCGCGGGGCCGUGAAGCGGCCCGUGGCAAUAACCCGGCCGGUGGUGUUCACGAUGCUCAGGAUGUAGUGGACCGGACCCAGGCACGAAGGGAGGCCGAGUUAGCAACACAGAACGAGGCGGAUCAGCUUGCACCAGUUCGUCCUACCACCUCUGCCGGGCCAGGGGUCGCAUCUAGCUUGGGAGUGCACUAUUUAGUCCCCGCCUUACGCAAUGUACGCCUGCCCAAGGACUUCAAGGGCCCGCACAAGGUGCCAAAUUACACCGUUGAUUUAUCUCCAGAAGCGUGGGUAGAGAGUUAUGAGAUGGCAAUGGAGAUGUUGGAUGUGGAUGAGACCGCGUGUGCAAAGUACUUCACCAUGAUGCUUGAAGGCACAGCCCGUACUUGGUUGAAAAGCAUGCCGCCUAAUUCUAUCAGUUCAUGGGCCCAGUUGCGGACCCGGUUUAUCCAGAAUUUCAAAGAUACGUGUAAGCAGCCUAAGUCCAUAGUAGACUUGGCGGCUUGUGUUCAGGAGGACGGAGAGUCAACAACCCAUUGGGUACGCCGCGUUUCUGAAGUCUUGCACUCGUCUGACAGGAUCAAUGCUGACUCUGCGAUCUUAACCCUGGAGGGCAACUGCCGGUUUAAGCCUCUAAAGCAGAAGUUGGGGCGUAUGAAGCGGUUCUGUAAUGACAUGGGAACUCUCAUGGCCGCUUUAGUGAAGUAUGCUGAUUCUGAUAGUACCAAGGAUCCCGAAACUGACGAUGACGAAGCAGGGAAGGAAAAAAGAAUAGCAACUCUAAGGGGCAUCAAUACAAACCGGUGGGCCAUGGAAACGGAGGCAAGCGUAAGGCGGAUGGCAGCAUGGACUUUGUGGCUAACACUAAUGCGCAGGACAAGGGUCAGCGGCACAGAGGUAAAGCGGCGAAUCGUAACGGGGCUCCAAAUCCUAACCCGGAUUGCUUAAACUAUUUGCUGAAUCAGCCUUGCCCAAACACACGGGACGAAGGAGGCGCCGGCUAACCACCUUUGGAAGGAUUGUUACAUUAUGCAGGAAUUUAAAAACUCUAAUGCCUUCCGGUAUGACCGUGGGUCAGGUGGUGGCUCAAGAUCCGGUUUCCAUGGGCCGGGUCACGAUGGAGCUUCCGGUUCAGUUUUCAAUCAGGGCGGUAAUAAUAACCAAGAUAAUCAGAACGGUCAAGGGGGUUACAACCAACAGCAGCAGCAGCAGCGGUCGGGUUAUCAGAGCCAGCCAGAACAGUUGAACAAUGAGCAGUAUCACGUUUUCACAACUAGCUUGGAUAAGCGCGACCGGAAACUUCAUAAGCGAGCAGUGAACUCUGUUGAACCGGCCGUACCGCAUUAUUUACGCUGGUCGGAGCAGCCUAUCGUGUGGAGCAGGGAGGAUCACCCCCCCCCCCCCGGGUUGACAAUCCGGGCCAGUUGGCAUUAGUGGUAGACCCUCAGGUGGGAGGUUAUAAAUUCACCAAGGUACUCAUGGAUGGAGGGAGCAGUAUUAACAUCCUGUACUAUGAGACAUUCCGCCGCAUGGGGCUAACAGACAAGGAUCUCAGACCGUCUAAUACGGUGUUCCAUGGUGUGGUGCCUGGCAAAUCAGCAUAUCCUGUUGGUAAGAUAGCCAUGGAGGUGUCUUUUGGGGACGAGCAUGAUUCCCGAUCCGAGACACUAACCUUUGAGGUGGUGAAGAUCCGGAGCCCGUAUCACACCUUGUUUGGGCGGCCGGCUUAUGCCAAAUUCAUGGCACGGCCUUGUUAUAUCUAUUUGCAGCUCAAGAUGCCGGGUUACAAAGGGACAAUAACGGUUCAUGGGAGCCGCAAGAUUGCUUUGGAAUGUGAGGAAGGUGAUGCGGCCUAUGCAGAGUCGGCUUGUGCCACAGAGGAGUUAAAAUAUUAUAGGGACAAUGUUGAUUCGGCGGACAUGACCCCUUUGAAGAAGCCAACUACGGAGCAUGAUUCAGAUCUGAAGUUCAAAUCAGCGGCUGAGACCAAGCUUGUUGACUUCGUGCCCGGCGAUUCGUCCAAGCAGUUCACUGUCAGUGCCAACUUGGACCCUAAAUAGGAAAGCGCGCUCAUCGAGUUCAUCCGUGAGAAUCGGGACAUUUUUGCAUGGAAGCCUUCUGACAUGCCAGGUGUACCGAGGCAACUCGCUGAGCACACUCUUAAUGUUGAUCCCAAGUAUAAACCGGUAAAGCAAUUUCUCCGCCAGUUUAACGAAGAGAGGCGCAAAACUAUUGGGGAGGAGGUGGCCAGGCUCUUAGCAGCUGGUUUUAUCAUUGAAGUGUUCCAUCUAGAGUGGCUUGCUAAUCCAGUGCUGGUUCUUAAGAAAAAUGGCACUUGGCGUAUGUGUGUGGAUUAUAUGGAUCUUAACAAGGCUUGUCCAGCGGAUCCUUUUGCCCUCCCCCUCAUUGACCAGAUUAUUGAUGCCACGGCGGGUUGUGAGCGUUUGAGUUUUUUGGAUGCGUAUUCUGGGUAUCAUCAGAUCGAAAUGGCGGUUAAGGACCAGGAGAAGACGGCGUUUAUUACUCCCUUUGGAGCCUUUUGCUAUGUAUCUAUGCCUUUUGGGCUCAAGAGCGCCCAAGCCACUUAUCAACGGUGUGUACAGAAUUGCCUGCAUAAACAGAUCGGCCGCAAUGUGCACGCCUAUGUGGAUGAUAUUGUAGUCAAGUCAAGGCGGAAGGAGACGCUGGUUGAUGAUUUAAAGGAAACCUUUGACAACUUGCGGGUUUAUAAGAUGAUGCUUAACCCUGCCAAAUGUGUCUUUGGUGUUCCGGCAGGCAAGUUACUGGGCUUUCUUGUGUCCAACAGAGGAAUUGAGGCUAAUCCGGAGAAGAUUACGGCUAUCACCUCCCUGGCUAAACCGAAGUGUAUCAACGAUGUUCAGCGUUUGGCAGGUCGGAUUGCCGCACUGAGCCAGUUUAUCAGCCGUCUCGGAGAGAAGGCCAUCCCUUUAUACCAGAUGUUGAGAAAGACAGAUCAAUUCAUCUGGAGUCCAGCUGCUGAUGAAGCGUUGGAGGACUUGAAGCGGCAAUUAGCCAAUCCGCCCGUUCUUGCAGCUCCGGUCGACAAGGAGCCGUUAUUGUUAUACGUAGCGGCCAAUGCUCGUGCAGUUAGCGUGGCUAUUGUGGUAGAACGCAAGGAGGCAGGCAAGGAGUAUCCGGUUCAGCGGCCGGUUUACUAUAUCAGCGAGGUGCUUAUUGAAUCCAAGCAAAGGUAUCCGCAUUGGCAGAAGCUGGUAUAUGGAGUUUUCAUGGCAAGCCGGAAGUUGAAGCAGUAUUUCCAAGGGCACCCUAUCACAGUGGUCAGUUCAGCUCCCUUGGGCGAUAUCAUACAGAACCGGGAGGCGACCGGCCGGAUUGCAAAGUGGGCUAUAGAACUUGGACCGCACGGAUUGAAGUACGUACCCUGGACGGCGGUGAAGUCUCAAGCACUUGUUGAUUUCAUCAAUGAUUGGACUGAGUUGCAAGCACCAGAGGAGAAGCCGGAUCACACAUAUUGGACUAUCCAUUUUGAUGGAUCCAGGCAAUUGGAAGGCUCGGGGGCCGGAGUCGUGUUAACUUCCCCACGAGGUGAUAAGUUUUGUUAUGUUCUCCGCUUAAUGUUCCCUUGUACUAAUAAUGCAGCUGAGUAUGAAGCCUUGCUCCAUGGUCUCCGGAUGGCUAAAGAGAUGAAUCUAAGUCGGGUUAAGUGCUUCGGUGACUCGGACCUCGUAGCUCAACAGGUGUCUGACACUUGGGAUUCUAAAGACCCACUCAUGGCGGCAUAUCGUCGUGAGGUGGAUAUUGUUGCAGGUCACUUCAAGGGUUAUCAGGUGGAUCACGUGGAUCGUCAAAAAAAUGAAUCGGCGGACGCUUUAAGCCGGUUGGGCUCUCAGUGUAAACCGGUCCCGCCUAAUGUCUUUCUUGAUGUGUUGCACAAUCCGUCAGUCAAGCUCCUCGGUGAAGCGGAUUUGGCUAUUCCUGAUCCGGAGGCUCAAUUGGUGGCAGCGCUGCAUGUUAUACCGGAUUGGACAGUUCCUUAUCUUGCGUACAUGAACCGGGGAGAGUUGCCAGAGAAUGAGACUCUAGCCAGCAGAUAGUCCGGCGAUCCAAGUCUAUGACUAUUGUCAAUGGAGAAUUGCAUCAUUGCAGUGUAUCAGGGGUGUUUCAACGCUGCGUCUCCCCUGAGGAAGGCUGUGAAAUUUUACGCGAAAUCCAUGAAGGGGAUUGUGGUCACCACGCCGGUUCAAAGUCUCUGGUAGCUAAGGUGUUUCAUCACGGGUUCUACUGGUUGACAGCUCAUGCUGAUGCGGAGGACUUGGUUAAACAGUGUGAUGGUUGUCAGAAAUUUUCAAGGCGUGCUCAUGUGCCGGCUCAAGAAUUGAGGAUGAUUCCAAUUACUUGGCCGUUUGCAACAUGGGGGCUGGAUAUGGUCGGACCUUUUAAAAUGUCCAAGGAUAAAAAAACCCACCUUUUGGUGGCAGCCGAUAAAUUUACCAAGUGGGUUGAACCGGAGCCUAUUAGUAAGUGUGAUGCAGCUACAACAGUGCAGUUCAUUAAAAAGGUGAUUUUCUGGUUUGGCUUUCCACACAGCAUCAUUACAGACAAUGGUACCAAUUUAUCCAAGGGUGUUAUGAAGGAAUUCUGUGAACGUGAGCACAUCCGACUUGACGUAUCGUCAGUGGCUCACCCCCAGUCCAAUGGGCAGGCAGAACGAGCUAAUCAAGAGAUUUUGCGAGGCAUCAAACCCCGGCUUAUGGUUCCAUUGCAAAGAACACCGGGAUGUUGGGUUGAAGAGCUACCAUCUGUGCUAUGGAGUAUCAACACUACGCCCAACCGAUCUACAGGAUACACACCGUUUUUUAUGGUCUACGGAGCAGAGGCGGUUCUCCCUAGUGAUAUCCGGCACAAUUCGCCUCGUGUGGCGACUUAUGUUGAAGCAGACAAUGAGACAGCACGGCAAGAUGCUUUGGAUCUAUUAGAUGAGGAGCGUGACAUAGCGGCUGCCCGCUCGGCGAUUUAUCAACAAGAUCUUCGUCGCUAUCACAGUCGCCGGGUCAGAACCAGAACUUUUCAAGGAGAUUUGGUGCUUCGGCUCAUCCAAGAUCAGACGGAUAUGCACAAGUUAUCCCCACCUUGGGAGGGACCUUUCGUGGUCAGCAAGAAUCUGCACAACGGGUCGUACUAUCUGAUUGAUAUUCGAGAGCAUAAAGACUCACGCACAUCAGAGGAGGAGACCAACAGGCCGUGGAAUAUAGCUCAUCUUUGGCCUUACUACACUUGAGCCAUUGGCUCUAUCUAUGUACAUAUUAUGGGAGUGUAUAUAUUAUCAUCGAUAUAAUAAAACCGGAGCCUCAGCUAAAGCGGGGUCUCUGUCCUUUCAUAUCAUGUGUGGUUACAUGGAGUGGUUCUGUUUUAAAGCGGCCUCCGGUUUACCCCUUGAAAUUUGCUUUUCAAAAAAAAGCUUUGUGAUAUCACUUGGGGCCUUGGUCGUGUCCGAACCAAUGCGACACCUUUUGAUAGGCGAAAGCCACCAGAUCACUUGGGGACAUGGUCAAGUCUGAACCAGUCACGCCUCUUGAUCGGCCUAAGGCCACAGAAUCACAUGGGGGCUUGGUCGAACCCGAACCAUUGCCACGCCUUUUGAUCGGCAUAAAUGCCACGGUUUCAUUUGGGGACCUGGCUGACUUGAACCAUUGUCACUUCUAUUGGGGGCUUGGUCCUGUCCGACCGUGGUAACACCAUCUGAUCAGCUCAGUAAAGCAUGUUUUUGCAAACGGUUUUUAUCAUUGCCUUUGCUUCCAUAUUUCUUUUAUGACUAUUCUUCAAUUUUUGUUGUGUUUCCUUUAAACCAACAACACUUUUUUACCGGUUCAGCUGACGGAAAUUGGUUCAUUUGUACUCUGGAGAAAUAUGCCCGGUUUAACUUUCCUGUUAACAUCAUGAAGUAGCAGGGGGGCUCAUAAUGACCCUGCACAGUUUACAUGGGAGUUGUUUUCUCCCCUUUGAUGGUAAUGGUUUAUAGAACCUCUGUUUCAAGCCUGGCUAAGCCAACUUCAUGCCCAGCGAUGGCAGGUAUUUUGUAUCGCAUAUUUGAUUAUAUGUUUUAAGUACAUUGAUAUAUAUAUAUAUAUAUCAAGGUUAUAAACCGGUUGGCGGUAUAACCGCCACCGCAGUUCAAGACUUUCUGAUUGCAGGAAAUAUAAAUUGAGGAUUUCACGCAAAAGCAUCAGUACGUAUGCACGAAGGCAUAUUUAAAGUAGAAGUAUUGGCUAUUCUAUUACAAGGCAACGCGGUGCCCAAAUAAGAUCAUUGUUAUUUUGGUGGAUCAUAAUAAGGCAGUUGUUUAAACCGGCUUCCGGUUCAAGCCUGCUCAUCAAACCGGUCUGAUGGUUGUGGGUCGUCCCGCGCCGCUUCAGCUUCCUCAUCUCUAUCCAUUGGCUGGAAAUCAACAGUGGACCAGUCGAUUCCCAUUAAAGCUUGAAAGACAGCCUCUUCAUGGAUCAGAGAAGACGGUUCAAUAUCAGGAGCGUAAGUAUGCUUACGGAUUGGAGGAACCAGAUUCUCCGCUUCAGGAAUUGGUGCGGCCACUCUUUUGUUCCGAUCAUUGUACUGAGCUUGAUAAUGCAACAAGUCGGCCUCUUCAGCCAAUUGACAAGCCAGAGGGCAUACUGCAUGGUUUAUCGCCCUCAAAUCAUCUUCAUUGAACUCUGAGCCAUCUUCCUUCAAGAUGGGAUAGCCUUGAGCUGCUUCAACAGGAUCGAAAUCCGGCACCCAUGCUUUUGCCCGGAUUAAGGCGUUAAUGGCUCCGGUUCGAGCAGCAGAUUUUUUCAGUUCUUCAAUCCGAGCAGGAAGCAUUGACAACCUAUUAAGAGUGUCUUGGAUUAAAGUGGGUGCCGGAUUGUUAUGAGAUGCAGUGGUGAUGAUCCGUUGCGCUCCGGUAUACAGCUGUUCAAUUAAAGUGUAGGCAGCCUUCAACUCCUUCUGAACAUCUGACCCUAAGUGACCAAUGCGUGUAUCUGUAACAAUACAGGAAAGAUCACAAACCGGAUCUAUUAUAAGCAGGCCAGAGUUGUCCAGGAAACCAAAAGGAGCUUACCAAAGAUAGUAGCGGUCAUGGAAUGUACUUGCCGCUUUACGGCGGUCAGCUCAUCUACCACCGGUUUAAGGGCAGCUUCAGCGUUUUCAGCUCUUUUUAUUAAAUCGGCCUUCUUAGUGGCCCAAUCAGUCCGCUCCUUCUUGAAGCCCUCUUUCAGCUGUUCUGUGAUGCUCAAAGCGCUGGUUAUUUCUUCCCUUGCCUUGUCGGUUUCAGCUUGUUGGGUUUUCAAAAUUUCCUGCAGAUCAGUAAUCCGGUCCUCUUUGAUCCUCACUUCAGCCGGCAUAAAGACAAUGCUUGGCUUUCAACAAACGGUACAAGAAUUUGAAGUACCAACCACAUAACAAGUUAUACGCUUGAUACUUGGGGGCUAAUGCACCUUCAAUUUUCAUCUAUUACUAAAUCGCAAAGUCCCAAGCUCAAUACAGGUAUUCAACUUGGCACUUAGGGGCUAAUGGCUAUUUGCUCAGUUAUGUUCUGAUGUUAGAAUUUUUAUUGGAGUCCCGGUUUAACUAUACUAAGUUGAACCGGCCCUUGGGGGCUAUAUUGAUGGAUUUCAAAGUAUUGAGGACUAUAUUCAAGUCCCGACUUGAAGAAGGUUACAGACCGGCCCUUGGGGGCUAGGAGGAUUAAUACAGUGGCAGUAAUUAAAGAAAGAAGAAGCACAAGGAAUUUACCUCAAAUUUAUCUCUCAUCAUCUUUACCAUGCCAGCUUCACAGUCACGACUAGUAUAUAGCCGGUUCAAGUAACCAGAACAAAGAUCUUGGGCACUCAGAGCAGCAUAUGUUUCCAGAUCAACAUCCCAUUUGCCUUUGUUUAUGGCAGAAAAAUCUUCUUUCACAGUAUGCUUGGCCAAAGCGACAGGAUUCCCUGGUUCAAAGCGACCUACGCCGGUAAUUACAACGUCAUCAUCCUUGCACUCGCCGGUUUGCGUUGGCGCGGUCGGUUUAUCGGCAGGCUUUGAAGGACUGCGGGACCCAUCAAUCCGGACGGAGCUGGCAGGCUGGUCAACAGGGACUGAGGUAUUGAUAGGCCUUUUCUCAGGAAUAGCAUCAUCUUGCAAGGGAGGAUCAUUGGGAAUAUCCUCAUAAACGAACGUUUCAAGAUCUAGUGUUUUAUCCUGUUCAGGGGUGACAUCUUCCUCGGCCGCUUUAUUCAGGCGGGCUUUCUUGCUUGGUUUAGGUUUAGCCCUGAAAGAGAAACAAAGAGUCAAGGAACAACAUAAGUUAUAACGUGGUAUACCAGAAGCAUAUGUUCAGUCUAGCUUACCCAAGAACCGUUUUCAGUGGUGGCAGCUGAGUGGCCGACGAUUCACCAGAGGAAGAAUGAGAAGUAACCUGAUAAUAGGAGUCGGACGGAUUAAGAGGUUGAAGGAUGAAACCCGCUUUAGGACAUAAAUUAAUAAAAAGGUCGGAGACCUCGGAGCGGCGUUUUCGAACCGGACUGUUUGGUAAACCGGCGGAGGUAACUACCUGGCCGUUGUGCCGGGUUGUGCGGCGAGCUUCGUGUUGCUGAGUCUUCAUAAGAAAUUUGGGAUUCAAAUAAGCAAGAGGAUGAGAAAAUUUAACUUUCCGGUUUGCCUGGUGAAAUUUUGGCAAAGGCAAAGGAUCUGAAUCGGAAGAGAGAAUAGUUACCUCAGCGACAUCAGCAUUACUGGCUUCAGCGUCGUCCUGAUAAGCAUCAUCAUCAAUAAGGCGUGUAAAAAGUAAGCCUAGUGAAUCGAGUUCUACCUCAAGGUCCAAGUUACCCACAUCAUCAUCAACAGCCGGAUCAGAUGAAGCAGUGGUUUUCCUUUUUUUAGCAGGCUUCUUGAUGACCUUGGUCUUUGGCCGGAUUGACCGUUCUGCUUUCUCCGGUUUGUCUUGUGGAAGCUUCUUGCUCCAAAACGGAUUAUCACCCUGGUUAAGCAGCAAUUGAUGUCAGUCAGAGAUAGCAAUAACAGGUUCAGUAAAAAGUACAAUCAAAAUCUUACAGCUGGCGGUUUGUUGGUAGCGCAGAACGGGAGCAGGCCAGUUUGAGCGCAGAGGUGCUCCGGUUCGUUUAGCAUUUUCUUCACAGCCUUUGUAACUUCAUCAUCGGAGAGCUGGAUGUUGGUGUGUCGGAGUGGGUCAUCAACGCUACCAGUAUACUUGCACAUUAAACCGGAGCGCCGGCUGAGAGGCAGUAUGCUCCAUGAUAUCCAACGGCAUGCGAGAUCUACUCCUGUUAAACCGUUGGCCAUGAAGGCUCGGAGCUUGGAUAAUUGCGGAGCGUAUUUACUCCUCUCCUUGGCACUUAACCUUUGUGGGAAGGGGUGUGUAUUGCUGAGCCGCUCCGGACGAAAGCCAGGAAAAGGAUUUUCAUCAUCAGGGGAAGUAUCUUUGCAGUAAAACCAUGUUGCAUUCCACUCCUUGGGGUGACUGUGUAGUCGGGCAUGGGGAUAAGUGAUUUCUUUCCUUUUCUGAAUGGCCAUACCGCCCAAUUCGGUAUUGGGACCAUCAGUGAAUUCUGUGCGGCAGUUCAAGUGGAAGCAGUCUCUGAACAAUUCAACUGUGGGUUUCUCUUAAAGGUAUACCUCACAGAGCACUUGGAAGUGACAUAAGUUGGUAACAGAAUUGGGGCCAGUAUCUUGCGGGCGGAGUUGAAAAUUGGCUAACACAUCCCGGUAAAAUUUAGAACCGGGCGGCUUGAAGCCCCGGGCUAAAUGGUCCACAAAAAUCACAACCUCUCCCUCUUGAGAUGUGGGAGGACAUUCAUCACCAGGAACCCUCCAGUGGAUAGUAUCUUUACUGUCUAAAGCGCCAACCGAAACUAAAUCAUCCAACUGAGUUUCUGUGAUGCGAGAAGGAACCCAGUUGCACUCAUAUACUUGUUUGGCCAUGAUGAGAUCUACAAGAAAUAAGUGAUUCCGGUUCAAGAAUGCGCUGGUAUGAACAAUGUUAAACCGGAGGCAGUACAUUUAAACCGGAUUUCUGUGAGGUAGCAUAAUAAGACUGAAGAAGUCUGGCGGUUCAACAAGGGGACUAAUGGUAUAUACCGGUUUAAUAAUUUUUCCUAUAUUACGUUAAACCGCCCGAUCUAAACAUUGAAAGCAGUUGAGGUUGCGGAUGGCUAAGUAUGCAGAAACAGGUUUCACAAGGUCCUAUUGUAGUAAUGGAUCUGAAGCAAGUUCAGAAAAACAGAAAAUAUUCAAAAGAUUAAAGCAGAACGGAAGUGAAUCAAUGGGAAGAUAUGUAGAUGAGAUCUAUGGACUUGAGCGUGAAACUACAGGUGGAUGCUAAAAGGCUACUGCUAAUCAGAGUAGGGUUUCACAGAUCUAUCCAGGAGUCUGGGUACGAGCAUGAACAAGUGAGGAACACGGCAAGAACACGAAACCCUAGAACAGAUCUAUGUUAAGAAGAGCAGAAGGCUUACCAGAAUCAAGGAAGACGCGGAAAGCUACCGCAGUACUCUGGAGCGUUCAGGUUGAUGCAGCGGCCCAAGACGGUGCACAGGUCAAUGGCGGUGGCGGAGCUCCGAGGCUGGCGACGCGAGGAAGAUGAAGAGAAAGAGACGAAGGGGAGAAAAGGAAAUGACCCUUCGGUCCUAUUUAUAAGGCAAAGGACGUGUGUCAGGCACGCGAAUCCAGGAGCCACAAAAUUCGGAAGUGGAGCUGCUGCCUUGGGUAUCGCAGAUCUAUCAAUGAAAGAAGGCGUCAUAAAUGUUAAACUUCAUGAUGAUGUCAUGCCGGUCUACAGCAACCAGAGAUGAUGACGACAUGGCGGUUUACCAAUUACCAGAAGAUGUUGAAGACAAAUAUUUUUGUGAAGGAUUGACAUGAACCAGUUCAAAUCAAUCUGGGGCCUAAUGUUGGGGAUAUUACUACUAGGUCUGAACCGGCCUACCUGGGCCGGGUUAACUUCAUUAGUAGUAUAAAGGUGAUUAAGCAGAUGAAGGCCCAAGGCCUGUAGUCGGUUUAGAACCUGUAGCCGUAAACCGGUUUGAUAUGUAAACUUGCAUUGUAAGUUAGGAAUAGAGAGAGACCAACCGGGAUACGAGUAUGAACUGGUGUGGGACUCUGUGGACCGACGGGCGUCACCCGUGUAUAUAAGGGGGCGACCCGGCGGCGGUUCAAAGAGAGACAACAACAACUCGAGCCUAGGCGAAGCUUGUUUGCUCCCUACCCAUCGAAACCACAUCAAUUCCAUCACAACUAGACGUAGGCUUUUACCUUCAUCGAAGGGGCCAAACUAGUAUAAACCCUUGUGUCUUUGUGUCCGCUUUAACCCCUUCAAGUUAACCUGUAGCGAUGGCUCCACGACUAAGUCCUUUCACAAGGACAUCUGCCGUGACAAAUCCACGACACAAAGCGUCCUUUGACAAACUUUUUUGCAAGACGCGACCUCGACAAUGGAAAUGACUGCGUCAUCCACGACCACACGACUGCAUCGACACGGCGUCACUCUAGUAACUACCCCUACACAGCCACACGGUUCUGGCAAAACCGAUGUGUUCUCGAUAGGUUUCCUCCGGUCCUGGCAAAAUCGGUGGACUCAUUGCCGAUGGCACCCUAUGACAUUCGCAAGGUUCAUCGUCCACGACUGCAGCUCCGUCAUCUACAACAUAGCGCAUUUUUUGCGCCUCCGGCUUUGUGCGGCUUCAUCGUCCACGACGACUACAUCAUCGACUACGGCUACAUCAUGAUCGGGUACAUCAACAUCGAAAUACAGGGUUACAUCUACAACAAUAUAUCGGCAACAAAUCUAGUCAACAGCUCCCACGUCAUCACCAGUGUUCACGCCACUCCUCGAUGUGACUACGGGAGGGAAGAGAGGAGAGACAAGGAAUGCACCAGAAUGGGAUGCAGUCACCGCCCUAGGUGCCGACCCAUCAGAGAGGCAGUUGAUGAUGGCGCAACGGAGAAGAAGACGGCGGAAGCACAAGACUUGAAAUUCAGUCGUAAUCGUCCGCUUUACCUCCGCUACGACUGAGGGGGAAUGUUAGAAUAUAUGUUGGGUUUAAAUAUAGAUAUAAGGAGUAGAGAUCAAAUAGGUUUAAACCAUGUAUACUUGUUUUGUACGCCAAACAUUUACCCCGUCAUGUAUUCUAUAUAUACCUCAUAUCAGUGGCGAAGCCACACCUAAGUUGGGUAGUCAAUUGACUACACAACUUUUGGCAAAAACUACAUACAUCAAAUAGAAAUUAUGUCAAAAAUAUUACAAAUGCAUACAUCUGACUACACAACAUUUAAUUGACCACACAUGAUUGUAUUUCUGGCACCGCCACUGCCUCAUAUGACGGUCAAAUCAAAUAAAAACACAAAUAGUCAUCCUACAAUUCCUACAAGUUGAUCUUCUGUAUGGACUUGGUGUGAGGGCAUUGCUAGAUCGUUGGUGUGGAAGUGAUCAGUGCGAUCUCGCAGAAUGAAGUAAUAUAGUUGUGAUGUGUUUAGCACAGGAAGUCCGAUGCGCAAGACUAGUACCAGAAGCUUGUUGGAUCCGCUCAUGUACGUGCUUUCAUCUGGAACUCAUCUUCCCAGUGCAUCCCAUGCCCAAUAGUGAUCAUCAUCCUAAUAGGCCAAGCUAUAAGUGCUACCUCUGCAUACACCCAGUGCAGCAAUAGAAAAAUGGGCAAGCCUAAAGUUUCAUCAUGUAGUUGCAAGUCUUUAGCUUUUAUAUUCCUUGGGAUCGUGUAACUAGGUGCAAAGGAGUGAUUCGACAAGUAUUUAUGGAUCGAGUGUGUUGUUGAUUUUACCAUACCAACAACCAUUUGUCCUCUGACGCCUUUCCCGAUGAACGUGCUUAAAUGAGAUGCUAAGUACAUGAAAUGACUUACGAGCAACUAAGCUCUCCAAUAUAUACGUGCUUAGCUUUUUUAGCUUCUUUUCUUCAUUUAGUUGUGUACCAACUACACUUCUUCAGGCAAAGGUGUCUUGCAUUCUUUUUUUCCCGAUAAACUUCCAAUUUAUUCAUUCUCAAUCAUGGCAGUACAAAGAACACCAGAAGUGAUAAAAUUUACUAUCUGGUCAGACCACCUAGAGAUGACUACAAGCACCGGAGAGCCGAAUGUGUCACCCCUCCCUCACCAGAGCCGGAAAAACCUUAUUGUAGUAGAUUGUCGAGAAGUCGUCGUGCUAAGACCUCAUAGGACCAGCGCACCAGAGCAACAAACAUCACCGACGAAGAAAGUCAUUGAUGUAGGGUAGAACCCUAGGGCCCAAUCUUUCACGAAACGGAGGGGAUACCGCGAAGAACAUGAAGAACACGAGGGAAAACAAGAAGAGAGAAAUCACUCAAACAAACAAGAUUCAAUUACACAUGUGCUAGAUCCUCGAAACACAAAGAGAUACACGAUCCAUGAUCAACAAAGGAUGAUACAAGUAGCAACUUCUCCAUGAGGAGGUCUUGAGGGGGGUCUUCCCGUGAGGGGUCUUGAAUCCGAUUGGGGGACAUUCUCCAAAGAGGCCGUGGACUCCAAUGGAGAAGUAACCAAGUGGAUGAGCAAAGCUCUAUCUCUCAAAUGAGCUAAUCCUUUGCUAAGCCUAGAAAUAGGGAGGAGGAGGAGGAGUAUAUAUAGUCUAGGUGGGCGAAGGGGUACAUGGGCCAUGACCCUUACACUGUGCGCAGACAGGCGGGGCCUAAUAUCCGGGCGUCGGGCCGAUGUCUGGGGCUUCAUGAGGAGACGGAUGUCCAGGCUUCGGGCCGGAUCUCCGGGAUGGAGGAGUCCGGUCUGGGGCUCUCUGUAUGGGUGUAGUACAGAUGUCCGGGCGGGUGUCCAGAUGUCCGGCCACUCGGGAAUGGCCGGACGUCCGAACUAGAAGCCGGAUGUCCGGGCAGCUGGUGAUGGUCCUCUUGCUCUUUGGAUAUGCUUGUCCGGAUGUCCGGGCUGGCCGCCCGAUGUCCGGACCCUAUAGACUUGGCCGCUGGCUCGUUGCUGCUGGAGACACCUCCAGGGGCCGGAUGUCCGGGGUCAUGGCCGGAUGUCUGGGUCCUGGGAGCUGUUCUCGACUCCUUCCGUUGGUUCUCAUCAUCCGUGGACUUGAGGACUUGUCCAUCUUCACGUGCAUAUUCGAGAGGGCCUUCUUUGUACCUGAUCAUGCACAACAUUCCGGACUUAGGUAGUAGCCAUGUCUCGAGUGAAUCAUAUUCAGAUCACUAAGGAGAGAUGUCACCUCAGUCUCGAGAGCUCUACCUCAUGCUCGUGUCAUCGGUCCUUUUGGUACUUGAUGAGACGAUGGUAGGUCCAUGGGGAUGACUAAAGGAUGCUCUGCAUCAUCUCCCCCCCCCCUGGGAAAGAUCUGACCUCGGAUCGAAAUCUUCAUCACCAUGGUAGGGCUAGAGAUCCUUGGUGUUGAAGAUAUCGCUCACAUUGUACUUGUCAUGUGGGAUGUUGAUCUUGUAGGUGUUGUUGUUGUAGCGUUCAAGCACCUUGAAGGGUCCAUCAGCUCGUGCUAGAAGUUUGGACUUGCGUUCGUUGGGGAAACGGUCCUGGCGAAGGUGUAGUCAUACAAGAUCUCCAAUGUUGAAUACCAUGGGUUGCUUGUUGAUGUUGAGCUUGGUCGCGAGUCGUUGUACUUGGAGCUCGAUGGUGUACCUUGUAUCUUCAUGCAUCUUCUUGAGGUAGUUGACUCGGGUACUCGCGUCCGUGUUGAUGCGCUCUUGUAGUGGUAGAGGAAGAAUGUCCAACUGGGACAAUGGGUUGAAGGCAUAGAUGACUCGAAGGGGGACUUGCCCGUAGUCAAAUAUCUUGCACGGUUGUAGGCGUACUCGGCGAUGGGUAAGCACUCCUCCCACUCCUUCUUUAUCAACACGCAUAGUAGAGUGGAGAGUGUCCGGUUUGUGACCUCGGUUUGGCCGUCGGUUUGAUGGUAUGCCGAAGAGAACAAAAGCUUGAUUUCGAGCUUGGCGCAUAAGGUCUUCCGAAAGUAGCUCAAGAACUUCAUUUCGAGGUCUGAGACAAUAGUCUUGGGCACUCCAUGGAGUCGCAAGAUUUCCCUACAAAAAGAUUUGCAACAUGUGAAGCAUCGUCUAUCUUGUUGCAUGGGAUGGAAUUAGCCAUUUUAGAGAGUCGGUCCACAACAACAAACACAGAAUCUUUGCCAUUUCGAGUUCGAGGCAAACCAAGCACAAAGUCCAUACUAAUAUCUUCCCAUGGGUGAUAUGGAAUAGGAAGUGGCAUAUAGAGACCAUGGGAUCGAGCUUUUGACUUAGCUUUGCGACAUGUCGAGCAUCGGUUGGUGAAGCAUGAGACGUCACGGAACAUCUUGGGUCAAAAGUAGUUCUUGGAGAGCGUGGCGAAUGUCUUGUCGCAUCCAAGUGUCCCAUUAGUCCACCUCCAUGAGCCUCUUGCAAAAUUAGCAAACAAAGAGAAGACUCGGGGAUACAUAGUUUGUUAGCUCUCAUAAGAUAAUCAUCUUUGAGGUAGUAUCAUUCCCAAGAUUUAUGCGUCAAACACUUGGCAUAAGGAGUAGAAAGUAGGAUCAUGCGCAUACAAGUCUUUUAUCUCCUCAAAACCAAUGACAUUCAAUUCAAGUUGGGUAACAAGCAUGCAUCUAUGGCAAAGCGCAUCCUCCACAACAUUUUCCUUACCUUUUAUAUACUUGAUGACAUAAGGAAAUGACUCUAUGAAUUCACUCCACUUAGCAUGACGCUUGUUUAACUUAGUUUGACCCUUAAGAUACUUAAGUGUUUCGUGAUCGGUGUGGAGAAUGAACUCACGAGGACGGAGAUAAUGCUCCCAAACAUGCAAUACCCGAACUAAAGCAUAUAGCUCUUUUUCAUAUAUAGGGUAAUUGAGUUGCACUCCGGAGAGUUUUUCACUAACGUAAGCUAUGGGGCGCUUCUCUUGCAUUAACACACCUCCUAUGCCAUAACCGCUAGCAUCGCAAUGUAUCUCAAAUGUUUUAUCAAAGUUGGGUAAUGCAAGCAAAGGGGCAUGUGUAAGCAAAUUCUUAAUCUCAUUAAAUGUGGUGUCUUGGGAUGGUCCCCACACAAAAGGCGCGUUCUUCUUACUCAAAGCAUGCAAAGGUAAAGCAAUGGUGCUAAAAUCCUUCACAAAUCUAUGAUAGAAACCGGCUAGGCCUAGAAAACUACACACUUGUUGCAAGUUUGUGGGUUGGGGCCAAGUUUUAAUAGCUUCGAUCUUAGAUUCAUCUACAUGCACACCCUUAGAAGAUACUACAAAACCCUAGAAAACAAGCUUAUCAACACUGAAAAGGCAUUUGUCCAUAUUAGCAUAAAGGCGCUCUUUCCUAAGGGUUUGCAAAACGGUUCUAAGAUGGGUGACAUGAUCUUUGAGGGAUUUUCUAAAGACAAGAAUAUCGUCAAAAUAGACCACAACAAAUACGCCAAUGUAGGGGUGAAGAACAAACUGCAUGACUAGCAUGAAAGUAUCGGGUGCUUCGGAUAAACCCAUUGGCAUAACAAGCCAUUCAUAUAAGACAAAUUUGGUCUUAAAUGCGGUUUUCCAUUCGUCACCUUAUUGUAUGUGGAUCUGGUAAUAGCCACUUUUAAGAUCAAUCUUAGAGAAGAUUGUGGCUCCCCUGAGCUCAUCUAGCAUAUCAUCUAAGCGUGGAAUGGGGUAACGGUAUCUAACGGUGAUAGCAUUGAUAGGACGGCAAUCAAAAGACAUGCGAUAAGUACCAUCUUUCUUGGGAACAAGGAUUACCGGGAUGGCACAAGGGGGCUCAAGCUUUCUCAUACAUGGCCAUUGUCGAUGAGUGGUUGUACUUGCCGUUGGAUCUCCUAGGUUUCCUCGGGGUUGACGUGGUACGGAGUCUUGUUAGGAAGGGGUGCUCCGGGAAUGAGGUCGAUGCGGUGUUCGAUGCCUCGAAGAGGAGGUAGUCUCGAAGGUGGCUCGUCAGGGAAUACAUCUUGGAACUCCUGCAAUAGAGAAGACAACACUAAAGGUAAUUGUGUGAGGUGUUAGUUUUAGGUGCCUCGUCCUUGCACAAGAGGAAAUAGUGCAUAACACUUGAUGGGUUCUCACACACUUCUCUCAUCUCAUUUUUGGUGGCAAAUGGCACUAAGUUUUUCUUGUCGCUCAUCAUGGAGGCACUCAAUUUUGGCUUGUGGCACUCACUCUAUUUGUGGUGGCUCGCUUUCUCACUUUUCUCUCCACGAUGGGUGGCUUGCUUGUCGGCGAUCACUUGACUUGGUGACAUAGGUCGUAGCACGUACUCAUUUCCCUUCAUCUUGAAGCUAUAGUGAUUGGUUCGCCCAUUGUAGAUGACGCCUUGGUCAAAUUUCCAUGAUCGUCCAAGAAGGAGGUGGCAAACGGGCAUUGGAACGACAUCACACUCCAAAGUGUAUUCAUAUGCUCUGAUCUUGAAGGAAACUUGCACCAUAGGCUCGACUUGGAUAGUGCCGGAGUCGCUUAGCCAUUGGACCUUGUAGGGGUGUGGGUGCUUCAUCUUGCCAAUUGGAACUUGGAGCAUAGUUCUUCACUCGCCAAGUUAUGGCAACUCCCUCCAUCGAUGAUGACCUUCAUGGACCUUCCAUUGAUGUCGGCCUUGGUGUGGAAGAUAUGGCAUCUUUGAUCACGUGUCGGUGCAUGCAACUUGCUCAAUGGCUUCCAUUUCCUCUUCACUCAUGGAGUCGUAUGUGCCAUCGUCGUUGAGGGUCAUGGUGCGCUUGUUGGUGCACUCCAAAGACUUGUGGCCUCGACCGCCACAUGUGAAGCAUUUGAUGGAACUUGUCUUGAUGGUCACAUCCAGCGGAGUUGUAGAUGAUGAAGCCCUCGACUUGAAGUUGCUUGUAGUAGGAGGGCGACUUGAAGUUGUCGAAGUCUUCUUGUAAUUUAACUUGUCGCCGCUGCUUUGUGAAGCUUUUGUCGAGGUCGGAGUCGUUGUAGUCGUUGAAGCUUGGUUGUAGGAGGAGCCAGUCUUGGAAGCGAACUUGGCAUACUUGAAGUUAUCUUGCACUUGACUUUCCGCUUUGGUAGCUUGAUGCACUAGCUCGAUGAGGUUGGAGUAAGGUUGGAAGUCAGCGAUUUUGUUGAUAGGAUGAUUGAGUCCGUUCAAGAAACGUACCAUAGUUUGCUCAUCAUCUUCCAUGACAUUUGCUCUUAUCAUGGCAAUCCCCAUUUCCUUGUAGUCUCUUCAACGGUCUUUGUUCCUUGCUUGAGGAGUUGGAGCUUCUUGAAGAGGUCGCAGUUGUAGUAGGUUGGGACAAAGAGUGCUCGCAUGACACCCUUCAUUUGCGCCCAUGUUGUGAUGGGUGGCUCGCCUCUUGCCUCUCAGCGCUCAAAGACUUGUUCCCACCAAAUAAGUACAUAGUCUUGGAAUUCAAGGGAUGCCAUGGCGAUCUUCUUAUCUUCGUCAUAGUUGUGAAAAUGAAAGAUCUUGUCGACCUUCAAUGCCCAUGAAAGGUACUCUUCGAGAUCAUUGCUUCCGGUGAAUUUGGGCAUUGUGAACUUGAGCUUGCCAUAGCGUCGCUCUUCAUUGUGUUGGGGUCGAGGGUGAUGAUGACGCCCUUGACAUGGAGGGUUGUCAACCUCAUGUUGCUCUUAGCAUGGAGGAUUCUCAACCUCAUGUUGCUCUUGGUGUGGAGGAUUUCCAUUGUCUUGUCGAGCUUGUGUUGGAGCUUGGGGAACUUGUCGGGGCAAUCGAGCUUGGUAUGUCCUAUCUUUAACUUCUUCCCAAAGUGCUUCUUCCCGUUCGUACGUAUGUCGGUUGCGGUCAGCAAUGAUGCAACUCGCGCCAUGGAGGGCAUGUUGCGCCUCAAGUUCUUGGGCUUCAUGCCAUUGUUUUAGUUGAUGGAGCGCUUCGGUGUCUUGCUCUUCUUGGUGUUUGCGCCCCCGCUCUUCCUCUUGUUGUUGUUGGCGUUUCCUUUCUUGUGCUUGUGCAAAGGUAGCUUGAUUUUGACGAUGCCGAUGUUCUUGUUCUUGAAGUUACUCUUGAUGAUCGAUUCCAUGUAGAGGAUUGCGGUUUGCUUGACAGUCUUGGCGCACGGCUUGUCGAAGAGUGUUUGAUGUCGGUGUACUUGAGCCGGAGAUGGUGUCAUCGGAGUGUCGACUCGAGCGGCUCCGUCUUGAGUAGGAUGAAGUGGUAGAAGAGCGGUUGACCAACAAGGCACGAAUCUCGUCCAUUCUUGCAUGUUCUCUUGUUUUUGUUCAUCGAGCUUGUUGUCAAAGUAGUCUUUUGUAUGUUGCUCGGAGAGUCUUAAGUCGGUGGCGAUAUUGUCGAUGCAGUCGCUCAGUGCUUGUUGUUCUUGCUGCAAAGCUCUUUGUGCACCAAAGAGGUGGCUCUUGGUGACAUAGGAGGUCGAGUCAUCGUCUUUCUCGAUGAAGUGUGGGUUGGUAGAAGAACUUGGCCUGUCCAUCAUUCCAAGCAAAUAUGUGAGUGGGAGAAAGAGAAGAAUUGUACCAAAUGUACCUUGACCAAAGUUGAAGAUGGAUCAAUGAUCACUCAAAUGUGUAACAAGGAAAUAUCACAAUUGGUACCAAUUCUUGUCGGUUCUCACACCUACACAAGUAAAAGCCUUUGGUGGAGCUCGGUUAGGAUGGUGGCACAAAAUCUUAUGCAAUUGUUAGUAAGACUCAAUAAUGUUGAAAAAGAUUCGCAAUUCGCAAAUGAAACAAGUAGACCAAUAGCAAGUAGUGGUACACGGAAAGACACACGCAAAUAGAAAAAUGGGGUCAUGCAACCAAAAAUGAGCUCCAAAAUGUGGAAUCCAUGAAAAAUGCUCUUGUCGCACAACACUAGAGAGACGCUAGCACGAUUGCACAAUAGGUGGAUACAAAACUUGUGCACAACCUACUAAGCAAAAAUACAACAACUUAUCCCAAGUAUGCUAUAUGUAUGGUAUUCCUUUAUAUGAUCCAAGAUGAUCGAGUAUGACAAUGUUAAUGUAGUAUGAUGCUAUGGUUCUUGCUUAAAAUCUCUUUGCUUAUCUUUCUCGUCUGCUUAAAAGCUUGUUUGGCUCUUUCUUGUUUGAGCUCUUUUGAUGUCCACUUAUGCAAAACUUCAUGAACUAAGCUAGCAAUUGUGUAUAUGCUAUGACAACCUUGUGACACAAGAGAUGAUACUGAUACGUCUCCAACGUAUCUAUAAUUUUUGAUUGCUCCAUGCUACUUUAUCUACUGUUUUGGACUAUAUUGGGCUUUAUUUUCCACUUUUAUAUUAUUUUUGGGACUAACCUAUUAACCGGAGGCCCAGCCCAGAAUUGCUGUUUUUUGCCUAUUUCAGUAUUUCGAAGAAACAGAAUAUCAAACGGAGUCCAAAAGGAAUAAAACCUUCGGGAACGUGAUUUUCUCACCGAACGUGAUCCAGGAGACUUGGACCCUACUCCAAGAAGUGCCAGAGGAGGUCACGAGGGUGGGAGGCGCCCCCCUGGGCGCGCCCCCCUGCCUCGUGGGGCCCCUGUUGCUCCACCGACGUACUCCUUCCUCCUAUAUAUACCUACGUACCCCCGUCAGAUCAGAUACGGAGCCAAAAACCUAAUUCCACCGCCGCAACUUUCUGUAUCCGCGAGAUCCCAUCUUGGGGCCUGUUCCGGAGCUCCGCCGGAUAGGGCAUCUACCACGGAGGGCUUCUACAUCAACACCAUAGCCUCUCCGAUGAAGUGUGAGUAGUUUACAUCAGACCUUCGGGUCCAUAGCUAGUAGCUAGAUGGCUUCUUCUCUCUUUUUGGAUCUCAAUACAAUGUUCUCCCCCUCUCUUGUGGAGAUCUAUUCGAUGUAAUCUUCUUUUUUGUGGUGUGUUUGUUGAGACCGAUGAAUUGUCAGUUUAUGAUCCAGCUUAUCUAUGAAUAAUAUUUGAUUCUUCCCUGAAUUCUUUUAUGCGUGACUGAGUUAUCUUUGCAAGUCUCUUCGAAUUAUCCGUUUGGUUUGGCCAACUAGAUUGGUAGUUCUUGCAAUGGGAGAAGUGUUUAGCUUUGGGUUCAAUCUUGCGGUGUCCUUACCCAGUGACAGAAAGGGUUGCAAGGCACGUAUUGUAUUAUUGCCAUCGAGGAUAGCAAGAUGGGGUUUUUAUCAUAUUUCAUGAAUUUAUCCCUCUACAUCAUGUCAUAUUGCUUAAGGCAUUACUCUGUUUUUAACUUAAUACUCUAGAUGCAUGCUGGAUAGCGGUCGAUGAGUGGAGUAAUAGUAGUAGAUGCAGAAUCGUUUUGAUCUACCUGUCUCGGACGUGAUGCCUAUAUACAUGAUCAUACCUAGAUAACCUCAUGAUUAUUCGCUUUUCUAUCAAUUGCUCAACAGUAAUUUGUUCACCCACCAUAGAAUACUUAUGCUCUUGAGAGAAGCCACUAGUGAAACCUAUGGCCCCCGGGUCUAUUCUCAUCAUAUCAAUCUCCAUUACUUUAUUACUUGCUUUGUUUUUACUUUGGCUUCUACUUUUUUACUUUGCAUCUCUAUAUCAAAAAUACCAAAAAUAUUAUUUAUCAUCGCUAUCAGAUCUCACCCUCAUAAGUGACCGUGAAGGGAUUGACAACCCCUAAUCGCAUUGGUUGCGGGUAGCUAUCGUUUUGUGUAGGUACGAGGGACUUGUGUGUGAUCUCCUACUGGAUUGAUACCUUGGUUCUCAAAAACUGAGGGAAAUACUUACGCUACUUUACUGCAUCAUCCUCUCCUCUUCGGGGAAAUCCAACACAGUGCUCAAGAGGUAGCAGAUACCAAGAUAUUAACACCACGAUGAUGAUAUAUGCGAUGAUCACUAAUGUGCACAAGUAACAUUGGCGGCAAUACUCAAAGGCUAGUCUCGAUAGGAAAGUUACGCAAAAUUCUCUAUGGGGGUUAUCAAUGCAAUGGCAAGGUGUAGACAAACAUGUCGUCGUGGUUACCGUCCUUGCUUACGGUUGAAGGUGUCAAAAUUGUUGAGCAGGUGUUGUUGAUGACGAGUCCAUGCGAAGAUGGGCAGCGGUGAUGUUGAUGUCGAACUAUCCCUAAGUUGCCGAAAUGAGUUAGGAAACGGAAACCGCAACUCAAAUUCUCAAAACAAAAACGUGUCAAAAUUGUCAGAGUUGGUAGUGUGUAAACGGUGGCGUUUGCGGAAAGCGGUGGUUGUAUGUGGAAGUGAAAGUGGUAUGCCCGGUCAAAAUUGUCGAGAGUUAGGUGGGAAAUAGAGCGGUGGAUGGGGCUGCUACUGCCAGGGGCCGGAUGUCUGGGCUUGAGGGCCAGAUUUCCGGGGUCGGGGGAUGUCCGGGGGUCACGGGACGGAUGUCCGGGUCUUGGCUCCGUGGACGAACUCGAUGGAUCUCGUGGAGAAAUCAAAAUUUCGGGGCAAAAUUCGAGAGAUUGCGUGGAUGUAAUUGGUAGAAAAGUUAGGGGAAGCUAGAUCUACUAGCAACACAACAAAUCCACGAAUCAAAUCCAACAAAACUUCAUCACACCAACAAAUCACAAAAAUUAUUAGGAGGGUUACUUUUGUGGGGAUUUUCGAAUUUGGGAGAAAAACAACAAAACAAGGCUAGAAAACAAGGGUAGGGGCUCAAAAUUCAGGAUCAACCAAGGCUCAUGAUACCAAGAUGAUGUAGGGUAGAACCCUAGGGCCCGAUCUUUCACGAAAUGGAGGGGAUCCCGUGAAGAACACGAGGAGAAAAAUCACUCAAACCAACAAGAUUCGAUUACACAUGUGCUAGAUCCUCGAAACACAAAGGGAUACACGAUCCACAAUUAACAAAGGACGAUACAAGUAGCAAGUUCUUCUCCGUGAGGUGAUCAGUGUGAUCUCGUUGCAUGGGACAACAUGGUUGUGAUGUUUUUAGCACAAGAAGUCAGAUAACCACGACGAGUAACAGAAGCUUGUUGGAUCUACUCAUGUACAUGCUCUCAUCUCGAACUCAUGUUCCCAUUGCAUCCCAUGCCCAACAGUGAUCAUCAUCCUAAUAGUCCAAGCUAAAUGCUACCUCUGCAUACACCCAGUGCAACAAUAGAAAAAUGGGCAAGCCUAAAGUUUCACCAUGUAGUUGCAAGUCUUUAGCUUUUAUACUCGUUGGGACCGUGUAUCUAGGUCCAAAGGAGUGAUUCCACAAGUAUUUAUGGGUCAGGUGUGUUGUUGAUUUUACCAUACCAACAACCACUUGUCCUCUGACUCCUCUCCCAAUGCACAUGCUUAAUGAGAUGCUAAGUACAGGAAAUGACUCACCAACUAAACUCUCUAAUGUAUACGGUGCUUAGCUUUUUUUAGCUAAGUUUCCUUCAUUUAAUUGCCUAGCAACUAAACUUCUUUAGGCAAAGGUGUCUUGCAUUGUUUUUUUCAGAUAAACUUCCAAUUUAUUCAUUCUCAAUCAUGGCAGUACAAAGAACACCAGAAGUGAUAAAAUUUAUUAUUUGGUCAGACCACCUAGCGAUGACUACAAGCACCGGAGCGAGUCGAAUGUGUCACCCCUCCCUCACCAGAGCCAGAAAAACCUUAUUGCAGUAGACAGUCAAGAAGUCGUCGUGCUAGGACCCCAUAGGACCAACGCACCAGAGCAACAAACAUCACCGACAAAGAAAGUUAUUGAUGUCGGGUAGAAGCCUAGGGCCCGAUCUUUCACGAAAUGGAGGGGAUCCCGCGAAGAACAUGAAGAACACGAGGGGAAACACGAGGAGAGAAAUCACUCAAACCAACAAGAUUCGAUUACACAUGUGCUAGAUCCUCGAAACACAAAGAGAUACAUGAUCCACGAUCAACAAAGGACGAUACAAGUAGCAAGUUCUUCUCCGUGAGGAGGUCUUGAGGGAGGUCUUCCCGUGAGGGGUCUUGAAUCUACUUGGGGGACCUUCUCCGAAGAGGUCGUAGACUCCAAUGUAGAAGUAACCAAGUGGAUGAGCAAAGCUCUAUCUCUCAAAUGAGCUAGUCCUUUGCUAACCCUAGAAAGAGGAAGCGGGAGGACUAUAUAUAGUCUAGGUGGGUGAAGGGGUACAUGGGCCACGGCCCUUUCACUGUGCGCAGACAGGCGAGGCCGGACGUGUGGGCGUCGGGCCGGAUAUCCGGGGCUUCACGAGGACCCGGAUGGCGGGCUUCAGGUCAGAUGUCCGGGAUGGAGGAGUCUGGUCUGGGCUCUCUGGAUGGACGUAGUUCGGAUGUCCGGGCGGGUGUCCAGAUGUCUGGUAGCUCGGGAACGGUCGGAUGUCCGGACCAGAAGCUGGAUGUCCAGGCAGCUGGCACUGGUCCUCUUGCUCUCUGGAUAGGCUUGUCCGCAUGUCCGGGCUAGGAGCCAGAUUUCCGGGCCGGGGCCGGAUGUCCGGGCCCUGUAGACUUGGCCGCUGGCUCGUUGCUGCUGGCUACACCUCCAGGGGCCGGAUGUCCGGGGUCAUGGCCGGGUGUCCGGGUCCUGAGAGCUAUUCUCGACUCCUUCCGUUGGUUCUCUUCAUCCGUGAACUUGGGGAAUUGUCCGUCUUCACGUGCAUCUUCGAGAGGGCCUUCUUGGUACCUGAUCAUGCACAACAUUCCAAACUUAGGUAGUAGCCAUGUCUCGAGUGGAUCAUAUGGAAUAUCACUAAGGAGAGAUGUCACCUCAAUCUCAAGAGCUCUAGCUCGUGCUCAUGUCAUUGGUCCUUGUUGGGGAACGUAGUAAUUUCAAAAAUUUCCUACGCACACGCAAGAUCAUGGUGAUGCAUAGCAACAAGAGGGGAGAGUGUUGUCCACGUACCCUCGUAGACCGAAAGCGGAAGCGUUAGCACAACGCGGUUGAUGUAGUUGUACGCCUUCACGGCCCGACCGAUCAAGCACCGAAAGCACGGCACCUCCGAGUUCUUGCACACGUACAGCUCGAUGACGUCCCUCGAACUCCGAUCCAGUCAAGUGUCGAGGGAGAGUUCCGUCAGCACGACGGCGUGGUGACGAUGAUGAUGUUCUACCGACGCAGGGCUUCGCCUAAGCACCGCUACGAUAUUAUUGAUGUGGACUAUGGUGGAGGGGGGCACCGCACACGGCUAAGAGAUCCAAUGGAUCAAUUGUUGUUGUGCCUAGAGGUGCCCCCCUGCCCCCGUAUAUAAAGGAGCAAGGGGGGAGGGGGCGGCCGGCCUAGGAGGGGGCGCGCCAAGGGGAGUCCUACUCCCACCGGGAGUAGGACACCCUCCUUCCUUGUUGGAGUAGGAGAAGGGGAAAGAGGGGGAGAGGAAGAAGGAAAAGGGGGUUGCGCCCCUUGUCCAAUUCGGACCAGAGGGGGGGCGCAGGCCUCCUUCCUUUUGGCCUCUCUCCUCUAUUCCCGUAUGGCCCAAUAAGGCCCAUAUACUCCCCGGCGAAUUCCCGUAACUCUCCGGUACUCCGAAAAAUACCUGAAUCACUUGGAACCUUUCCUAAGUCCGAAUAUAGUCGUCCAAUAUAUCGAUCUUUACGUCUCUGACCAUUUCGAGACUCCUCGUCAUGUCCCCGAUCUCAUCCGGGACUCCGAACUUCUUCGGUACAUCAAAACUCAUAAACUCAUAAUAUAACUGUCAUCGAUACCUUAAGCGUGCGGACCCUACGGGUUCGAGAACAAUGUAGACAUGACCGAGACAUGUGUCCGGUCAAUAACCAAUAGCGGAACCCGGAUGCUCAUAUUGGCUCCCACAUAUUCUACGAAGAUCUUUAUCGGUCAAACCGCAUAACAACAUACGUUGUUCCCUUUGUCAUCGGUAUGUUACUUGCCCGAGAUUUGAUCGUCGGUAUCUUAAUACCUAGUUCAAUCUCGUUACCGGCAAGUCUCUUUACUCGUUACGUAAUACAUCAUCCCGCAACUAACUCAUUAGUUGCAAUGCUUGCAAGGCUUAUAGUGUUGUACAUUACCAAGUGGGCCCAGAGAUACCUCUCCGACAAUCGGAGUGACAAAUCCUAUCUCAAAAUACGCCAAACCAACAUGUACCUUCGGAGACACCUGUAGAGCUCCUUUAUAAUCACCCAGUUACGUUGUGACGUUUGGUAGCACACAAAGUGUUCCUUCGGUAAAUGGGAGUUGCAUAAUCUCAUAGCCAUAGGAACAUGUAUAAGUCAUGAAGAAAGCAGUAGCAACAUACUAAACGAUCAAGUGCUAAGCUAACAGAAUGGGUCAAGUCAAUCACAUCAUUCUCCUAAUGAUGUGAUCCCAUUAAUCAAAUUACAACUCAUGUCUAUGGUUAGGAAACUUAACCAUCUUUGAUUAAUGAGCUAGUCAAGUAGAGGCAUACUAGUGACAUUAUGUUUGUCUAUGUAUUCACACAUGUAUUAUGUUUCCGGUUAAUACAAUUCUAGCAUGAAUAAUAAACAUUUAUCAUGAAAUAAGGAAAUAAAUAAUAACUUUAUUAUUGCCUCUAGGGCAUAUUUUCUUCAGUCUCCCACUUGCACUAGAGUCAAUAAUCUAGUUCACAACAUCAUGUGAUUUAACACCAAUAUUCACAUCUGUAUGUGAUUAAUACCCAUAGUUCACAUCGUCAUGUGAUCAACACCCAAAGGGUUUACUAGAGUCAAUAAUCUAGUUCACAUCGCUAUGUGAUUAACACCCAAAGAGUACUAAGGUAUGAUCAUGUUUUGCUCAUGAGAGAAGUUUAGUCAACGGGGCUGUCACAUUCAGAGCCGUAUGUAUUUUGCAAAUAUUCUUUGUCUUCAAUGCUCUGUACGGAGCUACUCUAGCUAAUUGCUCCCACUUUCAAUAUGUAUCCAGAUUGAGACUUAGAGUCAUCUGGAUCAGUGUAAAAGUUUGUAUUGAUGUAACUUUUAUGACGAACUCUUUUAUCACCUCCAUAAUCGAGAAACAUCUCCUUAGUCCUCACUAAGGAUAUUCUUGACCGCUGUCCAGUGAUCUACUAUUAGAUCAAAAUUGUAUUCCUUUGCCAAACUCAGAGAAAGGUAUACAAUAGGUGUGGUAUACAGCAUAGCAUACUUUAUAGAACCUAUGACUGAGAAAUAGGGAAUGACUUAUCAUUCUAUUUUUUUUAUUUUCUGCUUAUGGUCGGGUUUUGAGUCUUACUCAACUUCACACCUUGCAACAUAGACAAGAACUCCUUCUUUGACUGUUCUAUUUUGAACUACUUCAAAAUCUUAUCAAGGUAUGUACUUAUUGAAAAAUCUUAUCAAGCGUCUUGAUCUAUCUUAUAGAUCUUGAUGCUCAAUGUGUAAGCAGCUUCACCGGGGUCUUUCAUUGAAAAACUUUUAUUCAAGUAUCCUUUUAUGCUAUCCAGAAAUUCUAUAUCAUUUCCAAUCAACAAUAUGUCUUGCACAUAUAAUAUUAGAAAUGCUACAGAGCUCCCACUCACUUUCUUGUAAAUACAUGCCUUUCCAAAAGUCUGUAUAAAACCAUAUGCUUUGAUCAACUCAUCAAAGUGUAUAUUCCAACUCCGAGAUGCUUGCACCAGUCCAUUUAUGGAUCACUGGAGCUUGCACAUUUUGUUAGCACCUUUAGGAUUGACAAAACCUUCCGGUUGCAUCAUAUACAACUCUUCUUUAAAGAAUCCAUUGAGGAAUGUAGUUUUGACAUCCAUUUGCCAGAUUUCAUAAAAUGUGGCAAUUGCUAACAUGAUUCGGACAGACUUAAGCAUCGAUACGAGUGAGAAAAUCUCAUCAUAUUCAACACCUUGAACUUGUCGAAAACCUUUCGCAACAAGUCGAGCUUAGUAGAUAGUAACACUACUAUCAGUGUCUAUCUUCCUCUUGAAGAUCCAUUUAUUUAACAUGGCUUGCUGAUCAUCAAGCAAGUCAAUCAAAGUCCAUACUUUGUUCUCAUACAUGGAUCCCAUCUUAGAUUUCAUGGCCUCAAGCCAUUUCGCGGAAUCUGGGCUCAUCAUCGCUUUCAUAGUUCGUAGGUUCAUCAUGGUCUAGUAACAUGACUUCCAGAACAGGAUUACCAUACCACUCUGGUGCGGAUCUUACUCUGGAAGACCUACGAGGUUUUGUAGUAACUUGAUCUAAAGUUUCAUGAUCAUCAUCAUUAGCUUCCUCACUAAUUGGUAUAGGAAUCACUGUAAUUGAUUUCUAUGAUGAACUACUUUCCAAUUCAGGAGAAGGUACAAUUACCUCAUCAAGUUCUACUUUCCUCCCACUCACUUCUUUCGAGAGAAACUUCUUCCCUAGAAAGGAUCCAUUCUAAGCAACGAAUAACUUGCCUUCGAAUCUGUGAUAGAAGGUGUACCCAAUAGUUACCUUUGGGUAUUCUAUGAAGACGCACUUCUCCAAUUUGGGUUCGAGCUUAUUAGGUUGAAACUUUUUCACAGAAGCAUCGCAGCCGCAAACUUUAAGAAACGACAACUUUGGUUUUUUGCCAAACCACAGUUCAUAAGGCGUCAUCUCAACGGAUUUUGAUGGUUCCGUAUUUAAAGUAAAUGCAGCUGUCUCUAAUGCAUAACCCCAAAACAAUAGUGGUAAAUCGGUAAGAGACAUCAUAGAUUGCACUAUAUCCAAUAAAGUACGGUUAUGGCGUUCGGACACACCAUUACGAUGUGGUGUUCCAGGUGGCAUGGGCUGUGAAACUAUUCCACAUUGUUUUAUAUGAAGGCCAAACUCGUAACUCAGAUAUUUGUCUCCGCGAUCAAAUCACAAAAACGUUAUCUUCUUGUUACGAUGAUUCUUCACUUCACUCUGAAAUUCUUUGAACUUUUCAAAAUGUUUCAGACGUGUGCUUCAUUAAGUAGAUAUACUCAUAUCUGCUCAAAUCAUCUUAUGAAGGUCAGAAAAUAACGAUACUCGCCACGAGCAUCAACACUCAUUGGAUCGCAUACAUCGGUAUGUAUUAUUUCCAAUAAAUCAGUAGCUCGUUCCAUUGUUCCGAAGAACAGAGUUUUAGUCAUCUUGCCCAAAAGGCACGGUUCGCAAGCAUCAAAUGAUUCGUAAUCAAGUGAUUCCAAAAACCCAUCAGCAUGGAGUUUCUUCAUGCGCUUUACAUCGAUAUGACCAAAACGGCAGUGCCACAAGUAAGUUGCACUAUCAUUAUCAACUUUGCAUUUUUUGGCAUCAAUAUUGUGAAUAUGUGUAUCACUAUGAUUGAGAUCCAACAAACUAUUUUCAUUGGGUGUAUUACCAUCGAAGGUUUUAUUCAUGUAAACGGAACAACAAUUAUUCUCUGACUUUAAAUGAAUAAUGUAUUGCAAUAAACAUGAUCAAAUCAUAUUCAUGCUCAACGCAAACACCAAAUAACAUUUAUUUAGGUUUCAACACUAAUCCCGAAAGUAUAGGGAGUGUGCGAUGAUGAUCAUAUCAAUCUUGGAACCACUUCCAACACACAUCGUCACUACACCCUCAACUAGUCUCUGUUUUAUUCUGUAACUCAUGUUUCGAGUUACUAAUAUUAGCAACUAAAGAAGUAUCAAAUACUCAGGGGCUACUAUAAACACUAGUAAGGUACACAUCAAUAACAUGUAUAUCAAAUAUACCCUUGUUCACUUUGCCAUCUUUCUUAUCCACCAAAUAUUCAGGGUAUUUCCGCUUCUAGUGACCAUUUCCUUUGCAGUAUAAUCACUCAGUUUCAGGCUUUGGUCCAGCUUUGGGCUUCUUCGCGGGAGUGACAACUUGCUUGCCAUUCUUCUUGAAGUUCCCUUUCUUUCCCUUUGCCCUUUUCUUGAAACUAGUGGCCUUAACAAUCAUCAACACUUGAUGCUCUUUUCUUGAUUUCUACCUUCGUCGAUUUCAGCAUCACGAAGAGCUCGGGAAUUGUUUUCGUCAUCCCUUGCAUUAUAGUUCAUCACGAAGUUCUAGUAACUUGGUGAUGGUGACUAGAGAACUCUGCCAAUCACUAUCUUAUCAGGAAGAUUAACUCCCACUUGAUUCAAGCGAUUGUAGUACUCAGACAAUCUAAGCACUUGCUCACUAGUUGAGCAAUUCUCCUCUAUUUUUAGGUGAAGUAUUUGUCAGAGGUCUCAUACCUCUUGACACGGGCAUGAGUCUGAAAUACCAAUUUCAUCUCUUGAAACAUCUUAUAUGUUCCAUGACAUUUCAAAAACAUUUUUUUAGUCCCGGUUCUAAGCCAUAAAGCAUGGUGCACAAAACUAUCAAGUAGUCAUCAUAUUGAGCUAGUCAAAUGCUCAUAACGUAUGCAUCUGCUCCUGCAAUAGGUCUGUCACCUAGCGAUGCAUCAAGGACAUAAGUCUUCUGUGCAGCAAUGAGGAUAAACCUCAGAUCACGGACCAAGUCCGCAUCAUUGCUACUAACAUUUUUCAACUUAGUUUUCUUUAGGAACACAUAUAAAAAUGUAGGGAAGCAAAAAACAUAGGGAAGCAACAACGCGAGCUAUUGAUCUACAACAUAAUUCGCAAAAUACUACCAGGACUAAGUCAUGAUAAAUUUAAAGUUCAAUUAAUCAUAUUACUUAAGAACUCCCACUUAGAUAGACAUCCCUCGAAUCAUCUAAGUGAUCACGUGAUCCAAAUCAACUAAACCACGUCCGAUCAUCAUGUGAGAUGGAGUAGUUUUCAAUGGUGAACAUCACUAUGUUGAUCAUAUCUACUAUAUGAUUCACGUUCGACCUUUCAGUCUCCGUGUUCCAAGGCCAUAUCUGUAUAUGCUAGGCUCGUCAAGUUUAACCUGAGUAUUCCGUGUGUGCAACUGUUUUGCACCCGUUGUAUUUGAACGUAGAGCCUAUCACACCCGAUCAUCACGUGGUGUCUCAGCACGAAGAACUUUCGCAACGGUGCAUACUCAGGGAGAACACUUCUUGAUAAUUAGUGAGAGAUCAUCUUAAAAUGCUACCGCCGAACUAAGCAAAAAAAUAUGUAUAACAGAUAAACAUCAUAUGCAAUCAAAAUAUGUGACAUGAUAUGGCCAUGAUCAUCUUGCGCCUUUCAUCUCCAUCUCCAAAGUACUGUCAUGAUAUCUAUCGUCACCAGCACGACACCAUGAUCUUCAUCAUCUUGAUCUAUAUCAAUGUGUCGUUACAUGGUCGUCUCGCCAACUAUUGCUCUUGCAACUAUUGCUAUCGCAUAGCGAUAAAGUAAAGCAAUUAUUUGGCACUUGCAUCUUAUGCAACAAAGAGACAACCAUAGGGCUUCUGCCAGUUGCCGAUAACUUCAACAAAACAUGAUCAUCUCAUACAACAACUUAUAUCUCAUCACGUCUUGACCAUAUCACAUCACAACAUGCCCUGCAAAAACAAGUUAGACGUACUCUACUUUGUUGUUGCAAAUUUUACGUGACUGCUAUGGGCUGAGCAAGAACUGUUCUUACCUACGCAUCAAAACCACAACGAUAGUUCGUCAAGUUAGUGAUGUUUUAACCUUCGCAAGAACCAGGCGUAGCCACACUCGGUUCAACUAAAGUUGGAGAAACUGACACCCGCUAGCCACCUGUGUGCAAAGCACGUCGGUAGAACCAGUCUCGCGUAAGCAUACGCGUAAUGUCGGUCCGGGCCGCUUCAUCCAACAAUACCGCCGAACCAAAGUAUGACAUGUUGGUAAGCAGUAUGACUUGUCUCGCCCACAACUCACUUGUGUUCUACUCGUGCAUAUAACAUCAAUGCAUAAAACCUAGGCUUGGAUGCCACUGUUGGGGAACGUAGUAAUUUCAAAAUUUUCCUACGCACACGCAAGAUCAUGGUGAUGCAUAGCAACGACAGGGGAGAGUGUUGUCCACGUACCCUCGUAGACCGAAAGCGGAAGCGUUAGCACAACACAGUUGAUGUAGUCGUACGUCUUCACGGCCCGACCGAUCAAGCACCGAAAGCACGGCACCUCCGAGUUCUUGCACACGUACAGCUCGAUGACGUCCCUCAAACUCCGAUCCAGCCGAGUGUCGAGGGGGAGUUCCGUCAGCACGACGGUGUGGUGACGAUGAUGAUGUUCUACCAACGCAGGGCUUCGCCUAAGCACCGCUACGAUAUUAUCAAGGUGGACUAUGGUGGAGGGGGGCACCGCACACGGCUAAGAGAUCCAAGGGAUCAGUUGUUGUUGUGCCUAGAGGUGCCCCCCUUCCCCUGUAUAUAAAGGAGCAAGGGGGAGGGGGCGGCCAUCCUAGGAGGGGGCGCGCCAAGGGGAGUCCUACUCCCACCGGGGGUAGGACUCCCUCCUUCCUUGUUGGAGUAGGAGAAUGGAAAAUAGGGGGAGAGGAAGAAGGAAAAGGGGGUUGCGCCCCUUGUCCAAUUCGGACCAGAGGGGGGGUGUAGGCCUCCUUCCUUUUGGCCUCUCUCCUCUAUUCCCGUAUGGCCCAAUAAGGCCCAUAUACUCCCCGACGAAUUCCCGUAACUCUCCAGUACUCCAAAAAUACCCGAAUCACUCGGAACCUUUCCGAAGUCCGAAUAUAGUCGUCCAUGUUGGAAAUAUUCCCUAGAGGCAAUAAUAAAAGAUUAUUAUUAUAUUUCCUUGUUCAUGAUAAUUGUCUAUUAUUCAUGCUAUAAUUGUGUUAUCCGGAAAUCAAAAUACAUGUGUGAAUACAUAGACCACAACAUGUCCCUAGUGAGCCUCUAGUUGACUAGCUUGUUGACCAACUGAUAGUCAUGGUUUCCUGACUAUGGACAUUGGAUGUCAUUGAUAACGGGAACACAUCAUUAGGAGAAUGAUGUGAUGGACAAGACCCAAUCCUAAGCAUAGCACAAGAUCGUGUAGUUCGUUUGCUAGAGCUUUUCCAAUGUCAAGUAUCUUUUCCUUAGACCAUGAGAUCGUGUAACUCCCGGAUAUCGUAGGAGUGCUUUGGGUGUACCAAACGUCACAACGUAACUGGGUGACUAUAAAGGUAUACUACGGGUAUCCCCGAAAGUGUCUGUUGGGUUGACAUGGAUCGAGACUGGGAUUUGUCACUCCGUAUGACGGAGAGGUAUCUCUGGGCCCACUCGGUAAUGCAUCAUCAUAAUGAGCUCAAAGUGACCAAGUGUUUGGUCACGGGAUCAUGCAUUACGGUACGAGUAAAGUGACUUGCCGGUAACGAGAUUGAACGAGGUAUUGGGAUACCGACGAUAGAAUCUCGGGCAUGUAACGUACUGAUUGACAAAGGGAAUUGUAUACGGGGUUGCUUGAAUCCUCGACAUCGUGGUUCAUCCGAUGAGAUCAUCGAGGAGCAUGUGGGAGCCAACAUGGGUAUCCAGAUCCCGCUGUUGGUUAUUGACCGAAGAGUCGUCUCGGUCAUGUCUACGUGUCUCCCGAACCCGUAGGGUCUACACACUUAAGGUUCGGUGAUGCUAGGGUUGUAGAGAUAUGAGUAUGCAGUAAACUGAAAGUUGUUCGGAGUCCCGGAUGAGAUACCGGACGUCACGAGGAGUUCCGGAAUGGUCCGGAGGUAAAGAAUUAUAUAUAGGAAGUCAGGUUUUGGCCAUCGGGAAAUUUUUCGGGGUCACCGAUAUUGUACCGGGACCACCGGAAGGGUCCCGGGGGUCCACCGGGUGGGGCCACCUAUCCCGGAGGGCCCCAUGGGCUGAAGUGGGAUGGGAACCAGCCCCUGGUGGGCUGGUGCACCCUCCCCCCCUUGGGCCCCCCUGCGCCUAGGGUUGGAAACCCUAGGGGUGGGGGCGCCUCCACCUGGCUUGGGGGGCAAGUUUCCCCCCUGGCCGCCGCCCCCCCUGGAGAUUACAUCUCCUAGGGCCGGCGCCCCCCUAGGGGCCCUAUAUAAAGAGGGGGGAGGGAGGGCAGCCGCACCCAUGCUCUUGGCGCCUCCCUCUCCCUCCGCAACACCUCUCCCUCUCUGUAGUGCUUGGCGAAGCCCUGCCGAGAUCGCUGCUGCAUCCACCACCACGCCGUCGUGCUGCUGGAUCUCCAUCAACCUCUCCUCCCCCCUUGCUGGAUCAAUAAGGAGGAGACGUCUUCCCCAACCGUACGUGUGUUGAACGCGGAGGUGCUGUCCGUUUAGCACUAGGAUCAUCGGUGAUUUGGAUCACGACGAGUACGACUCCCUCAACCCCGUUCUCUUGAACGCUUCCACUUGCGAUCUACAAGCAUAUGUAGAUGCACUCCUCUCUCUCGUUGCUAGAUGAACUCAUAGAUUGAUCUUGGUGAAUAGUAGGAAAAAAUUUAUUUUAUGCAACGUUCCCCAAAAGUCCAAUAUAUCAAUCUUUACGUCUCGACCAUUUCGAGACUCCUCGUCAUGUCCCCGAUCUCAUCCGGGACUCCGAACUCCUUCGGUACAUCAAAACGUAUAAACUCAUAAUAUAACUGUCAUCGAAUCCUUAAGCGUGCGGACCCUACGGGUUCGAGAACAAUGUAGACAUGACCGAGACAUGUCUCCCGUCAAUAACCAAUAGCGGAACCUGGAUGCUCAUAUUGGCUCCCACAUAUUCUACGAAGAUCUUUAUCGAUCAAACCGCAUAACAACAUACCUUGUUCCCUUUGUCAUCGGUAUGUUACUUGCCCGAGAUUUGAUCAUCGGUAUCUUAAUACCUAGUUCAAUCUCGUUACCGGCAAGUCUCUUUACUCGUUACGUAAUACAUCAUCCCGCAACUAACUCAUUAGUUGCAAUGCUUGCAAGGCUUAUAGUGAUGUGCAUUACCGAGUGGGCCCAGAGAUACCUCUCUGACAAUCGGAGUGACAAAUCCUAAUCUCGAAAUACGCCAACCCAACAUGUACCUUCGAAGACACCUGUAGAGCUCCUUUAUAAUCACCCAGUUACGUUGUGACGUUUGGUAGCACACAAAGUGUUCCUAAUGAUGUGAUCCCGUUAAUCAAAUAACAACUCAUGUCUAUGGUUAGGAAACUUAACCAUCUUUGAUUAAUGAGCUAGUCAAGUAGAGGCAUACUAGUGACAUUAUGUUUGUCUAUGUAUUCACACAUGUAUUAUGUUUCUGGUUAAUACAAUUCUAGCAUGAAGAAUAAACAUUUAUCAUGAAAUAAGGAAAUAAAUAAUAACUUUAUUAUUGCCUCUAAGGCAUAUUUCCUUCAGUCCUUUUGGUACUUGAUGAGACAAUGGUAGGUCCAUGGGAUGACCAAAAGAUGCUCCGCAUCAGUCGUAGCUUGGAUGGAUCAAACAUGUAAACACCCAAACAAAGACCGAAUCAAAAUUGAUCCACCGAUGUUCAACACUGACCAAAUCCCACGAGAUCCGGCCAAGGCACACCUCUAUACACCGUCCGACGAAGCUAGUCGCACCAUCGGGACGGGGAUAGAACAUGGUAAACAUUAUUCCUACUGAGAGACACCACUGCCGCCACACAACCCCAACCAAGAUGUUGAACCUAACAAGAACGAGAACGGGAUCCCUCCCACUGGCGGGGCCCCAAGGUCCUCCGCAUUUCCAUGGCCCAAAGCCAUGAGGCAGACCGGCGGCACCGCCGAUGGGAGGAGGAGGAAAGACUGGGAUCUUUUCUUGUGGGGGAGGAAAGAGAAGGCGUUGUGCAUCAGUUCUGCCCCACUGAUUUGUUUACUCCAAGGUGUCUUGCAUUGGUCCACAUGCCUGGCAUUGUUUCUUCGUGAGAUCACAAAAGUGCUCUCUCUUCUUAUUAAUUACUUUGCCAUGUCACUUUCUCUUCUUCUUAUGUGACAUGCUUAGCUCCUAUACACCAUGAAACACAAAGACUGGUUUGUGGGUGUCAGAGCUAGCAAUUUUAUUGAAAGGAAAUUCUUUAUAUAACUACAUGGUGUUGCAUGUAAUCUAGGUGUAGUUAUAAAUAUGAUUAACAGUGGACAUGAUGUUAACGUGUUGAUAUACACAAUUAUUAUGUUAUGAAGGUCUAUAGGUUAUGAUUUGGUAAACACAACUAUGAAGAUCUACCUGUUAUCAUCUUACUGCAUAAAAUGAUUAUUAUCAAGUAUCUAGUUAGCUAAAAUUCUGAUGUUUUGUUGAGUUAGAUACACAAAUAUUAACUUAGCAUGGUCUAAAAUAAAAGGAGGGUCCACCACUUAUUGUCUGGAUGCUAUACUCCUAUCAUGAACUCGUUUAGCUUCGCCAUUGCUUUCCCUCGAUAUAAAUUAUCUUACUAAGGAGUUUGAUUUAAUUUGCAUCAUUACACAUACUUGUGAAGCUCCAAUCAAAUAAGAAGAAUUGAUGGGAAGAAUUUUGGCACUUGAUUCUAUUGUGUAUAGUGUAGUGUGGUGUUUUUUUAAUGAUAUUACCACCUCAACAACUGGCUUGUCCAACUACUUAACUCCUGAGGGUACAACUAGUAUCAGGGUAACAAUAGUAAUGAAAUAGAAUUAUUUAUAAAAUUAUGAUUUACAAUGUACCUGAUGUUUGAGUGUAGAUAUAUAAAUUUGAAUGUUAUGAGGGUAUAUCAAUUAUGAUAUAUUGGACGUGAGUACAAAGAUCUAUUGAUUAUGAAAGCUAUGCAUGCACACCUAAUAACACUGCAACUCCCUUCCGAACUAAUAGGAUAUCGCUCCCGUGUCGCUCGUGGGUGACACAGGGGCAUCCCAGGGUGUAGCCGCCUACCACUCCUCGUUGUCGCUGCUGCCAAUGAGAGUAGUGGCGGUGGCCCCUACUCCCCUAGAUCAUAUAGAGAUACAUGCCACUCGGGUCCACAUCGACAUCAGGAGUUGCGACAACGGCUUACCCACACCAAGCAGCCUUAGUGACGUCCACUGCACGACAUAGUAAUGAGGGUUGUCUACGGUGGUCGGGCCGAGUUGGACUAGCGAUUCCUUGUCUUGUCUUGAUUCUUGCUGCCAUGUCCGGUACCGAUCCGGAGUGUUUGAUCUGGCCCGGCGGCAGCACCUCGUGCUUCCUCAUGUGGUUGGCUGUCGGCCCUGCUCUUCCUAAUGGUGGUUUGGAGGCGCACCCUCCCGUAGUGGUGGUUUUGCCUGGAGGUGAUGUUGGUCCAGCGCAUGGCCAUGCAACACUUAAGGAGUGUCUUCUUCCCGGCUUUAGGUGCCCUCAUAGCCAAGGUCUAUCCUUGACGAAGCUCCAUCAGGUGGUUACCAAAAGGUCUUUGAGAGGGUUUCUCUUCCAGAUCUGGUGGUUGAUUUUCGGCGAGGAGAUACAAACUAUGGACAAUGACUUGAUGCAGAAGAAUGUUUGCAGAGCGACAGCGAUUAACACCACAUGUAGCUGCUGGGAUCGCGAAAAAUUGGUGGAGGAAAACCAUAAGUGACAUUGUUGGUGGUGCUACUCGAGGACCCAGUCUCAAGCUCCAGGGUGAAAGUCUAGGUCCAAACUACGUUGGUUAUACCUGACAAUAUCGAUGUUCUUGCGUCAUUACCUUGUUGAAGGCAUUGCUCGGAUAUACUUGGACUGGUUCUUCAGGAUGAAAACCUAGAUUCUGGCCUUUGAUGCCUAGGAUCUAGCCGCGCGUCGCGGCCCCUCCCUCCCUCGUCACCAGCAGGAUGUAGCCGCGCGUCUCGGCCCCUCCCUUCCUGCACCCCAAUUCCCUUGUGAUCUCGCACCACCUUUUCAACGAACACAAGAGAAGGCCCACUGCCCUCCCCAUGGCAGACACCGGCAAAGAAUCGGCGCCAUCCCACCUCCUAGUCCUCCAUAUGGGUGCCUAUAGCCACAAGGUUAUAGGCAACGUCUUUCCCACACCCCAAUUGGUUGUUUGCGUCCUCUACAUAUCAUUUCUCAGCCAUGGCUGUAGCUUUGAGUUGGCCAUGCAUCUCAUCCGAUGGCAAGGUGGUUGGGUAUGGAUCAUGUUCUGCGGGACUAGAUGAAGCAGGCUGACGGCCUCGACGGCCAUCCCCAUUCGUCCAGCCCCGACUGCAUGAUCUACGAACGUUCAAUCAUUGCAUUCAACAUGUAUUCUUUCAAUUUGGCUGAUGGUGAGAUUUGGAGAUCAAUAGAGAUGAUAAGCUAUUAAUUUUGGAAUGUACUAUAAACAAUUCAUAGCUUAUGUUGCUCAAUAUUUAUGAUCCUCACUUCUUCUUGUGCAAUUGCUGGACUGGGAUCAAUAGACUUGGCAUGUGCUUUAUAUGAAAAAUUAGAUUCACAUGGGAUAUCCACCUUUUCAAGAUUGCUGUUAAUUCUUAUUAUGAUGUUUUAGCCUUGUUAAAGGGAGAGUAAUGGUCCUCGCAAAAAGUAGAGAGAAAGGAAUGAGCAUUUGAUUCUUCCAUAUGUUGCAUUUCAUUCUUCCGUGUUUAGUUAUGUCCAACAUUUGUUACAUGCACACACUUGACAAGGUUAGUACAAGUAGUAAUUUUUCCUCUCUUUUGCAGGGCUAUGACUAAACAUGCUAUGUGAUUCCUUGAGGCAGGAUGGAUGCACCAUGGCCACACCACUGUGCUCCUGAAGGUGAUCGCUUCAAUUCAGCAUUGCAGCACCUGCAGAGGGCCCCCUAUGGUACGUGCUUUACUCUUGUUAUCAUAUGCUCUAUUUUUUUGGCUUUGCGGCAUGCCUACGAGACAUAGCUGGGAUUGCGUGUUGAACCAGGCAGUAUUUUUGACUUCUGUUGUGAGGCUAUGCUCAUGCUCGUACCUUUUUCUCUCGUAUGAAAAUAGACAUAUCAUAAUCCAUUAUUCUUCUAGGGUUGCCCCAGGCACCAAUACUAUCACAUGGUAGUAAAAAGCAAAUAUAGAUUUCUACAAGAUCCCGUAGAGACCAAAUUUAUUUCAAGCAAAAUAUAGUAACCAAUAUUAUUGAAGUUUUACAACUUGACUCAUGUGCAAUGGACUAAGAACACGGCUAGGAAACCUUCUUCGGGACUAAAACCCAACCACACCCUACUCUAUCGCUUUAUGGCCAAGUGUACACUCCACACUGCUGGACUAACUGCUUGCAUCUUCGUCGUCUUCAACCGCAGCUGCAUCCAAUAGCCUAGCAUGGUACUGCUUGAACCUACUCCUGUAUUUCAUUUUGUUGUAGGGUGAAUCGACAAGCACAACAGGUAGCUAUUUUCUGAAUUUCUCGAUGUAGGCCUGCAUGCAAGGAUAUGUUAGUAUCGUUCCAUAAGUUUCAGAAAAUGACAUAAUUUUAGGUGUUACUCUACGUACUCCGUCAUAUUGCUUCCUCAGUUUUAGUCCCGUAAAUAAUUCAAUGUUCUUCAGCAUGUACAGUGCACAACAAGAACUGCAAUAUUUUAUGUUGUUAGAUCAGCAUUUCAGAUAUUAACAAUCUAAAACAAAAACAAAAGCUAAUAUUUUUUACUGACGUUUCAUCAGAUUUUGGCACAUUAAUGUUCCGUACUGGCCAUUGCGUCAUGUUCAUGUCUUCACAUGCAUUGCUUUCUAUCCCAUUGACUCGCCUCGCUGCUCUCAGAUGUGCUUCCAUCCCAUGUACCUGCAAGCCCAAUGGGAUGAGAAGUUGCCUACGACUAAUACUUACAUACGAUGUCAAAUCCUUUGUUAUAAUUAAAUAUGUUGAAAUUCUCACCACGUUAUGUACUUCUUUGGGUACCAUACAGUGGAAAAGUGAAUCUAGAACCUGAAUCUCCUUCCUUCUGGGGUUUACGACCACAAGUAACCGGUGGACGUUUUGGCUGUUCGUAGGUAGGAAAACCUGGAGUGCACAGAUAAUUAGAUCAACGUGUAUAGUAAUAAAAAUCUGUUCAAAGUCAGGUUAAAAUACCAUAUCAUGUUUCAGGUAGCAGGUGCCUUGUGUUGUUCCAGGAAUGCCUGCCAAAGCAUCCUCGUAGCACUCCUCUAUCCUACCAUCUCUUUCGAGCUUAGCGACGCCGGCCACCCUCUCAAUGUAAACCAGUUGGCUGUCCCUUGUGUCAAUUGGGUCAUCAUGACGCAUGAGCUGGAUCGCAGCAUCAACCACCUACAACAAUAAUCAAGUUAAUUGUAUUGUACAGAAAUGAAACUUCAUAAACUAAUUUGUGAAAUAUCUUACUUCGUCACCCAACCAUACGGCUUCUUCAGAUCCAUAUUUUUGGGUGAGGCAUUGCAAAUGCUUCGAUAGCACGACAAUGUCAUCAACUAAGACCAUUUGUUUUUCAUGAUUUGUACUGUUGAUGAGUGACGCCACGAAAUCCUGUUGAACCACAUCUAGCUAGUCCCUCUGGGUUUCAGUAACUUCUGACCUCUUUUUUAAGUUGCUAGAGCCAAUUUUCCUCUUUUUAUUGUUUGUGUCCUCGGAAUCAUUUGUAGACUCUGAUGGAGUCUUGUAUCGUACGAAGCAUACUCGUCAUUCUUAAAUAAUUGCAAUACCACAUUUUUCUUUUCGCCCCCAUGAUUUGGUGGCGUCGAUUCAACCACACUUACUUCUUGCUGCUUUCAAAAGGAUUCAUCAUGGCUGUCAUCAUCUGCGAAGGCACGAGGCUCUUCGGGCUCUCACGAUCCCGUAGCCUUCACAGAGUGCUACUUACUCCGUCUGUUGAACGGAAUCUAUCAUACGAAAUAAACUGCAUGUUAGCCUUUAGCAGGUUCUUGCUCAAUUAUAGGUAAAAUGUGCAUCACCUGGAAAUCUUCAAGGCUUGUGGUGGCUUUGGAAUGCAUUUGCUUAUCCAAACUAGGAGCACCCUGGAUAUCAUCCACCUCUUUCAAAAGCUUAUGAAUACCACUAAGAUCCUAUUUGAGUUUUCUUUCAGCUCUAUCUAAUGCUUCAUCAUGUACGUGGAACAUCACAUGUUAUUUCUGAAAUGACAAUGAUUGUUUCAUAAUUAAGUUAACAUGCGUAUGUCAAACUCUUCAUCAAGGUUCUUCAUUGGGGGCUCCAUGUCAUCAUUUUUUAUUCCCUGCUUACAAUGGUGCUUAGCAGCAACCUCCGUGACAUCAUUUUGUUUCCCCUGGUCAAAAGCCUGCUCAGCAUUCUCAACAGACGCCUCCAUUGGGUGUGAAGGUGCCCCGAGGUCAGAAAGAUGUAUGUCCUCCAGUCCUGGAAAUAUUCUGUCGCGUUUUGUCUUUAAAAAAUACAUGUUAGUCUGGGGUGUUUUCAUAGUAAACUAAUUUAGAAAAAACCUUGUACACGUAAAUUUCCAGUUAUAUAUAUUAAUCUCAUAAUUCUAGGCUUACGUUCAAUUCUUUGAUGAGGUCCUCUGUGAGCUUGCCAUUUUUAUGGGUACGCCUAAGGCACUCAUCCAUUUUGUUUUCAAGGGUGCACAUCCUAUAAACUUGUUGUGCACCAGCCUCCCGCACGAGGGAGGCAACUUCUUGCAAAUCAGUCAAUACACGUCCGACGAGUACCUUAAUCUGAGACUUUGAAACAGUUAGAAUCAUAUAACUUCAUACUAGUUACAAUGUUACAAUAUAUAUUGGGUGCCUGAUGUAACUCAUUUACCUGAGCGCCAGUCUUCGGUUUGGCCAGCGUACCAUCUCGUGCUGGAAUGAAAGGCCUCAUCAGGUCCUCAACAUACUGCAGUUUAGUGUCGUUAGUAUGAUUUAGAAAAUAUACAUGUUACAUAAUCCAGGCAAUGUGCUGACAUUUUACCUCUCCAACCCCCAGAUAAUUAUUCUGGAUUAUAUUGUCAACCUUUUUUGCCUUCUCCUCACUCCAGUUCUGGAUCAACGGCCUUAACCUUGAUUGAUACGAUAUGCUAGAGUCCAAUUGGUGCACUCUGAACUUCUCGUAGUACCAUGUCUGCAUGACAACAAAAGUAGUUUACAAAUAUUCUCGUACAUUAUGUAAUGUAUGUUAGGUAAGUGAUAAUUGUACUACUACGAGUUACCUACAGCAGUGGUAGAUUCUCCUCCAGAAUUGCCUCACCAUUUACAAAAUUCUUCACGCUAUCCAUAAGAUAGUCAAGCGUUAGUUGUCCAAGAUUUGUGCCCUUUAUCGUCUCAACGUUUCUAACAAUCCCAAUAUAUUUGUUAUCCACAUACUCCUCUUUUGAUCGGCAUACAUAUUUUCCUAUGGUGUACAAGACAAAUGGCCUGACAAAAUUUGGUGUAUUGUCGCCUUUCAUCUUGGCUAGCAAUCCUUUGAAAGUUAUUUUGGUGUCAUUACGGUCUUUCAAUUUCUUCCACAACUCCAUAUUAUCAUCAAGAUUUGAAGGGACGUGCUUCUUCCCAUGGCAGGGCAUGCCUGUUAUAUGCGCUACAUCUUCUAGUGUGAUCCUACAUGGUCUCCCGUUGAUGAUAAAGGCAUCCUGCUCUGCAUCCUAUGAAUUAGCGAUGGCCAUGCACAGUACACGUCUAAUUUUGAUGCUAGGUGUCUUGAGAAGUCCACCCAGUCCUAUCAACUGGAUGUACAUCCUUUGUUGUGUGUUUAAUCCCUUUAUGAACUCCUCAUAUGGUGGCAAAGAAGCAUCCUGGGUUCAAUGGAUGUGCAAGUGUGAUUAGAUUCAGCAUGGUAUACAAUUUAAACACUCAUACAGACGAAUACAACUUAUAUAUACCAACAUAAAAAUUGUGCUCUAUGCUACUUCAUGAGGUAAUUUGUUUACAAGCAGGCUGAGUUCCAUGAAUGUGCAAAUACUAGCAUUAGAUUCAGCUUGGUUACGUUUGAACGGUCAUAUAAGGUAAUCUCCAUUGCAAGGCGCUUAUCUGAAAUAAAAUCAAGAUUGGAAAAUAAAAAACUAUCCAACCAUGGUCUCCUCAACUCUAGGCGCUAAUCAUGGUCAGUAGUAUGGAAUUAAAACAUGGGCCAUCGAUGCCUUCCAUAACUCGUGCGGAAGGAAAAAAAGAAGGCAAGCGCCCGCUGCACUAAUUGGCAUCGACAAGACCAGGACCUAAGAUUUAGCCUGGAAUUAAUCAAUGAACUACCAAUCUGGUAGAAAACAAAUCCUAGCGCCCUCCCCUAAUGCCCCCAACUUAAUUUGUUUAAAAACAUGCUGAGUUACAUGAAUAUGCAAACAACGAGUGGGGUUGCAGCAAGAGAUCAUGGGAUUAAGAUCGUGGCACGAAAAAUAGCAGCGGCUGCAGCAGGAGAUCGUGGGGAGUUACCUGAGGAUUCAUGUUUGGCUCCGUCGUUCGGUCUUGCUGGAUUCCUGGGUUGCUCCGUCCUUCGGUCUUGCUGCUUUGGGCGGCGCAGAAGGACGAACUAUGAUCUAUGAGGUUUCAAAGGAUCCCUAUUUAUAGGGAUCGUAACAACCCGGGCAUAUAUCCACGUAUUGAAUUCUUCGGUUGGAGGAAAUCAAGGGAGGGGACCCAUCUGGUUGAAUAUUAGGGGGCGUGGAGAGUUUAGCAAAGGUAAGUUAUGGUGUAAAAAACUAAGGUAAGUUGUGUAACAACACUUAGGUCUCCUGAGAAUCACGAUCGUCAAAAAGAUAUAGUUCCCGUUUCUUUGAAAAUUAGCCAAAAGAACUGGACUGCUUUUAUUAUUGGUUAUAAGUAAAUCACUGGACCUCUUUUAGGAUGAAAACUGGUUUUAAAGUCAACUAGGAUUGAGUGUUCACACGUGAAGUAUUUUCCUCUCUCUUGUGAAGCUAUUUUAUUGCCCAUCCGUGCUCAUACCUUUUUUCCUCGUAUAUGUGAGACCAAAUUUUGUUGAUAAUACUGAAUCAUGUCUGGUGCUGCUCAAGGUGGCACGACACCAUGGUUUUUGCUUCGGUGAGAUUUUGAUGAAAUAACUGAAUUUCAUUCAUUUCAGCACUCACUUCAAUAUUUGCCUUUCGACCAAAAUAUUUCAGCCUCACUGAAUUUCGGCCAAAAUAUUUCAGCACUCGCUGAAAUUUUUUUGGAACUUCUAACUAGCGAUGUUAAAAAAAUUCUGAAACUUCUAACUAGCAACAUAAUUGUUCUGAAUCUUGUCCAGACUCCGAUGAAACUUAAAUAUAAAUUUAAGAAUCCAGUUAACCUUCCUAAGCUUCAAAUUUUCUGCUUGUAAAAAGCAAAUAUAUGUUUCAGCGUCUCCCAUGCAGACCAAAUUUAUUUCAAGAAUAGUAUUUGGAACUAGUACUGUGAAUUAUUACAACUUGAUUAAUUCACACUGGACUAAGAACAUGGCUAGGAAACCUUCUUCUGGACUAAAACCAAACCACACCCUACUCUACCGCUUCAUAACCAAAUGUACACUCCAUAUCUAAGAAUGGACCACUACUGGACUAAAUGCUUGCCUCUUCAUGAUCUUCAAUCGCAGCUGCAUCCGAUAGGCUAGCAUUGUAUGUCUUCAGCCUUUUCAUGGACUUCAAUUUGUUGUAGGGCGAGUUAAGAAGGACAACAGGCAGCUCUCUUCUAUAAUUGUCGAUGUAUGCCUACACGGGAGGAUAUGUUAGUACCGUUCCAUAUGUUUACCAAAUUGACAGAAUUUUAGGUGUUACUCUGUGUACUUGGUCAUAAUGAAGUGUAAGAUCUUGUCCCGUAAAGAAUUCGAUGUUCUUCAGCAUGUAGAGUGAACAAGAAGAACUACACAAAUUAAUUCUGUUAGCAGCAUUUCACGUAGUAACAAUGAAAAACAUAAUUAGAAGCUAAUACUGUUGAUUGACUUGUCAUCUUGUCUUGGCACAGGCACAUGUUUUACUGUCCAUUGGGUCAUGUUAAUGUCUUGCCAUGCAUGGCUUUGUGGUCCAUUGAUUCGUAGCGAUGCUCUCAGAUGUGCUUCCACCCCACGUAUCUGCCAAAGUCCAUGGUAUGAGAAGUUGCUCACGGUUCAUGGCUAGGUAUGAUGCUAAAUCCUGUGUUAUAUUGAAAGACGUUUAAAAUCUCACCAUGUGAACCACUUGUGUGCGUUCUAGGUAGCCGAAAAGUGAAUGAAGAAUCUAAAUCUCCCUCCUUCUGGGGUUUACGACCACAAGGAACCAGUGGGUGUUCGCCAUGUUCGUAGGCAGAAAAACCUGGACAGCAAAGAUGAUUACAUCAACAUGCAUAAUAAUUGGAAAAAUAAAUGUGUUUAUGUCAUGGUGAGAUGGUACCAGAUCAUGUCUGAGGUAGUUGUCUCCUUUUGUUGUUCCAUGACUGCCCGCCAAAGCGGCCUCGUGGCAGUUCUCUACCUUACCAUCUCUUUCGAGCAUAGCGACGCCGGCCACCUUCUCAACGUAAACCAGCUGCACAUCCCUUAUGUCAUUAGGAUGAUCAUGACGCAUGAACUGAAUCACAGCAUCAACCAACUAAAACAAAAUUCAAGUUCAUUGUGCCAUUCAAAAAAAUUCAAGUUAAGUGUACUGUGCAAAAGAAAAUUGAUAAACUAAUUUGGGCAAAUAUCUUACUUCGUCACCCAACCAUUUUUCAUCUUCGCCUACAUCUGUCAUGGUGAUGCAUUGAAAAUGCUUCUGUAGCAGAACAAUGUCAUAAAUUACCACCAAUUGCUUAUCAAGAUCUGAGGUGUUGAUAAUUUCGGCCACAUAACCCUGUCGAAACUUGUCAAGGUUGGUCUCCAGCAUCGAAGCACUUGUGUCUGUAUCUUUUAAAUUGCUUGCACGGUUUUUCCUCUUUGUAUUAUUUGUGUCCAUGGAAUCGUUGGUAGACUCCCAUGGAGUCCUGUUUUUCUUUCUCUUAUUAUCACUAUCAUACAGAACAAAAUCUUCAUUGCACAAUAAUGAAGAUGCCACUCUUUUCCGGCUGCUCGCACGAGUUGGUAGCAUGGAAUCAACCCCACUAUCUUGUCGCUGCUUUGCUAAAGAAUCAUCAUAGUUGUCCUCACCAACUGGGAAGAAAUGGGGCUCUUUCGUCUCCCUUAUUCCCUUAGCCUUGGCAGACCGGUGGUUGCUUUUGGUACCUGCCUCUCCACCCACCUCAGUACUGACAUCUUCAUCAUCUUGAUUUCUUCUUUCUUCAGCCUUUCGCACAUUCUCAUUGUGCCUCAAAUUCAGAGGAUCCUGUGAUUCGAAAUGAAGCACUUGUUAGCUUGCAAUCUGCGCGAAAUAAAAAAAACAAAACCAGUUAACUGUAAAAUGUGCAUCACCAGGAAAGCUUCAAGGCUUGUGGUGGCUUUGGAAUGCUUUCGCAAAUCCAAACUCGGAGCACCCUGUGAUGCAUUCACCUGUUUAUAAAGUUGUGAAACAUUCUUGAGACUCUUCUUGCAAGCUGCAGCAACAGCUCUGUCUUCUUCAUCCUGAACGUGGAAGAUCAUAUCUUAGCUACAAGUGGGAGGCAGAGAGAAAAGCGAGAAACAGAGAGGCGACUCGGAGGGCGAUGGCUAGGGUUUGCGAAGCCGUCACCUUGGCCGCCCCCGUCAUCAUCAAAUCAGCCGGAUCCGCGAGGCCACCCACUCCCCAUUGCUCCGGCCACGAUUCUCCACUGCUUCGUCGACAGCAAGGUCCGACAACGGCACCUCUUCUCCCCAAUCCUGGUCACGCUGCCCGAAGCUCCAGUGGUGCCAGCUUCGAACAAGUCUACUCCAGCCCCAUCUGGUACCACUUCGCAGGUAAGAUUGAUCUUCCCUGCCCUUCGAAUGUCGAUCUAACCUUAAUUUUGCGAUCUAGCGGCACCGCCAAAGUUAAAAUCUGACACUUGCUUGUGUGCAUGUUUCGGGUAUUCGCAGAUUUACUGUCAACUAGUAGGUCAUAUUGCAACAAGUAAUUUUACAACAAGAUAAUCCAACAAUGUACUGCGUAAUCAUGGUUUUACUUGUUCGUAUGGGUAGUAAUGGGUAAACACUUUCGUGCAAGUAAGAGAAAAAGGAGGGUGUUGGCGAGCAUACCUUGCUCGUCGACAUAGCCUUCACUAUGCUAUCAUCUUGCUUGACAGAUGCUAUCAAGUACUUUUUUCCCCUCGAAAAUGACCCCCCACUUCUAGAUAUAGAAAAAGUAUAUUCACAUGAGCAUACACAUGUUUUGGUUUUGGGGGAUAGUUUGAAGACUAUGUAUAUGUAUUUUCUGAUGCUUAGUUAUUAAAAACUAAAAAGGCGAGCACAGAAGCAGUCCAUGAGGAAAUUUGUAAUGAUGGAAUGAGGAUCAGUUAUAGUUUCAUGUAUUACUCGAUGGUAGUAUGAUGAUUAGUGCAUAUUUUGAAGGAUUUGUCAAGUAUAGACUGCUCUUGAUUGGUGCAUGUUUUUGAUGAUAUGUGCACACAUGUAAUAUUUUUGGUUGGUGCAUAUUUUUGCUGAUUGUUGUUACUGCUUACUUGAAUUAUGUCAGCCUAUCUCCAAGAUAUGGUAUGGGCUUGUUGGGGUCAAUGAAAAUUUGUUGUGAGCUAGUAGUUCACAUUGCAACAAAUUCCUCACUGUUGGAUUUUCUGCCAUUAUACUUCAUAAUCAUGAUUUUACUUGUUGGUAUGGGUAGUAAUGAGUAAAUAAAUAGCAAGUAUACAAAAGGGUGACUAUUGGUCAGCAUACCUUGCUCGUUCUCAUAGCCUUCACUAUGUUGUCAUCUUGCUUGAGAGAUUCUACCAUGUCCUUAUUCUCACUAGAAAUUGGAAAAUUAACCUCCACAGCUACCUCUAAAAAUGUUAUGUACAGCAGCAAAUGCAUUAUUUGUUUUGUUGGGACAAUUUAAAGACUUUAUAUUUAUUACCUGAUGGUACCACACAACAGCCCAUCAGGAAAUUUGCAGUGAUCAAAGGCAGAUCAGUUAUAGUUUCACGUAUUGCUCGAUGAGAGCAGUCAAUCAUGGUUCAUUUUUACAUGGCUACUAAUUGGUUGGUUACCAAGUUUUCUUGUCCAGCUCACAAAAUUGUAACCUUGAAAUAUCCUAAUUGGUUAUGUCUGUCCAAUGAUUAUGAGUCUAACCACUAGUCUUCACUAGUCGUGCGAAUAGUUGCCGAGUAGCUUUUUCGUGUAGAUGUUUAUACAUGAACUACGUACUUAGCGAGAAGUAUGCAAAAAGAUUAUUCACAUUGUAUAUGGUGCUAACAAGUCCUAAUGGAAGACUGAUUUCAUAUAUCAAUAACUAACAUUUGUUCAUUGCAAUGCAUGCAAUAGGUUGAAUGGCAAGGGAAACCAUCCUCAUUAGUAGUGAAGAGAGUGAUCACCGGACCACCUCAGAUGAUGCUUCAGAUGGCACUUCACGUGGGAGUGACGGCUAUAGUGGUGAUGACGACACCUCUAGCGACUAUGACACUAAUGAUAGUUCUGAUGGAUAUGGAGAUGUGGACCACGAUCCUAUAUUGGCACUACGGGGUAAAGUUCUAUAUGGCUGGUCAGAUAUUAAAUGGACCGUGAAAUAUCGAAAGUUGAUGUUUGAGUGACACUUGAUUACCACACAUUACUCUGUUUGGGUUCUAGAUGACCUUCCAAAUCAACAUUGACUAAACUAGAGCUUACAUAGAGGAGUGUUUAGUUGUUAGUUUAAAUAAAUCAAAUAUUCAAUUUGCCCAUGUUUCUACGAGAUAUUGCUGGGUGGAUGUGACUGGGUUAUCUAUGUCCUUCAUUUCUUGAUCAUUGGAGUAGGCAUUGAUCAUUAACCCAGUGCUGAUGUUCUAGAUCUUACGUAUGAAAUUAUUUACUACUCUGUCAUCUUAAUUUUUUUUGAUACAGGUCCGGGAUACCUUGUGAGAAAAGGAACUUUCGAGGAUCGCAUCUUCUACGGAAACCAUGUAUCGCUAAACAAAGAUCAGUGGGACUGUCUCAAAUCCAUAGUAAAGCAGUGCCAACCUCCCAUACCAUACUAUGUCAGCACCGUCACUCGCUCGGCAGUCAUCAGAGGGAAGAGCAAGAUGGUAAACACAUGGACUUUCCUUUUUGCAAAUCAUACUUCACUAGUGAAAAUGCCAUCAUGUAGAACAGAGAGGAGGACGGGCGUGGUUGUGCAAAUCAUACUUACUUUUUGUGUGCAAAUCAUACUUCAUUUUUAUGUAACAUUAUUUAUUUCCGUGUGUAAUCAGUGCUUCUCAAAGGAUUACAGUCAGGCCUACCUCAAAGAUUAUCUACGAAAGCCCAUGGUUGUGCGUGUCACCAACGAACAUUUUGAAGGUAAUAAAAAGGUCUUGUUCAAGAUGGGCAAGAAGGACGGGCGUGCGAUCAUGACAAAGAACUGGAGAGAAGUUGUUGAGGGCGCCAGAAUGAAAAAAGAUCAAAUGGCUAUCUUCAGGUUCAUGGAAAGGAGUGGAGGUGGGCUUAGGGUGAACAUGGUUAGUGGCAUGAGGAUUCGUUGACCCAUGGCAGUAGUUUGACGCUAGUUUUAUAAUCUGUAUGUACUAGCCAGUAACUGCAAGUUGGUAGUAUCAGCUUUUGGGUCCAGUAAGUGCAACUUAGUAGUAAUUGGUACUUGGUAGUAACUAGUACUUUGGUGGUAUAACUUUUGGGUCCGACUGGAUAUGAAGAUCGUCCAGUAAGUGAAACUUGGCAGUAACUUGGUGGUAGUAUGAACCCUAUGUGGCGUAAUGUACUUGCUAUGCAAGUCUAUAUAUAUAACGCACCCUAGUACCCUCCUUGAUAUAAUUACCUUUAUGGACUGCAAUUAUAUGUUCUUUUUUUGCAACAAUGAUGCUAGUAUUUUUAGAAUCAAAUCUAACCGGGUUUCAAAUGAAUUGGACACUACUUUCAUUUUUGAACGAGGUUUUUGUGUUGGCUAGUAUGAGUUAUUUUGAAAAUGCGGUUUGUAUGUGUGUCGCACAAAAAAAUGCAAUGCAAAACAAAAACUUGCGGGUCGAAAUGCAAUGCAAAAAUGAUGUUUUUGUUACUUUCGAAAUGGCAUGCUAUUUUCAAAAACAGAGCAAACCAGCAUGUUUUUUUAAUUUGAAAAAUAGUAUACUAAAAAAACAUGCUAUCUUUUAAAAAGCGUGAUUAAAAAAAUGUUGUUUUCAAAAUCAGCACGCUGCUUUCAAAACAGCAUAUUUAAAAAAGCAUGUAAUUUUUGAAAUCAGCAUGCUGUUUUAAAAACAGCCUUAUAUUUUUAAAAACAGCGUUAUAUUUUUUAAAUGAGGCUGUUAUUUUGAAAUCAGCAUGCUAUUUUUAAAAAUAACAUAUUUAAAAGAACAUGAUAUUUUUUAAAUCAGCAUGCUAUUUUAAAAGUAGCAUAUUGAAAAGAGCAUUAUAUUUUUAAAAUAAGCAUGCUAUUUUUAAAAUAAGCAUGCUAUUUUUAAAAUAAGCAUGCUAUUUUUAAAAUUAGCAUGAUAUUUUUGAAAACAACAUGCUAUUUUAAAAGUAGCAUAUUGAAAAGAGCAUUAUAUUUUUAAAAGUAGCAUGCUAUUUUUAAAAUUAGCAUGAUAUUUUUGAAAUCAGCAUGUUAUUUUGAAAGUAGCAUAUUGAAAAGAGCAUUAUAAUUUUAAAAGUAGCAUGCUAUUUUUGAAAUCAUAUUUUUAAAAUCAGCAUGCUAUUUUUAAAAUAGCAUGGUAUUUUUAAAACAGUAUAUUCAAAGCAGCAUGCUAUUUUCAAAUCCGCAUAUUCAUUCUAUUUUAUUUUCAAUUGAACAUGUUUUUUUCAAAUGAGCAUGCUAUUUUUAAAAUAUCAGUAUGUUAAUUUUCUAUUUGAAAAUAAACGAUUUUCAAGGUUAUUUGAAAACGAGGUUUCUAUUAACGUUCUAUUUUCUUAUAUAUAUAAAUUUUUGGUUUCUAUUUUAUAUUUCAAGUAUGAAAUUUGACUACACUUUGAACAAAUUUUAGCAAUAUAUUAUGUAAAAAAUGAAAAAAAAAUACAGAAAACCAACUUCACUAAAAAUGCAUUGUUUCAUCGAUGUUAAUAAAUCAUAACUAGCCUACCAUGUCGACCCGUCCAUAAUAAAAUGAGGGUGUACCAAUCGAAUGAGGAAUUCAGAAAAAUAGUGGCAGUCCAUCAAAUAGGUCUAAUACAUCAGAAACAAGGUGGAUCACGGCAUGGAAAACUAUCUACUUUAGUUUGUUCUCAUUUUUUUGACCCUAGAAAUCCUUUUGUUUUCUCUGCUUGACCCUAUGCAUCUAAACAUCCUGUCUCGACUUCACUUUAGCUUUCCUGCAUGAAACAACGUUUGUUAAUAGGAUAGUAAGGAAGAUUUGAGCAUGUACCGUACACUAUAAUAGAAAAGACACUAACUUCACUGAUUUUCUCGUCAUAGCUACAGAAGCUAACUUGACAGCUCUUAUUCACUCAGCCUGUGGUACAUCCUAGCAGGCCUUUUUGUCUUCAUCACCCCUUUGGUCUGUUCUUUACCGCCCUUCCUAGAGUCUUUCCUGGAAAAGUUAACAAACGUCAACACAGUACUAGCAAAUACCCGACUUCUAGAGCGGAUAUGUAAGUACAAACACUAACUUCACUGGUUUUCCUCGCGCACCCUUGGCAUCGUUCUUUUUCUUUCUCCCAACAUUGACAUUUGGAGCGCCCUUGCGUUUCCUACAAAAAAUGAAAUAGAUGAAUCUGCAGCCAGCAUUCAAAAACAUGUUUAAGUACACACAAUUGUACUAAUGCCCACUUGUUUGGUUUUGCGUAAUCCUCUUCUGCAACCUCCAAUUGUCUCUUCCUCAGGGCCGGGCCGGCAAAUUCUGGGGCCCUGUGCAAAAUUAAAAAAUGAGGCCCUAUGUCACUAGAUAUUUUUUCAUUCAAAAAACAUCUCACUAGAAAAAAUGAACUAGCUAGCGAGAAAUUAUAGUGUAUAUGACAUAGUGUCUUACUCUCUUAGAGGCCAUGCCUCAAUAUUUGGCAAUUAGACGAACCAUCUAGCUCACCUACUCCCGUGUCCUGUCUGGUUGAACUACUAUAGUGUGAUAUUUAACCGAGGAGGCAAGAACUGAUCUCUAACGCUUCUUGCCAAUUAAUUAGAAAUUAGGAGUAGGAGUAGGAGCUGAAGUUAAUCAGGAAGGAGGAUUUUACAUACUGUAACUGUGAAUUUUUGCCUUAACCUUCCUACUAAAGUCAUAAUCUUCUAGAUCAUCUACGUUUUGAAACCUAUACAAAGUCUUGGAUCAUUAGAACUGAGCAAACUCAUCUAGGUAGCUACAGUACAGUCGUACAUAUCUUCCAUUGUAUGGUCGUGAUUUAUUGAUUAUUCACAUGUAAUGGUCUAACAAACAUGCAUAAUAACACAAACGGCUGAUGCCAUGGACAAAAAGUCGGACGAAUCAUCGGGUUCUAGCACUAACCUGCGCUCAGCGGCAGGCUACCUAUUUUGCUUGAGAGGAACUGUCCCGUGUCGCCCGUCGCUGGCGCUCUGGAGUCUGGAUGCCGAUUUUGUUUUGACGAGAGGAGAGGAACUGUCGCUGACUCGCCGUGCUACCCGUCGCGGACUGCCAGUCCCGUUUCUGAUCCGAUGAUCCCGUUUCAUGUUGGCUGUAGCAAAGCGAAGGGGCCUGGGCAUGUAUGCACGUUGGAUUCAGACCUUUGGAGAUCGAUCUCGUUUCCUUUUUUUCUUUUUGAGACUAGUAAGCAUGCACGUGCAACACACGUCUCGCUUAAAUAUGUUCUACUAUGAAACUUAAUAAUUCUGUCAUAACAUAAAUCUACAUUUUUAGCAGCUACAAUCUCACGUAAAAAGCAUAUAAUUCCGAACUCGUACAAAUGACUGGAAAUAUUGUACUUUAUAAAUCAACAGGCCCAUGUCCAUUGCUUAGCAAAUACCUCAGUCCGUCAAGAAAAUUUAAUUGUGGCCUAUGGCCAUGCAUGCACCCCUAGCUAGUGCAUCUCGACAACAAGGCCAUGACCAAACAUCUCGCCAGCAUCCACAGUGCCAUAUAGAUAUUCAUGUAUCACAAACAAAAUUGUUUCUCAUAUAUCACAUCCAUGACCUCUUAAACUAUAUAAUUGACAUAAUUCACCAGUUAUUUCAAUCUUAAAGUCAUCAUUGCAUCCAAACUGAAGUAAAUUUGAGUUGCUCAAAAAAAAGUUGCUCAAAAAAAAACUGAAGUAAAUUUGAGGUGUAAUAUUUCCAACCAAGAAAAAUACAUUUUCAUUCUUAUUUUCUUCUAGGUCGUGCCUAUGAGUGGGCCAUUGCCAAUAAGCACCAGGAAAAAAGAUAUGCAAGUGUGUGUACAGAGGCAAUGAAAAUUAAUUAGUAGUUUCCACAUAAGCUGAUCAAAUAAAAUAAUCCGUCAACGUUCUGAGAUACAAGUUUGUCCACCAAAGAAACAAAACAUUGCUAGUCAGCAAACCAAGCUGCAGCACCUGUGGUUGUUCCAAGCAAAAUCAGGUACCCGUGAAACCAGCCACAGAGACAAAGCAGAUGCCCAAACCGCUGAAGGUAGAAACAUGCUUACUCAUAAUCUAGAGGCAUUUUGUGGUCAUUUAGUGUUCAUCCUUCCAUGGCAAGGUCCAAAGCAACGAAGGUACUUGCAACUUGAUAUUUGGAAGCUCGCCAUGUAUCUGGCUCCUUUUUUUGCGAUCGCAAAAAAAUCAAUCUCUAGGAGAGUAUUAACACAUAUCACUGAUAAUGAACAUAACUCUGCAAAGAAAAAGGAAAAAGUGAGAAGGAGAUUAAUAAACGUAGCUGUACAUAUGCUACAUAAAUUUCCAUCUAAUAUUCUCACCUUGGUCCCGGUCUGCAGUAUGUCGUCUUGCCCAUCCAGCCUGAACUGAUAGAGAAAGUUCCAUGUGGCACUUCAUUUAUGAGGAUAUAACAUGAGUCAACAACAAAUUUAUCAUUGUUAUUCAUGGCAAGAUAAUAGAUCAUUCAUAAAUAUAUAUUUUGUUGGAUGUUGAUUACUGGAAAGUAAUACCAAUAUGGGCUUACAAAUUUGGGCAUGCUUCUUUUCACCGACGACACCUAUUAGCAGAGGUAAAUCAUAAUAUUAUAGACAUAUGUUACUAAUAGAAAAUACUACUUUUCUUUUUAUAUUACUUAAAUUAGAACAAUCAAUUUCUUCCAUGUCCCGAAACUUCUCAUUGAGCCUCUCCAUUUAACUCAGUAAUUUUGGGUUAUGGUAAAAUCAUGGGUUUUCAACAAAAUAAAAACAAACAAGACCAAUAAGAAAGAAAACUUAAAAAUUCAAGCCUAUCAGACAAUCAUGCACCUCCGGUGGCAUGUCGACAAUCAGACAUACCAAAACCUUUGGUCCUAAUUUUUUCCCCAAUACAAUGUGUGAAACAACAAAUAAUAACCUUGUGUGUGUGUGUGAAACAACAAAUAAUAACCUUCAUGCCAGCAAUGCAUAUUAAUAUUAGAAGAUCAAAAUGUGUUUCACUGUGUAACAUUUCCAUUGCAUGUACAUAACAUGCUAUGCAUCAAAUCCCCCUGCACAAGAUUCCUCUGUCAUGGCCACACUCGUAUCCAGUGGUGGUGGAGUAGCCUAGGACGUGAAGCAGGGAAAGGGGCACAACAUACCGGUGCGGCCGGCGACGGCGGAGACACAACGGACUGCUCGGCCUCCUCGUCCCCACAAUGCUUUAACUAUCUUGGAUAUCUUUCAAAAAGAAUGCCAAUGAGGGUAUCAGUUGCUACAAAUUCAUGACUUCAAAGAAACACAAUAACCCAUUAGAUGGUUCAGUACAAAUCAUUUCUUCACUUGCAGUACCAUGUAAAACAUUGAAUAGGUAUGCAUCACUCAUCAUUUCAAAAAGACUUCAAACAAAAACAUUCAACACCUCUGACUCCACAAAGACUUAAGAAAUUAGGGUGCCUAAAUCUUUAUGCAGAACUGGAUACAUCUUACUUAUUAGUUAGCCAACCACCGUAUCCAAGUGGCCCAAUUACGUGAAUACAAUCAGUAUCAAUCAUAAGUAUGAAGCAUGAAACUUUCUGAAAUGAUCAGUACUUAUUAGGUCUCAAACUAUACAUAUAGAAACUUGAGACUGCAGACAUGAACGGUCGACUCUGAAACUCCACUCAAAUCACCACAUUAUCUAAGCAUGCUCAGUUAGCAACAGUAAAACAAAUUACAGAAUCUGAAACCUCACACAUUAUUUAGAGAGUACCUUAUUUUCUGUUCUUGCUACACUGGAAUCAAUGUACACUCUGAAUGAAAAAUAACAAACACUUGAUUGAUAUGGUCAUCAUAUAUGAAAUAAGACAGUAUGUGACAAACUAUAUAAAGCCGUAGAUUUUGAUGUACUACUAAUAUUUGGUCAUCCAAACUCAUAUAAUAGUUCCUCACCUGCAAAUCCUCCAGUAGUUGUGCUGACAUAUGAAACAUCUUCUUGAUCUCCCUAAGCUGAAUUCUAUGAUAGCACAGAGCUGAACUCGAAAAAUAAAAUCACACCACAGGACAUCUACAGGCUAUUUUUACAUGAAAUGAGACUCGAAAACACAUACAAAGGAAAAGGGGACACCUGUUUAAAUAAGCCAUUGAAAGCAGGCUACACAGAGCUCGACAUAUCGCCUUGCGAACCUAGCUCAAUAUCAGCAUUUCUUCGGGCCCAAUCCUCUUUGCUGGUCUCAAAUUAGUCAUGUUAAAUUUCACAAAAUAAAUGUCCUUGCAAGAUUCACAAUUCAAAUCCUUUGUGCAUUCUAACCAAGAAGAUGGAAUUCAAUCUUCGGUGAGGAUUGAAUCCUAGUGUCAUAAGUAAUACAUAUAUAAACAUCAGUAGCAUCAGAGAUUGCUCACAAGGGCAACGCUGCACACCAUGCUAUUUCUGUACUCAAGGAUCACAAAAUAACAUCAUAUAAAGAAUACAGAGGAAACCACAUACAGGGAGCAAAUCAUCAUCUAGUCGACAUAGAAAUUAGUCUGCUACUUCUCUUUGCCAGCUCAACAUUACCAAUGUUCUUCUGUGCCAUCAGCAGAAAAAAGAACAAAGAGAGAUGAAAUUCAGUUUGCAUCCAAAGCUCUCUUCAUUCCCCACGGCCGGAGGUCUCCCCGUCCCCAAAACAUGCCUCCGCCAGCAGAGCACCCGUGCUUGCCGUUCCUCGUUGUCCCCUUGCCGUUCCACCGGAGUUCCCCACCAGUCCACCGUCACGGGCUCACAGCGACCCCGGCGGGGCAGAGAGAGGGAGGGAGGAAGGGAGAGAGGGAAGAUAUGUACCUAGACAGCACCAAUGCCCUUGCUCAGCCGCCGCCGCCCGGAUCCAAAUCGCCACUGCUGCCCCGAUCCAGGACAGUAGGAUGAGAUCCCGAGGAUAGAGUCAGGUGGCAACGACUGCCAUGGCCGAAGUGCAUUAGGCACGCCGGAGUGGGGCGCAAUGGUGAUAGCCUUGUGUCAAGGAGGCGGUGGAGAUGGCGGCGGCGGCACGGGAGAUCGGCAGCGCUGGGCUCGCUUGGUGGCGAUAUGGUGGGGGGGGGACUGUGGGGGCGGCACGAUUUGGGAAGAUGGAAAGGACGGACGGGAGCAGAGGAAUUAGUGGGAUUUUCAGAUUUGAUCCGCGUGGUGAGCGGGCCGUGCGGAUCGGGGGCGCGGAGCGCUUCGACGAUUGGCAGACCACCGGCGUCUGCUGGCAGAACAUUUGAUCCUAGUCGUCGAUCUGGUUAAUAGAUUAUUGACGUAAUAUGGGCGGUAGGAUAUGUGUAAGUUGAUUUGAUCCGAAGGCUCUGACUAUCUUGUGUACAGUUUGUUGUGUGGUUUUAGGAGAACUUAUGUUUGCUCUUUUAAUAGUAGUAGAGAUAAUCACCUUGACUCACCUGGACGCGGCAGUGGCCCAACACCAUGCGGGCUAGCGCCCAGGAUUCUUUUUUUAGCGACAUCGCCAAGGAUAGGCCUGUAUAAAAAUUUGGGGCCCCUCAAUUUUAUGGGCCCUGUGCGGGCUCACAGUUUGCACAACUAUGGGCCCGGCCCUGCUCUUCCUAGCCCUCCUCAGUCCACCAUCUUUUGCAUCUGAAUCUUCGUCUUCUUUCGCAUAUGAAUCUUCCUCUUCUUCCGCAUCUGAAACUCCCUCUUCUUCUGCAUCUGAAUCUUCCUCUUCUUCUGUAUCUACCUUUGUCUCUUCUUCUGUAUCUGCCUCUGUCUCUUCUUUUUGCUUCUUCCUCCUUGUGCUAUUUGAUUUCCCCGAUUUUUUCCUGCAUAAAUUGAAGAAAAACAUGUGAACACUCUUCGGGAGAACAUAUUAACACUGUAAGCAUGUAUGGAAAUGAACAAUGAGAUUAACAUGUGCACUAACUUCAUUGCUUUUUUGGAUCUUCCUCUUCUUCUGUAUCUGAAUCUGUGUCUUCUUCUGUCUCUAAGUCUUUCUCUUUUCGCUUCUUCCUUCUUGUGACCUUUGAUUUCCCCGAUUUGUUCCUGAGUAAAUUGAAGAAAAAGAGAGAACAUAUUAACAUUGUAAGCAUGUAUGGAAAUGAACAAUGAGAUAAACAUGUGCACUAACUUCGUUGCUUUUUUUCCCUCUCAUCCGCUCGCGCCUAGAUUUAAUCCUCUUGUUCGAUUCUUCGGUAGUUGGUCUCCCUUUCGAAACUAUUUUGAUUGGAUUUUCCACGUCAUCAGUGCAGCAUUCGCGAGCAACAGAGAAGUAUGCCGGCAAAGGAACAAACGAUUUAUGGCUUCAUCCAAAUCAGUUUUUUCUCCAUCAACCAAUAUACUCCGGAGGAGCUCCAUCACCUAUUCUGACUGUGAAUCACUAGUUGCGGCUGUGAAUAGAGCAUCACUAGCCAUGUUGCGUAGUUGAUGAUACUUAUUCAUGUGAUCAGACCAUACAUGAGUAUUCGCAGUCCUCGAAGAAGGGAACGCUGGCUUGGCAUGCAUUGUCCAUCUUUUCUUGACAUUUUUUUUGGAAAUGUGCGUACACCAAGAUGAUCCAGAAUGCAGAAUAUAUGUGCGCAUGGGUAAUCGUGACUUUCCAACUUUUUACAUUUACAAGCUGCAUCAUCCAGUCUUGCUCCUCUAAAAGACAAGUCACGUGAUAUAUAAAAUCCACAGGCUUAGCAUCCACGCCUUGUGCAUCCAACUCCUCACUGUCCUUACCUUCCAAGUCAUUGGGAUCCUUAGCAUCCAGGUUCUUGGCAUGCAAGUCCACACCAUCCUUGCCUUCCAAGUCAUUGGGAUCCUCAACAUCUAAGUUUUUUGCAUGCAAGUCCUCAGCAUCCUUACCUUCCAAGUCAUUGGGAUCCUUAGCAUCCAAGUUUUUUGCAUGCAAGUCCUCAGCAUCCUUACCAUCCAAGUCAUUGGGAUCCUCAUCAUCCAAUUUUUUGCAUGCAAGUCCUCAGCAUCCUUACCUUGCUUACCUUGCAAUUCUGUAGCAUCCCUGUCAUAUGGGACUUUAUCAUAUGGGGCUUUGCGCAAAACUCCAAACACGACCAAACCAUCACAUGCUACCCGGUCCGUGACCUGCCAAUUUGUCCCUUCGACAAUCUGACGCUUUACCUUUGGAAACAUCACAGUUGUAUAAAUAUAAGAGGCAGCAAUCUCCAGAGGGUGUGCAUUCAGCUUAGUGAAGGGUAUCGUAUGUGUUGCUACUGUGUCUAAUGCUGCUUCAUUCUUACGCAUUAUGGAUACACAGUGCUCAACAUGCUGCAACAAAUCAACAAGCUGCAUCCUCCUGUUCAGGUGCACAUGAAGCCUUGAGUUGAGAGACUCACUCCUCUGAUUACUCAUCAUUCCUAGGAAAUAUCUACCCUUUGUGUCCGCGGCAUCCCAUUUGUGUCGCAGUUCGUACAUCCUGUUAACCCAUGACGACCUCUUCCCCGUUGGUUUUAUUUUGAACUGAACCUUAUAAGUCUCCCAUCUUUUCUCAAACUCAUCAACAUCCCAACGACGGUAAAUUCCCUAAAUUCCUAAAGCUUUUUCUUGCGGAGGUGCAUCACCAUAUUCUCCUCGAUAUGCCACGUGCACAAACGAUGAUAUGUUCCAGUCCAGACAGUAGCUAUUGCUUUAGCCAUUGAACCGUCCCCAUCGGUGAUUGCUGAAAUGGGUGCCGUUUGGGACAUUGCCUCCAAAAAUACAUGAAGAAGCCACUGGUAUGAUGCAACUGUCUUGUUUGACACUAGACCGACCCCAAACAAAACUGUGAUGCGGUGAUGGUUCAGACCAACAAAUGAAACAAACGGAAGCUUGUACUUGUUAGACCGGUAUGUACUAUCGAACACCACGACACCAUCAAAGGCAACAUAGUCAAUCCGGGAUUGUGAAUCAGCCUAGAAUAUGUUCCUCAAAUGGCCUUCUUUGUCUUUUGUGUAUUUGAAAAAGAAUUUCGGGUCUGCUUUUUCUGUGCAAUCAUAUAGGUGAGAAAAUAUCUAGCGUCACUGCCUUCUAUCGUGCGCUUCUUCUGGAUUGAAACAUCACUACUAGGGAAAAGCCUAGCAGUAGCGCGGGUUUUAGGCCUAUCAGUAGCACGGGAUGGAGCGCUACUGGUACGGUGCUACAGCUAAAGGUUAGCAGUAGCAUGCCUCAACCCACGCUACUGCUAAAUCGACUUAGUAGUAGCGCUUUCCCAGAGGAGCGCUACUGGUAAUUGGUAGUAGCGCUUCUCCCUGCCCGCGCUACUACUAUUAUUUCGUAUUUUAUUUCUUUUUUAUUUCAUGUUGUAUUCAUACACCUUUACACAAGUUUUUAUACAAUAGGAAUUUAGAGAUUGUUUUUACAUCAUAAUGAGUUAUUACAUCACGGGGUGAAAGAACCGUGGACUGGAUGUCCAUCCACUUGAAACUAAUCUACGGUUCUUUCACCCAAUGAUAUAAUAAAUAUCAUCAUCAUCAUCAUCAUCAUAUCAUUAACAACUUAUCAUCAUAAUACAUCAUUGUCAUAUAAAACCUCCUCAAGAUCACCGUUUUCAUCAAUGAGACAUCACAUAGCAAAUUGGUCACUAGUCGUAAUCACAAGUACUCCUAUCAUCAACUCUAACACAUUGUACCACAUAAUAAACAUAUUGUACCUCAUAGUACCUAGUACAUUCUCUUAGGACCUACUAUAUUCUCUAAGGUAAAAUAGCAAAAAAACAAGAUAGCCCCUGACUCUCCAUUAUGGAGAAUGGAGAUUAUCCUGUCUCCAAUUCUUGCCUUUCGCUUAAUGUUACUUCCAUGAACCUCCUUGCGAAUGUCCAAACAUUUUUUCCAUUCUUUGAUUAGCAUGUGUUCACUGGUUUUAGAAAUCUGAUAUGCACAGGUAAGAUCCGUAGAUUGACCUGGCUGUAUGUUCAGAACUGCAAGGUGACCAUUCUGAUACAUCAGAUGAGGCACACAAUCUAUCGGGAUUUUCUGUUUAAAAACAUAGUAAUAACUUCGCAGUUAGCAAUGAUGUACUAGUUUUAGAAGUAUGCAAAAGAUGCACGGAUGCCAUAAUAGUAAAAAAUCUUACCAGGGUAUCUCCAUAGAAGUUACCGUGGUUCAACAUGUGCACUAGUGGCAUGUAUUCACCAUAAUUUGGAGGAGUUCGAUAAUAGGUAUUGUAAUUCUCAAGAUAAGUACAAAAUGCGAUCAGAUGACUUUUCUCCUUAUAAGUUAAUUCGGAGCCAUCAGUGUAGUGGGUUUUGUCUACCAUCUUCCGCACAUUCUUUGAAGAAUCAAAAUGAGUUGUCAAUGGAAAUAAGCUGUCAACUAUUUUGAAAUAAACAAUAUAAAUUAGUUAAUAACUAUCUUUGAGAAACUCACAUUGCGGUAGAAUCGGAAGCGUAUCAACAAGGACCCAAAUGUCCAUAUUGUCUUGCUUGAUGUCAGGAUCACCAAGAUACAUGGUGACAAUCAUACCCUCAUAAAUAUCAUACAUUUUGCAAAGUGCUUCCCAAUUUUGGCAACCAAAAUGGGUUACGCUCUGAGAAUUGUACAGAUUUACUUCAAAAUCCAUAUCAUGAUGGGUCCUUAGGUGUAUUUUCUUUGUUUCAAAAUUUUCAUGGUCUUCAAAACCCAUCCUCUCCAAGACAUAGCGUCUUGCAUGGCAUGGGAUAAGCUAGUCGAAUUGUAAAAGAUGAAAAUUAGACGUUGAAAUAGUUGAAGUCAUGCUUAAUUAUGAAAAAAAACACUUGUCGUCGUUGCGUACCGUUUCAACAUCAAAGGUCUCCUCGAGCUUAAUGUUGAAGCGUUGAUCUUCGUCCAACUAAAGGAACCUGUCGCACAGACCUCGAUCAUCGUGGCACCAGCUGCACUCCCCCGGGAGACUGUCGUCGUCCGAGUACGACAUUUCCUACGUUCAUAAUUCAAAGAUUAAACUUGUACAAUUAAAUAUAUGUACUAAAAAACCUAAAUUAGAUCAUUAUUUUUGAGAAAAUCCAGGCCACUUGAUAUUUCCUACAUAUUAUAGCACAAGUCAUGCCAGAAUUCACGGAAAAAUCCGGCAUGACAUUUGCCGGAAUGGAAAUUAAUCAACACUCCGGCAAAACAUAGGCCACUCGGAGGUGUAACCUGAACAUGACCGGCCACUUGGGCAACCACAUAUCCUAUUUGAGCAACACAAGAUAUACAUGGAGAUUUGGCUGGUCUCACCUCGAGGUCGGAGGGGGUCGGUGACGGGGACGACGGUGGGGAUGAUGGAGGGGCUCCUUGAUUUCUACAAAAGCAAAAACCCUAUAAGUUAUCACUAAUACAUCCCGAAUAAUUGUUCAACUAGUUCUAUAAAUUCAACUAGUUCUUACUAAAUAUAAACUUACUAUAAAUAAAAAAACUAGUUCUUUCUAAAAAUAAAGUAGUUCAACUAGUUAUAUUAAUUAUCUUACUAAAAUUACAUUAGCUCUAUUAAUUCAACUAGUUCAACUAGUUUAUUAAUUUACUUACUAAACUAGUUCAACUAAAACUAAACUAAUUCAACUAGUUUAUUAAUUUACUUACUAAACUAGUUCAACUAAAACUAAACUAGUUCAACUAGUUUAUUAAUUUACUUACUAAACUAGUUCAACUAAAACUAAACUAGUUCAACUAGUUUAUUAAUUUACUUACUAAACUAGUUCAACUAAAACUAAACUAGUUCAACUAGNNNNNNNNNNNNNNNNNNNNNNNNNNNNNNNNNNNNNNNNNNNNNNNNNNNNNNNNNNNNNNNNNNNNNNNNNNNNNNNNNNNNNNNNNNNNNNNNNNNNNNNNNNNNNNNNNNNNNNNNNNNNNNNNNNNNNNNNNNNNNNNNNNNNNNNNNNNNNNNNNNNNNNNNNNNNNNNNNNNNNNNNNNNNNNNNNNNNNNNNNNNNNNNNNNNNNNNNNNNNNNNNNNNNNNNNNNNNNNNNNNNNNNNNNNNNNNNNNNNNNNNNNNNNNNNNNNNNNNNNNNNNNNNNNNNNNNNNNNNNNNNNNNNNNNNNNNNNNNNNNNNNNNNNNNNNNNNNNNNNNNNNNNNNNNNNNNNNNNNNNNNNNNNNNNNNNNNNNNNNNNNNNNNNNNNCUACUACUAAUUAACAUCUACUACUACUAAAAAUCAUUAUCUAUGAACCCUAAAUUAACAUCUACUACUACUAAAAAACAUCUAAUACUAACUAAGCAGAGAGAAAGGGGGUGGGAGAGGGGUGGGGGCUUACAAAGAGAGGAGAGACGGUGGCGGGGAGGUGCUCGGCGACGGAGAGGUAGGGGCGGCGAGGACAGGCUCGGGAUCGGGAGGCAGCGGUGCAGGGCGGGCUCGGGCGGCGGCGGUGAGAUCGAGGGCGGCGGCGGUGAGGUCGAGGGCGGCGACGGUGAGGUCGAGAGCGGCGGAGGGCGGCGGCGAUGAGGUUGAGGGCGGCCUCGGGCGGCGGCGGUGAGGGCAGGCUCGGGCGGUGACGAUAGAGGAGUAGGGGAACAGGAGGGAAUGGAGGACUUAGCAAAAUUUUGAGCCCGCGGGUGGUUAAGUCGAACUAGCAGUAGCGCACUUUAGUAAGCGCACUAUAGCUAACUUAGCAAUAGCGUGUUUUACAUAAAAACUCUACUGAUAAGUCUAAACUUAAUUAGGUGCAAUACUUAAUAGUAGCGAGUUUUGAAGAAAAACGUUGGUACUAAGUACUUUAGCAGCAGCGCGUCCAGGGAAGGGCGCUACUACUAUAUCUAGCCUGGAGGCAAGCCGUGGCAAUUAUAGUAGUAGCGCUUGUUUCAUCUAGGGCGCUACUGCUACCGCGUUAUUAGUAGCGAGCUUUCGUCAAGCUCGCUACUGCUAAUUAGCAGUAGCGUUUGUUUUUAAACCGCGCUGCUACUAAGAUUCUGUGUAUAAGGUUUUCCCUAGUAGUGCAUGGUUGUAUAGGUAUCGAUCUAUAAAUCCAAGCUUGUCGGGACCUCCGACAUUCUUCUCCAUUACAUUCAUAAUCUGAUGUGUUUGAAGUCCACCAACAACAUACUCGAUGACAUCGGCCUUUGGUGCGUCAGCCAUUCUACGAUGAGCCGAUAAGUACGGAGUCAGGUCAGCAGGGACAAACAGAUGGUUAUGCUUGUCCACCAAAUUCCGAACGAACCAGAGGCCACUACUAUCUUGUAGCUCAACCUGAAAAAGAGCGGGACACCCACACCGAGAAAGACCCCUCAGUGUUCUUUUUCUAUCAACUCUGUUAAAGUGCUUAAGGGUCCACCAUCCUUGUUUGCAGCACUUGUAUGUCCUUCUGUAUGCAUUUUGUUUCGGACCCGGACCCAUGUACUUCAGAUCAUCCUUUCUAACACCAAACCCUUUUUUUCUCGCAUAGCCUACGUAGAAUAUGUAGGCUUCUUCCUCAGUCCUGAAAGUCUUGUUCACAAUCUCUAUGUAUUCCAUACACUCAUUCAGAUCUGAACCAACCAUGCCUUUAAUAUCAAUUCCUUUACCUUGCAUGUGUACAUCAUCCAGGUCUAUGUCAUCCUUGCCUGCAUCCUCAUUAUCGUUAUCAUCCGUGUGCAUACCAUCCAUUCAUUUGCCUUCGUUUCGUCUAUCAUCCAUGUCCUUGUCAUCCUUGCCUCUAUUCCCCAAGUUUUUGCCAUCGUUGCCUUUAUCAUCCAUGUCGUUAUGCUGCCAACGAAAACAGAUAGUCAAUGUUACGGAUGGAUAGCAUACAUAAUAAUUAUGCAAUACUCUGCCUAAAUAAUUGAUUUAAUUUUUCAUAUCGGAUUCAUGUACCAAACUCAGUCCUUCAAAAGCUGUAAGUAAGUAUAAAAUAUUCCCUGACUAAAUCCAGAAAUAUUUAAUUGAUUGUACUUGUUGUAACUGAUGAUCUCCUAACUAAAUCCAAAGUGCACGAAUCUUUCAAGUCCCCUGAUAGAUCAAUUAUCUGCAAAUCCAUUCAAAAUUGUGUCCUAACUGAAUCCAAAAUUAUCACCUAACUAAAUCCAAAUUAUCUCCUCAAUAAGUCGAAAAUAUCUCCAAACUCCAUACAAAAAUAAUUAUCUCCUAACUAAAUCCAAAAUAUCUCGAAACUCAAUUCAAAAGCAUCUCCUAACUAAAUCCAAAAUAACUUUCUUUAAAUCCAAAUCGGCUGACAAAUUCUCAUGGCACACAACCCUAACUAAGUGCUUCAAUAUGUCCUAGCUAAAUCCGACUUACACUUCCUUUGAAUCAAAAUCUUGUCACAACUUUCUGAAACCAUAAACCCUAACUAACUACAUCAACAUGUCCUAGCUAAAUCCAACUUACAUUCCCUUUUAAUCAAAAUCUCAUCACAACUUUCUGAAACCAUAAACCCUAAACCUCACAUGACAUAUCCUAAACCCUAAUCAAAUCCGACCCCUAUUGGUACUAUAUGCAUAAGGGACCAGCAAAGAUUUGAGAUGGCUAGGCACUUACAGCAAAGAUCCGGCGUGAAAAAGUUGAUGCACGUCGAUGAGGAUGAUGUGGCCUCUCAGGUCGGGGAAGGUGGCGUCCGCUCGGGGAAGGAGGGGAGGCUUGUCGGAAGAUCUGGCGUCGCGACCCGAGUGGGGUGAUUUGCGAUGGAGGGGGGAGGGGGGAGUAGGAGCAGGAGGAAGGAGUGACACGGUGAGUGCGGUUGGCGGCGAUCGGCGGUGAUCGAGGGCGCCGGAGGCGAUCGGCGGCGAUCAAGGGCGCUGAGGUUAGGGCUCGAGAGGAGGAAAGAGGACGAACCGCUCGAACCAAAUUUCAAAAGAGUACGCACGAUGAUUGGACCUCUAUAAUGAAGUGUUUUAUUAAUGCAAUUAAUUUAAUCAAAAAAAUUCGGACCAGAAUACCCCUGGAUUUAAUUGGACCGAUUAAAGGUACAAAAAAAUUAGGUCGAAAAUACCCUUGGGCUAAAAAAGGCCCAGUUAUUCUAAUCCAUUAGAUCGCCCAUAUAAUACACGUGAUUUGGUGUAUUAUGAUGCACCGUAAAAUUUCCCUUUUUCUUUUGUUAUUACAGUCCUAUUGUCUCUACAACUGUCUGAAAUUUCUGUACUACUUACGCACUUGCAGGGGGGUUGGUACCAAUUCCAUUCUUGAGGCGAUACACGAUGAAUCAAUGUCCGAUCCACGGGAAAUAAUUGAGGUGGCACAACGCCAAUCCCUAUACCGGCCGUCUCUCCUCGGCCAGCGUAAAGGCGAUAUCAAGAUGUAGUAGUUGCAGCCUUUAUUUAUGCAGAAAUAUUGCGAGUUUCCACAAUUUGCGAGUUAAUUACACGAUAGUACCACAAUUGGGGCCGUGGUGGCGAAUUGGUACCAGUUUUGAAAAUUUUUACGUGUCAGUGCCACGUUUGGACCGAACCGUUGCAAAUCGGGCUAAACUUCGUAUUUGUACGUAUUGACGCUGGAACUGACCGCCCGGGCCCGCGCGUCAGAUGCCACGCUGGCGAAUCGGCACUCGCCCGCUCGCUCGAUAGGUGCGGUCCGGCUCGAACCGGACCGGCCCGUGCUCCACUCUGUUCCUCCUCGCUCCUGCCUUAUGCCUGGCGCGUGAGGCCUCAUCCCCGCCGGCGACCACAACCAGGCCGUUGCCCUCACCUGUGCCCUUUCCUUCGGCCGGGCUUGGCGACGGGGAGGGUGUGGAUGCGGUCCUCGCCGGAGAAGGAACGACGACGGGUUGGCGGGGUCGAAGGAUCCGGGCGGAGGCGGUACUUGACGGCAGAGGCGACGCGAGGGGUCGAGGCAUCCUGGUACAGAGAGAGAGAAGGUUCAAGGAGGGGGAGACGGGGAGAAGAAAAAGAGGGGCGGCACGACUCGCCUGGUUGCCAGGUCCGGCCAGCGGGGCGACGGGGAUGGACCGGGAACGGCGGAAUCCGGCCGGGUCCUGGGCAAGGACGGCGGCUGCUGCAUCAGGGACCGAGCGGGAGCUCGGGACGGGGGCGUCCCUUGGGCGUAGGACGAGAAGGGAGCACAGGGAGGCGAGGCGGCGCGACGAACUGCGGAGGCGACAGCCUUGGCUCCAGCGGGUGGCUCCGGCGAGCUGGUGACGAGGAGGUCGGGGCGCCCUUCUCCUGGCGCCAUGGGUGGGAACUCCUACAGGACAGAGACAACAGAGAGAGACAAGUGAGGGGGAGAGAGAGCUAGAGGAAAGAGGGGAUGGAGGAAAGGGCACAGGGGGUGAGGGCAACGACCUGGUUGGGGUCGCCGGCGGGGAUGAGGCCUCACGCGCGAGGCAUAAGGCAGGAGCGAGGAGGAACAGAGUGGAGCACGGGCCGGUCCGGUUCGAGCCGGACCGCACCUAUCGAGCGAGCGGGCGCGUGUCGAUUCGCCAGCGUGGCAUCUGACGCGCGGGCCCGGGCGGUCAGUUCCAGCGUCAAUACGUACAAAUACGAAGUUUAGCCCGAUUUGCAACGGUUCGGUCCAAACGUGGUACUGACACGUAAAAUUUUUUAAAACUGGUACGAAUUCGCCACCACGGCCCCAAUUGUGGUACUAUCGUGUAAUUAACUCACAAUUUGCUGAUCCUUCUGUCGGUGUACCCCGCAAGUGCAUAUUUGUAGUAUACAUAUGCUUAUAUGUUGUACGAGAUGAGAUUUUUUUAAUGGGAUUUUUGCAUUCGUGCCCCUAGUUGGGUCACGCUCGACUGAUUUGCCCCUAGUUUUCCAACAAUUGCGGUUUUGCCCAGUUCACUUCACUCGCCUUGUGUUUUUGCCCUUCCGGGACGGUUCCGACCAAUCACGGUUCGCCACGUGGCGACUGCUCAUUGGUCAGAAACGCCCGGGCAAAAACACAAGGCGAGUGAAGUGAGCUGGGCAAAACCGCAAUUGUUGAAAAACUAGGGGCAAAUCAGUCGAGCGUGACCCAACUAAAGGCACCAAUACAAUUGUUCCUUUUUUAAUAGCAAGGUGAUAUAAAGUUCUUAUCGUCCGAGUUGACGCCCACCUGUAUAUACAACCCUUGAUUUAAUUGCAU
rnacentral:lncRNA from 1 species